UGAUGGCGGGAGGUUUGUCACCUGAUGAAAGAGAGCUCGGCCUCAGCUACAAGUGGUAGUUAGCAACCAGUAGUAGUCUGCUUCAGCAAAGGCUACUUUAUGAACAGAAUUUGGGAUUUAAGCAACAAAUAUGCAGGAACAUCUGGGCCACAACUCACAAGAAGAACCUGACCACUGCCAAAAAGUUAUCUACAACACCGAGGGAUUUAUUUGAGGCAAGAUGGAGGAUCUGUCGAAGUGGAAAACAACAAGGAACCACUGUAAAAGGUAGGAAAAUGUCUCUUUUCUGUUAUUGUGGUCUGUUGCUUAGAGUUUAAGGUGCUAAAUAUUUUAGUAGCUUUAGUUUUGUGGUUUGGUUUGUAUGAGUGGCUACUCAUAUUGGUUUGGACAUGGUUUGGAUAUCAUCUGCUAAAACACCAGCUAAAGUGACAUUUUCUGAGUGACAUUACCACCAGCUGUACCUGGUGAGGUUACUCUGUAGGCCUUUGCUCAAAUACUGAUAUUGUCAUUUGGACUGUUUCUUCUGGUUUUGUAUUAGAAAAAGAAAAUUUACAUUAGAGACACAUAAUGUCUUUGUGUCUUUAUGUAGUUCAGCACCAUCAUGGUAGAGGUAUAAUCCACAAACUACAAUAUGCAUUACUCAUGCUCAUAGACAUCCAUGUUGGUCCCUUUGUGUCCUCUGACCAGAUAGGCAUGUGGACACACACACUCACACACAUACUGUACUUGAACUGCAGGACAGCUGACCUUUAGAGACUCAAAACAUCAACACAGAGGUUAUUAAGUGCUCAGACACAUGCAUGCACAUGUAUUUGAAGAGUGAAUCACAGUGUUUUAUGUGGUUAUGUAAUUGCGCAUUCUCUUAUCAUAACUGUGAAUAGAUAAAUUGUGCAGCACUUCGAGUUAAUAAGUUGCUCUUCGUGCCAGUACUCUGGAAACAACAACACAGGUCCUUUUACCACUGUUAUUUCUGAGUUUGCCUUUUCUGUUUUGUGCAAAAAGACUAAACAUGUGACUUUCUAUAUCUUACAAAACUUUGAUAACACUUUGUUAACCUUAAUCAUUUUAUUACCUUGAACGGGGCAGAAUAACCCAUAAAAAAUAUGAAUUGUAAGAGAGUGAACUUAAACUCAUCCAACUAUCAGUAAUUAUAGCACAAAAGAGUAUGCAAGCGUUGAUAAAAUGAUCUCACACAGCGGUAAAGCUUAGAUCAUCCGAGAGUCAAAAUGAACAGUACAGUUCUCUUCUUCUUCUCCUUCAGUGAUAGAUUUAAUCCUCCUCCCUUCAACAAGUUUAUUUCUCACCACUUACUCUCAAUUUAUGUUGCUACGCACCUGGCUGGAUAUUUCUCCUGGUGUAUAUCUUUCUGAGAGAGAUGCUUUUUUUUUUUUGUCUGACAGUGUGUCAAAGUCUGCUCAUAAUAGAGAGGCAGAUCUCAAGCAUAUCCUGAGAGUUUGGGAUAAAGGACAGUGCCAUGGACAACUUUGUUGAUUAGUUUGUAUCCUUACAGUCUCAUUUAAAGCUGUAGCACGGACAUAGCAAAACUGGUCCGCUUCAACAUCCUGUCAUGGCUUUUUAGAGAGUUAUCAAAGAGAAUAAAAUCAAUGCUGAUGCACCUAUACUACAGAUACAAGUAAGACCACCAGGAAAUUCUCCCAGUGGUGGUUAAAGUUAUUCUACUGCUCGUCUCCACUCCCACUGCUAGUCUUCAUCUCUACCAUUAUUAUCAGGACUAGUAUUAGGAUUUAUUUUAUAGUUUACAAUAUUCAGAGUAGAGUUCCCUUAUAAAAGUGAUGUCCUACCUACCAAACAUGACAUCCAGAAUAGCUUUUUAACAAAAAAAGGCAAACUGGUAAUGAAUCAAACACACCCUUCAAAGUACUCUCUCUGUCCCCAUCUAUGUAGUUGAAACUAAAGUGAACAUCUUGAAACAAACGACCACCUGUCGAAAUUAUUCUGCACAAAUUGCUGCCCUGAAUUUGUCUUUAAUUUUUGACUCAUCAUAUGGUAAAUUUUAUGGUAUAAUCAAACCAAACCAAACCAAAUUGCUCUUUAUUUUAAUUAAUCAUUAUUGAUUUGAAUAUUUGCUAUCAAGGAUCAAAUUGAAUUGAAUCACAAAGAGAUUUAUCCCCGUGGAAGCGCCACGCGCGGAACGGAAGCACCGCGCACAGAGUUUCAGAUCGGCGCCCAUGUUAACCUAUGAGACUGUUCACACAGCUCGCGCGCGGAACGGCUCGCGCUCUGGAGCGCGGCUGCUCCGCUUCUCUCGAUUUUUGGCGCAAGCCGCGCGCGCCGAUGUAAAGCUCAACAGAGCAGAUCGGACCAGACAGGAAGUCAGGAAGGAGAUGCGAGAGAAUCCGGUCAAUUUUCAAAAUAAAGUAAAUUUCAAUAAAUUAGAAAAGGAUUGACGGUGUUGCUUGUCAGUCUAUUUUUUUUUUACCGAUGAACACACACACACACACACACACACACACACACACACGCGCGGAGGGAGAGCUGCAGAGAUUCAGUGAUGUUAUUGAGACGGGGGGGGGGGGGGGGUACUUUAUUACGAUACAGUCAAUAGCCUCGAGCUAACAAGGCUAUACAUACAACGGAGUCAACAGACUCCCCAAUUUGUUUGUCGUUUACCCCUAUAUAAUAAUUUAAAACAAUACUUGAAGAUGCUGCCAAUAUUUAAUUUAUGUAUGACGAAAUAAAAACGUAAAUAAAUAUUGAUUUACCCAUUUUUAAAGCGCUCGUAAGUGUGGAAAACUGAGGACAGACGGAAACGGCCGAGCACUGCCGGGCUCAGUCGAUGUCUGACCGGCAUGUCAGAGCGCAGCAGAAAGCGCUUCCUGUGUGAACAGCCAAGCGUGAGCCGGCGCUGCGCGCGCGGCGCUGCGCGCGCGGCGCUUCCGUUCCGCGCGCGGCGCUUCCUGUGUGAACCAGGCGUAAGGUUAGAUGUUUGAGUCAGUGCUCCUUGCUUUUUUGACAUAAUAUAACACUGGCUUCAGACUUGAAGUUGGCCACCACAUUUUUUCUUUCGAUUCUGUUCCCACAUCCCCGACAUGCCCAUGGUAUGAAAAGUUGUUGCAGCUUUUGCAGAAAUACUAACUUGGAAACUCAGCCAAAGAAAUGCAAGGCCACAGCCACAUGCAAUGCUCCCAGGUACAUGUGAACACUGCCCACACAGCUCUGAGAGCAGGAGAGCUCAGCUGUCUUGGUCACACACUGAGAAAUUUGUUGCUGCUGUGAAUAGUAUCAGGCUCUGUAUCCUUAAUAAGAACAUCUAUUUAAGUAAUCUCUGACAGUGUGUAAGAAAAAUGCCACUUUCAGUGAUCAGUAAUGUUACAGUUUAAGUAACACUCUACUUUACACCUCUCGCAAAUUGUAAUGGAAUACAAAAAAAUCCUGCAAAGCAAAUUGUUACUGUUUAAUGCAGCCGCUGGCUUUACCUUAUUAAUUUUGUCCCUUCUUAUCUCCAGUUUGACUUUAUAUGUCUCAUUUGCAUGCAAGCAGUGAAGCGAACUAGACAAAAAGUUGAGAAAAACGAAGAGAUAGGAGGAAUUGCUCACCUGCAAUGUGCACUGUUUUAUUUAUGAAGGCUCUGCCAGGCAAGAUGGAGACAAAUUACCUUUUAACAAUGUGAAAUAGAAUUUUGUUUACACGGCUAUGCUUCCCCUUGCUUUUUCAAAUGAGAUUUUUCACAGCUUCCUCAUUUGUAUCUCACGGCAUUAUCGUCUCAAUCUUUCAAAACCAAUCAGUCUCAAGAAAAGAGCAGAAAAAAGAGAAGAAUGAAUCACUGCUGUUCAUAAAACAAGCCAUUAGGUAUAUUUAUGAAUGCACACCACAUCAGCCACUGGCCUCUGACUCCCCCCUCCUUCUCUGCUCUGUUUUGUCAAUCCACUGACAUACUCUCCACAAUGUUAUUUAAAGCUCAGUACUGUCUGCAGCAUGGUAGAGUGCCCUUUGUGUAAGCCUCAGUGGCCGGGAUUCAAGAAAAUGUUGACACAACAGAAGGCAAAAUGAGGUCGGAAAACAAGCACUCUGUGCUAAAACAGAAUUUUAUGUUCUGGUAUCACAGGUGUGAUGUUCCACUCUACCUAACCCCAGUAUCCAUUUCAGGCAUUUUGUGUUGUUGUAAUAAAAGACUAAAUGACAAGAAAUGGAAAGAGAGCUAAUCAUAUGGUGUAAAAAUGAACUGUGAGUAGGGUUGUACCGAUACAACUUUUUGACUUCCGAUACGAUGCCAAUAUUGUAGCCUUAAAUAUUGACCAAUACCGAUAUUAAUCAGAUAUUGGCUCAAAAUUGUGUAUGACAAGUUUUUCACUCAGCAACAGUGUCUUUUUUAGACUUGGACAAAAAAAAAUACUGCCACAAGACCAACAUCACUCUUAAGGUCCUUUCACACCAAGAUUUUUCUAAAGUUUUGCAUACUGUGUGUCCACUUCUGACCAAUCAGAUUUCGUGUUGUUGCGACGUCAGAUUCACUGGUAUAUCCAACAUGGCCGAUCGGCUGAUUGUUUACGUGUCGGAGAACAGAGUGCUACUUGAUAAAAGACACAAAUAUUACAAAGAUAACGACCUGAAGGACAACUUGUGGAGAGUCAUAGCAUCGGAUUUCUGAUAUGACGAUGGUUUGUGUGCUUUAACAUUUGAUAAACGUCUUUGUUUUAACAAUUAUCUGUGCUAAGUAACUUAACUCGUAAGCUAACCUGUUCAGAUACAACAUAUCAUAUGUAUGGUAUGUUGCUGUCACAGCACCAUUAGGUCUCGGUUGUUACCUUACAUUUAUGGAUUAUCGUUUAAUGUGCUUAUCUGGUACUGGCCCCAACUCAGUACAUGCUAUCAUGACAGACAGACAUCUCAACACUAGUGUCUAAUCAGAACUGAAAAAUAGUCAGUCCGGUGUUGUGUCAGUUUUCUCGCUUCCACCCGAGACACUUUUUUUUUUUCCCCUCGGAAAGUUGAAAAAUCGCAUUGUGCUUGAUGUGUAUAGUCAGGUGCAAGUAUUUUGUGCGAAGGCCGACACAACCCGAUUUUCAUAUCGGACUGAUAUCCAAUAUCAAUGUUGGAGCUAAAGCUAAGCUAAGUCAGUGGCAACAUCUCAAUAACAAACUUAGAAAUCAAUCAGGACCCACUGAUUUAUACAUGACAUUAUUUAUAAUGAAAGCAAAAUUGGAGUCCCUAGUUAAAUUAGCAGUGCUGAAUUUCAAAGUUAAGGAAGCAGGUAUUUCCCGAGUGAAAAACAUUGCAAGCCUCCACACUGAACUUGCAAAAACACCAAAAUCUUGUAAGCUGUCCUAUGAUGACAAGCCUGUUGUACCACAGAAAAUGCCAAAAUAAUGUUGUACCUUUAAAAAAUGAGUACUUGCUACUAGUAACUCAGGGGAAAUUUCUCAACUUUACAUGGUCAGAUUUCAGUUAUCAGAAGUAUCAGUACUUAAUGUUGCUCAGUUUAUGUAUUUUGUUUCUACAGUUUUACUCACCAACUUAACUCUCUUGGACAAAAGUGAGUCUCUCCAUCUGUUUAAACCAGAGGCUAUCAUCUGAGUUUUGACCUAUUUGAAUAAGUGGAAGAAGAAAUGCAAGUCAAUAUAGAAAGUAUUGCAAAGUCUUGUAGACUCCUAACUCUGUAGGAAAAAAAGAACAUUUUCAGAAGUGACAUAUCCUCUCCUGAUAAACAUACUUAUAUAUUUUGACACUGCCAAAGACCAGAGCAGUUCAGGACUCUCUUUUGUCUGCUCAGUAAUCUUAUUUUCAAUUACAGAAGUGAUCAACAACCCGUGUUUUACAAAGUGAGCCUUUUUAAAUCUACUCAUACUUGUUCUGUCUGGAUGCAGAAGCUCAUAAUUUUUAAAGUAUAAAGAAUUGGUCAUGCAUUAGAUGACAUGCAUUCACCAACCCUUUGUCUUUUGUAGUUUCUAGAAACACAGACCCUCAGCAGUGCUGUAAAAGCAGACAAAAAGUUAUAUUUGCUUGGCAGCAACAUCAGUAAGGCAAAUAAAACUACAGUAUAGCUUUCUCCAGACCAGCCUUUCUCAUUGUUGUAGCCUCCGUUGAAGGAAUGAGAGCUGUUAAAUUUUUACAACCCUUAGAUGGUGCAAUGCAUUGUACAUUUUUUAUAAUCUAACAAAAAGCUUCCUGAUGGUGGGUGUCCAGUAAAAGUGGGCCGGCACGUAUUCUUCUCUUCUCCCUGUGUCUGUCAGCAACAAGGAGAGAACAUGUGGUUUCUUCAUAACUGUGCACUAAUGUGCUCACUGUAGUGCUGCCAAACUCGCUGUGCUGGAUAGAACAUAAAGAUGGAAGAGGUAGCUGUAAACAGGACCUCCCCGUACCCCCCCUCUCAAAGCUAUAGAAUAGUGCUGAUGAGCCAAAUAAAAACCUGAAAACAUGGCUUUCUCUUCACUUCUGUUUGAGUCAGCAGGGACGAGAGGUGGCAGAGGUAAAUUGAGGUCAUCAAACAAAGAGAGAAUAUGGCACUUUGCGCCGUUGCUCAAGCACCCAAGGCUGAGUGAUUGAUAUGCCGUUGAUCAAGUUCCAAAUCUUCUCUCGCUGCUUUCUCUUUCUCCAUCUCGACUUCUUAAAUUGCUAUCAGCUCAAAAAAUGUCACAUUUAUGGCAACAAUUCAUCACUUAGUCCAAGAUAUGGGUUAAAAUAGACUGUAAAGUAGCAGCAGAUAUUUGUAGGCACCAUCUGGGGCAGAGAAAUGAAAGCAUUUAUUUACAUAAAAUAAACAGCACCGGCAGACAUAGCAGCUUAUUAAGCCAAUAGAGGUACAACACUUACAGUUUCAUUCACUUGGAACAUGUGCUCUACUCAAAACACAUGCAGGAGUUCUCUCUGGCCACUAUAUUAAGUCCCUUCACAUGUGAAUAUUAGAAUAAAAUUGAAUUGUCUAAGUGCCAUUUCUCAACCAGUCUGACACUCCUAUUUCCCUACUCCACCCUCGUAUUGUUUCUAAUAAUAUAACUGGCAUCAAUGACAUUAUCAAAGCAUUUUUUUUCACUCCUGCUCAGUUACAUUUGUGAUAAAACAAAUGUACAUCUACUCCAUUACGUUAGGCAGCACCUGUUACUACUUUAGAUAUUCUCUAAUUUAUUUUAGAUUAAUAAUGUUUUACUCUCAGCCAUACUCUCAGACUGAGAGAUUAUACCUUUAAAAAGGUUAGACCAUCUUUUAUAUGGGGUGUGGUGAUUAAUGGGGUGUUGUGUAAUUGUUGUGUUUACAGCAUUGGCUACAAAAAUAGCAGCAGGAUGUUGUGGCUUGCUUUUAAAAUCUUCUCAUUUCACCAGGCUGGCAGCUUUUCUGUGAUAAAGUAUGUGUGUCUUUACAACAUCCAGGGACCUUUCCAUCCCGUGGAGAAUAUCAGUUUAUGUUCAGUGACUGUUGUCAGUCAAUCUCAGAAAAAUGACGGCGAUCUGUGAUGAUUUAUAUAUAUAUUUAAGUGAAUCAGUGUAAUCGCUGUUUUGGUCUAUCAAUCACUAAGAAGCCCUAUCUGAGAUAACCUGGUUGUUAGCUCCAGUGAAAGGCCAGUCCAGGUUGGGACAGACCAGACAUUAUUAGUAGAUCUGCUCUUUCUGUGUACCAGUGCUUGGGUGCUUGAUGAACAUAUGAUCAAUUCUUAUUUCACUCAAGUGUGACAACUCCAUGUAAACUUUUUGACACCGACCAAGAAAAAUGGCGAUUCUUGGUCAUCAGUUGAAUGACAGUGAUUUUCCCGGUGGCUUAUUUUGAUGUACUUCAUCAUGGAGAGGUGAGCCAAUGGGCGCUAAAUGAUGCCAAGUUGUUGUUUCAUGCAUUUGAUAAAAUACAACAACUGAUUAUUUAAAAAACUUGAAUCAACUCUUCAUCAAAUUAAUGUCAUAUUAUCCCUUACAUCAGAAUCGUCUUCAACAGCAACUGCCAGUAACUGUAUAACCUGAAUAAUCUAUCUUGAGUUUUUAAUAGCCAUCGCAGCAUAGGAAGGAGGACUUCCUCUUGUGUAAUGCCAUUGUCUUGAAAGACUUCAGUAGACAACAGUAGUCGACAUAAAAGGAAACACAGCUCUUUAAAUAAAGCAGAGCAGCUGGCUGGAAGGCGGUUUUUUGUGUGUCAUUGUCAAUCAUCUGUACUGUGACAGCUGUACAUGAACACUGGAGGGACAGACUACAUUGCCUGUACUCACAUUCAGAAAAUAAUCAGGUUUUUGGCCUUAAAAAAAGACAAGUUUGUUUAUUUAUUUAUUUACUGCAAAAGGUGGCUGUAUGCUGAUGUCGUAAAGUUGAGUUUCAUUCAUGGUCAAAGGAUGAUCAUCAAUUAGAAGAACAAAAACAGAUUUUUUUAACAUGUCUAUCACAAAAUGCUGUGUAUGAAAAAGUUAGGAUUUUUACAUUUGGAAUUAGGGGUGUCCCAAUACAACUUUUUUUUACUUCCAAUCCAAUACUGAUAUUGUCGCCUUCAGUAUUGGCCGAUACCUGUAUUGAUCCGAUAUUGGCACAGACUUGUGCAUGAGAAGUCUUUUUCGGACUUUAAUGAAAAAUAUUGCCACACAGCCGACAUCACCCCUACUCUUUGCUACUUUGUUAGUACUGUAGUUCACACUGUUGUUGUGAUUACUUGAGCUCUGAAUGCUAGAUCCAGGCGCUGCUAGAUAGAGGUGCCGGAGUGGAGUCUGGAAUGGACUGCUUGUAUCGGAGUGCUGAUAUCAGGGAUUUUAGAUAAAGGCCGAUAUAAUCCAAUAUCCGUUUUUUUGCUGAUAUCAGACAGAUAUCCGAUAUCAAUAUUGGAUCGGGACAUCCCUAUUUGGAAUUAAAACAGAAAGUGAGUGUUGAUGUUAACAUUACUGGGUAGUUAAUUUACGGACAUUACACUGUUAAAUGUUAGUUUUUUUAUUGUCAAACUCACAAACACACGCUUUGUAUGCAGGUGAUAUUUUACUCCUCUAUUCCUCUGUGUCCUCUGCUCCUCAACCCUUCAGUGCUCCUUUACCCUCUGCUGUGUGCUGCAGUGUAGACACUCAUUGAAUGGAAAUAGGAAAACAAGACCCUCUUCAUCCCCUCUCCCUCACAACAGAGCACAGUGGAUCUGUCUGUUGUUCAAGCAAAGUUUUAGAUAUUCCCCCAAAUAAGUGACAGACGUCAGACAUUUUCUGUCAGUGCAGUUAGGAACAGCAAUCACUCUGAAGCCUUUUAAGAUUUUACAAUAAUUUAAAACCUACCAGAACAGAAAUUUGAGGCAGAGCAUAAAAAAUCCAACACCAUUAGGAAACCCAUUCUGCAUUAUUACCUCUUGCAAAAGAGGAUUUUGGAUGAAGGAACAGGAGUCCUUUUUUCCCUUUUUAUAGCUAGAUUUUCUCUUUUACCGAAGGACUUCUCUUUUGGAGAUGUUGUUCCAAAACAACCCUUCAGCUUGGAUCAUUUGGAGAUGCGUGAACACAAAGAUUGCAAGGAAACAAAACAAGCAACCUGAGAUAGCUUAGAGGAGUCAGUCGUGGCCCAAAUGAAUUCAAAAGCACUUUGUUUCAGCAAGAACUAUGUCAGCCCUGGAAAAAACAACAGCUGGUUUUAGACAGUAUGGUAAACAGCUCAUCAAAACAUCAGAAACGUUUCCUUCCCAUCACUGGGACCUCCACUCUCACCUGGCUGGUCUUGUAUCUUUACACAGUGCUGUUGGAAUUUAUUCAACAAAUGUGUGUAGUUGAUGGGGCAUUUGACUAGUGAUGGGCAUGGCGUUUAUUUGGAUGUACUGAAUCACUAGAAUCAGUUCACUACAAAGAUUUGUUCAAAAGAUUUGUUCACCCAAUCAAUCAGCGCUUGGCGGGAGGAGCCUGCGACUCUGUCUUCCUGAACUGAUACACUGCUGAACGGUUCAGGGUUCAGUACUGAUGUUAGCUUCUAGAACUAGGAGACGAGAGUGUUGUGGCUGUGUUGCUUUGACAAACAGGUUUGUAAAAAUGAACUUGUUUAUAAAUCAUGAUGUUUCAAGUGUAUUGUCCGAUGGUAUGCUAUUUAUCUGGUCUACUCAGUGAAUUGGGCUCAGUGAGCGUUUACCCCACAGUACGUUCAGUGAAGAAUUCAAGGAUCAGACAGUCAUGCAUUUCUCAAACUGUGGAUUCUAUACACUACUUGUUAAAAGCUGUAUCCUACUGUAUGCAAGUUUUGUUGGAAAUUUAGCAGAGUUUCACUGAAGUGAGAAAUGAACAAACCCAGCUGCAGCUUGGUAGCUGUCCAACGUGAGUCUGGUCCUUCCCAAGGUUUCUGCCUGUUAAAAGGAGGUUUUUCCUUGCCACUGUCACUCAUGUUAGAUGAGAUGAAUCAAAUCUAUCCCAUCUUAAGGUUUGGUCUUGAUAAUUUAUCAAACAAUGAGCAUGGUCUCGACCUGCUCUUUUUCAUUGGAAAGCACCUUGGGAUAACGACUGUUGUGAAUUGGCGCUAUAUGUAAAUAAAAUUUGAUUGAUUGAUUGAUUGAAUCACUUGAAGUGAUUUUGGUUCAGAACAUUCACUUAAAAGAUUCGGUUCUUUUGAACAAAUCAUUUGUGAACAACACAACACUACAUUUGACUUCCUUGCUGGUCAAAGUUGACCUGCGAGCCACUUUAUUGUAGGUUAACUGGCUAAUGUUAGUCUCUGUAGGGUCUUUCAGUCACUGUAAAAUAUCUGUGAGCCUUCUUUGCUGCUGGUGAAUCCACGUUCACCACAUCACUACCGUCAUAAACUACGUCAGAGUUACAGUUUCACACUGUUAGACAGCCUGCAAAAAAAAAUCUUGUUCUCCUCAUCUGCUCUCCUUAGAUCUUCUGUCUUCUAAAGCACAGUGAAAAGGUGAGGAAGUGUGAGUGAAGUUGAGUAUAAAUACUGUUUAUGUUGAACGUGGCUAACAGCCUUCUCUUCUUCCUUCCCUCAACACUCUUUUAGGCUUUAAGAUGCAGCUUUCUUCCACUGCUAUGACACAGCAAUUAGGUGUUUCAACACAUCUCAUAGUUCACUGUAGCUGAUACAUAGUCUGACCUCCCUCCAUCAUAGUCCAAUCAUCCCUUUAAUUAGCCCCACAGGUGCAGACGGGUUGUAGAUGUGGAAGAUUUAUUAAACCCAUAACCCUCCCCACAAACACAACAGCACUUGCGCACACACCCACACAAAUGUCAUGUUUAGUGCCUGUUUUGGAAAUAAGGGCUUGAAUUGAAUUUCUUUCCCAGAGCUUGUUAACGAUUGCAGUCAAGCUGCAUUAAGGUGAGGUCAAUAUAUCACUGAAUGUGCCUUUCCCAUAUCUUCUACAGGCCCAUAGUGGUAUUGACUGUUGUGAGUCACAUGUUUGCCUCCAUUGAUCCAUGGUCCCUGCUGGUAUAGCGUUUGAUGUUUUAAUUUGUCAUGAAAUGGCGAGACAUGAAAUUAGACAAGAAUUUUGCCACAAACUGAGAAUUUGAGUAUUUUUAUCCCUCAAACUCCAAGUAAACUCAAGAACACACUAAACUGAAUUUUUAAAUGUAUUUUAAUUUUAAGCUAUAACCGGUUUUGAAGUCGAUAUUCGAAAAGGAAAAGUAGGUUGCACAGCCUUGAGGGAUAAUAGUUGCCCUGAGGGGAGAGAUCAGUUGAAGGACUCCGGCAGACAAUGUCACAGGCUCCUGGCUCACUCACAGGACUGAGUAAGAAGUGAUGGUCUUGAUAAAGCCAUUGAAUACAAAAUGAGGACGUUGGAUUGGACCCCAAGGCUCUUCCGGUACAUAUUUAAAGUUUUUUAUUCUUGCUAAGUGAUUAUUCAUUUCUUUUCUUUUGCUUCAGCCUCCAAAACAUACUGUGGCAACCCAAACUGAGUUGUUUUACUGGGUUGUCAGGCUGUAUAUGCUACUGAUUAUGUUCAAACUCAGCAUUCUGAAUAAAAAUUGUGUCUUACGAUUGAUGAUAGUCUAUCUCGGUCCUCCAUUAUCACAUGAAUAUUCAUGUGUUAAACUCAAAUCCUAGCACUUUGUAUGAAUGUUCCAUCAUUUUUAUUUUCACAUUGAAAUGUCCUUCGAACAGUGUCCGUUUCAUCUUUCAUGAGUCGUUCAGAGUGUACUACAAAGUAAAGCAGGUGUACCUUUUGAUUUGUCAUAACUGUUUUAUUCAUGGUUUGUUUUGUUCUUGAGUUAACACUGUGUAUUUUCCAAAUAUUGGGGACAACAGAAGACAUAACAUUUUUCUUUGGGUCCUUAAAUGAGAAGUCUGAGAAUUUUCUCUGCCUAAGACCAGGUGGUGAUUUAAAAAAAAUGAUAUUUUAGUACAUGCUAAAGUUUUUAAGUUUCUUAUCUCACAAAGCUAAAGCUAGCUAUAAGUUGUACAAGUAAAGACAACUUUUGGUGUGAGGUAAAUUUUUGUUGGUUACUAUGCAAGCCUGCAAGAACAACUGCACAUCUCAUAAAAUAACCAGUCAGUAUCCGAGGUCAAACUCAGUCCCUGUCAGCACCUUUACAAGGGCGAACUCCUGGAAUAGGUCAUGGCUAGACUCCCCCCAGCCUGAUGUUUGAUGUCCUUACAUUAUUGGAACAUCCACAUAGUCCUGCUGUUACAGAUGAAGGAGCCUGGCACUGGUGCAUCUGCACUGACUGCAGAGACAUGUCAACAAACGUAGAGUAGACAAUUUGUGUUCUGGCAGCACGGCUGCUCGGGCGAGAGAGACGGAGCGGUGAUUCCAAGCUGCUGCGUCUGGAAAAUCUGUGGUGCUUUUCACGACCCAAGAGGACAAUAUGCUGGCUUCAGGGUGUGCUGCUUUGUGUGAGAAGUUCUUAAAGAUUAGUGUUGUUACAACACAAAUUUGCACAUGUUUUUUAGUUGUUUAUAAUUUCACAAGACAAUGAGGUCUGGGUGUGUCUUGAUUUAAAAUUCCCCUUUUUUUGGGCUAAAGAAUUUGCACAAUUUUUUAAUUGUCUGGUGUUACAAAUAUUUUUUGGUAAUAUAAUACCAGUAAUUAUGUGCCGUGCUCACUGAUUUUGAGUUUUAAUAACAUUUUAUUUGCAUAAUAGAAACAAAUUAGUGGUAAAAUUCAGCAGUUUGUUGUUUAAAAACAAGAAAAAUUCCAAAGAUCCCCCUGAGCUUUAUCAAACAGAAUGUAAUAAGAGUAUUUGCAACAGAAUAGGAUUAAGUAAGAUACACAACACCACAGUGAAAAAGAUAAAAUAGUCAUCAAGAAUAAACUGCUGCUUUUCUGUACCAAUAAAAACCACAGUUUUCUAUAAGAUAAAUUCAAUUAUAUGUAACAGAUUUGGCUUGUUGUGCUUUGGAAAGUUAAUGUAGAGCAGUUAUCUACAUGCACUGCAAAUGUGUCCCUCAUUACAGUAUUUUUCUUGAGCCGAUUUGAUAGAUUAUCCUGACUGCUUGAGGAAAGGAAAAUUUACAACACCCUGGCUCUUUGUUAUAAUGAACGCGAGUUCUGAUGGUGUGGAGCUGUGACUGCAGGCAGGCACAGAUUUUUAGCCUUCACUGUGAGGACUGGCCUCUCCUCGAGAAAUGUGAAUCAGAUCGGGUUCAGAUGCGGGUGGUGGUUGUGUUGCUGCAAGCAGACCUAGGUGCCUGGGAUCAUCAGGUCUGAGAGUCUGUCCCCUGAGGAGGCAUGUUCGCGUCUGAAUCCUUUUGGAAACAAUAGCCUUUGGAGGUCUAAUCUGUAACCAUAGUCUUGGUUGCUGUCAAGGCUUACACAGUCAAACUCUUGCACUUUUUUGUCUACGGAUGCACUGAUCCAACUUUUUUGUUUUAAUACUAAUGCCAAUACUGAUACCUUGGUUUUGGUAUUGGCUGAUACCAAUAAUAUCCAAUCCGGUACAAGCAUUAAAAUAACAACCUCUAUUCUAGAUCAGAAAUUAUGUUUUGGCAACACCAGGCUUUUCUUAUUUAGUAACCUUUUAAAAGGUACAAGUAAACAAAUUUAAAUGGACUAUGUCAUAGUUAUUGAUUACACAAACAUUCUAGUCAUUUUAGUUAAAAAAAAUAUUUCCUGCUCUUGACUAGUUCAACUAAUCAAUCAGAAAUUGAUAUCAAGGUUACACUGGGGUUUAAAUCUGAGGUGUUUCACUCUUUUAGUCCGUAAUGUCUUUCUGCCUAAUGCUCCAUCUUCAAUGAUUCAUCUUCAAUGAUAACUUAUGAAACAUCUCAUUAAAUCUGCUCACUUACGUACAAGAGUAAAACGAGGUUUUGACUCAGAGCUGUAAUCAGAGGAAAAUCAUCAAACAUUAAACUAACUCUUUAACUGGUUGUGUCCUAAUUUAGGCGCAGCUGAAAAAGUUUUGAAAUGUGAGGAAGAAGCAUGGAGGAAACUAGGAAAGUAAGAACGUUCAAUGUCUGAUGACUUGCCUUAAACAAUUUAGUCUCGUCACCAUCUCGUAGAAAAACAGAUGCUGCUUUAGUCUGAGUUUGUGUUAUUAAUUAAUUACUUUCAUACUUUUCGUUCUAUUUUUCGUACUUUUUUUUUCUUUUUUUUUGUAACAAAAUUAACACUGCUGCACCAAACUUUUAAGAUAGCCUUAAACAGGGGUUCAUAUUUAACACGAGACCUCACUCCUAAAUGGAAGCUUUAACCACAGAGACGUACUAUAAGACCUCUUUCUCUCACCAACAGACCCUGUGUCAGUAAAGAUUAUCAGGGCAGAGGUAGAGAGUGAUGCUGACCGUCUUGAUCAUUGGUAGUAUCAAACUAGUCGAGUGGUAUUUUUCGUCUAGAACAGUUUAUUCACUAAUCUUCUCUGUUAUUUAUCAGUCUUUCAAAAUAUCACCGAGAAGUUCGCGUAAUCUUCGCGCCAGUAACUGCAAACAUGAACCGUUUUAUUUCAUCUUUCGUUUGCUGUGCCACCACCAUCCCUGCAAACAUGUGUGUUUCAUUCUACAAGUCUAUGUCGGUGAAUGUAACCCUAAAGAGCUUUCUUCAAACCUCUAAACCUCCUUUGCUAGCUCCCCCCAUCAUACAUUUGGGUCUCCUUCUGGCAAAAUGCAGAGCUGCUGUCGCUGAUGAUAUAGUACGCGCACAUGGCUGUGGUAAACACAGACAUUCCUAGUACUGUAUGGGUCUACUUACAAUAAAGGCAUAUUGUAUGAGUUGUUUCAUAGUGCUGCAAAUCUGAAGUGGAAGCUGGAACUACCAACUCGGGUGUUCCACAACUAUCAUUGUGGGUGCUUACAUUUGUGACUAUGACUGUUUUGAGCAGGAAGUCGGUGGUUGUGGUGAUUAUAAUCAAUGGCUGCAACCAAAGUCUCUGUUUUAUUUACAGGCAGGCAGUAACCAAACCACUUUUCUGCAUACAAAGGGAUAUGGUUCUUGAAAUUCUUCAAAUCUGAGGUUGUCCUGUGGGAUAAAAAAAAAAGGACAUAGAGAGAAAUAUAGCUCUGUUUGUGGCAUUCUGCUCCCAUUCACUUCAUACUGUUCCAGAAAAGAGCAGUCCCCAGCUUGAAAAUCAACUUGAGGGAAAUAAAAUCAAGGGAAACACAUGUUUAGAUAGAUAUUCCACAUAAAUUUGUCAUAGUCCUAAAUGACAUGGGACAUUUAGAAUUUAUUGAUCUAUAUCGAUUAUAGAUCAACUACUUUGCUAAGUGCCUGUCAACGUGUGAGAGCUUGUCUUACAUUCACUUUUGCCAGGCUUCUUGCUUGGUCACUCUCCCUUUUCUUUUCAAUGGCGUGCUCUGUAAUGGUCCUCUUUUGUGUCAGCUGUAUUCAACAACAGCGAGAAGCAGUGGCUAGCUGCUGUUAUAAUGACUUGGUUUGACUGUGUGAGCCGAGUCAAGAACACCUCUCAGUGGCAGUUUUGGCUGCCCUGUUUUGUUGUGUUUCUGAGUGGAAUUGCUGUGUUCACUUGUGCUGCCACAAACAAUUAUCUUUACAAUCGACUGGUAACAGAUUAUUUUUGCGAUUAGUUGACUAAUCGGAUAAGCGUUUAAGGUAUGUGCUAAGGUUAAUGAAAUCCUCAUUUUUAAUGUUAACAUAAAAAGCUCACUCUUGACGUUAAUGUUAGCAGCCAGCUAGCCAAUUAGCGUACCGAGAAAGCUGUCCCACUUUGUCAGAAAGUGAAUCAGCUACGAUGUGCUUCCUUUUCAGGUGCUUGUGCAUUACUGUCAUGCUGCCAUGGAAGGCAAGUUCCAUCUUGCAGAUUUUGCGUUGCAUAUGCUUCUCUUUUAUUUCGGAAAAAUGCUCCCAAACUUUUUAGCUCUGUUGCUGGCUAGCCUUUUCCUGUAACGUCACAGUUGACCUGGAUUACUACUACUGCACAUGUGCGUCAAGGACAGGCAGAGACAAGUGAGACAAGACAGUGGAAGGUACAGCGGUAGUUUUGAGAGAAAAACAACGCUUCAAAACAAAACGAAGCAAAACAACGACAUUGACUAUUUUAUUAUGCUGUGCUACAGUUAACUCGGAAGUUGGAUGUCGGAGCUGGGAAUUACGUUAAACUGGGGUUAACAGCGUUUCAGUUAACACGUAGGAAAACAAAGAUGGAUGCCUACUGCUUGUUUACAAUUGUUAGCUGUCAUUAGCCAUUGUCGGUUGUUGUUGGCUGUUGUUAGCCGUUGUCAACUGUUGUUGGUUGUCGUCAGCUGAUGAAAUUUUUUCUUAAAAGGAAAAGUGUCUUGGCAAAAGUUUGCAGUGAAACUACUCAGCUUACUGUACAAUAAAAAUUUUAAUUUGUGGUUACAAAAAAGUGGUAUUAAUAAUCAUUUUUUUAUACCAUUGAUUUGAAUCAGUCCCAUGUGUCUGGAUUUUCAGCAGUCUUGUUACGUCGCUACUUUCAGUUAAAAGAUAAAGCCUUUGGGCAAAAAAUCUGAUGUGUUUUUUUGGGGGUGCCAGAAAGUCUUCUUCCCUGUUUUCAAUUUCAGUGCACAAAGGGAGAUCUGGACUGCUUCAGGGAACCAGCAGGUCUAGUGAAUACUCUGUUGCCCCUUUGUUCAGAUUAGAUUUAAGCACUUUUAGCAUGAGAUUAGUAUUAUCUGGGGACCUUUGCCAAUUUAUCAAUUAUCCCCUAGUGGUGCACUGAUCCCACUUCGUAAUUCUUGAUUUAUACCUGGGCUCCUGUAAACACUGAGCCCUUCAUUUCCUGUGAUUACUCGCAGAAUGAUGUCCAUCACAACAAGGAUAUCUGUGAUGAAAAAUCAGGGACUACGGCGCCUCAAAGAUAACAGGUUCUGCUUGGACAUCAGGAAAUCAUGAAAAAAACAGCCGUAUUUCAUGUUGCAGUAUGUUUCUGCUGCACAUCACUGGUUUUUAUUGUAUAUACAGUCCAGUCUAUUUAAACCUGAUUCUUCUGGAUGUUCUGUCCCUUUCAGUGUGUUUUUCAGACUUACCUGUGUCAUUACUUUGCCUCAGGGAGUUGUCACUAGAUGGAGACAUUAAUCUAAAAGAUACUCAGAAAUGAAGCCUUUAUUCUGUGUAAUACAGAGCAGAAUGUGUUGUCCACUAACACCUUUUUUAAAAUAACAACCAUCAUCUUUGCUACUCAAGUCACACACAUUGAUUCCUGUCUGAAGCCAUGUCAGGCAUUUGAAGUUGAGCCUUUUGUAUUCUCAUUAACUGCUUGGCUGUGUAUUCCUUGGCACAGUAGUGAGGCUGUGCCUGUUGCUUAGCAACAGAAAAAAAUUCCUCCUCCUCUGUCGUGCUUUGCCACGUUAAGGUGGUCCAAAGAGGAGCGAAGCAGUAAACAAUUAAGUUAACUUGUGAAGGCCAGAACACAGAUCAAAGUAGAGAAGAGGCCACAUGUUGGACUCUGAGUAUGUGAACUGGAGCUUGCAUUUACAAAACCAAGUGUUUUAUGUGGGUCUCUAGUUUUCAUACUCUCCCUGUUAUCUCACAUGAAGAAUCUCAACAUUGUUCAGUUAAACAACACGAAUGUCUUUAAACAGUGUUCAGGUCUUUGUAACAGCCGCUCUUUCUCUUACAACACUGCAGAGCAUAUACCUUUCAAAAGAAUCAAUAUCGCAGCACACGGCUGAGAAAACUGAAUGUAACGUGUAAUUUAUAGUGUGCUCCUGAAUACACCUUAUUACAGACUUGUUGUAGGCCUCUAAGAAAAGAGGACCUGUUUACUGUUCUCUUCUCUCUUUGCCUAUCCAUCUCUCUGACUGUCAGGUCUUUCUCCCUCUCUCUUUAUAUCUAUGAAUCUAUCUCUCAACCCUUCUCUGCCAGAGCUGACACCUGCUGGCUGAGUACCAGUAAUACUGACUAAUAAAUCCUGACAGCUUCUCGCCGGAGCCAAUAUUAAUGCCGGCUACCUGGCAGGCCGACCUGUGAGAGUGUUUCAAUAAAGCAGUCUACCCAGGGCUCCUUAUUUACCGACUGCAGACAAGCAGAUUAAAGCCUGGCAGGAUUUUUGUCCUGUUUUCACCACAGCUUUGAGGUUAAUUACCAGCCCAAGCAUCACACACUCCUGCCCUGCCUGCUACGACCAAAAAGUCUUUGGGCUUGUAGCGGUGUCACGAUUUUUUUGUGCCUCAUCUGUUUUGUUGCCUCUGUCAACAUAAGCAGACAGUAGGUGAAACCUGUCCCCUCCUUUCUUUUCUGGCUCCAAAUCCCGCCCACCUCUGCUGAAUGCCUCUGUUUGCUUUUGAUACGAUCUCAUUGAGGUAGCUCUUCAUCUCAUUUUACAUUCCCAUCACUUUACACUGCUGCAGGCCUCCUGGGUUUGCUGUUCCUCUGAGUCUGCCAUCACAGGCAGCUCUCGAAUUGCUCUGCAGUAGAAAGCAGUGCAGCCUCAGUUCCUUUUUCUUUAAUUCACCUUCUCUGCACCCUACCCCUCCUCGCUUCAUAUUUUCCUUCAUCUUCGAGGGAAUUGAGUGUCCGAAGUUGGCUGAUGAGAGGGAAGAGGAAGCAUCAAUUAUUUAAGACAGGGUUGGUGUGAGUAAUCAGAAUGCAUGUUAUGUUAGCCACCCUAGCUGGAGUCUUACUUCUCUUCCGCUUGUUUUAUCUUACAAAUCCCUGCUGCUUUGAGAAACUCUGACAUCCAGCCUUUUAUUUCUAAUAACGAUGAUAGGUGCAGAACAACCAGGAACAUCAAGGUUUAUUUGAUUACAUUGAUUUAAUAUUUACGUGUUUCAUUCUUAAUACAUUAAAAAAUACUGGAAAUAAGUUAUUGAAGAAUUUUCUAAAAAAAAAAAACUGAGAGUUAGAAUGAAAUCUGAUAUACAAGACAGUGUUUCCCCCAUGAGUGACUCAGAGAGCAGGAGCGGGAUAGGGAUAUGUGGGAAUUAACCAGCUGUGUGAUCGCCUGUGUGAUUCACACUUUAAAGAAUGGAAGGUCCACAUGAAUUACCAUUUUGACGAGCUUUACUGGUUGCAGAUCUUGGAUUACAGCUUUAGCAUGGCACAAGUGUAACAAAGACUGGUCUGAGACUGUUCAGGUAUAUAUAACCGUCCACGUUUCCAAACAUUCUGCUUGCAUCUUGUUGACCUGAAGGACAGUCCAUGUAGGGUAAUAACAACGCACAACAUAUUUUGGGAGCCUGAGCGAUGUUGAACAGGUGUAGAAGGUCCUUGUUUUAUGAUGGGUUUUCAGGGGCCCAUAGCUCCAGGAAUCUAGCACCAAAGAAUCCAAGGUAUUUGAGUGACACAGCUCCACCACCCUCAAGGAGGACACGACUGGUUAAAGAAAAUCAUCCGAACAAUAAUUAUCAAGAUAACAUUGUAAUGGUGCUGGAGAAGAGAGAAUGUAACAGAUGGCUGGACAAGGUGAAUAUGGUGCGAGCAAAAGGACAUGUGAAUAAGUUUGGAUGUGGUCUUUGAGGUCUGUGUAUGAAACACAACUACAGUUUUGACCCCCUUUUAACAUAAACAAAUAAUAACUGAUCGCGGUCUCAUGAAAGAGCCUUUCAUAGACUGUACAUGCGUCCAAAAUCAGUGUAUUAUUCUGAACCCAAAUAUGUGAAUGUACCAUGUGAAAAGCACUUUGAGUGGUCAGAAGACUAAAGGGAGCGCUACAUAAAUGUUAUUCCAUUUGAUCCAAGUAGUACCUGCUUAAAAAAGUUGAAGAUUAAAUAAAUGUUGUGUACGGGUAAUAUGUUUAAAAGUGGUUCCAAAUACGAACUUCAUUAUUCCUUUUAUACUUUGCCAUGCUAAUACUAACCAGUUUGUCACACUUUAAUACAGUCAUAAGAGAAAUGAAAACAAACCUUCAAGUUGCUGUUGACGGUUCAAGGUUCUUUUGCUUGAUGUGUUUUGGCAGAUCAUAGAAGAAGCAAACUAAAUUUAAUUGACUCACACUGACCCCUGCUAUGAAUAUUAGAUUCUCUGUGCAACUCUUCAGCCAACUUCUUAAAGUUAAUUCCAAAAAAGAUGGAAAAAAAAUAAGCCAUAAAUAGACAGAGAGGUUAAUUGUAUCACAGUACUGUUUUUCAGUGCUGGUGUUUGUCCCAGCAUGCCCUCUACCCUGGCUCAUGAUCAGCUGCUGACCUGCAGCUGACUCUCUGCUGACCUCUCUUUAAGAGCACGCACUGAUGCACUUUCUCUGCAGCUGCAUGAGUCAGGCUUCCUUCCUUGCCUCUCGUCGCUGUAUGCCAUUUAUAAUUGUCAUUCAAGGUGUCGAUAGUGAUGGUGCAGUGAUAGUGUCAACAUAAAUCACUGCUGGGUCUGCCUUGAUUUGUUUGAGACAUUUUGAUGGAAGAUUACUCAUGAUUACAGGAAGUGGCAUUUGAAUGUAAGGUAAUAAAAACAGCUCACUCACCCUGCUGAAUUCACAGCCUGCGUUAGUCGGCUUCAGUUACACAUCCACAUGUGUAGGCAGAUUUCACACGCGCACAUACCCACACAGACAGACAAACAAGCUUACCACCACCUUUGUCAGCAGUAUUGGCUAACUCCCUUCACUGCUCCCCCCCGCCCCCAUGCUGUGUCUGCUUUAAACCACUGCAGCAGGCUCCAAAGCUCUUUGGGGCGCUCCAGUAAAUUUCUUUGUCAAAGCUUCAGGCUCCAUAAAAUGCCCACUGUAAAGCAGCAUUGUUUGCAAGGUGCUUGUGCAUGUGCAAUAAAGAAAGUUGCCAAAUAAACCACCACCGUUGGAUCAAUUUACAUAUAUUUUUGUGUGGAGUAGGCACAUUUUCUGCGCAGGACCUCUCCUUUUUAUUUAAGCUUGAGAAUCGAGAACUGUCUCAUUCCAAAUAAUAUUUUAGAAACAUCCCCUCUGUGUCUGGUUAAAUGCUACACAGCAGGUGUGUUAAACUGCAGCAAAAAGGUCAGAACAUCAGGUAACCACUUUUUAAAAUAUCUCCUCCAAUAAAGAUCUGUCUGCUCUGCCAGAGCUCUGUUUGAAAUCUUCUUUACACAACAAGCGUGUUUGAUAAACUCGGAGGUCUGAUGAGUCAUGGUUUGAAUCUGAUUGGUGUCCAGUCAGGGUUUGACCUUCUCUUACCACUCUUACUUUAGUAGCAUAAUUAAAGCUUCUCUUUGACUAAAGUGCCUUCUAAAGGCGUGUGGUUUACUAUACUCUCUAAAUUUAACUAAACAAUAACUUAAAAUACUUGAACCCUGCUGUUAAAGAUGCACUGGUCCAUUUUUUCCAAUCCAGUCUUAUACCAAUACCUGGGCUUAGCGUAUCAGCUGAUAUCCGAUACCGAUCCGAUACUACUGUUGAAUGAAUGAUUGAUCAGUAUACCUUGCCCUGUGAGUGAAGGCAUCAGGCUUGACAUUAGCCUUGUUUAAAAAAAAAAGGUAACAAAUUAACACAAAUAUAAAUUUACGUAAAAUUAUUUAUUAACAAAUAACAAAUUGCACAUUGAGAAAGAAAUGAUUGAAAGAAAAAGAUCGGAUUGGUGCAUCCCUACCUGCUGUCAGUCAUUUCAUGCCCGCCGGACUAGUGUUUUGCAAUAUGCUCGUAAGAGUCAGUCCGUGUACAUUGCUUUUCGCUGGCGUUCAUUUUCCCUCCGUAAAGUCACAUUUAUUGGAGGGAAUGUGUGAGGGGGUGAGACAUGAGGAUUUCAGGCUCAGAAAGUAAGCCCUUUUUUUCCACAGCAAAGGUGAAGCAAUAUGUUUAAGUGUUACAUAAAAGUAGGAUCAUUUUUUGCGUAAUUGGACACAUAACAAAGGUGUCAGAGGUAUCACCUCACCCACCGGGGGCACCAAAGAACAGAAAAAAACAAAAAGUUCCUCACAUGAGCUUGAACAACAUCUGAAUUAUUGUCAGUGAUCAUUAUUAGCAAAAUCCCCUCAAAUAAGAUUUUUUUUGUCAAAUGGGUGUGCUUGCUUGGGUGCAUUUCUUUGGGUCCAUCUGGGGUUUUGUCAUUAUCUCUGUGCUAAAAUUGCUUUACUCUUUCUGAAUUAAGCCAAACACAGAGGGGUUGAAUUUCUGCAUACUGAUUCUACCUGCAUCAAAAUAUGUCAGAAAUAAAGACUUAAGAUGACGUGAAGAAACAUAAAUUGUGGAUAUUGUGACUGUGCAGUGUAGUUGAGAACACAAGCAAACUUGUUUCUGUAAAAAAUAGGUAAAAUCAAUGAUGGACACAGUAUUUCCAAACUAUUUUUCACACUCUGAGUCCCCAUUUAUGAUAUCUUGGCUAGCACCCACAGUGAAACAGCUAUAUCAGGAAAUAGGGUGAUUUUAGUAGUCCAAACUUCUCCUUAAACAGUAAAAAUUAAAGCUUUGCUUGAUAAUACCAACAUGGCACAGCUGAGAAACAAAACUUCUAACUGAAUAGAUUUGAUUUUAGAAGCUACAGCACACUGAGGACUGAACUCCAGAUGACUUAAGAAAUCUCUUAUUCUGCUCUCAUACACAGACAAGGGUUGAUUAAUACAUCCCAGGUUGUUGUGGGGGCGGGGGUUCAUUUGCUGUGUGAAAACAUGCAUUCAUAAAUGCAAUCACAAAAUGAUGGUUUGAGCAGCAGCCUGUGUUUCUUUUUAGAUGACUCUCCUCUCAUACAGAUUAGCGUCACUUUAAAAUAACACAGUGACUCUCUUGCCUAUCAGUCAAGGUUUAGUUGCUGCUAAAUCACCCCUGGAGAACAUGGUCGCAGUAAAGGCACGAACCAGCUUCAAACUUAGAAUAAAAUAGAAUAAACUUUUGUGUUUAUGUAUUUGUGAUUGGAGCAAAGAGCAUAUCAGCAUUUCUUUGAUAGAUGAAAUGUUCCACUUUAUGUAAUAUAUACAAAGCCUUUAUUUCGGUACUAUGCUAUGCAGAUGAUACCCAGCUCUUGAUACAUGAUACAAGUGUCUCAGCCCCAAUCUCAUCAUGCCUCGAGGAUGUUCCUAAAUGGAUGAAAGACUCGGAGAUGAGAUCCUGCCCAAAGUGGAGGAGUUCAAGUAUCUCAAAGUCUUGUUCACGAGUGAGGGAAGGAUGGAGCGAGAAAUCGACAGGCGGAUCAGUGCGGCACAGAUCUGUCACGGUAAAGAGGGAGCUGAGCCCAAAGGCACAGCGCUCGAUAUACCGCUUGAUCUACGUUCCUACCCUCACCUAUGGUCACGAGCUGUGGGUAGUGACCGAAAGAACAAGAUCGCUAGUACAAGCGGCCGAAAUGAGUUUCCUCCGCAGGGUGGCUGGGUUCUCCCUUAGAAGUAGGGUGAGAAGCUCGGUCACUCGGAAGGGGCUCGGAGUAGAGUCACUGCUCCUCCGCAUUGAGAGGAGUCAGAUGAGGUGGCUUGGGCAUCUAAUCAGGAUGCCUCCAGGACGCCUUGCUGUCGAGGCGUUCAGGGCACGUCCCACUAGUAGGAGACUGCGGGGAAGACCUAGGACACGCUGGAGAGACUACGUCUCUCAGCUGGCCUGGGAAUGCCUCGGGGUCCCUUGGGAAGAGCUGGAUGAAGUGGCUGGGGAAGUCUGGGCUUCUCCACGACUCGAUCCCGGAUAAGUGGUGGAAGAUGGAUGGAUGGAUGAAAGAAUGCCACUUAAAACCCGAACUCUUACCCAAAACUGAGCUUCUUGUCAUCCUUACACUCAAAUAUCAGUAUUCUUCUUAGAUCAAAUGAACUUGCGCCCUCUUAGUCUGCCCAGGUUCCUGGUGUCACGAUUAAUGACCAACUAAUGUUCAAGGUUCAUGUUGCCUAGUUUGCUCCAUCCUGCAGAUUCACCCUCUAUAACAUCAGACCCUUACUGCUCGAGCACAUAACACAUCUCCCGGUUCAGGCUCAUGUAAUAUCAUGCAUUGAUCACUGCAACUCCUUUCUGGCAGGCCUCUCUGCCUGAGAGUGGUAAUGAUGAUGAUGAUUGAUGGUGACGAUGAUGACAGUGUCUUUGGGACCUUAUUUUGGUUGGUUGAUGACGGCACUAUGCCCAGUUGCACUCAGAGAAGUUUUUGGCUCUUACUUGUGUUGCUUCCUUGUAUCAAGAUCUUUCUUGUGUUAUACUUGCCUUUAAAUGUGCAUCGCUUUGGACAAAAGCAUCUACUAAAUGAUGUUGUAACAUGGUAAAAGCCUAGUUCAUAAUAAGAUGUGCCGUUACACGAUGCUGUUGAUUAAAAUUAAGUAGAGUUGCUGAUAUAUUUUGGAACCCACUGGCCACAGUUGCAGAUGGACACCCAAAAUUCAUUUUCAUUACUGGUGUGAGUGCACAAGGUGUGGGUAAUGUACACACUGUAAGUCAAAGCUGCCAGCAGUGCAGGGCGAAUAGCACCUAAUUUGUGGCAUCUAGACUCCCAGAUUAGGGAUAACAGGCAGCCUACCAACAGUCAGCCUUGCAAAUUUAUUUCAACACAGAGACCUCAAGGCUUUGCUGAGGUCUCUGCAGCAAUUAUAAAAAGAGGGAGGGCCCCUUCUUCGUUUUAUGUUGCCGCAGAGAGGGCUUGAAGAGCACCCACUGUCUCCUGGCAUGCCGCUCCUCAUCAGCGCCGCAAUAAAUCAAUUUUCAUCCUCACACCAGCCCCAGCAACACACUCUCCACCUACUGCUCCUUUUUCCUCUUCACUUCUGUACUCCCACACGACUCCCUCUCCUCAGCCCUCUCCCUUGCACAGCAGUAGUUCUCAGUGCUGAAUAGGGGUAAAGGGAGGUUAAAGUCAUCUCGACCCUUCUUCUUCCUCUUCACCCUCUUCUCUCAAAGCUGGUGGGUGUUUUCUCUGCAUGCCUGAAAUGCCAUUUAUCUUGAGGCUUAAAUGUGUACCAAUGUGCUCUUGCCUUCUUACAAAAUCCUUUUGUGCUUUGGGCUAGAAACUUAAAAAACUACAUGAAGUCCCUUAUGGAUCUUAUUUGCCGCCUGUCACAACAUGAACUUAUUAGGAAGCAGGUGACAGGAUCAUAAGACGUGGAUUUAAUAAAAAAUCAGCCCCCCAGAUAAUUGUCUGAUGAGCAUAGAAACCUUUUUUGUUGUUUUUAAAAUAUAUACUUUGAGAUAUUUGGUUAAUUUUGACCACCAUUACGCUCCCUGCUAGCAAAUCACAAUUUUUUUGUUUGUUGUCACCAAGUAAUUCACCUCAUUAGUGUUGAUUUACCCAGAUGACUACCUUGUUGACGUGUCACACUGAUGGAUUGACUGGCAUUCUCACAAAUACCCAUUAACAUUCAAGUGACCCGCUCCACGACCAGCAUUGGCACUGGAAUAACACGGAUAUUUCUGCGUUAGUAUAACCGUGUCUUAUAAGCAGACUCACUCUCUACAUAAGAAUUUUAGCAAACACUCUUUUUUUUUUUGGGAUACAUCAAACACAAGGUGAUACUACUCCAGUCUGCAGAAGCCUGUGAGCAGGUUGACACAGAAGCAAAAGCUCCAAAGUGCUCAGACAUGAAACCAAGUGAGAGCUUGUCUAAGAGCUCUGUCUGUCGAGUGAAGAUCCUGCAAAGCUAAGAAAAGAGCAAGAAAAACAGCCGUCCAAGUACUUCCCUUUAAAUGUCAGCUGAGCUCCAGCCUCAGGACAGGUGCUGAAGGAGGGCAAUACUCGGUGGCCUCUAUCUGUGAAUGGCUUUUGGUUGGCUUUGAUCUCAUCUCCAUAUUAACCCAAGGGCACAUUUUGAUAUUUGGAGGAAACAAACACACAGGCAGUCAUGCAUCCUGAAGCACGUGUUCAAAGAACUUCUGUUGUCUCAGGAAACGAGGGCUAUAGAAGGACGGGUUCAAUUUUUCAGAUUCCAUUUUAUUUUUUCUCGAUCUCUGUCCAUCCAUUUGAAUAUUUCAGACUUCAGUGUUUUACCAAGUAACAGUACUUAUUUUUUUUUACCUGAAGAGUGAUGAAUUAUGUGAUGGAUGAAGGAGAUUUCAAAAAUGCAAAAGAAAAAAAGGGAGGUUACAUGAACCUUUUUUUUUUUGGUAUGUUUGAAUGUACAAUUUAGUAUCUCGCACUUGUGUUUUAUUAUAUUGCAAGCGCAAUUUAGUAUCUUGCACGUGUGAUUUAGCAUCUUGAACGUGCAUUUUAUAUGUGUCUUGUUUUAUUUGUAUCUUGUGCAUGCAUUUUUGUAAAUAAUACUCUGCACACCUCAUUUGUGAGAGAAGGACAGUGUCAUGAACAGAAAGCGUAUUAUCAACAUUUUCUUUCAUUUAGGUAUGACUCACAAGGAGAUACUUUAUAGCUACUCCACAUUUGUAUUGUAUUUGUAUUUGUAUUUUGUGUUGUCUUGAGUAGGAGACACCUCAUCAGGAUCCCAGGCUCCAUUAUUUUCUCCAAUUUAAAAAAAAAAAAAAAAAAAAAAAAAACUUAGGGCCUUAAAAUUUUUUUAGUGAGUCUGAAAUAAAACCAAACGUCCAUGCUUUUCUAAAAUGAAGUGCCUCAAAUAUGAGUUUCACAUGCAGAAUAAAUGAAGUGCAUUGAACACAUAGUGGUGACUUUUUAUGCUCUGGCAUAUCUGAAUCUACAGAUCCAGACACAGAGUCUUUAAAAAACGUCCUUUUUUCCUUCUGCUUUUGUGUUUGCAGGAGGGAAAGUUUGUUGUAGUGAUGAACUCCUGCUAGUACUGCUGCCUCUCUGUAGGUAUGCUGACAAAACUUCCAACAAAGUUGCUGUCAGGAUUGGUGCUUCACAUAUUGUUCUGCUCUAUACUUAGCUCUUAAUGUUGCAGUGCUUAAAUUAAGAAGACUUGACAUCUCAGAAGGUCUCUUCAUCAUUGCUGUCAGUGCAGUCAAGAUCCUGUCUAAGGUGAAACAGGUAGUAUACAGACAGGGCAGAAACACGGUGGAGACUAUCAACUUAUCUUUAUCAGUUUAUUUAGCUUGGUUGUUGUGAAAAACGCUCAAAUGGGUGAGCAACACCCAGAUUUUUAAAAUCAAUGACACCCACAUCUCAGUGAAUUCUAUCUCAAGCCUUGCUUCAAUGUUAAUGCUGUUCAUAUUGUCUAAAUCCAUGAUUCUGUCAGUGCUUUCUGCACAACCAAAAACAGAAAGAAACAUCAGAGAAACAGAGGAUGAGCUUUGUUUAUGAGAUCGGUUGGUAUUUGUCUUAGAAAUAGACAAUUCAGCUUAUGCUCUACAAACAGACCUUAAAAAAUGAGGCUGUUGAAGAGUCAGGACUGAACAGUGAGGUUUUUUUUUGUAACGACAACUUCGCUGUGCAUAAUCCACCCACGGUGAAAACUGAAAUUUAAAGUUAAAUGUUAAGUAACUAGUUUUGUAAUUUUUAUAUAUCACUAAGGAAUCAAAUAAAGCUUUUUUUUUAUUGAGACUAAUGUUGCCCCCAAAAUGUUCCAGUGUGUUCUCUGGGAAACUCUAAAAGCCUUCUUUCAUGGUGUUACCAUUAGCCACAGAACAGAUUGUUUAAAGGGAUGAUCUUGAAACUGAAGUGGCUCCGUGAUUGUACAGCAGAGGCAGACAGUAGCUGUGCUGAAUCCUAACCCCCAAACCCCUUCUAAACAUAAUCCUGCACCAUUUUAUGUGUUGGUUAUUACAACUGAAUAUGAUGUUCAGAAAAAUGACUGAUGUAUUUCUCAUGUCAAGUCCAGCUUCUUCUUUUGUGUUCAUUUUUCUGGACACUGACUGAUUACUAUGCUGACUCUAGCGUCUAUUUUCUACCCCUUAUAAUUUGCCAAAGCUUUGAAAGACAGCCUAUAUAAUGAUAUGCUGUUCCUUCACUAUUUUUUAAUGCUUUGGGAGUACUCCCCAGAUACAUCACUUUUAUAUCUGAUCUUACACAUCCCUUGAAAGGCCAGAAAGCAAAUAAAACAGUUGCAAAGCACCUUUUUUGUUUCCCUAAAAAAUGUUGCAUAAAAACGACAUCCUCCUGGUAAAUGGGGCUUUAGCUUUGGUUUAGAGAUCCUCUAACUUUCUCUUCCACUUACGCAGCUAAUCUGGGUGAAAUACAUCUGUCAUAUAAACCUUACACAUCUCCAUGAAUAAGAAUUUGGCAGUGUUAUCUCUCCAAGCUAUUUGCAAGCACUUUUGCUAAACACUCACAGCGGAAUGAUCACAAAUCUUCUUUGACUGAGGUCCCUGUUAGAUUGCUCUGCCAUCCUCGCAGCUGCCAGCCCCACUCCUUUUUAUAAACUGCAUCCUAGUGGGUAUGGGUGCACUUGUUCUCCCUGCAGUUCCAAGCUGACUUCAACCUCGAUACAGGCAGGCUCUAUAAGCAAGCUUUUCUUGCAAAUCAAUUUUUAUUGACACCUUGCCAGGACAAAAUCUGGCUCCAAAAAUGGAGUAAAGGGACACCCAAUAAAGUUGCUCAGGGAUACUAAAGCAUGGCACAUAAUCAGAUCACAUAAUCACGUUUUACUGGAGAAAGUAUGGCAUUUUUCCAUCCUACACCUGUACAACCUGCAAAUCAGCUCCCCAUGUGAAAUAUUGCUUUUGCAUACACAACAGGGGCCAAUUUGUGGGCACUAAAAAGCCUUUUUACUAUUCCUCUCUUUCCCUGUUUCCUCCACUUCUAUGCUAGUUUUUCAGGGAGAUAUAAAACCAAAUCUUAUCACUGUUUACAAAACUUGCAAUUUUUUUUGUAUACAAUAAAAACAAGAAUUGUGUCAGACAAUUUUCCAUCCAUCCAUCCAGUUGCAGAGAAAAAAGUCUAAGCAAGUCAGCUCAGACAUCCUCCCACAGAAACCGAGGCCUGUCAAGGCCAGGUGGGAUAAAUAAUCCCUCCAGCAUGCUCUGGGUCUUACCAGGUCUCCUCCAGGUUGGACAUGCCCAGAACAUCACUAAAGAGAGGCAUACAGGAGACAUCCUUCGGCAGCUUUCUUCCAAGCCCCUCACCCCAUCCUUAAGGCUGACUCCAGCCAUCCUUGUGAGGGAAAUUCUUAUCCCUGAAAUUACUACGCUGAGGAAGCGACGAACUCAUUGUGAUGAAUCAAGUCUCUUUAAUACAUUCAAUGUGGAGAGAAGACCCAAGUGUUCUGUCAACUCUUGGAAAACACAGACUCUUGUACUGUUGCCCAACAAUACCGGACCCUACGCCCCCUGACACCACCCGCCAGCUCUACUUACAAAGCACAGAUGGGGAUCAGACAGGCUGUUCCUCCAAAUCAUUUCCCAGUGGAUGUUGAAGUUAUGAGAAACAUUAUUGAGUCCCCAGUUUUGGAUCUGUAUUUCAGAACCCCACCCAGAGACUCUGAGGGUGUUGCAUACUCCAAACUGUGAUUUGGUGCAUGUGCACAAACCACAGUCAACCCUCUGCCCUCCAAGACCAACUUGUUCCCCAGGAAAAUCUCUAAUACUGAGCUCUUCCAGGGUCCUGUUAAAACCCUCAUACCUGCUGGUGCCUCUCCUGAUGAACAACUGUGGAGUAGGAGUUCAGCCUCCCUCAAGGCUUGGCACUGAUUUUUCCCUAAGUAGCACAUGUGCUAAGUUAAAAUGCAGCACCAUGAAAAUGUGUCAAAGAAUACAUUUUUUCUAAAGGGAAACAAAGAUACACAACUCAGCGAAAUAACUGGUUGAUAAAAUACAAAAAAUCACGUUGAUUAUUUCUGUUUCAACAAAACAACAAAACAAAACAAGUUUGUGAAAUAAAGUUGGAAAACUCAGUAAGAAACAAACUGUAGAUGCCAUAAUAACCGUAGGCCUUGCCAAUUAAAGGCUAACAGAACAAUUUACUUCUGCUUGUACUCUUAGCAUCAUAACCUGGCUUCAUUACGGGGGACUUGACAGUUGAACUUGGUCUUGAAGUAGAUGCCCAUAAUGUUUUCUACUAAGCCUACAGGUAGCCACGUAAUAAGGAAAGUUUUCCGUCAUAUUUAGUCUUCAUUACUUGGAAAUGUACGUCACUUUGCUGAUCUUGGAUAUUUAGAAACUUACUCAGCUAGCUACGAUACCUGACCAGUGAAAUAUGCUACAUUACUCUUUUUAUUGAUAAAGGGUUAACGUUUUGGUCUUUUGAAGACACUGAGCACUCUCUAACAACUACUACUAAAUACAUUUUACAAUUUCUUAACUUCUAUCUUGAAGGUACCCUCUCUUUACUGCGCCUACUUCAGAUCCUUACCCAGUAGCAAGAUGACAUUCCAGGACCGGUCUAUGCUAUCUAAGAUCAGCACUGCCUGGGUCCACACCCUUUACUGUAGCCCAGCUUUCUAUACACCUAACUCUGAUGUACCUAUCCCUGCAUGGGUGGGUCCAUGUGAUGAUGAUGAGGAUGAUGUUAUUGCUUCUUACCUUUUUUUUGGACUACAAGGCGCACUUAAAAUCCUUAGAUAUUCUCGAAAAUUGACGGUGUGCCUUAUAGUCCAGCACAUGUUAUGUAUGAUUACUUGAGCUUACUGACUGAUUUUAUGUGGUACAAUGCGCUCAAAAAUCUGUCAAUGUGUAAGUACAGCUUUGGUAAGCAACAAAGCUGCUCCGCUCAAUGGAUAUUUGGAGCAUUACAGUACGCUGUGUCACUACCUGAUCGGCUCUGUAACAGGACCCCUGAGCAGUUUACAAUGUCUAGUCUAGCAGUCUAGCAUGUCACAUGACAUGGAAGCUAUUGAAGGACAACAGCCUUUUUUGAGAACAUCAACAGGUAAUUUAUUGAUGGUCCCUUAUAUAACACCCGACAUUGACAGCAAGGGUGCCAAGUAGAUUUAACCGCGCUGCUCCUGCAAUUCUCGGUUAUGGAAAGUGAGAAGACACCGGUAGAUCACUGGUAUAUCCAUUGGAUAUCCAAACUAAAACUAACUCAACCGCGGUAUUUACAUGAAAAAACAUUUGUUGCCUCGGCUGAUAUAUAUAUUUUUCAUGCGCACACGUGCCCCCUGAAUACCUUUUACAAUUUGUGAAACGGUCGCACUGUUGAGCCCUAGUUCAUGUAAGGUAGCCCGAGCUCCGGAAUACGCGCUAGCAACAAUAAACCAAUCAAUGAUACUUAAUGCGCCUUACAAUCUGGUGCACCUUAUGUGUGAACAUAGACAUGCAAAUUCACAGUGCGCUGUAUAAUCUGGUAUGCCUUAUCGCCCAAAAAAAUAUAGUAGUUUAUGUUCGCGAAGACCUUAACCCAAGUGAAACACUUCAUUCAUGCACUUACAUGGGAUUGGUGUGAUUCACUGUCCAAUAUGAGUAUAAAGGUAUAUAGGUGUAGGCCACAUUGAAUAUGUAUAUAUGUUGAUUUGAUCGACUGCAAUUUUACAACACUUAAGUACAUUGAGCUUUUGUACUCAUCAAUAGGCUAAUAUGAUAACAUGUGACAUCAUAUGACAGAGUGUACAGCAAACAAAUUACAGUAGAUGAAAUGUUCUUUGCUGUAGGUCUCUGCUGUGUGUCUCACAAUAAACCUGGACCAAUUCCAUGGUUGCAAGGGUUGUGGCUUGACAUAAAAGAGAUAAAUGGUCUAAGCUUUGCGUUAGAUGUGGAGGGCGUAUCAGACUACAGUUUAACCUGUAAGCCUCUGUCACAAACCAGCUUCUAUCUCUGCCACAGGAGGCACUAACAUUUUGACAGGAGUUGUUUGUCAGUCUCCACCAAAUGAGAUUGGAUCUAUCCGCUGGAUCCCUUCCCCCAGUCAGAGAGGCACACUAGUGAAGGACUGUAAAUGUCCGUCACCUGCUCAUACAGAGUUUGGGUGAGACAUUGUUUACAGUUGUGCUAAGGGAAAACGCUGACAAAACAUUUGAUCUUUACAAGCAUCAGGAAAGAUUUAUUGGUAUCAAUUAUUUUCUAUCACCGUCUUUAAUAGGUAGACUGGCAAAGAUGUUCUUACUCUUCAAAUGGACACAAUAUAACUAUUGUAGUUCCCUUAGAAUGUGAUAAAAUGAAUGUCGAUAACGGUAAUAUACCCAAACGAAUUAAUUUAAAAGCCAUACGCAGCAGAAAUAAACAUGACAACAGCCAGUCUGUCUCUACAGAUUUAUGGGCCACACUUUAUGGAAACACAGCAAUUUCCUGCAUCCAGAAAGGAGGUAGAAAAGCGAACAAGUUAAACCAAGAAGGUCUCUGCGUUUACUUUAGGAAAAAACCCUGAUAUAUGCCGAGCUUUGGUAAAAGUUGUUAGCAAAAACUAUGGAAAUUUUAUGCUCAGACUGUAACUUGUGUUUUUGCUUAGGCAAUAGAAGUCUUUAGAGAUACAUAUAUUUGCACUGCCCACACCAUUCAACAACAGCUAAAUACAACCACAAGAUAGCAAAAGAAGUUAAGCUCGCCCUCCUUCACAUGGCCAGGACCCUGCUGGAUUUAUCAGAUGUCACGCUGCUCUUUCACUCUGUCCCAGAGGCUCAAGUGACACGCCAAAAUCCCUCUCUCUGACCGUUAAUCUCACUGUAAAGACAAUGAAAAUGCUUUGCCCUCUCUCUCUCUAUCUCUCUCUCUCUCUCUCUCUCUCUGUCUGUGUUUUGGUCUCCCGUCUCAGCUAUUCCUCCGUGACCAGUGCCCUAUACCUCCCCUCCUGCACUUUACAGCCCUUUGCUCUGGAGAUAGGGUUUAAAUAUCUGACGUCAUAUAUCUCAUCUUUCCCAGAGGGCUCUUUGUCAGCUCCUUAUCAGAAUGUCAGGCCUCUGCUUGAGUAAGUAAACAAACAAGGAGUGGCAGAAAUGAUGUAUCAGAGAUCUGCCACCGGUUGGGGAUGAGCUGUCAGUCGCUCUGUUGAACUAAUGAUCACUGUAAGAUGCUGUGGGAAUUGUGGGUCUCUAAUUCAGGCCACAUUUUUUCCUCUCUUGGUGCUUCAGUCUCACUCAUGCAUGUGCUAUUGGAUUCUUGAGUCUGUGUCAGUACAGAGGUCAUGAUCCCAGUAGCUUUGUGGUUUAUGAGGUUAGAGAGUCUGUCCAGAGAACGAUGGAGGAGAAAAUUUGAUCCCUGUGUAAGUGUGUAAGAAUCGAAACAUGGCAAUAAAUACAGGCUACAACAGAUAAUCUAUGUAAAAUACAACCAACUUUUUUGCUUACAGCACUGAUAGUACAGAGUUUAGUGGCACAAGACAAAAACUUGCAGCGCAAAGUUUACGUUGGUAGCAUAUGUAAAACCAACCAUAAGUAGUAGUGUGUUAAUCAGUCAGUCUGUGUGAUGGUUGGAGUAAUCACCUAACCAGUCAAUCAAUUAAUCAAUCUAUCAACCAAUGACACUGAUUUUUCCCAAGAAGAACAUGUGCUUCAAACUGCCAAAGUCCUCCGGAUCCAUGUUUUUCAUUUGAGUCAAUGUGUCAGCUUCCACUGGGUCCCCUUAGUUGCACUUGAGCUCCAUCUCAGAUCCAGCAAUCAAGAUCCAUCCGCCCUAGAUACCCAGCGGCUUCACAGCUCAAGCACAAUGCAUCAAUCAGCACAGGGCAGAUCGAGGAAGACAGGAAGACAGACACUAAACACAUCUCAUUUAAUUUUCAAAAUAAAACAUCAGAUUAUAUUUAACUUAACUAUAGCUACGAACUGCGAAAUUGAGUAGAGCUCAGAGGUUUUUAGAGGUCAUUAUGGAGAAAGAUCUGAUGGAUUGAAGAGUGGAUUAAAAUAUUUAAGACAAACAAAGAAUUUUAGGGGUCCAUUAAAAACAUAUCCAGUAACAAGUUUUUUUCCUUAAUGGAUACAAGGAGAUGCAACUCAGUUAAAUGACUGACUAAUAUGCAAGUUAUAUUUAAGUUCAACAUUAUCAGCUCUAUUUGUUUUAAUGUUUGCACCAAAAAAAAAAAAAAAAAUAGAAUGACUUCAGCUACACCAACUUAUCAGUCUAAUUCCUUUAAGAGGAUGAAAAGGAGCAGCACUAAGACCUAAUACUUUCAAGAAUGCAGUCUCAGUGCUUUGGGGGAAUCUAAACCCUGACUGAAAUCCCUCAAGUAGACCACUGAUAUGGCAAAAGUCCUCAAGCAUACGCAUAGAUAUAUGCCUAAGGUGUCUGAAUAAACAGUAGGCUUUUUAGUCAGAGGUUUGAUCACAGUUAUUUCAUAUGACUGUGAUUGAUUUCCUAUUAAUUCAGACCUGUCGAUCACAUUAAGUAAGGCAGUGCUAACUUGGGGAAGGAGUCUCUCUGUGGCCUGGUUGGCACUGGGUCUGAGACAGGUUGAUGGUUCAGUAUAGAAACUGCAAGAAAAGAGUUUAGCUUCCAUUUUUUCCCCUGUAUUUCUUAAUAUUUUAUAGAUAGAGAAGCACAUGAAGUUAUUGCUGUUUAGGGCCAAAGGAACACGGUUCAGUGGAGUUAUGACUUUCUGUCAACCUGACUGCAGCUCUAAAAGGAUACUGGGGAUUGUUUUUAUGACCUUCUAUUAGGGAGAAGUUGAGUACACAGCAGGGCCUUUUCUGUGUUCAUUAAGACUAUCAUGUAAGAGUAAACACAUUUCAGCUGUUUUGAUGGCGUGCAGCAUUCUUUAAAGUUUUCUAGAUAUUUGUUUUGGCUCACUAGUUUCAGUGAAAAACCAUGGGAUUAGCCUCUGUCAAAGUUUGUUAAAGGGAUAUCCCGGCAUAAAAUGAAUUUAGGGUCAUUUCUUCAAGGAAAUGCAAUCAGACCGAGACACUAAGGCAGAAGAACUACCGCGUCUGCUGUGCAAAAUGAUCAAUAUGGGGAUUAUUACUUCAAGGAAAUGAUAAAGUCAUGUUCGUGAAUGUUCUUCCUUGAGCUGCGUCACCCCACUGCAGUCAGGAGUGGACUCGUCUGAGGUCUCCGCACAAACAAGCAGCUGCUGGAAGAGCGUGGGUGAGUUGUGUUUAGUCUCUUUGCUAAAGAAAUUAAGUAAAGCUAAAAAGAUGUUUGGUGGCUAGUGCUAUGGGUAGGACCCUAUAUGUACUGUUGAUGAAGUUAGGUGCUGUUCUGAGCAUUAUUUGUGGCUAUAGAGUGGUGUGUUGGUUGAGGUUUGUUUAUGGCUCCUCAGACUGCUGUGUAUUGCUAUCGUGCGGUCGUUACUAAAGUUGGUAAAACUAGAGAAGCAAGUGGUCGGCAACUUCAUCUUUCGAGGGGGUGCCUAACUUGGUGUUAUGGUGUGUUUGACCCUAAAUUUUUUUUACGCCAAUAUAUCCCUUUAAGAUGUGGUGGUUUUAUGUGAUUUGAAGUAGGGUACAGUGGUCUAUUGUCAGACUCUUGGUCCCUCUUUUCAAUGCACUCCUGUCCAAAUGUGAGUCAAGGAAAGAGAACAGGCUUACGUCUUCGAAUAGUCUUUUCUGUACACAAUUGUGCAAACAUCUAUUAUGCGCCAUUGUUAAGUACUGUAAUGUAGGUGCAAGACUUGCAGGAAUGGAAUAUUUUCUCCAGAAUACCCACAAUCCCACAGCAAAAUUUAGGCCUUGGCUUUCAGUAGUAUACCUUUAGAAAAUAUUUGAAGCUGCACACCAUCAAUCCUGGUAUUGCAGAAUUUACCCAGGUCCCAUUUAAUUGAAACUUCCUGGUAGGAAAAGCACAAAUUGCCAGAUUUGUCUUGUUCAACAGAUGUUGUCCAUUAAUGAUAAUCAUCCAGUUGGGUCCAUGAGGCUUUUGUCAUUUCUCUGCCUCUUUACUGGAAUACAUUAUAAAAACAAAUAAGCCAGCAAUCCAAUUAGCAGCAGAAAGCUACUGAGAUGAUGGGAAACGGCAAGAGAAGUUAUUUGACCCCCCCUUCAGGGCCUGUGCAAAUGGUCCACCUGUCAACAUCAAACUGCAUUUUUCCAGAGAGGCACCUGUCUCUGUAUUACAGGCUCAGUGCUGUCGCUGAUGAUGGUGAUUGAUUAAUUCAUAACUGAACACAGUUUUUAGUAUUAAAUCAAGAAUUAUUGCCCAUAGGCUGUUCUUUUUGCAUUUGCAGCGCAUGCAGAGAAUGUAGACAGGCAAAACAAGAGCGAUGCAGCUUUUAGUCUUAUAAUACGCAAAUGAAAACGUAUUACAUUAACUCUGAUGACGCUUAUGAAAGACAAAAAGAAGUUAACUUGUUCAGCACAGCAUUACCCUCAGUUUAUAGAUUACAGAAUAAACAGAUUUCACCCAGGAUGCCACAGUUCAGUUAGCUCAUGGUUCUGUUCAGUUCUGAUGAUCUGAAAAUAAUCCAGGCCCAACCGUAAACUGUAUAUAGUCAUGACCAGGUGAGGUAGCUUUGCUCAGUACGACUUCCAGCUUGACUAUGAAAGCAAAACAAUUAGUAAAUAAAGUAAGUAAAUAUUUCCUAUUACAAAAAGAGGCAACGACUGUAACUGCUGUGUUGUGCUAUUUUACCCAGUUACAUGUUUGAAUCAUGAACUGGUUAUAAGUUUUAGGCUUUCCAUCCAAUACAUGGAAGAGCAGGUUAUGUUAUGAUGCAAAAACUUAUUAUAUCCAUCAAAAAUUGCUUUUCUAUUUCCUUGAAAGUAUUCUCAGUUGAAAGUGUUCUAGAUUAUGGCAACGACUUCUUCAUAAACACUGAGAAAUCUGAAAUAAAGCUAUGAAGCAGGUUACGGGUGAAACUCACAAGAAUUUUCCAAAUUCAGAAUUUAUCAAUAACAUUUUGAUUGUGCAGUAACACCAGUAUUAUUAGAUUGCUCCAGCGUCUUAUGGAUGAGAAGAUAAAAACAAAGGAUUUAAUACAGUCUUUAGUGUGUGUAUUCAUUCAGUAACUUUUAAUGAGAACUGUAAUAUGUUGUGUAGAAAUAGAGAUUGAAACGGAAGUGGAUGUCACUUAGAAACGUUAGCUACUUUCAGUCUAUAAUUUCUGAAAUCUCCAUAUGACUUGUGGCAAAUGAGCUGCAACUGACCUACAGUGUGCUAAUACAGCUUUGUUUAACUGUCUACUGCCUUAUUCGGGUAGACAGAGUGGCCUAGUCCUAGGCCAGCUGAGGGGGUAUAGGAAGAACUCAGUUGUUGUAUGAGUAAAUCGGGGCUGUAUGGAAACCUACACCAGGGGUAUUAACAAACAGAUACAAGGCAUUGAGUUACAUAACGUUGCACAAUAUCAAUGGAAAGUAUACACACUUGGUAGUAAGUGAUGUAAAAGGGGAGAGUCAAUGGUAAUAUCACCCAGCUGAUGUCUGUGGUUCAAGGGUAACUGUGGAACCUGUUGGCUAUUCCCAGGCUAUUACACGCCUUUGGGAAUUUCCAGGGCUCCCAGUACUGCCAGCAGAGCCAGUUUUGUCCCUGUUUCCUUGCACUUGAUUUAUGUUUUCAGUCAGCCUAGUGGCAUGCUGUCUGUGCUCAUUCAAUUGACAUAACAGUUGGCUCAGAGUACACCAUCGACUGUGGAAGGAGUCUCAGAGGCCUUACCCAUUGGUUUUUGAAUGACCCCAAACAUUUGUUUCUUACAUUCUGCAGAAUGUUUCAGGACAGGCUUUAACACGAACAUCUUGGCUUUUGGAGUCACCCUCAAGUGGUCGCAAGGGUUUUGCAUGUCUGCUGGCUUGGUUCUGGCUUCAUUGGCACUAGGGAUUACUGCUUUGUGUGAACUGAUGGGAUCACUUCAAAUAUGGCAUGGAAGGACUGUACUUUUUAAUUCUCUGUAUCUCAGUGGAGAUUACCAGUAAAAGCUCAUGUAUUUUUCUCAUUCCAUCAGUUUUAUUGCAUCCAUCUACUACCCUCCAGAUUGAGAAUAGCCCUUGACUUAGAUUCUCCAUUUCUGCGUGGUCUGGUCCUGUUAUUUAGCCUGUGUUAGGGAACCAAAUAGUUACCAUAUGAGGACACUGUGAUACUUAGGACUGGUUAGAACAAGGCAUGAUAGAGUUAUUCAUCGGGAAGUGGAUGACUCCUCUUGAAUAUACUCUACAUCUGGAAACCUGCCCUGUCAAAAAGCAGCCUCUCUCUUCACUGUGACAGUCUUUGGAUAGGUAGAUUAAACUUGCAGUUGCUGUCCCCCAAAGACACAUUCUAUCAAAGAAAUGUCAAACAAACAUGUCAGAUCUGCAUAGGUCACUUUCGUAUCUUGUAUCUUGAGUUGGCUGCAUUGACUUUCUAUAGCUACAGAGUAGACACUGUAUGAGUCUUUGGUUAUUCUUUUUCAGACAGCAAUCCUUCACCCAUUGUAAUAUCUGUCAGAGAAAGAGAGAGAUGGGUGAAGAGUGGUUUAAGAAGAGAAUAGCUCAUCCCGUGCAUAAGAAUGAAACUUUUGUACCCUCCUCACACGGUCACUUAUUCCUGACUUAGAGAAAAAUUUAAAUUUGCCAGAAUAUUAUUCAAAUUACAGAGCUUUGAGGAAUGAACACAUUUGAAUGAAUUGCAUUAAAAGUGGACAGGGGUAGUUGGAAGUGUCUGGUUUGUCCUCACCCUGAGUGUUUUCCAUUGAAAUUAACCAGAGUUAUCUCAGGUUGUGUGCAGCAGCCCUUGACAUGAUGUCGUUAUGUCAGUGGCUGCGCCAAAAAGUAUGCAAAAGCUCAAGGUUUAAUAGCAGAUGAAAUAAAGUUAUUCAUUAAAGGUGACUUUUUUUCUGGCCUCCAAAAAGAUUUCUUUUUUAAUCGUACAAUUCUAUAGUUUGAAAAGUUUUCCUUAAAAAUACCUUAAAAGGGGGUAUUAUGCUUUUCAACAUUGACUACAAAGACUGCAAAGUUUCAAUGUUUGGGCCACGUUGAAAAUGUUUUUGCCACAUAUUUCAAGAACAAAGUCUUAAAUUUACAAGGAUAAAGUCGUAAAUUGACGAGAUUAAAGUCAUAAUAUUCUAACCUUUGUUUCAGGGUACAGAACUAGGAAAGGGUGGGGGUGGGCUGGAACUGGUCGACUGCAGGCUUAACAAUAGACGCAUCAGUGAGCCAUUCAAGGGGUUAUUGUGGUUUCUCAAGAAACAAUCUGACUGACAAUCAAGAUUUGGAUCCAGAGGGUGUUGAGCUCUGGUGAGCAGGGCGUCUCUGACACCAGCAGUACACCUGCAGAGGCCUCAGUGGCAUAUGGAUGGCCUUAUGGCAUAUAUGGAUUCAUGUGAUAAGCUAACAUUAACUUUUUUUGUCACUGUGGCCCUUGUACCUUACAUAAAAGAGAUGUAAACUGCUCAAGACAAGAACCUGCGCAAAGACGCAAGACUCUCUAAAACUUCAUAUAUGCUUCCAGCUAAGCAAUACAAGGAUGCCUCCAACAGCGUGGGUGGUGACACCCACAGUGGAGUGGGCUAACACUGCUCCACUGCUCUAGUGAUUGAACACAAUAGAGGGGGCGGGGCAAAAAGAUUGAGCUAUGCCCUUAGCCCGCUUCUAGAAAGCCUCAGAGAGGCGGCCAAUCAGAAGAAAGUAGACUCGCGGGGGUUGGGGCUGGGGGCUGAAAUAUUGGUAUUUUAAUACACCAGUGUGAUCUGAAAAUCAUGUGAAGUUAUUGAAGAGGUAUCGGAAAGACAGUACAGAGUCUCAUCUCUCCGCCUGUGAGUGCAUGAUUGUUUGUACUGCUGUAGCACAACAACAUGUUGGAGAUAGUGUAGUUGGAAACAGUAAUCUGUGACUUCCUUGCUAUUUAGGGGCUGGAAGAGCCAGUUCAUUUAAGCUAAACGAUCUAGUUCACUUACAAGAUCUAGAAUUCCAAGCAAUAAGGGAUUCAAACCCUUUCUGAAUAAUAAGAUGAAUCACAGACAACUUGAGCAGAAGAAUAUCGCUGCCAUAGAUUAUAAGUAAGACUGAACCUGGGCUGUCUAACCUCAGUAUAUAGGGGUGCUUAGAAUGCUAGGCCAGCAGCACCCAGGAGUAGGAUACUCAUUAUAAAACUUUUUUUUUUUUUUUCUUUUUCCAUCUGAAAAAUGAACCAAACCAUGACCCUUGAUCCGUCAACCAAGCUCAAACCAACUGUGAGAUCUGUGACCUUAUGCACCCUGUACUGCGUCCAUGUGGGUGGAGAACGAUUAAAAGAUGGAGCAUAAUGUGUGCAAGUGAAUCCACAGGUUUCCCAGUUCUUCCUCUGCCUCACUCUCUGUUCACGCUCUGGCUGGAUGAAAUUCACUCUCUCUCUUUCUCUCUCUCUCUCAGCGGAUGAUUUGGUUAUAGAGGUAGAAUACUGGGCAUAGGUGGCCAUUUGAAGCUUAGCUUACACCUAAUAGUUUUUCUGUAUAAGGCUGAAAUUCUGAAAUCUUAUAUUCUCACAAAUUUCACAUUACACACAGCUAUUUAAGUCUGCAUUUAAAAGUGCUCAGGGGGAAACUGGACUUGAUUUAGCUUUCUUGGAGAUGCUCAUCAUCUCAGUGAAAGAGCGAUUCCUGCAGUAGUGCUGAUAAUUGGAUCCCAUUUGACUUCAACUUGUGAGUGCAGACAGGACAGACACUUGUAAUUACACAUUAACGUUAUAAUUUAUGUGUGCGGGAGCGGGGUUGUUGUAUUCACUGGUCUUACUUGACAUCUUGACCUCUUCUCACUGUCAGCGCCUUCAUUACUCGUAAAGUAGCGGAAAGCCUGGAGUUAGUAUUAAGAAUUGAAACCUCCUGACCCAGUUCAUGGCCCAGCAAAACCUGCGAAGGGCAGAGGAUCUCAGACCCCUGAUAUUAUUUAGCAUCUACCAGCUACAGUUGUGUGUACUUGUUUUUACACGUUAUUACUGAUGCAUUCAUUUGCAUUUCCAGCUCCCUCUUUAAUCUUGAUGAUUCUCUCCCACAGAGAAGGCAACACAUGUCGCUGCCUCUUCUGAUGAUUACAGCCUAUGGAAAAAUGUCAAAUGCUUGGCAAGUCAUGUUGUUUGAGGCACCUGUUCUCAGUUUUCAGAGGAACAAUUUAUCAAAGACAAGAGGCAUGCUACGGGCGUAAACUCAAGAGAAGGUAGAAGCAGGUUUGUGCAGCUGUUAUUGAUAUGAAAUUCUUUGUCUAAACAUAGCGGACAGAAUUGACAGCCAACACCUGCUCUUGUUCACCGUUUUCCAUUAUGACUAGAUUAUGAUUAUUCUGAACUAUUUCAAUAUUAUUUGAUAUUUAAAAAGUUUCAAGCACAAUCUGAACAUUUUAUUAGAACUCUCUUUCAGCUUAAGCGCCACAAUUUCCAAGAACAAUUAAGUUUUUAAUUCACCUGAGGCUCAAAGUAGGGAACGUUGUGUGAAAUCUGUCAUUUUCCUUUUAUUAUUUAGAAUAUAUUUCAGGGUUUUCUCCAGGAUUUUUUUUAACCUGUGGGGGAGGGCUCUGUCGCCUCCAUCCUUCAACAGAACCCCCAACCCCUAAAAAAAAAAACUUAAAAAUUUAUUUAACACAGAUAAUUUAUCCUUAUCGAAUGGCAUUGUUUGCAUCCAAGCUGAGAGCACUUCCUUUUUCUUGUUUUCUUAACCCAUUGAGACCUGAACCCUGUCUGAGACACGCCUCUGAAAUCCUCUGAAGGGCCCCCAGAUCCUGAGGUUUUCUGAAGUGUUGAGGUUUACAAAAAAGCUGAUAUCUCAGUCAGAGAUAGAAACUAAAUUCAAAAAGUAUUUGAGAGCUUACACAUGUGGCUUUCAAGAUCACUAUCUUUUAUUUUCCGAACCUUCAUCACAUUAUUGAAAACCUUGAACAAACAAACUCAAAUGAAAUAAAGUGGCUGUGUCAAUAAAAGUAAAGGCACUGGAGAAUAACAAUUUGCUUUCUGUAAAACAAGUGGCAGUCAUGAUAAAGUGUCCAUUCAGUACAAAUCUAAGUAUAAAAUAUGAAGUGUUGAAAGGGUAUACAGCUGCCCCGGUAUAGUGCCAGUACAAAAGCAGCACUAAAAGCUAAAUAAAUAAAUACGUGUCAGACAGUGUGUUCAUGUCUGUGCUCACCCAAAGUCAUGCAACACUCACAGAAAUCGCCGAUAGUGUGAGCCAAAGACCUCAAUAUGAAGAGGUUGUUCACUCUGCUUAAUGCGUCUCCUUUUGAAGCUGCUCUCUGCCUCUGUUAUUGUUUACUUCACUCACGAAGCACGUAGCAAGACCUGAGCAUGAAUCCGAUCGCUUUAUGAAGCUUUAUUAGCCUAUCACAAAUGAUUGAAAAACUACAGAAUGUUACGAAAAGACGUAUCCGCGCACCCGGGUUGAAGGGUAGAAAUAAUCAGCAGCGCCACCGGCUUGGAGGGUUGAACUGUGGGCAUGCUGUCCUGGUUUAAAUGGGUUAAAGAAGAGCUCCAAGGCUCUGGUCUGUCUUCACGUAUACGUAAAAAAAAAUUAAAGUGAGGGGUGUCAUAAUGUAGAGAAGAGCUUGAGCAUCUGCUGCAGAUAAUACGGUACUCCAGUGUUCGUUUUUUUUAAAUCAAGUUAUUUGCAGAGCAGUGUCACAUUUCAUGAGUACAGUUCCACACUCUCCAUUUAGAUACUAUAAAUUACAUAUUAAACAUCAGAAAAGAAGUUCAUAAUUCUGAGGGCAUGACGGCUUUUAUUUUGGCAUGGCGGUGCGCUAGGAUCAUUUACAUGUAGCGCAAACCCUGUAUUUAACAGUCAAGGUAGGUUCACUGCAAUAUCACAAAGUUCACACGACAGAAAAAUGUGUUAAUAACCACCUAGCUUUUUUUUGAAUGAUUAGAAAAAACUCUAGGUAUGUAAAAGGAGGUUUUAAAAUAACGAAAAAAUAAGCGGUAAUCUGCACUUUGGCCGAAAGCAUCAUCCUCCAGCCGCUCUCAAGUGUCAAUCAUCUCUACAUUGCAGUCAAAGAGAUUGAUGAUGCACCAGUCGCUUACUGACAGUUUCCUAAUCCAACAAGAAGAGUAUAGAAAUAUUCAAAUGUAUUUAUUUCGAUCUGUCAUUGUUUCCCUGUCUGCACUCUCUUAUAAUCAUGUUUAUACAUUUCAGUGCCUCACAGAAAAACAAACAAACUGUAAUUUCAACAUAUCAUAGUUUUUCUGUUCAUUACUCUUUGCAUUAAGUCAAUGCUCUGGGCAGGUUGUUUGACAACAUAUUUAAACCCAUUGGGUCGUAGGUGUGACUCGCUGUGGUCGGCCACUGCCAUGCACUCAGUUAUUUACUAAAGUAACUCCCCCUUGAAAGCACUAAAUAGUAAAAAUGUAAUACUUUCACCUGGAGUGGGAGGAGGAUUAUUUUCCUGUUUGUUCAAAUUCAAAGUCCGUCUGUCUGAUCUGCAGUGCAAAUGUCACCUUGCCAAAGAAAGCCAAUCUAAAUCGGUAUUUUAGCAAUGCCCAUACAUGUUAAGAGACUAAUUCCCCUGCGAUACCGGCUCUGUCAACCCAGAAAACGUAAGAGUUGAAGAGCCAGUUAACAGCACAGCAGUCAUCUUAACAGGGUCUAACACAAAAAGUAGGGCUGCAAUGAUGGCACCUUAUUGUGUCAAUCACAUUCUUGCUAAACACUAGAAGUUUCUUAAAGUGAAGAAGCUCAAGGUUCAAGUUUACUUCAAGACCACAAGAGUUUGUAGAGUGCCAGUGUCCUCAUGCCAGAGGUCCUCUGAGUAUAUGUAUUUAUUUUCACUCUUCCCACUGAGAGAACUGCAUUUAUUCAGCCUGUAUCUGGUUUACUUCUCUGCUGUGUUGAUAUUAAAUAUUGAGGUAUGCUAUUAGUAACAGAUAUGGCUCCCUUUGCAGACUAAUUACUGUGCCUGUUUGUUUGUGUUUGAAGCACUGAAACUGGACUAGUAGAGCUCAGCACAUGACUUAUUUGGAUAGUAGAUUGUGAAUCAGAAAAGGUUUGGCAAUGCUACAUAUCAGGUAAUAUGAGUCCCACGUGUUAAUUGAAUAAUUUUAUCGCUGUAACAGUCAUCUUUUGAUAGGGAUGUGAUGAGACUCUCAGCUUGACAAGGCAAGAUUAGGUUGACCUGAAUGAGAUGAAAUGUAAAAAAGUAUUUACCAGUGUUUCUGGAAAUGUUGGGCUCGACCUGUCCAAAUAUUUUACUUUUUUGUUGUCAUAAUGCACACAUAUGCGAUACUGUAUGAUAUGUCCUGGAUGAUGGCAGAAUGAUGUUAGUUUUCUUGUUGUUUCCAUAUUUAUUUCCACCAAUGAACAGUCCGCUCUGUUCCUCCUGUCACCCAGUAAGCUGUACAUUUCUCUGAAAUUCAUCAUUAUCAAGUCCAGGGACAUUGUCCUCUGAGUCCCUGGCACAGUUGUACCGUGGAUUCACUUGCAAGUGUUCUGGUCUGGCUGACCAUCAAGCUGUCACCUUCCACCAGUGCACUGCUACAUUUGUACCUCAGUACCUCUCAGAUUUAAGUGAAGUUCUGCUGUUUCCUCUCGUAUAGCUGAUGAUAUCUUGAGCAACGAGCGAAUGUUGACCCCUUCACCAUACAGACACUAGUUUGAGCCUAAAUUUACCUCUCCAGUACAUUCGGUAGGUUUUAAUUUGAUAGCAGUGAGUAGGGUCAUCAGGUGUGAUCAUUAUUCCUUAUCAGUCCCACAACAGAGAAUGUGCACUGGUACGGCGGUAUGGGCAAAAAUACAUGUUGAUAAAUUCUCACUUUAUUCUCUUACUAAAAAAAAUCAAUAAUUUUUGAAUAUUGUAAAACCCCUACUGUAAAUUUUGUCUUUAACUUGCCUCGAAAGAUGUAGGUCACUGCCCCAAACUGAAACAACCUUUUCUUUCAAAUAUCCAGGUUGUUUCACUUUUGUCAUACUAUCGCUUCGAGUUACACCAAAAGAUGCACCCAAGUAUAAAGAAGCUGCUGUUAGAUUACCCCUCAGAACCACACUAGCUAGUAUACUUUUAAUAUUGUGUCCUGGUCAUUGUUUAACGUUGAGAUUUAAAAGAGAGUUUUUACAGGACAGUUGUUUUUUGCACCGCUUUUAUGUCAUGCUUGUUGUGUAAGCCUGCGGCAUUCAUAUAGAUGCGACUUUAUCUAAAUUGUCUGUUUAAAUUCUUAAUGUAGUCCUGAGUAAAACUUUUAGUUUAUUGAAACAUCAAAGCCAAAAAUAAGUUUGUGAUAUAAUACUCUCUUCAUAGUAUGAUCUAUUAUAAUUUACAGCACAGCUUAAGAACAAAGAUUACUAGAAAAAAAAACACAAGUAUGUCUGUGUGUGUCCAAAAAUCACUGGCUCAUCAAAAACAUAACAAGCCUCUCUAUGUCGUGUGGGCAGUCUCAGCCCUUGCUUCAGAAUAAACUCAUUAGCCACUGGGUGGAGCUGUCACACUCUCUCCAUUGGGUUUUUUCCUCUUCCUGUCUCCGACUGUGUCUCCCUCUCUGACUUCAGUCUGUCUCUUGGCCUUCUUGCUGAAACAUCCUCCCCUAUCAGUACAUGUUUUUCUCACCUCGUCCUCCUUUUGUUUUCCAGUCUCCUGGUUAAGAUUGCACACAAUAAGACUUUUUUUUCCCCCUCCGCUCUCUCCCUGUGAAUUGUUUUUGUUUUGUAAGAAUGACCUGACCUCUUUUUUUUUUUCCACCUCAGCCACAGUUACAUCCACAACAUAACAUAUCAUAGUUUCCACCUUGCAAUGGUGUUUUUUUGUUGUUGAUUUCAUUGUUAACAUUGAAUGGUGCAGGUAACAGGAUUACCUUUAUGAAUUUAGCCCCUUUCACAUACACUAUCUCCUAUAAUAAAUUAUUCUCAAAGUCCUAAUUAUUUUUCUUUUUUUUUCUUAAGAAAACCACUUCUCUAAUGUCAUGCUCCUCAUGUUAGCUUGCAUUUGAUGUUGAACUAGAUCUGAGGUAACAGGUGGCAAAUGCCGGUAUCAGGGGACUUCAUUAUACGUUGCUAGUGUUUGUAUUUUUCUGUGAUAGGAUUUGAGUUGUCCAUCUCAAAGUUCAGUGGGUACUUCUUCAAUUAUUUAGCCUGUGCAUGGAGACAUUAUUUACAAGCAGUUACUAUCAAUCAAUAAUCAAUCUGUGUAGGCUUUAGAGUAAGGCCUCUGGGCACACUGUAACAAUACUGUCUCAUUGACAGAACAAUAUAGUUGCAAUGGCCUUAAACGCUGUACAGCAUGCACACUUUCUAAAAUAUUUUUGGUUAGAAGGGAAGUAUUUUAUUCAUAUUUAGUCAGCAAAGUCAAGUACAAAGUACCAUCAGCAAAAAACAGGUAACUUUUAUGCAUCCAUGUGCUGUUUUGUUGUGCUGUUUUUUCUUCAGUUAACAUUUAGAUAUGAAAAACUUUUUCAUAAAGCAGAUCUAGUAAGAUUGAGUGUAAGGUCUGCCUGGUCUGCCGUCAGGGUUUGUGUUUAAAACUGUGACAAUGACUGCAGGACUUCAAUAGACAGGCCAGCUCCUUCAUGACAGCCCUAUUUGUCCACUGCUCUUCAGUGGCUCCACUAUGACUCCUACAGUCAUGGGUGACUUCAUCUGUUUCAGUGAUUCUCUGGUAUCUUUCCAAUGCUCAGCCUCCCGCUGAAGGUACAGCCUGGUUAUGUCAACCACUUUCAGAAGCAAAGGCAGCCACCACCUGCCUCCUCAGCAGCUACAUGAGCUUCUGUUCAUCUAAUUGACAUACAUAAGUAUUGAGAUGAAAGCCAAUGCAAGGGUCCAAGAAUCUCUUUCUCUACUUAAAAAAAUGAGAUAUCAUUUGACAUUUUUUUGAUUACCUACAAUUACUGUUGGGCUGUAUGACGGUAUAAACCGUGUGACAGUAUAAAAGUGUCUAUCGGUAGAAAUUUUGCCAUACAGUUUAUACCGGUUUACCGAUGUCUGCUGCAUCUCUUUGACUCAGUGUGUAGUUGUCCGGGCUUGCGAACAGGAGAGCUGGAGCGCAUUUAUUUGGGUGUGUUUCCAUAUCUUCACCAACAUGUCGUGCAGAGUUUGUUCGCUCCGUUUGAUUGGUCAGGUUUGGGUGUGCUUCCUAUAAUCACCAGCAUGUCCAGCAGACUGCGUGGCAUAGUAGUAGUUUCGACAAAGAAGAAACAGCUUCACUAGUGGUGGUCAUGACGGACGUGGAGAUUAGUUACAGUACUGAGCAAACAAAGCAAGCCCCGACCCACCCAACAUGAGGAAGAGGAGGAGGAACUUGUACUGAAAAAGGGAGCGAGUCGCGACAUCGGUUGUCUGGAGAUUCUUCGGAUUCACAAAAUCCAACCAUCAUGAAAAAACAAUACUAUGCAAAGAGUGUUGUGUGGCUGUCGUUGCUGGAGGUGGAAACACCAGCAACCUCUUCCACCACCUAAAGAUGAAACACGCCAAGCUCUAUUAUGAGAGACAAAAGAUGCGUGGUGCACCUGCUGCACCAUAAACUAAAGCUCUCAUACAAAAGAGCUUGGCAGAGACUUUCGCCAAAGGUACGCCAUAUGAUAAAAAAUCGCCAGACUGGUCUGGCAUAUGUUUGUAUUUGUUCACAAAUCUGAGUUUAAAAAUAAAAGGAAAAUGAACAGAUGUGAUAGUAUGGUUAUUUUUAAGCCCUUAAUUGAAUUUACAGGAGAGAAAACAUACCGUGAUAUAUACCGUUACUGUGAUAAGAAAUUAUUCACACCGUGAUAUAAGAUUAUGUUCAUACUGCCCAACAUUACCAACAAUCAUUUAAAGGUAUUGAACAGGUAAGCCCUGCAGGAUCAGGGUAUCGGUAUCAAACUUUAAAAACACAUAGUUUUAGUUUUUACUGCAAAAGUUUCAGUUUGUUUCUGUAUGCUACUUUUGGGGCAAAGUUCACCCAACACUUUCUCUCAGAAGGUGCUGUUGGCAAAAUGUUUACGGCAGUUCUGGUAGACUGAAUGCAAGCUGCUCACCUCAGGAGUCUAUGUCUACAACCUCAACCUUGCCAGAAUACGAUGUAUUAAAUGAUGUGAAUUUUGUGGACUGGUUUUGUGGAUUUUUCCUGCUUGUGAACGGGGGUUUUUGUGGAGGAAUAUAAAUUGCAAAUUUCCUACAGCAGUACUAAAUGACUGAGACAAGGCCACCAUUUAAGCACCAUGUGCAUUGUGCAUAACAGCCUGGUUAUUAAUCAAAUUCAUGACAAGACUGAAAGGUUUUGUGUUUGAUCCCCAUGCCAUGAAAUUUCACCUCUGUCCGUCAGUGUCAGGGUCCAUUAAGAGCACAGAAGUGCUCUCUGCUCUGACAGUUCCUUGAAAGGCAGCAGCAAUUCUUGUGCACCUUUUAAUGAAGUUUGUGUGCUUAGCAGUCUUGAAAAAAACAUCAACAGGAAAAGCAAUGGGAGACGUCUUUCUCAAGUUUACUCUUCCUUUUAUAAGUGCCUGUUUGAAAGGAAGCACACUUGAGGGAUGGGUAUUGUUAGGAUUUGAUGAAUACCAGCAUCAAUACUAAAUCUUCUUUUUAAUCUAGAUACUUACCCUCUGCAUGUUGAAGGGGUAUUGAUUGAUAAUACAGAUAUCAGGAGCUAAGAGCCAUCACUGUCCAAUUAGUUUUAUUCAUGUACAAACGGAAAGGAAAUCAUCAGAAAGAAAUAAGAAAAAAAAAAAACACAAUUUGGGAAUUAUAUCGUAAUAUAUUAUAGCAUUCCAAUAUACUGUACAGAUGCAGCUCAAAAAUAUGAAGAAAUUUGACUUUUUCUUAAUUUUCUAACAUUUUGAGAUAGUGGAUUUUUGAAUUUUGUGACCUGUAAUCAUCAAGAUUAAAACAAAAAAGUCUUUAAAUAUUUCACUGUAUGAUGAAUGUAGAAUAUGUAUAAGUUUCUCUUUUUGAAUUAUAUCAUGGGGAAAAAAGAGCUUUUGCGAGACACAAAGUUUCGGAGCUGUACCUGCAUAUUGUUAUCAUCCCCAUGUAUCAGAGUAUCCAUGAUCUUUCAUUGCCUGAUUCUUGCCAUUUAAAAUUCCUGAUUGACAGCCCAGCUUUUCUCAUUAGUUAUCCUCGCACAAAAGAUUGAAAAUGCUUCAUGCUAAACCGUGCAUUUACACUGAUCUUCCACCCUUUUCUUUUGGGUAUUAUCUGCACACCAGGACAACAGCUUUGCAGCAAUGCUUAGCCACCUGUUCAGCAGUUGGAGCAGCUUGUUAAACAAUCUCUAUAAUCAAGGUUUAAUGUUGACAUGAUAAAGAAAUGCCUUUACUGAUACACUAGUACUGAUAUAGCAUCAUUUGUCUCUCCAAAGGGUUUGCAGAUAAAAUAUGUUGGUUAAAACUAUGAAGGACUCAGUUGAAUUGAAACCAUAUUUUAAAGUGUAUUAUAAUAUUUGACUCUGUUUUUUUGAGAGCCUUCUCUUCCUUUUUUAGACCUUAUUGUAAAUUGCACUGGUUCAAGUAACUCACAAAUUAGGUGUAACAAGAUUGGCCUUUUUUUGUACUUGUUUCCAUAGCUACCUGAGAUACCUUUAAUGCUUAAUCCAGUCUUUGUCAUAUCAACCUGAAAGAUAGUUCAAGACCGUACUGAAUACAAUUUAAGACCCAUUUUACAUCCAUUCUGGCAAAGUACAAAGUCCAAUAGACAUGAAAGGAAAUCAAAAAAUUUUACAUUUGUUCAAAUCAAUCUUUAUUUGUAUGGCACAUUAUGUAUUUGUAGGUUAAUACGUUUUUAGACCUUUCAAAAUCAUAUCUAGGAUAUUUUAUGAGAUUUUAAGAGAAUUUUAGACAUUUUAAGGCCUUAAAUUCAAAUGAUUGGAUUUAAGACAUUUUAAGAGUCUACUCUCAUCAGUUUGCAAUAUCAAGUGGAGUUGUGAAUGCUUGAAAAAUAAUCACUGAAUAGUUACUUUAAUGCAGUUGUUGCCUCUGUCAGUACACCACAUUCAUAGGUUCCUAUUCUAGAAGUUCAGACAUUUUGAAACUUUCCCCGGUGCACAUAAAAAUACCUGACAAAGUAACCUCCCAUAACCUUACAGAUUGGACAGAAUCUGUCUGUACUUGUGUCUUACAGCACCUGUCAUGGCUGCAGCUAGUGAGAGUACAUAACUGUAGGGCAUCCAUGGCAUUUCAUUUCGACCUGUGAAUGAAAGUCAGUUCGAUCAGCAGAAAUGGCUGCACAACAUAUUCGGUCUGAACACCUCAACUAUAAAUGAUAUGUUUGCAGCCCACCAGAGAGGCAGGCUUAGCAACAGGUGCAGACCACAAUGAUAUAAGUGUACCAAUUUGAUAAUGUAGUAAGUAAUGCUUUUAUUAGGUAAUGCUCACACCUCGAACAGGGUUUAUUGAGCAAAAAGGAGAGCGAGGACAGACUGGGUACAGUUAACAAAUCUGACUGGUGAAAACUCAUCACUGUUGUAUGACAAACUAAAACGUCAGCUUGAGAAACCUUAUUCUAGGGUUUCCUCUUCGCAGAUGAAUGCAAGGGUUGGAAUGCAAAGUAUUCAUAGGGAGACAUAAUAGUAUGAUAGAUAAGACAUGCUAUUAAAGUGAGAAACAAUUUGGGUACAUAAAUGCCAUUUCUGUCACAGUAUCCCGAGAGGCCAGUGGAUUUGACAGUAUAUUCAUCCCUCGAUAGUCCUGACUUGUACAGAAUCCAUCAAUUUAUUAAACCAUCUAUCAUCAAAACACAGCUUUAGCCCGUCCUAGUGUAGGCCCACGCAAACAUGGAGGAACAUUAAUACUCUGUGCAGUAAGGCCCCCCUCCUGGUUUGAACCAGGGUGUUCUUGUUGUUAGUUUGGUUUACAAAAAUCAUGACGAUCAUAUCUGGAAAAAAAAAAAUCUCUGAUAAUAAGUUUUCUUUUUGAGACCAUGACAAGACAAAAUUUGCCAAGAGUACGAAUAACAAUUUUCCACAUUGUGCAUCUUCUCUGUCAACUAGAAUGCAAAAUAACACAAACUGAGUUAGUACUUGGAAGCAGUGUUGAUUUUGUCACUUGUGUGAAACUACUGCACCGUGGGUACAAAUCCUCUCUGCCUUUGUGCUACUUUCUCAUUUUCAGUCGUAAACUUUUCUUGAUGCAUGUUGAUGAGGAAAACACAGCCAGUGACAUCAGUUUAAUAUGAGCAGUUUUCUAAAGAAGGAUUUUACACUUUCCAGGCCGCUGCACAAAAUCUGAUAUAUAAGUUUGUAAGCUGAUUGACAGAUUCUCAGAACUCCAUUAUAAUACUGCUGACUUAUCCCAGCCACAGUUCUGUGUGGUAUCGGUCAUUCCUAUAGAGACAUAGUCAUAGAUGUCUCUUACAGUAUUUGAGGUAUCCUCUCUGCAGUCUUAUUUGUGAUGGCCAUUUUAGGGGUCUGCCAUAAAAAUUCAACUCAACUUUAUUUAUAGAGCACUUUAAAUACAACUAAAGCUGACACAAAGUGCUACACAUAAUAACAUAAAAACAUAAAACAACAAUAAAUAGUUGUUUUAAAAUAUAAUAAAAAGCAAUAAAACAAAUGCAGAGUCAUGCUGGGUCAAAAGCCAAGGAGUAAAGGUGGGUUUUUAGACAGGUUUUAAACAUGGACAGUGAGGAUGCUUGUCUAGGUAAAAAAGGUUGGUGAAAAAAAGGCAGUCACAUGGGGCUGAACAUAGCGCCAUUUGUCGAUUUUUGUUUAAUAGCGUUACUCUUUUAGUUUAGUAAGGUCAAGAGUGUGAGGAUUGGUCCGGCUACAAUGAGAGUAACCUCUGCUGGAUCACAUGGCUGGCUACCUUGGGCAGCCUAAUGUGCUGGUAUUCUAAACUGUUAUGAGUUUGAACGGCUCAUUACAGUCAAAAAUGAACUUUUUCAUCAGGCGUCGAAUGAGGGUUUGAUAAAAUUUCUGAUAAAAAUCAACAUUUUCCAAUACAGAUGAUGAGAAAUACUCAACUGGGAUCAACACGUGUUUCACUCUUUUACUUAUACAUUGAUAACACACACAUACCUGCACACCCACAGCCUUGUUCUGUUCACUUUCUUCACUGGCAAAAUACUUUUUAAAUAAACAGAUUCACAUUUCUGUUUUCAGCACAGGUGAGCUACAUGUAGAUGAUGCUGGUUCAUAGCUCAGUAUCUGAAAACCACGGCCAGCUGUACAAAAGCAUUUAAAUAGUGGCUGAAGACAGUCCUGAUACUAUAGUCAGUUCAUGAAAAAGAAGGACAUUACAGCAGACAUCACAAACAGGGUAGACUGCUCUUCUCAGAACACGAUGACCAGGCUUUUACUUCAUUUCCAUUUCUGUACUCCUUGAACGAAGUUUUUAUUCAACAACUUCUUUUUUUGUCCGAUUCCCUUCAUUGACAAACGUGCAAAAAUAGCUAAAAACAUGCUUUAAGUAGAGUACCCUCUUUUAUUUUGAAAUACCCUGAUAUUCAAAAAGCAAACAUAGACUGUGAUGUAGAUACAUGAGUGCAUAUAUGCUCCUCCAAAUCAUUUUCAUUCCCUUUCUUUUAGAAACAAAAACAUCUGAGACCAAUAGAGGGGACAUGAAGCUGCUUCAUAUUUUUGAAUUAAAUCCCCAGAUUACUGUUUGUGUUUCUCUUUUAUGUAAAUAAAGACCUUCCUUACAUGCAGCCUUGAGAACCUUGUUAUCUGAGUUCUCUUUGAGGUGGAGCAGACGGUAACACUGAGUCAGACAGCUGCUCUCAAACCCACAUAGAUGGGAAGACUGGAACCAACCAUACAAGUUUCAGGAUUUUGUUUUAAAACUGUAUGUGGACCCAGUUUGUUUUCAAACUUAGUUGUUUUUCUAAAGUUCUGGUGGUCUAGUUUCCUGUCCUUAGACAUGGUCAUUUUACCUGAAUUCACCCCAACCCUUUAAAAUACAGGCUGGGAGGAGAUUUUUUCCAUAGUAAUGAACCAAAUAUCAAAUAUUCACUACCCUCUGGCCUCCCAUUAAUAUGUCCAUCUUGAGACGGUCCACAAUCCAUCCAAUAUAUGGAUAGUGAUUGGUAUGAAAUGUGAGUCUUCAAUUCCUCCAUAUUUUGGAAAAACAGGAGCUUGUUACCGAGGAAAAACUGUCUGGGUUAGAGGUCUGAUGAGAAAGUUGUAUGAUGUACUGAAUGUGACAUUUAACAGCUUUACUUCUUUUGAACCUUAAGGCAAUACCAUCAUUCUUACCAAUCAAAGUUUCAUUAUCACAGCCAAAACAGGGUCCUCCGGGCCCAAACAGUCACACACCUACAACUGUCUCUCACUUUGACAACAGCUCUCACAGUAAUGACAGCUGUCAGCCUACUGAAGUACAAAAAAAAAUGUUUGUCUUUGUGUUUGUUUUUCUGUCUUCCCCCAUGAAAUUUAUUUUCCUCCUCUUGGCGUCAUAUGAGCUCGGUUUAAGAGUUGUAUGAAAGCUAAGUGAAUUAUGAGAUGAUGUUAAGGUGCAAAUACAAUAAUAGAAAAUGAACAUGAUAUUGUAAUUCUGAAUGUGUGGUUUUUCUAACAGCAUAUGUUAAACGCUCUUUGAACAGCCCAUUUUGGAUAUUCAAUUUAAGUUGGGACUUUGUGAUAAGUUGUUAUCCCUUAAUGUUACAUUUCAGGGAAAUGCAAAGCUCCGGUAUAAAGGAGCUACAAUUCUGUUAGAGAAAGCUGCCUUUUUGUUAAUAUGCGAGCUUAAGCUUUGCACAGCGUAAUCACAUAGAGAGGGAAGCUUUUACACCAGCAGGAAUCACAAUUAUGUUAAAUGUGUCAAUGUUCACCAUCCAAAGGAAGACUGUUUUUAAUUUUUCUGACACAAUGGAAAAAACUUUCCAGGCUGAAAUAUUCCUACACCAUAAUACAAUAAAUGUAAAAUAUUCAGGCCUUCAUCCCAUAAUGAGAAAACAGGCAGGGGAGAAAUCUCAUUACUGAUCGUCUUCAUGAAGGCAAGCUUUAUAGUAAACCAGGUUUUUGUUGAGGAUGCGAUAUCUCUUUCUGUUUUCACCUCCUCAACCUUGUUUCUCUCUAUAAUGUAAUAUCUCCUGUGCAUGUAUGCUGUGCACUUUAACACAUAUUCACACACCACUCUGUUACUGCAGUGUGCGUACUGCAGGUGAGAGCCAGGUCUGACACACAGCAAUAAGAAGCCUUAUGUGUUCCCCCUUGGGGGCCUCAGCUCUUGAUGUGUUUACGCAUCACCAGUCUUCACACAUGGUGUCCUCUUCAAGGCUGACCUGCAAUGAAGCUCGUCUCUGUUUUGGGCUCACACACAGACAUAGUUUGGGCUCUUUUAUACAAAGGGAUGUCAGGCAGGGCACUGUGUGCUAAUAGGUUAGUGACAGUGGAGAAGGUGAAAGUGAAGGAAGGAUACCGUAGGAGGAUCAAUGGAGUUGAUUGAGAGUGAGAGAGACAUCUGCUUGUAUGUUCCUCCUGUGAACAUAUUGGCUGGAGUGCAAUGUCUUAGAUCCAACCUGUUAUGACAAGGGAUGUCAAAAGAUUUUAAGUGCAUCUUUUGGCAUUGAGGUGGCUGAUCGUUACCAACAGUCCUCCUCAUGCAGCUCGCCUGCUUCUGUAAGAGAUUGAUUGCAGAUAAGAAUAUUCAAAAUACAGGUUAACUAAGCAUUGAGUGUGAACAACCACAGAUGAGCUGGUCAAACCUAAGGAGGAGUCAGCUGAUUUUUUUGACAUCAUCAAUCAAUCACAUAAAGUGCAGAGUCAAAAUGUUGUGAGCAGAGCAAAAGUGAGAGGGUGUGUGAGGUCUUAAGAAGAAAACAACAGGGAAGUACAAGAGCACAAUUUCAGAGAAAAUCGCUUUUAAUAAGGUGUAAACAAAUGAAGAAAGUGCUGGAAUAACUUUGUAUAAAUGGUUAUCUUUAUUCAUAUGUUUUAAAAAGACAUAUGUACUUUACUUCAGGUUUGAGAUGACCCGAAGUCAUUUUAUAUUUGCAAGUUGGUCGUUAGAACAAGACUAAACAAGAUCCUUUGACCAGGAUUGGUUUAAGUGAGAAUACUAAUUAACCAGGAGCUCAUCAAAAAAGGCUCUGCUCUGCUUUCUAUGUCUUCUGUUUGGGGUGAAACCUGUCUGGACAACCACCGGAUCUAAAGAUAAGAAACAUCUUUCAGAAAGGCUGGUAAAACACGACAGCUGUGCGUCUCAUGUGGAUAAUAAUAAAGCUCUCCACUCUUGAAAAAAUAAAAAACUUUUAUGUGAAAUACAAUGGAACAGAAGUGACUGAACGCCCUGGCGAUGCUUUCUAUUGAAAGUGAACUCAUCCAUGUUGGACUGUUGGAUUUUAACAGCAAGGUCACAGAGAAGUUUGCUCACAUGAAGGACUGCAGAGCGUCAUUCCUCUUCGAAAAGUGAUCCACAUCAGUAAGUCUAUUAUUCUACAUGGAAUUUAUAAUGUAGUUUACAUAUGAAUAAAAAUGUAAUUUAUGUAAUGCGUAACUAGGAAUAUGUGUGUGGGUGGGUUGUGAUGGACACAACCUCACACGGGCUCCACAAGGGAGCUGCUCACUCAUCUUAGGGUGCUGAAAUGGCUGUUUGGCUGAGGUAUAUUGUGUAUGGUGGCUUUGUAUAAUGAGUGCUGUGGCCAUUUACACCUUUGUAUUUUUAUUGUUGCCAUGUUGUUUCGAUCUCGAGUAUUUGAUUUUGUGAGGUCUUAAACACUGCCAUUUGGUGGCGCUAUUGGUAUGAUAAUAUACUAUGUCACCAGAUUGACAUUGUUUGUGUGAUGGCAUUAUUCAGCUGCAGUUUUGUUGUCAAAGGUGCUGUGGUCCCCUCUCUCACUUGCUGCUGUGUUUUUGUUGUGAGGGUAUGAGAGUAAUAUCUGGUAUUUCUGGAUUGCAUUAUGAGAUUUUUCUGCAUGGCCCCAGCAGAAUUUUCAGACCAAAAUCGCCACUGCUCAUUCUUAUUGAAAUAUCCUGCAUGAAACACAUUCUGGCAUUUUAUCCACAAACAAACCCCAAAAUGUGAUUGACGAACUCCUGUGUACACCUGUACAGAGGUGCACAACUCCUCGGUAAUCCUACAAAAUUAAUGUUAAUGAAGAGAAUGACAGAGCAACAGCCGUCGUCUAUGAACUACCAAUGGCAAGUGGCAUCAGUUCAUCUCAGUUUAUCACAUUUCAGCUCUGUAUAAAUCAGCGAUUAGCAAAUCAUUUGUUUCAGUAUUAAUACAAUUUUACAUUAACUCGACAGAAGUUAUGAAGUCCAUAAUGGUAGUCCUUUCAAACUCGAUAAGCUUGUGACUGUUGGCUUGGCAUAGUUGAAAACUUUUAAUGCAUUCUGUGCAGAUGUCACAUUUCCAACACCACUGUUCUCUGGAGCAGUCCGAGUAGAUAAUAAUCAAUGUGCUGGUCACACAAUUUUUGCAAUCUGCAAAAGCGGAUGGACAACCUAAAACUGAGCUUGAAUCAUGAUGAUGUCAUGGCCAGAGCAGUGUCUACGCCAGGAAGUUUCAUAAGUGAACUAAGUGUACGUGUUUACAUUCAAGUGGUAGAGCAUAAUAGCAUAGCAACAUGCUACACCUCAGGCUAAAGGUGGGUGGCAGUACAAAAAAUGUAUACAUAAUAUACACAAAACACAAAUUUCUGAUAAAGAUAUACAUUUUUAUUUUAACGUUGACUCCCCCACUAAAAAAGUAUCUCAGGUCUACCUGGUUGAAAGUGUAUUCCAACUGAAAACUCAGUGGAUUUGAAAAAGUGAGUUGUGCUUGUUAGGAUUAGGUAUUCCAUCUCCUGACAAUCCCUGCGUAAUCAUAGCUGUAACAGUCCCUAUAAUGGUUUUUGUUGUUGAAAUACCUUUUACCUCAGGAAAUGGCAUGUAAAUUAACACAACACAAGAAAACCGGAGAGCACCGAAAAUUCAGAUUACGCAGGUUCAGUCUAAAAUGAAAGCCCAGAGUUCUGAACAUAUAGUAGUUUAUGAAAAAUCCUUUUUGUGGUCUCAGGUACAGCGGGAGUUGAGUCUCUUAAUCACUAUUUAACACUGUGAUAAAAAACCAUCACUGGAAAAAGCAAAAAAAUAAAGAAAGUACCGUCUAAUAAAUUUAAGUUAUUUCACCCACUUCCUCCACCUAAUAAGUCUAGUGCCAAGAAGCGAGGGUGACAUUUAACUCAGUUGACUACAUUCACAUCCUUUGUCUCAUAAGUUGAAUGUCAUACUGAGAAGCACUAUGAAUAUUUCAGCUCUGAUGGAAAUAUACUGCUACUGUCACAUUGCGCGAUUUGGUCGUAAAAGGGAAGAUUUAAGCAGAACAUUCUGGGCCCUCCUCCUUAUAGGAGCUCAUAUAGUUUUGACAACUGUAUCAUUUGCUACUCUGAUAUUUCAAGGUAACUUUAUUUUUAUGUCGACCCCCCUCCACGAAAAAAGUUGGAUACAGAUAAAAACGUUCUUCACGCUCUUAUUCUGACUUGUUCAUUUUAUAAAGGAUUCCCAACUUCUCAACUUUUUUUCGAAACAACAGUCAAGUUCUUCUAAACUUUGGAAAAAUUUUCCCAAUGCAACUUUUUUACUUCCAAUGCGAUACCAAUAUUGUAGCCUUCAGUAUUGGCCGAUACCGAUAUUGAUAUUUGCAUUCAGCUGCAACAUCUUUUUUAGACUUGAACCAAAACACUGACACACGGCUGACAUCACUCCUACUCUUUGCUACUUUCUUAGUACCUUAGUACACACUGUUGUUGUGAUCAUGUGGGCUCUGAAUGCUGGAUCUGGAUGCUGCUAGCUCGAGGUGCCAGAGCGGAGUCUAGAAUGGACUUCUUGUAUCAGAGUUCUGAUGUCGGAGAUUUUAGAUGCAGGCCGUUAUAAUCCAAUAUUCAUUUUUUUGCUGAUAUCGGACAGAUAUCCAAUAUCAUUAUCAGAAUCAGGACAUAACCAACAUUUAGCUUUGUAAAUGCAUUGCUCUUGUCAAUUCUGGUUGUCUUAUUGUCUAGUCCAAUUAUCCGGGUGAAAGAUAAUCACACACCAUUAAUUUUUUAUUUUUGCUUUGAAAAAUACUGUAUGUGAACAACUCCAGAGUUUAAGACAUUGAUGGAUAGAAAAUGAUCACAAACCACUAAAGCAGUUGUUGCACAAUGUCGAGAAAGGGAUAAUUAAUCAGAAUUUCCUUAGUUUUAGAAAUUAGGCAGUCUGUGACUUUUCAGCCAAAAGUGACAGAUAAUGAUAGUUUGAAUCCACCCAACUGUCUCAGGAAUAUGUUAGAACUCGGAAGAAUUUUUCAAUCCAAUACCAAGCAGUAAAGAUUUUUGGGUUUAUUAAAACAGCAUAUUUUAAUAAGUUUUUUUAUAUAACAGGUAUUUUUUAUUCCCUUUCAUUGAAGUCAGCCUCUCUUACUGUGUGUAUAGGCAAAUCAGAUCUACAAGAAUCAACAGCAACAAGGACUGCGAGGGCUUUCAAACGCAGUACUGUGUCUGCAUCUCUGUCUCUGUCCUCACAUCUCCCUGUCUGUUACAGGUAGACGUGGAGCUCAAACAGUCCUCACCCACUUUUCUCCUUUGAGCUAAGAAAGAAAAGCUCGGGCUGGUUAUUUAAAGAUAAUGAUUUUUCAUGCUAACAGGCUUUAUACAUUUGCUUUCAAAAAACAGUAAAAUAGACCAAGAGUACGUAAUAUUUCAAUCUUUUAUUGACUUUCCAAAUCUGAAGCAUGAGUUUUGGCACUUCCCUGCUGGAUAAUUGCUCCCCUCUCACACUUUGUUUGUGUUCAACUUCUACUCAGAAGUUAAUCAGAUGUGAAAUAUAAAACUGUAAAUUGUGGAAAAUGAUCAUUAGAAUGAAUCGAUCAAACAAGUUGAAUAAGCCUUUUGAGAAUAACCAGUCCAAUAACCAACUGACUCCACCACAGAGUAGAUUAAAUCAGAGAUAUAUUUUGAGUCAAGUUGUUUACUGUCUCUCAGAGGAUGAAACAUGAUGUGCAUCCAUAGGAAUCAUCUUGUCCACUGACAGCCUCAGAAACAGAUGUCUUAGCUUUUAUGAUGGAGAUGUGCCAAAAGCUCGAUUUGUGUCAUGUAUGAUAUCUCAAUCUGUCCAAUUUCACACUCCCCUGGAUCGGCUCUGAACACUGGCAGCCUUAAGGACUCCAUAAGAGCCCUGAGAUGCUACAUAUGCUUUUGACAGCUGUUCCCAUAGAUAAAAGUGUCAACUGAAGCUAAAGUGACUGACUGAAAUCAACCAAACAAGUGUGAUGAAGAGAAAACACUGAGGCAAAAGGAGUAUUGUGAUAAGAGAGUUUGAAGGUGAGGCUCUGUGUGAUGAGCUUAAAUGUUUGCAAAGGCCCACAGAGGCCUGAGUGUCUGAUUACAUGGUGCUGGGGAUAUUUCUCUGUGGAAGUGUCCCAUUUACAUCCAACUAGGUUGAGAUCACGGGGAAUACCUGGAACAUGUUUGCAAGAUCAGAGGUCUGGUCUGCUGUGGGUUACCUCAGGAUCCCUUUGAAAAAAGCUGGAGGUCAGAGGUGUUUUAAAGAAUAGAUUCUCCUGUUGGCCAGUUCAAACAGUAAUUCUUCAACCCAGUUUGCUGAAAAAAGUCAGUCUCUUCUCUAAAAAUACCGAAAGCUGGCAUUUUUCAUUAUAAAGAACCCAUGCAGAGUACAACAGCAUGUAAAUGAGGGACUGGGAUGCAAAUGUAACAUGUUUUUUUCAUGAAGGACUAAUCUGCUGCAUGGUAACCAUUGAUGAUGAAGCCAUAUGGAGCUGGUUUAUUUUAAAGCUUCUAGUGACAGAUGCUCAAUUCAGGUUGGAUGAACUGAAAUAGAGAAAAUAUAAUCAAGCCAACCAAGACUCUCCUUGCAAAACCAGACCUAUAUGAGAAUAUUUGUGCAAGGAUUGUAUCAAAGACAUGAUCAUAAAGGCCCGUGGUGUGAAAUAUACAUAUCGUACCUACAUGGAGUUAGCAAUGACUGCAACAUACUGCCUAAACUAAUGUGAGCAGAUUUCUAGAAUGAAAUCCGGGGACAUGGGGGGGAACGCUUGUUCUGGACUGCCGUGCACUACACGCUCACUCGCACUUCCAACCUACCUGGCUGCCAUAUUAACCAUUGUUCUAGUCCACACACAACAUUUUUUUCUAACUCAUGUAACGCUCAAAUCAGGGACAUUUCUUUUUUUUAAACUGCAUCAUUCUAACCAUGAUAACAGAAUUUAUAUUUAACACAAACUGAUAACUUUUAAAUUUGACACGUUGUUGUUAGGAGAAUUGUCUUUUUGCAGCCUUUAGGGUGGUGGAGCCAUGUAACUCAGAUACCAUGGAUAUGUUGGUGUUAGAUUUUUGACAUCACUCAGGUUCCCAAAAUAUGUUAUGCUAUGGUAUUCCCGUGUAUGGGCUCUCCAUAUGUUCAACUAAGGCUCCUUAAAAUAUGUUGUCCUUUGUUCUUACCCGACAUGGACUCUUCUUCAGGUCAACCGAAUGCCAGCAGAAUGCUUGGAGAUGUGGACGACUAUAUUCUUGAACAGUCUGUCUUUUUCAAAAUCCCAUUUAUCAGCCAACUGAUCAAUCAGCUGAUAUAUCAAUCAGUUCACCUCUACUCGUAAUGAUGUUGUAAUAGGCCCACAAAAUGCUGAUAUCACAGUCAUUUAAAUAAAAACACAUUUCUCUUUUGUCAAGUGCACACAACAACAUUGUAAUAUUGACAUAUAUCGGCCAUCGGCAGACCCACUACUAGAUCUAAAACUAAUACUGGUCGACCACUUGUCCUUACAAAGUCUUUGGCAGAGUUUUCAAACUGUUCUUAGAUGGUUUCACAGUAUGAGACUUUCAUUAGUGAAUUUCAAAGGUCAGCUCUAUUUCUUUCACCUGGACAUACGUUUUCAGGUUGUUUAGUGAUGUUUCAAAGUAGUGCUGGGCGAUAUGGAAAAAAAUGUAUAUCACGAUAUGGAUCAUUUUAUAUCACGAUAACGAUAUAUAAUCACGAUAUAGCUAUGGUAUGCUUUCAGUUCUAUGAAAAAUUUAAGUGUAUACAGCUGCACUAGUACCUGUACAAGACCAGCACUUAAAACUAGAAAAAUGAAUAAAUAAAUACGUGGCUGAAGUGCGUUCAUGUCUGUGCUCACCCAAAGUUAUGCAACACUCACAGAAAACGCCGAGUGUGAGCCAAAGCACUCCAUAAUAAUAAUAAUAAUAAUAAUAAUAAUAAUAAUAAUAAUAAUAAUAAUAAUAAAUUUAAUUUGUAAUGCACUUUACAUUUACAAAAAAUCUCAAAGUGCUACAGUACACAGUAAAAAAAGAGCAGCAACAAUAAAAAAAGCAAUAGAAUGACAGUCACAGAUUGGCAUAAAAAAAAGAAUUAAAAAAAUAAAAAAUAUAGAGUUGCAAUGUAAGAGGCAAGGUAGUAAAAGCAUAGAGGAAAACUAACCAAAGACUUUAUUAAAAAGGUAGGUCUUUAGGGCUCUUUUGAAGAGGUUGUUCACACUGCUAGAUGUUUCUCCUCCAAAGCUGCUCUAUGCCUCCAUCAUUGUUUACUUUACUCUUGAAGCACGUGGGAAGACCCGAGCAUGAAUCCGAGCGCUUUAUUCGCCUAUCAGGGGCAGACAGGUAAGGUGAUUUGAUUCGCCACGACUCCAGAAAUGAUUGAAAAACUACAGAAUGUCACAAAAUUACGUUUCCUCGCUGCUGGCUUGAAGGGUAGAAAUGCGCAGCCGCGCUCCCAGCUGACAGGAAGUCAAACCACUGUUGUAGUUCUUUUGUGUUGCUAGCGCGGUCAAGAGUGUUAGCUCUUACUGAGAGAUGACUACAAAAAUGGACGCACCUGUUCAUCUGGUUGUUAAACACGGCUGAAAAUUAUCAUCUUUUAAUGUUCCCGCUCCUGCCCACUCCCGUUGCUUUUUUUCCCGUCCUGUCCCGAUCAAGGGAUUAAUUAAAAAAUGACUCCCAUCCCGCGGGAAUCACGUGACCCACGGGGAAUCCCCGAAAAAUGUCAUCCUCUACAGGGAAGGUCCCGGAGCACAUAAAACAGGUGCCGGAGCGGCUGAAAUAGGUCCCGGAUCCGAUCAAAAGAGGUCCCGGAUCGCGCUCCGACUUGCUCCGGCACAAAUUAAGCACUGCUUACAAUGAUCCCCUCACGUGUGUAACCCAGGUAACCCGCAACGGCGGGAGACGCUGGACACAAAGAGGGCACGUAAAGCGGUGUCAUGUCGCAAAAUCGAAAGAGAAAUGCGAGCCUACAUGUCAACGCAUCCUUUUCUUUGUAAGGAAAUAUUGUUUUCUUUCCCGUUUGACACGAAAUACACUUACUGAAUGUGCAAUUAUUGUUGUUGUUACUAUGAAUCAUCUGAUGGCACAAGCCCUAUGGAUAAAAUACAGCCUAUCGCCCGAAACGAUAAAAAUAAAAAUGGCACGAUAGACAUUUUCUAUCGUGCCCACGAUAUCUAUCGUCCAAUCGCCCAGCACUAUUUCAAAGCAAGCUGACUGUCUUACAAGUGUGCAGUUUAUUGCUGGACCUCCUGUGGCAAAAGCUUUCAAGUCCCUGUGGUGAGUUUUCUUUUAGCUUUUACACUUUGUACCCAUUUAGUUAGUUUCACUCCUUGUCUUCUGACAGAACAUGGACACAGAUAUAUUGUGUAAGUUUUCGUGGUGUCCUUUUCUUACCUGUUACACCAGUACUUUCUCCCAUGUCUUAGCUUUGCUGUUUGAUUUACCCUAGUUAAACCCUUUAUUGUGUCACAUUAUCAGUUCCUGUUAAUAAUGAUUAAGCUGACAUCGGCAUAUGAUAGGAAUAUACCGUACAUGUAUGCUUUGAACAGGAUUUGAUAUUUGAUGUUAUUUCCCAUAUCAUUGACCAGCACUCCCAAACUGGCCUCCACUUUUUUCCUAUAAACCGUCCUCUGUUGUGUGCUGGCUUUGUUCUUUUUUGGCUCACAGUGUCCCAUUUAAAGUCCAGGUGUGUCAUUUUAUGCCAAGUGCCAUAUUCACACGCACUUGUAUUUCAAUAUAAAACACCCUCAUUUGUUGCUUCAGACGCAGUGUUCUGAACUCAUUCUCAGCCCUGUGCAAAAAGCAUCACAUUGUAAAAUUAUUCUAAUUACAAACCUGUUGAACAGCUCACAGUGUGCACAUGGUGUCUGUAUCAACACACACUUUUCAUUCAAAUGAAGACUGAUGUUUUAGGCAGGUUUGUCUUUUAGCUUGUUGCAAAGAACUAAAAGACUACCGUGCUGCAUUAAAGGAAUGAAAGGAAUCAGUAAAAAGUGAGACUCGUACUAGGACGAGCCAGUCACGAUCAAGGCAACAGAACAGGGAGGACUCAAAUGCAUGACACAGAGUAGGUUUCACAACCCAAAAGCAGAGUUUGGUACCCAAAAAGGCAGUCAGACAAGGCAGAGGUAUUGAAAAGGUGAGACUAAUGGUGCGUUCACACCAAGCACAAAUAAAAUCAUUUGUGUGAUUAAAUUGUAAAAUUAAAGGUGGGGUAGGCAGGAUUCUGUUAAAGAAGCAUCUUUUUUGUGGUGUAUAUAUAAAAAAGCUUUUAAUAUCAGUCAGUAGCUAUUAGUUAUUGAUUAUUAGUUAUUGAAACAUUGUGUUUGUCGGUAGUCUGUUGGCAUCUACAGUAGCACCAAUGCUUUUUACUUUCAUGUUGACUGGGCCCCAUUUGUAAUCAUCUAAAGUAUUUAUCUGCAUUAUAUCUGAAUUUAAUUGAAACGAUACGAGCGAGCAGGAGCGUCUGUUUGUGGGCGGGGCUUGCUGGAGCAGAGAGGGAGGGGAGAGGAGGAGCUGAGGGGAAAACUGGUCGGGAGGGGUAGAUUGCUCCCAAAAACUGGCAAUUCCUCAGAUCCUGCCUACCCCACCUUUAAUGCAAAGACAUGAUUAGAUAGGAAUUGACGUCCGACACGCUACUCGCCUAAAACGCUUAUUCGAGAGAAUUGAAGAAAUCUGAGCUCAAGCAUAUGUUCCCAUUCAGCACGGAGAUACCCAAGUGACGUAUGUCAACAACAGAUCAGCAGAGAUUUAUUCAUGUAGGAAAAGGAGGAUUAACCAAUCGUGACAGUAUUCAGCCACCUGUGCUGAAAAAUACUUUCUGUGAUAUCAAGACAGGAGUAAAAAAGAGCUGAGCUUGAGGAAAGAGAGUGAGGAGGUCUGAUUAUCGGCUAAGUUGUUUAAACGCAACAGAUCCUCACAAUGUGAUCGACCUCUGUUAUGUUUGAUGUAAACACAUUGACCUGACAUGUAGGAACCCCUCCUACUCGCUUUCUCUUCUUUUGCACAUUAACACGUGUGUUGGGGCGCUCUGCAGACCUGAUACAAGCGUGUGGAUUAAGCAAGUUAUCUGAGUGAAUUAAGCGAGUAAACACUCGACCAUAGCGCAUCCUAAUAUGUGCGAAUUAAGCGAGUAGAUAGUUUUAUCCUCUCUGCUCUCAGUGUGAACACAACACAAAGGCAAGGUCAAAAGACAGGAAAGGCUUUGACUACAGAAGAAUGCUGGAACUUGAACUUUGAAGGACAACAAACUGUCAAAAAGACUGACACAAAAGGGAUUUUAUACACGAUUUAAACAGGACCCUGAAACAGAGACAAUGGUGAAUGAUCACACAAUGAAACAGGAAGCACAAGGCAAGAAACACGAAGGGAAAAAUAAAAUACUUCACAGACACAGACGGAUAUGACAAAACCGAAACUGAAUAUCUGAAAGCUUAUUACUAUGUGACAAAGUGGUCGCAUAUCCUAUCUUAUUAGAUUGUGUUUACCUUUCUCACUUGAAAUGUAUAAGAAAGCAGAACACAUCAUUGCUGAGCCAGUGUGAGAUGAGGGAUGUGCUCUCUGUGUGUACUUGUGUGUCCCUCUUAGCCUUUUUGUCCUGCACGGUGUCAGUGAUGGAGGGGGCAGCCAUUAUCCCCCAUGGGUUGUUAGGCAGAAGUGGUCUGGCCCAGAUGAAAGCUAGUAGACAGAGCCAUAGCUCAGUGCUGACCGGCUUGUCAGUUGACUGAUUAGAAAAAUGUGCUGAUUUUAUGGUUUAAAGGCGAGCAGUCCAGUGUACUCGGAGGAUCUAGCGUGGCCUCAUCCUCACAACUGUUAAAUCACACUGACCAGACUAAAAGGAAAGGUCAGUGACUGUGCCCCGCUUUACUGGCUAGAAACUAAAUGAUCAGGUUGAAAACAGCAUUUUUGAUGGUAGACGCUCUACAAUCAAGGCCCUCUCGAGCAAGAAUAGAGAUCACUGUCACCGUGAGCUCAAAUAAAUGAAGUAUAUGACCAGUUGUCAGGGUGGUGGGCGGUGUGAGGGGCGUUGAUGGAGAUAAAAAUGAUUUAAGUGUUUUUAUUUUACUUUACUAAAGCUUACUGAUAUAAUCUUAAACGCCUCCACCUACAUACCAAGUCUAUGUGCUUUCCCAUUUUACUCUGUCAUACAAAUGAGGAGAUGGUAAUUAGAUUAUCUGAUAUGCUUUUGUUUCAGCAGAUUGGGAGUAAUUUAAAUGAGAACUGAACUGUUGUGCUCCAUACUUUCAUACAUAUCUAGUAUCAUUUUACAAUGUUGUAUGUUGAUGCUAAACUGCAUUAAAGUUCUAGAACAUGAGAUACAUGGAUGGCGCGCGAUCCCACGCUGUGUUCUCCUGGUUUGCUGGAAGGAUUGUUUACAAAUAUAUUGACACUAUGGCUUCAGGUUGUACCAUCUUGGUUGUACCAUCCAGACCAUCAGUCCGGAAUGGAUUGCUUGUAUCGGAGUGCUGAUAUCAGAGAUUUUAGAUGCUGGCCGAUAUAACCAAUAUUUGUUUUUUUUACUGAUAUUGGACUGAUAUGCGAUAUCUGUAUCGGAUCGGGACAUCCUUACUAAAGGUUCUUUCUGUAAUGAUCAUCCUUAAAGGUUGUGAACCGCUAACUGUAAGCAACAUCACAACAGCAGCUGAUGGAACAGUAGCUUAUAUAGGCCACCAUGUUCAAAUAGGGAGCAGAACAGUUAUGUCUAACUUUGCAUAAGAGGAAAACCAUCCAAAACAAAACAUAUCAGGCAGGAGCUGAAUUUAGGCUUUUAAGGGGUUUCAAAUCAUGCAAAAGUACUUCAUAGGUGUCCCAGUUGUGCAUUUAAGUGACCACAUUUUAGACUUUUAUGUCCACUUGUCCAAUUGUUGUAGAUGUAUGGACAGGUCAACAAACAGCAAAUGAGAGCUGGCUUCAUGUGGAGUUUUUGCAACAAAAAUAGUAACGUUUGUAAGUUAACAAUACUUCUCAUUUUUUCUUCAUACUUUUCAACCCAUGUCAUGAUUUUUGCUCAGACUGCAGCCAAGUGUUUUCUGCGACCUGACCAAGCCUUAUCUCUAGUCCCAGUGAUCUUUGUGGUUGAACCUACCCUGUAACUUUAUAUUUAACUUUAGAAAAGAAAGUUAAGCUGUUUCGUACAUUUAUUUUGAGGUGAAGGGGUCUGUCAGCAGCAAGAACAGCAAACAUAUCUAUCUUAGCAGAGCACCAAAUUGGAUAGGACCAUGCCAAGUCUGUCUAGGGCAAUGUGCCAGCAGAGAGCAGUGGAAGGGCUUUAGGGCUGCAGCAAUAAAAAAUAACAGAUGACAAAGAUGGAAAACAGGGUUCUCUAUAAACAUUUAACUGAUAUUUUAGAAUGACUUGGGGAAGAAUGCAGGAGUAGAAUAGCCAGGUCCACUGAAAUAGUUAAAAAAAAAAACUUUACAAGGGUUUUAAUUUUACAUCAUCCACUAUCUUUCAGUAACAAAAGGUAGCACCCCUACUAUAUAUCUCUCAUCUUCAAUUAAGAAAAGGAUGAUAAAAGGAGCAUCUGAAGGUUAAAGCUAAUUUUGUUCCGUUUAACUCGCCUGCCCUUGGCUUGCUGUAGUGGACCUUUAAAUCUUUAUUGGAGUUUUUUGUUAUUAAAUAGCCAACUACGAUGCGUGUAUUUGAGGUCUUCGCCAACGCGCCCAUGGUCACUGUAGUCUCCACUUCCUUGUGUCCUCUUCGUCUUUCAUUCCUCUCCUUUUCCCACACUGACAAACACACACACACGCCCAGACACACAAACACACCGAGUAUUUUGGGAAGAUGUCCAGCUGCCUCGGUGAGAAUGACUAAUGACCCCUUUCACAGCACAAACACCACCUAAUCAGAGAUGCUGAGGAUCUGUGUCUGCCCGCUGUCCUGUCUGAGUAAUUACGCCAGGGACUCAAUUAAUCUACUACCCAACAAUCAACCCAGCUGUACAUACUUGUUGCCCACUGCUGCGUCCAGAGAUCUUGGGUCAAAUUCUGUUUCAUAUCAGUCCUUCACUUGUGCAUUACUGAGAGAAAUGUGUUUAAAAAAACAGCAGUAGGGUAAAGAAUACACUGUUUGGCUUUGAGGCGAUGUUUUUUUUUAAGAAUACAAAUACAGAUCCAUUCUGGUGAAGUUAAUUCAAUGCUUCAGGAUAAAGCUUAACCUUCCUACAGCAAUGCAGUUAAAUGGAUUUGGCUCCACACUCUUAUGGGGGAAUUUGUUCAAGCUUUAGAAGGAGAUUCACGACAGGCACUCUGCCCCUCUUGGCACCUUUUUGAUAGGCUGUAAAAUUUUGCAAUGAAAAAUAGUCUAAACAAAAGUGUAUUGUGGACAGGUUUCAUCUGACCUCAGCAAUAUUUUGCCUCAGUGCAUUUAUUUUUUGUACAACACAUUUAUGCUAAUAUAUUGCUUAAUAUUUAUUAUUCACUUAGAGAAAUUUACCCCGUAUAUUAUGCAGUUUGCUCUCUUCUUAUUUGAUUCCAUAUCCUCACUUCCUUGGGUCUUAAAUGAGUCCAAAUGCACACUAUAGCUUUAUAUGAGGGCCUCUAUAAUUUACAGUUGGGUUUGACAGGACAUGAAUGGAAGUUAUUUGAACUUAAAUUAAGUCAGUGACUCAGCUUGGGCCAGCUGCCCUUCAUAAAACUUUGUACAAAGUUAAAAACAUCCCAUAAACGGAAAACUUUUCCAUUUUAUGUAUUUUUAAAUUCAAAACUGAUUUUGAGCUCUGUAUUUCACUCUUAAACCUUAGCAACAGAACCCAUUAUCCAAUUUUGGUUGUUAAGGCCUUCAACGCGAGCUUCUCCCAAGUGCUUUUACCUGUUCAUUUCACAAUUGUCAAAUACAUUUUCAAACAAAAAAAAAACAUGUUCCAAUAACCAAGGGGAUGUUUUCUUUUAUUUUUAUUUCCCCUACUUUAAGACCACAAGAACUUCAGUUUUCUUCUGUAUGACUAUAAAAAAUUCUUACUCUCUGAUUUCAGGAAUCAGUUUUAGUUAGAUCAUUUUAAAACAAGAAAAAUCCUUUGUUCCUAAAGGAAUUUAAGUACUGUAUGUAAUGAUUGUAAAGUUUUCUGCCAUUCAAUCAAGCAAAUAAUUGACUUAUCAAAAUUUUGGUCUUAAUUUAGUGAGCUUGCUCAGUUUAUCUCACUUAAAGCUCCUGUGAGAAACCUUCAGUUAGUCUCAAUUUUGGCGCCCCCUCUGGACAAAGCAGUCUUUGCUUAUCUUGUCCUCUAUAUGUUCAUGUGGUGUCUUCCAAAAUAUCUUCAACUUCUGAAAGUUUGAGAGUCAAAUUUACCAUUCCAUGUGGAAAUCAUGAAAACAGGGUGUUUCUUCAGCUGCUCGGCAUUUACCCCCUUGCAUUAAUUUCAGGCCUUAAAGAUUACAAUUUAAAAAAUCAUUAAUCUGAAAAAAAUUAUCAAUCUUAAUAAAAAUGCAUAAAUGUGCCUCAUGAACAUCAAAGUACUGCUCACGGGAGCUUUAAACUAAACAAACAGGAACAUAAACGUACCACCAAGACUUGUUACUGAAGAACUAACUGUAUUAAAACAAUAUUAGUCUGUGUUACCUGAGCUUUCAUUCGCAACUUUCUACUCUGCAUUCAGGUGUUAAAAGUUUUCUUGGCAUGAUGCUUUUAAUUUCGUUGUAUGUGUUAAAAGGCUACCUUACAAUAAUUCCAAAGUGCAAAUAUAUAUUUAAUUUCUUCAGCAACAAUUACCACUUUUCUUUACUGUCUGUUUUUGGGAUACAAUAAAAAUGUCAAUGAGUGACUCAAGAAUAGACCCUUUUCCCACAGUGUAUAAAUCCUGCACUAUGAAUUGUACUUGAAUAGGUUUUGAGAUUUGUGGCGGAAAGAAAAGAGCAUCUAAAAGCCAAUUCUGAGCCCAUUUCCCCCUGCUUUUUUCAGAUACCAUAUCCAUUUACACCUGGCAUUUCAUCUGAUGAGUAUUUAUUUAGAUUGUGCCCAGAUGUGGUUGAUCUACAUUACUAUAUUUGUCAUGAAGAUUCUUCUCUGACAGCUAAAUGGUAAUCCAUUUUCCCCCCAAGCUUAUGCAUAUGCAGAUUGCAUUGGCCUGGGAACCGUUGGCUGUCCACGAUUCCCAUCCAAAACAGGAAAUUACGCUACCACAGUGGCCCGAGGAGAGUGAUUAAGACGUAAUAUGAGUUCAGAAAAUGAAGUACUGCUGUAGCUCAUUUAGCCAGUGGUGGUUCAGGAAAUUUAUAAAACCUCAAUAGUCGGAUGAAGCCUUUUCUAAGUUGGCUGUAAAACGCUUCUCUAUUUAACAGUACAAAAGAGUACAUGUGGAAUUCUCCUUGGCUCAGUGUCAGUACAAUAGUGUGAGGCUGAUCAGCUGUGAUUCUGACUCGUUCUCUCAGUGUUCUGCUCAGAUACAAAUGGAAAAAUAUGUGAUCCAUUUUUUCCCAUCAAAUAAAUUAAUCUUUAAGAAAAUUUAGGACAUUUAUACAGUGUUUGGAUGGCAAAAGCUUUUUUGGACAUCUAAAUUGGUUUGUGAUUAAAAGUCCCAUAGAAAAUGUCGCUGUAAUAACCUCUCUCUCAGCCUGGAAAUCAAUUUUAAAAUGCAAAAAUAUAAUAAACCAUCUCAGCCUGAGUCUUAUCAGAUCCCGCAUUGCUAUGCUAAUGCUAGCUUAACUGUGUUAUGUAAAAGACUUCAUUUGCGCACAUAAAUCCAAUACGGAAUUUCAUGCAAAUGUCCAAGACAGCCAAAGGCAUGGAAAUUUAACCUGCGCCUGAACUCUGGUAAAUGAGGUCUCCUCUUCAACAACUUAGUCAUGCUAGCACUGCUGCUACUGUUUAUUGCUCUGGUUUCUGUCAUUCCUCAACUUUUCCUAACAAUGUUGAUAGGCACAGGUAGAAUUCAGCAGAUUGAAUAUUUAUAUUUGCACUGUUUAUUGAGAAGUCCGCUGUGUUUAUAUUUCCACACUCUGUAACUCUGGGUUUGCACAUUAAUAUUAACACAUCACAGUUUUGUUUUGUUAAUUUUCCUCAGCAGUCUUGUUGUCUCAAGCGAAGUUUGUUUGUUGUUUUGCUUACUAUUUUGUCACAAAGAAUACCUAAUCUGGAUGAAGUUGUGUGAAACUUUUUUAUCAUUUAAAAGUAACAUACAGGUGUUAUCAUGGAUGACAUCUAUGUCCUUAUUUCAAAUGAGUGAAAAAACAGGAAAUUAUCAUUGGAAUUAUCUUCAAGUACAAUACAGUGUAAGAACUCCCUUGGAAAUUAGAUGAUUCAUCUGUGGAGCUUAUGUAAAUUUUUCUAUUGUCGUGACAGUGAGAGACAAAAACAGUACAUUAACAGUUGCAUGAUGUGCGAUCUUGUUGGGUACAGGUCCUGUGUCUCUGACUCAUCAAAAUCCAAAAGGAUGCAAUAAAAUCAUGACCCAUGUGUCCCAAGGGAUGUGGCUCGUAAGGCAGGACAAUCCCACACAAAUUAGUAAUAAUGUUCACAAUGUUCCCAUGUCCUGUGUGUGGUAUGAGAAAUACUUCAAUACUUCAAAAAGUAUUUCAAAUCAGCCAUUUUUUUGUCAGCUAACUUUGCUGGAAUUGCUCGGUGUUAAGAGAUCACUUUUUUUCUCUUGAAUUUUUCUUCAGGUCGGGAAGGUCGCAUUUAAACUCCAUUAAAAAAAAAUGAAUAAAGUUUUUCAACAGACCUGCCACAGCUAUUUAAACUCAGGGUACUGCAAGAUGUUUGAGUCUGAUAGGUGUGUAAUAAAGGUUGGGUUGUUGAAGCCUUGUAUUGUGGGGUAAAUUGUCUGUUGUUGAGAGGUACAGAUUGGAUACUGGCAGGGGAAGAGUUGAACGGUGGGGGAUUUCAGAGGACUCAACGUUACCUUGGUAUUUGGUUAACAGAAAUGGUCGGAGGUCUCUCAACCAUCACAUAUUGUAUUGGGUUGUUAUUGCUCUCUCUGUGAGUGGCCUCUGGACCAGGGGGAGCUUCCUGACAUGACCCUCUGUGUCUUCACUCUAUCACAUGCUGUUUCGUAGGAUAGCUGCAGCCUUCAGUGCAGAAUAAUAUCAUCCCCCACAAAGACAUGUGGAAGUGGUUCAAGGUCUACAGCAGCAGGGGGAAGUCUGUCUUUUGGGAAAUCCUGUUUGCUUGCCUGAAGAGCCCUUCCAGAUGGUGAAGCUGAGAGUGCACCUCAAUCACUUGUCGUCCCAGAAGCACUGAGCUCGAGGAGGUGUCUGGCAUCCUUUGCAGCAAGGGAUGUUAAAGAAAACCACUCUAGCCAGAGGUGCAGAUAAGAAAAAAACUUGAAUGUCCUCACCCAGUAUGGAGCUUUACUUGGUCGGGGAUGUCCCUCUCAUUUCAAGUUACAAAUGCUCAAUCUACUUCAGAUCUACUCAGGAUUGUAUCUUCUAUUAAAUGAGGAAUUUCACUAAUUUAUGUCGUAUUGAUGGGCAAAUCCAGAAUCAUUAUCAAUCUUUUUCUGUCUACUUUUAUCCUUUCACAAUGUAAUGAUCAGUCAAUUAGUGAGAGACAAGUUCACAGAAAUCACUGCAGACUGUAUCCCCACAUCUCUUUUCUUUUGCUUUACCAGCCUAAAAAUAAUCAAAGGUUUGACUGAUCCAUGGUUUCUACAGUCAAAUUUUAUUUACGAGGCAUGAUCCCAAUCUUAACUGUCGGACUGGAGCUGAUCCUUGCAUUCAUAUUAAUUGGUGAUCAGCAAUCCGAGCGGAUCAUCUGAGCACAGUUUGUGUGAAAUCAAUGCUUAAGUCAAUUAGUGUAACCGAACAAUCCUGAUUGUCCUAAAAUACUAAAUGGAUCAUCAAAAACAGCACUGUAACCAUUGCUUAAGCUCUAUUGCAUGUACGCACAUGUGCGCAGCCUGACGGAUUACAACAACAACAACAACAACCACACUCCUGCAGCCUACAGGAACUCUCCAGGGACAAAUGCAUUAACUCAGAACAGUCUGUUGUAAUAGCAGCAGCAACCUUGUGGCUAUAGUAUCAGCAAUGUGGAAAUAUUUCAUACUAGAAAGGGAAAACAGCCCAUGAGACACCUGCAUAUGCAGUAUAACUAUUAAGCAGGGCUAUGUUCAGUUCUUCUAAUUAAAUACAAAAUUUAAAAUGUUAAGAUGCAACAUAUGUUUAUGUUCAUUAAAACAUUGGGGGAAGGUCGGGCAUCAAAGCCACAAACUCUGGAAUUUAAAAGGAAGGAUAAAUAUCUAUGAGAGAGUGAAAAGGCAAAAAAACAUCCAAGAGUAGGUGGUUAAAUUAAUUGCUUUGGACCAAUCAUCACUGUGGCAGACUUUGGAUGCAGAUCAAAUCAUGUGAUUUUACAUUGGAUAUUUAAAGCUUCAACAUUUGUCGCGUGUCGUUGCUGAGACUCUCCGCACACUGGUUUGAUUCCUCCACUUCCAAGUUCAAAGUCAGUAGAUAUUGUGAGCUGGCUUGUAAAGAGAAAAGCAUAAAAAAAAAACAUUAUGUUAGACAAUUAAGUAAAUGUACAAUGUUUAUGUUCCUGGUCUUGCAGUAGGUCGUUGCCAUUACCACUAUCACACUGUAACAUAAGAGUUGCUUUCACAGCAGCAUUUCAUUGAGUCUUAAGUGUGCAGUAUUACUUGCAUGCAGCUAUUACAGACACAGCAUGUAGAAGAAAUAACAUAUGAGUUUUACAACAAUGCCAGCUCAAUCGUUUAAUGUAAAUGAACUAUGUUUAUGUAACGCUCUCUGUAGUCUUCUGACCACUCAGACACUGACAUAUAGAAAGUUCCCUACACAUACCUGCAUUAGCUUUCAAGCAUAUUCUUAAGACAAUUGACCAGUAAAUUUGAACAUUUUUUACUUUUACAUCUUUAACUCUUCUUCUCUGUCUCCUAACUAUUGAAUUUUGAUGUUAAUUAAAUAAACAGAAGGAAUUUAGCAAAGUUAUGUCAAAGUAAUGUUUUACUGCAUUUGUGUGCUUGAGUCUGAGUGUGUCCUUUAGUUUUUGGUUUCAUUUUGAACAGGACUGUACCUUGAACUGAUGAGCCCGUCACCCUUCAGGUGGGAGAAAUUUUUAAUUCCCUCACCCUAUUAAUGAUUCCUGCAGACAAUAAAGACAGGAAAUCAUGAGUCAGACGUGCACUAAACUAAUCAAGUGAGUGAAAGGGAGGAGUAUUCGAAGAAAUUAAAAAAGAAUCAAUGCUGUUCUGGAAAUGAGAUUCUUUUGAAAGCUUGGUAGAGUUGGGAUGAACCCAAAUCAUGAAUCACUGGUUAAUUAAGCGCUUAGUCGAUGAAUUUAUUUGCAGAAAAAAAAAAAAUCAUUUCCUCUAUUGAGAUGAAGAUGGCUGGAUGAAAGAGCAAUCUCUUGUAUUUCAAUGAAGUUUAAAUUUGCAUGCUUCGGCCAAAUUGGUAUUCCUUUCAGAUCCCUGUGAGAUACUGAAACAGAAAGCAGUUUAGACACUGUCAGAUUGGUGAGUCAUCCUACAGUCCUUUUAAACUGUUUAGCAUUUAGGGAGGAAGGCCCCGUUAGUCAAUAUGAGGUGUGUAUUCUGUAGAUGUGGAAGUCAUUGAUUUAGUUUGUCAUUAAAGUUGAAUAUCCUCUUUUAGACAAAACGCCAGUGUCUCAUACUGGCACUCUGCUUAACUCUCCCCUCUGUCAUUUAACUACUAUUUUAUAAUUCAAGUAGAGAGGAGUGCGAGGACAAGCGUCCCAAAUUUAAACAACUAAAAACAGGGUGUCUUGUCUCUUCCUACCUAUCAUCUGAAACCAUCAAUGUGUCUCAUUGACAGAUGACAUCUUUGGCAGAGAAAUUAUUAAGUGGUAGUUGUCAUGUUAAACAUGGUUUUAUGCCUUUUUUUCUUUGCAACUAUCACUUUGAAGAAUUAUGCAGCUGUUCAAACCGGCUAUCUAACAUCAAUCAUUCAUCACAAAAGCCAGGGCUCUCUUGAAGAUCCUGUAAAGCUUCAUGUUUUCCUUUGUGUGCAGUUUUUGUAGAAACAUCUGUUUUCACCAUCAUCCAUGCAGUGAAUUUCCAUGUUGUACACUACCCUGAAUGCACAUCCAUCGAUUCGAUUUAUGAGGACAGUUUUAGCCAUGUAAAAUUCUUUAUGUUUGUGUCUAUUCCGUGUCUGUAAACUGUUUGUCUCUGAACUUGGAUAAUGGGCUGUUUACCUGUAUAGUACAUUGUGUUUUCUUACAGUCCUUGUGAAUGCUCCCCUAGUUUCAUGCGCCUCAUGUCCUUUACUAGGCUUGGCCGAAUUUACUCUGUCCUCUGUGUAACAAAAGCUCUCUGUGGUUUGUCCUUUGGCAUGCUGUAAUUAUCCAGAACAGUGAGAGGACAUUUUAUUCUUUUGAAUUUUCAACAAUAUCGAGUAUUUCUUCUUCAUAUUAGGCUAGGCUUGAUAAUUCCGCUGGCCUCGAUAUAUUGUCGUGCACAUGAGUGUUUGGUUUCCUUGUCUCUUGUCUCCAAACAAACUGGAUGACAAGAGGGAUCACUCUGUGCAUCAGUCUCAGCACCAGGGCGUGAACCCUCUUUAAAUUCUGCGGUAAUUCACAUCUUAAAAGAAAACAAAAGAAAAAAACCUUACAAUAAUUAAAGCUGUCCUGAUACGACAUCGAUAUCGGAAAUUUGUCUGAUGUCAGCCAAAAAACAAAUAUCGGAUUAUAUCAGCCUGCAUCUAAAAUCUCCAAUAUCAGCACUCUAAGGGUUAGACCUACCUACCUGCCUGCCUGCCUGCCUGCCCGCCCGCCCUGAUACAAGCAAGACUCCACUCUGGCACUGGUAACUUAGUUUUUUUUUUUUUUUUUUUGUACGAUGUUGGAGAAGGUCCUGCCCUCCUUUGCCUCUGAUUGGCUAGUAAUGAUGGGCUCCGAUUGGCUAUUUCUUAUGGCUGUGAAACGUCAUCUUCUGUCAGGUUAGGGAUAGGGUAAGGGUUAGGAUGAGGAUAUAGGGUUAGGUGAUUCAAGAGUGCGAUAAUGUUCUGUAACGUUCUGUUCGAUGUACAGAGCCGACAGCCCGCGUUUGGCUUGAGCGUGUGAUGACGUUUCCAGGUUUUCUCGCCAAACAGAGGCGAAGGAGGUGGAACUUUCCCCACCAUUCUACAAAAAAAAAAUUCGCUUCUGGCACCUCUAGUUAGCUGCGCCCGGAUCCAGCAUGCAAAGCCCACGUGAUGACAACAACAGUGUGUCCUAAGGCACUAACAAAGUAGCAAGGAGUAGGAGUGAUGGCUGUGUGGCAGUAUUUUUCGUUUAAGUCCGAAAAAGACAUUGCAGCUGAGUGCAAAACUUGUCAUGCACAAGUUUGUGCCAAUAUCGGAAUCGGCCGAUACUGAAGGCUACAAUAUCGGUAUCGUAUCGGAAAUAAAAAAGUUGUAUUGGGACACCCCUAAUAAAAAUGAUAGCAUGAGUUUAGAUUUAAGUAAAGUCAUGUUGAUGUUGCACUCUGUAGAGGGUUUGAAAUGACUAUUGAAGUACCUGGCUAUUGCUGAAUUUAUGUGUUACAAAAAUAAGGCAGCCGCUGAACUGAAUGUGCUUGACUCAAAACGAGCCCAGUGGUUAAGUCUAAAGAAACUGUCUUGUUAGAACAGAGAUUUUUACAUUCGAGUGCAACAAUCCCUGUCUGCUCAUCAGGUGGUCGGAUUCAUGGAGCUCUCUCUCCUAAUCAGCCCCAGCUCACAGUGGCUUCUCCAAAGACAGUGGAGGCAAUUAGUUUAAAAAGCAUUACUUGACAUUUAACUCCGCGUUCCCUCACCUCUUCCAUGAGCUGGUGAAUUUCUGACAUUUCUAGCAGACUCAGGUGGCUGAAGACUGUAAUUUUAGUCAGACUGACCGGGCAUCUGAAGCCCAGAUCCAGGAGCCAAACAGCUCCACGCUUGCUACAGAGUGGGUGAUGUGAGGGAUCAUAGGUCAAAUUGGCGCUACAUAGACACCAAAUGCAAUAAAUGAGCUGAGCUGAGGAGUUUAUAGUCCAACCAUCCAAAUGAGACAAAGCACUUGGACAUCUGAGGUUUUAAGACGGCGUGUCUUUACUGUAAGUUGAGGGGUGAUAGAAGUACCAGGCUGAUAUUCACCCUUUUUCACCCAAAUAAUUUCUGGUUUAACCUGCAUGUUAAGAGUCCAGUACUAAGGGGAAAUUUCUCAUCAUCAUCAUACGUAACACAACGAUGACUAAGCCAGGUCAAACUCUGAAAGACACGUCUACCUAACAUGCUUUAAACCUGCUCUUAUUAAAAUGUGUCCAUGUAGGUUGACAGUUCCACCAUAUUGUGACCCAUAUUAACAUCCAUAAUUAUGCCGUGACCUUUAGCGGCUGUGGUAAUUAUGAUGUGAGCAGAGUCAGACGUCUGGAUGAGGUAACUGAAAGAGCAAGAAAGUCUGUGAUGGUGGUUCCUGUUAGUCACUCUGAAUACACCAGACAAGGAGAAGAGAAAGUGAUGCAUAGCACUUUAUUUUCUGAUUGCAUUAACAGCAUAAAGUCAAAGUAAACAUAUCUCCAUGUGUACUUUUCAUUUUUUUUACUCAUGUUUCACUAUAAUCAGAGACUACAAUACGCCACAGUACUGGAAGAACUGCUGCAGAUGAAGUGAUGUUUACCUUCAGCUGUCUCCUGCAUGAUUAGUCUCACUGUUGAAUUCUCUGGUAUCAUGGAGCAGCGUUGAGUGACACUAGUUUCUCAAGGCCUAGCUAUAUCGUAGUGCAAAUAUUAGCCUUUCACAGCAUUAUUGAAACCUAUCAAUACCUGCUUUCAUGAAGCAGUGUGUGAUUUAUUGUAAUAAUCCCACUUCAUGAUAACCUCUAUGGUUAAUGCAUCAUGGUUCAGGGUACGAUGUUGGAAUAAGAAAUUUAGCUGUUGAAUAAUUUGAUUAUAUGAAGUGUUCUGACUGACUUCAUGCAAUACUGUCUGAGUAGGCUUGUUACCAGUGUGGAUGCAUUUGGCAGCAGCAGAAGAGGACCGCACAAUUCAACCAUUAUGCUUGAAAAAUGAGACCUGAAUAUAAUAUGGGUUUAAAAAAGCCGAAUUUGCAUUGUAGUCUCUUCCAAAAUGAAACAAACAGCCAACCAUUAAAAGAAAUAAUGUGAUUUUCACUUGGAAUAGCAUACAGGCUUUUGUGCUGGGAAAUUUUACACACAUCUGGAUACAAAUAUUGACGAUAUAAAGUGAAUAAAUGUCCGUUUGGAUUAAAAAACAAGAGUGAGUGAGAGUACAGGCAGGCCAGCCUUCUGUCCUCAGGGUCAACACUAAUUUAAUAUGAAAAGAAUCAGCUUUGAAUUUCAAUACCACCCAAAAAUACUCACAAUAAUAAUGGUCACUGUUCAAUCAGGCCGUCUAAUCCAUCUCUUGGGACAAACUAACUUCUCUCCAGUUUCCUAUACACAACAUUUCAUAUUAUUUUGCUAAUAGAUUCAUUUAGAUGAAAGGCAAACCAAAGUGCAGUAACGAGACAUGCCCUGGUGUCUUCAAACAGACUUUGUUUUAGUUAUGAUCAUUAGGAGCUCUGUGAAUAACAAAGGUCAAGAGCAGAACCUCAACCUCUCCCUGUGAAGUUCCUACUUCAAAACUUUGGUGAAGAUAAAUAGCUAUAGCUCUUUUACUGCCAAUUAUAAAGCAGAGAUAAUAUCCAUUGCAGUAAAAGGUUCAGAGAUUAAGGUUUUAUACCCGCAUGUUCAGUGAUGGUGGUAACUAAUUUCUGUCCAUUAAAGAAGAUGAAAAUGGAUGCACUUGAUGUUUUUCUGUUUUAAAAGUGUUUCUUCCAAGAUUUGUCGACCAGUAUAACUUUAUCUUUUAAUCACAUGAAAAUCACUAUUUUGUUAUCAAAUAGACACAGCAGCACAACGUCAUUUUCAACUUGUUUUGAGUCACCAAUGAGCACAUCAAAUCCUGUCGGACCCUAUUUCAUCAACGUGAAAGGUAAUGUUCAAGCUUAUACACUGUCUAUAAAGCGAGUAGCGAAUAGCGCAGCAGAUGAAACGUAACAUAAACAUAACAGCAUAGGUCCUUGAGCAACAACCCUCUUUGUUAUCUUCCAACUGAUGCGCAUCACGGGACCAUUUGGCGUACAUAAAAAUCCACAAAGGCUGCAUGUUGAUUUCCUUAUGUUGUUUUUGUUUGCCACUUUCUCUAAGCUCUCUCAGCAAAGAUAACCUGACUGCAGCAGACAUUUUGACACAGAGUGACUGAUCACAAGGUUUAAGCUUUUUCUCAGCUGAUCUGAAGUUCCUAACUGAGAUACAUGAUGCAGCACAGGACGGGAGUAAUGGUCAGAUGAGGAAAAAUUAUAAAGGAUGAGAAGGUGAGGUUUGGAACAGGCUCACUGCCCGCCUCUGCCUCGUGUGGUAGUUGCCAGAGUCCUGUCCCUGGAUGUACUGAACAUUGUAAUUACCUUGAUUCAGCCUUGGUGUGCUUACCAGUCAACCCACAGAUCUUGCUGUGCAGAUUUUACACACGUGUGGUUGAUAAUCGGUCACAGUGGUGCUAGGCCAGUAAGUUGCUCUUAAAAAUCAGCAAAAUCAAGCAGCCAAUUGUGGGCCUCAGGAGGACACAGCUGAGGGUUUAGACUUCUAGAGGUGCAUAUAUCAUAUAUGCAGCACUCACCACCAUCUAAGACAUCUUCACAUGGAGGAGCACAGUCAGGGCAAACAUGAUCAUAAAUGAUACCCACCACUUCAGCAACAGAGUUGGAGAGGCUUCCUUUUGUUUGAUGUAUACACAAUAUCAAGGCAAGUACAGAGAGACUCGAAAAGAGCUGCUUUACUCAAGCUGUCAGGACAGUGAACUCUGCCCUCCUCAGGUCACACCGUGGCACCUUAUUCACAUACCUCACUGUGGAACAAGGACACACACACAGUGAACAUAACACUUGACACUGAGCUUUUUACAGCUCCAUACUUCAGUAAAUUGAUCAUUUUCUUUUUAUAUUGCGCAUUUCUCAGUUAUAUCUAAAUGCCUUAUUAUGUCAGUAUGCAUUUUCGGGGUUAGAAGGUUGUAUGCCAGUUUAACGACAGCCAUUUGUAUCUGCAUUCUCUAGAUCAAAUACUACCAAACUACACUGUCCUACUAAGAUGCUUUCCAUCAUCUGUGAUUGUUUGUUUCCAUCCAGGUAGUAGAGCGUUAAAGCAGUGUGACAGUAGCCAUUAAUCAGGUCAACAGCCCUGGUUCAAGGUUUGGUAAUGGUGCCACAGCUUAGACAUGACUUUUGACCCACAUUUUGGGCUUUGAAUAAUUAAAGUAAGUAAUUCUUGCACUCGGGGGUAAUGAGGUUGACGAAACGGGCACUUUUUAUACAAAUACAGUCACACACACCGAUUGUUUAUACUUACAGAGACAUUUUUAAACAUUGAAUUGAUCUGCACAUAUUUUCGUGUUGAUGCAACCUUAUUAUUAUUUGGAUUGCUGUUAUUUGGGAAGGUUUUCAAAAGCGUCCAGACUCACUUGUGUAGUCUUAAUGAACUGCUGGCUGAUCCAGCUGUGUUGUCAUCUGUAGAAACAGACUCAGCUUCAGAUUAUGGUUCAGAGGAAAGAACAUCUCAUCUCUUUAAAAGCAUGUUCCCUUGUGUUCUCUCUCCUCGCAUCUCUCCUCUUACAUGAGAGGUAACAUCCAAGGAAAGGAUGAAAGAGAACUAGAGUUUCUGACGAAGAAACCGACGUGACUUUUUUACGUAACAGAUGUUGAGUUGGGUGAGGAGAGUGUUUAAAAAGUGGGUCAUGAUUGAUGAUUAUAUUGUAUGUAUUAAAGUUUGAUAGCAGAGAUACACUCUCAGCUUGCAGAAGGGUAAACCAAGCUAAGAUCUCCUGACUUUGGUGCUAACUUUUUCAUUAAUAAUCUAUUUAUUCGAGAAAGAGGGGAGGUAGAUAAAAAUCUCUUUUAGCCAGAUCUCUAGAUUAUAAAUUUUUCUAGAUUUACUUCCUGAGCUUGAACUUCAUUUUACAACUUUAAUUUAAUCAUCUUAAUGUUCCAAAUAAUCUGUUUCUUUAUGCUUACUCUCAUGGUUAUCACUCUUUGUGAAAGUCAGCAUGCAAAUUUGAUAGCAUUUCUAAUAUUCUGAUGGUGAGCAACUUCCAUCCAAAGCUAAAAGGACUUGCAUGUUCACAUUUGGUAACUAGAUCUAAAAGACGGGACAUUAAAUUGACAGUCUUAAUGAGGUAUGUGCCAAACCAUAAGAGAAAUCUUGUUAUGAUUUGAAAUGUUUUAAAGUGUUUUUUUUCUUGGUGGGACACAAGUAUCUAAACCGAAAUCCAAGACAAGCCGUUCAGUAGUUGUAAAAAUGUCUUUUUUUUUUCAACUGUCAAAAGUCAGCAGUUUACCAGAUCAAUGUUAGUUUUAGCUGUUGUUUUAAUUUUUUCUGUGUUUUUUUUUUUCUUUCGUAGUUUUAGUCAAAUUAAAAAAGCUGGGAGCAUUUUAGUUUAUUUUUAGACCACAAAAAAAAAAUCAAAAUAUUUAAGUCUUGAUUUCAACAGUGAAGGAUCUUUGUUUGAAUCACCUUUUUUAGGCAACACAUUUCUCUCAUUUACUUUUUAAUGAUAUUUAUGUUUAAUGAUGAGGGUUGUACUAUAGUUUAAACAGUCUAUGUUUCACUUACAUUUUUCUAAUAUCUGGAUUCCUUUAACAGUUGGAUAGUUUUGCCUGAACAGUGCUGCUGUGUUUUCCCUGCUGAUCUACUAAAGGAAGAAAAAACAAUCUGUAGUCAAAGAAAAGAGAUGAAACACUCCCUCUGUGGUCUCUAUGGCUUUACCCAUCUUCCUUGACUUCAUAAAAAAAAGUGCAAUGAACACAUAUGCUGAAGGUGUGUUCGUGAAAAAAAUGGCUGAAUUGCACUUUCUUUACAGUCCAUAGCUGUCUCUGCAGGGAUACGCAGGCUGGACAGACAUUCACUGAAUGGCAAAACCUGUUGUUGCAUUGUUUGGGAUUGGACAGGUUAUGUGUGCAGCGUUGAUCUCAUGGAUUUUGAAUGUCCUUUACUAACACUUAAGUUUCAUCUUGUCACUUUAUUCAAAGCAAGAAAUACAUUGGCUGAAAUUUUAUUAAUAUUUUUCUUUUUUUUUUUUUUUGGGCUCUGCAUCAUCUUGUCAUGAAAUAGAGUGUUAACAAAUAUUAAUCUUCGUAAUAUUUGUUAACACAAUGAACAUACCACAGUCAAAAUGUUUUUUAACACUGAUUUUACUUCUAUCUGUUUAAUAGUUAUGUUGAUAUUUUAGUCAGGGUUCAAACGUUUAAACAGUAUUUUAACCCAGUGCUUUAUCAUAUUUAUAAAAGUGAUUUGCCUAUACAGAUUGCUUAUGGUUGUAUUUUUUUUUCUAGACACUGCUGCAGUCUUAAUAUUUCGUCACAUCGUUCAGCAUGUUUUCAAACAUCCAAGGCUGUCAUGUCACGAAAUGUGAAGGCUUAUUAAAGCCUCUUCAUGAUUUGUUUAGCCUUGAUUUUACAGGGAGCACCUGAUAAUCUGACCCCACAGUUCGCAGUAAGCUAAGGAGAUAGUGAGCACAUUGUGUAACAUAAUUAGCAUUUCUUUUGCAUGUGCAAGUGAAGAAAGAUCCCUGAUGGCAAGGAGACAGCCAAUUAACUUCUCCUUUCUUGUACAUCAUAGUGAGCUUCUGAGGGAAUAACUUACCCCAUCCAUCUCCUGAUAUAAAAACAGUCAAGUGUGUCUAACACUAUCAUUUACUCCACUACAUUUCAAUCAUUUUUGUGCACCGUCAUGGCAAAUCACAGGCCAAGCUAGCUUUGUAUUCUGUUUGAAGAUUUAGUUUUUGUGCAGCUCACAGAUUUAGUUGAAAACUGUUUUAUACCACUAAUUCACCUGAAUUAAAAAGAACAAUGUAAUGCAAAGUUAAAAACAGUUUAAGACUAGAGCAUUGAGCAUCAGAGCAUCAGAGCAAUUUGGUAAAACUACAAGGUUUCAAAUGCAACUGUUCAGUUGAAGUGAACCAAUCAGAGUCACCCACAUCGAAAGUGUCCAUGUGGUGGGUUAUUUUGUCAGAUUCAUUUAAUGAUACCUCAGCUUACAUACAUGAUUACAAGCAUUUUAUUUUGGUCUCUGUGUUGUGAUUUUGUUAGUGUUGCAGCCCGGUAAUGAAGUGUACCACAGAUAUGGGGUUUGUAGAAAUCAGCACUAAUGACACAUAAUGGGCCGGGGACAACAGACCUGAGUCAUGAUUGCGUCAGGACAAAUGUUCUGUGGAUGCAGUUGUGUGUAUUUGACUGUAUUUGGCUUGUAUUUGACUGAUUUAAAGGGAUAGGUCAGUUUUGCUAAAGGAUGGUUAUCAAGCAUUUUUUUUCAGACUCUUUACUUCCUCUCUAAAACCUCUCAAAUAGCGUCACAUGAUUUUUGAAUGAAAAAAAAAAACUACAAUUUUUUUUACAGUGGUGUAUUAAAAUAUCAUUACUUCAGCUUUCAUCUGAAAUGCUUCGUUUUAGCCUGCACCUGCUUUAACUUUUAAAAAUCCACAAGAGACACAAGUGCAGUAUGAAUUACAUGUAACUACUUAGUUAAAGGGAUAUUCCGGCCUAAAAUUAAUUUAGGGUCAAACACACCGUAACACCGAGUUAGACACCCCCUCAAGAGAUGAAUGUUGCCGACCGCUUGUGUCUUGUGUAAUACCAACUUAAGUAACAACCGCACGAUAGCAAUACACAGCGGUCUGAAGAGCCAUAAACAAACCUCAACCAAAAAGCCACUCUAUAGCCACAAAUAAUGCUCAGAACAGCACCUAACUUCAUCAACAGCACAUAUAGAGUCCUAGCCAUAGUACUAGCCACCAAACAUCUUUUUAACUUUGCCUAAUUUCUCAAGCAAAUAUACUAAACACAACUCACCCACUCUCUUCCAGCAGUCGCUUGUUUGGGCCAGUCCAUUACAGACUGCUGCGGGGUGACGCAGCUCAAGGAAGAACAUUUAUGAUCAUUUCUUCAUGGAAAUGCAAUCAGACCGAGACGAUAAGGCAGAAGAACUACUGUGUCUGCAGUGCAAAACAAUUAAUAUGUUGAUUAUUACUUCAAGGAAAUGAUAAAGAAAUGAUGUCGGCUGGAGUGUUGUGUUUGACCCUAAAUUAAUUUUACACUAGAAUAUCCCUUUAAGUAUUCCCCAAGUUCAGUCUGCCUCAGUGUUCAACUGCCUGACAGAAAGGCUAGUUUCAAUACACACUUUAUCAUAGAGUUUUAAUUUGUACCUCUAAAAUACAAAUCAUGGGUGAACUGCUCAAGCAAUCAGAGAAAAAGUACAACUUCCCCGAAGUAAAUAGCCUUGCUCAUCAUGUGCUCCGACAAUGCCCCUUUGAGCGGUGUCUCUGCUUGGCUGGAGCUUGCAGCUGUCUGACCUCAUACAAAGAUUGGCCUUUUUUUUCUAACCUUUCUUUAGUUUAUGAUGCAGUGUUCAUUUUAAUAACAGUUUUUCUUUUUUCUGGUGAAAAUGCAGAAUUUUAAAUGCAGUACUUUUUAACAACAAUAUUCAGACAAUAAGCUCUUACAGCUUAUUUUUUUUAUUUACAAAGGUCUAAGAUUUAUUUUCAAAUAAUCUUUUUUUUUUUGCCUUGAAAAAAUUGUUUGUUGUGUCUUUGACAGAGCUGAUUGAAAAAUAAAAUCAAACAAGUAGAAAUAUGCUCCACAAAACUGAAAGAAAGCAGCACUGGGCAUAAAACCACAGCCUAUAGCCAAAAUAGUUAAUCGUGACAGAAAUCCCAUAUUUGUCAGGACAAAUAACCAAUGAAAGUUCAUGAUUUGGGAUGUUUUAAUCAAAUUUCAGGGAGGGGCACCCCUGGGGCCCGGGCACCCCAAGCUAUACCCUGAAUCCACCCAUGACACCCACAUCUCUUGACUGUCAAUGUCAUGACCUGCCUCCUCUCUACUGUUUUCUGCCCUUGUGUGACAUAACCUUUUAGAAACUUAUCACCAGGACCCCAAGACAAAAAACAAACGAACAAAAAAAUGUUUCUUUAAUGUUUAACUAUCAGUGCAUGGAUGGUAUUUAGCAUACUAGUGUAUUUUUCAUGGGUUUAAAUACUAAUUUUUAACCAUAUCCUGUAUGCUCUACUGUGUCUGUUAUGUUAGCAUUGAUUUGUAGAAGUCAAAAGGCCAUUAACAGUCUUACAUUUAUCCUGACAUUAGCUGAAGUGGGUUCUUAAGGUGCAGAUUUUCACCUUCAGAUGAGGAGGGGAGGUGUUUUUACAGGGACAAAGCCCACAUGAAGAGCCUCCGUGCUCUAUCCUUGCAUAUUUCAGCCUCCUCCAAACGGCUUUCAUCCACAGAGGAGAACCUGGUGGACAAAAGGCCUGGGGUUAUCGGCAUCUCAUCUUUUAUCUUUUUCAAAGAUAGAAUAUCUGUCACUGAUGGUUUUAUCUUUUAUGCUGCUAUGUGAGUGCCUAAUUGAGAGUGCUCUAUCAAUUUGUUAAUAUGUCAAAUGGAUGGUUGAUUAGACAAGUCUCACAUCUUGCUUUGAAUUCACAACUUUUCUUAUACUCUUUUUUUUUGGCCCCACAGUAACAACCACACUACAUAUCACCUCCCUUUACUGUGAGAUAUUAUAACACAAGUCAUCUGUGUGGACUUCACACCAUUCAGCAGAAGCAUGUUUAGGAACAGUCUUGUCAGAUAUCAACCAACAGCCAAAAAUAACUUUUCUGCUGAACAAUUUUCCCCUUAUUACUUCAACGUGCCUAAAAUAUUGUGUAACAUCAUUUGGAUGUUCAGAAGAUUGAAUGGGGCUUAAUCAAACCUAAAGUAUAACCUUUGCAUACCUGCCAACACUCCCGUAUCUCAGACCUAUCUCCCGCCCACCUAGCGUAUUGUCAUUUCUCCCAGGAAUCUCCCGUAGUUUACAUGGUCCACGUUCAUUCAUGAAUCGGAUCACUAUAUUUGUCCAAAGUUGCCAGGUUUCCAGACAACUUGAGAUUGUCCUGUGUUUCUGCUGAGCUUUACAGACACUGGAUUGAUACUUUUACUUUACAAACUAUAUUUAAGCAGUGUUUGUUGCAAAAUGAACACUUCAAUGAAAGGGAAUCAAAUGGGAGAUUUAAUUAGUGGACUAAAUAAGUUCAAGGCAUAUCGUAGCUAAUUUUUUUUAACAAACAAGUGUGCAGCUUCACCAUAGACUGUAUAUAGAAUGGACGCCGUCUGCCUCCUCGCUGGGUGAAGCCAAUCUGAGAACAGCACACUCUGGCGGCUGGCUGCAGUAUAGGUCAUAAAUCCCGCCUCCUUCAGCAAAGCUUAUGGAGCUGUGGACAAUCUUUAGAAAUUUAUUACACGGAACAUAACCCACCCCACUUGCGAUGUUGACAUGUAGUUACUUUUAAAUAGUUACUUUUAAACUGUAGUUAUUUGGGGGUUCAUGUUUUCUAUGAUUGACACUUGAUACAGCCUAUGGGGUUCCAAGGAUUGUGUAGCUCACCCAGGGGAUAUGCUGUUUGAGCCAAGCGGCAUCACAGCGACUCUCCAGCCGAAUGCGUACAAUGCUACUGCGCAAUGUUGGCUGCAGGAAAUGGAGAAAAAACGCGGAAAUACCGAGAGCUUUUGGCUUCAAAUCCGUAUACUGGCGGGAGGCGGAACCAAGUUGUCCAUAGUAUAUACAGUCUAUGAGCUUCACUUAUACUUAAUUGGAUGAGCAAUUUAAUAACAAAUACUCUCUUAAUUAGCUCAUAUCCACCAUACUAGGUAACCCCAAAACUGCCCAGCGCAUGCCGCAAGAUUUUAUAACCCAAAUGUUGGCAGGGAUGCUCUCGUCUUUUACUGUUUAACAUUUUGAGGUUCACAAAGGCUGUCAGUGGUUUUCACUGCAGUGGAAGGUUGUGGCAGCCGACUUCAAAACAGCCUCCAGGUUAACUCACAUUCUCUGUUGUAUCAUUGUAAAAGUUUGGCAAAUUUUUGCCGCAUCUUUUGUAACCAAGCCAUGAGUUAAUAAUCCCUCACUGUGGUGUAAACUCGACCAGGAGGUGAGGAGAAGAUUUAAGGUUGGUUCUACUAAUGUUAGUGUUCCUAACAGUAUGAAACCUUCACUGUGUCCUUGAAGAAAGCAUUCCCCUUCACUCGUCGCCUGUUUCAGGCGCCUGGAAGAUGAAAUGUAACCGUUAUUUUGCAUUGUAAUUACAGAGGCAUCCCGCUAAGCCAAUAAUGUACUAUAAUCUUAGUGAUGAUGCUUACUAGAGCACAUCCUGGCUCUGCGUUUACCUCAUAGUGGAGCAUCUCAAGGUGACAAAUGAUUGAGUUCAGCCUCAGUCCUUGGUGACUAAUAACUUUACAGUUACUGCAGCAACCUGCCCACACACAUCUGUGUGUUCCUGUGAAUGUGUCUCAUUUUCUCAAACACACUCGCACACAAAACAUACAGCUCCCUUGUUUCUAGUUUGCAAAUCUCCAAAGCAUUUCUCCUCAUCAAACACUUUACUCCAUUUAUUUACUGUUUUCCUGUCAUGGUCUGACACCCACAAGCUGUUAUGAGCACCUUGUUCUCUUGUUACACAGUUAAGUUUAUGAUCCUAAAAUACAAUGAAAUUAAAAUCUAACACACAGAUAAUAGCUGUAGAGGAUUAUUAAAUUGCUGUCUUAAUUUUUAGAAUAUUUUAUGACUUUAACAGGGUUGUGGAAGUUAAAUCUUAAAUAAGACUCAACACCAAAGAGUACGUUCCCCAUGAAAUCUGACCUACCUAGUGGCAUUUGGUAAUAUAACCAUAAGCAAGAGCAACAAGAUAAUAUAGUUCAGAUGUUCUUAAAGAGGGAUGAGGCCUCAUUAUUUUUCCACUCGUUUAUCUAGUCAUUUCUUUCUUUUUUCGCUUGUUCCAUUUCAGGUAGUUAAAAAUACUUCUAACAAACAUUGAACAGAUACUUCAGAAAGUAAGUGGACAGAGUUGAAGGGUAAAUCAGUAAGUAAGUGUUCAUCAUUGAAAAAUAAUUGUUCGUUUUCUAUGCAGUUUUUUGUCCAGACUAUUUCCAAACCAAGGCCCAUCACAAAAAAAAAGCACUGCAGGCUUUAUUUUCAGUAAAACAAAAACACCCCACAAACCUUAAGGAUCAAUAACUUUGAGCAAACUCAUAUUGAUAUGACUAUUAGAGUGAUCUCACCUCUGUGUUCAGAGUGAGUUUAUAUUAAUGCAAAGCUGGUCAAUGAUUUUAGCACUGCUGGUGUGCUGAAGGAACAAUACUUGCUGGUUUGCCUCCUCAUCAAGAUAAAAACAGAACCUGGUGUUAAAACCAGAACUAAAAUUACAUUCAGAUGGAGAACUACUUCUCUGGCUUUAAAAAUGUCACUGCACAAAAAGAAGAAUUUGAAGGGGAACGUAGAAAAAAGAGAAAUAUUUGAGGAGAAAGAAAUCUACUACGGUAAUAGUUUCUGCAUUGUUCUGAACAAAUAAAACAAAUGUGUUUGUUUUUCGAUGGGUCACUGCUUCGCCUAUACAUAAAGGUUACGUUCAUUCAACUGAAUUUGGAGCUGCAGUCUAUGAUGUGUGUGUGUAUGUGUGUGUUUUUGUUUGGUUUCUUGUGCUCAAAAACCCUCCCAUCAGCACUCACCUACAAAGCGCUUAUGUAGCAGAAAGAGUGCUGUGAGCGAACCUCCAGAGUGACAGAAGGUGAAUUAGAGAGUGAUUAGAGGUGAAUUCUAAUUCUCACUCCCAUGUGUCUACCUGUCAUCUGUAGGACGGAGCAUUUGCAAACGAACAAGAGGAAUGCCAGACAGUGUGCAGGAAAGACACACAGUGCUCAUAAAUAGCUGUCCGUGUGCACAAGGUUGCAAAAUCACUUGUGAGUUGAUAGCGGAUAAGUUUAGAAAUAGCUCAGUGACUUUCUUCGUGCAAUGGGUAAUACGACGAGAGGACUGAGCGAUAAAAGAGACUUUGAGAAAAUACUGAUGUAAAGGCCAUUGUCCUCCAGACAGUGUUUGACCUUUGUGUCUGUGCUGGCAGGCAUUACACAAACAGAUGCAUACAAAUAAACACCUCGCUGUCAUCCCCAAGUUGUCAUAUGCAGACACUUGUCACCCUAGGUGUCUCAUACAGACACAUAAGGUACCCUUCAGCUGCAAUAGGAGUCACAGAGGGCUUUCAACAAACUGUAAACCCAAUUCUAGUCAUAUCAACAAUGAGAGAGAUUGCCCCUUGUGGUGUAAUUUAAAGAUCUUUAAAGUCUGCUAGUGAGGGCCUUAAAGGGAUAUUCCGGUGAAAAAUUAAUUUAAGGUCAAACACACCGUAACACUGAGUUAGACACUCCGUCAAGAGAUAUAUGUUGCCGACUGCUUGCUUCUCUAGUUAUACCAACUUUGGGAACGACCGCAAGAUAGCAAUACACAGCGGUCUGAGGAGCCAUAAACAAAAACAGCCACAAAUAAUGCUCAGAACAGCACCUAACUUCAUCAACAGUACGUAAAGGGUCCUAGCCAUAGCACUAGCCACCAAACAUCAUUCUAAAUUUGCCUAAUUUCUUUGGCAAAGAGUUGAAACACAACUCAACCACUUUCUUCCAGCAGCUGCUUGUUUGUAGUGAGACCUCAGGCUAGUCCAAUACCAGCUGCUGUGGGGGGACGCAGCUCAAAGAAAAUGAUUAAUAUGGUGAUUAUUACUUCAAGGAAAGGAUAAAGAAAUGAUCAUAAAUGUUAUUCCUUGAGCUGCGUCACCCCGCAGCAGUCCAUAAAGGACUGGCCUUAGGUCUGGGUACAAACAAGCGGCUGCUGGAUGAGAGUAGGUAAGCUGUGUUUAGUCUCUUUGCUAAAGAAAUUAGGCAAAGUUUAAAAAGAUGUUUGGUGGCUAGUGCUGUGGCUGGGACCCUAUAAUAUCCGGAAUAUCCCUUUAACAAUACUGGAUCAGUCCAAAGUGGUUCUAAACUCAUGAAUACACAGAUUAUACACAGAUAUUCAACAAACGGAUUAGCUUUAACUAGCAAGUUAGCAUGGUUAUCUCGCCAAGAGCCAAAACUGAUUUACCCUUCAACUCUGGCGGGUUAGUUAGUUAACUCCUGGACUUUUUAUUUGGAGUAUUUUGCAUCUUUGCUACUUUUAUAGGACACUGACAGUACGACCCAGUGUUUUCACUGCUUCCAGCCAUAUUCUGCCACUCAGCAGAUGUGAUGUGAACCCGCCUGCAGCGUUGCAUAUAGUGAUUGCACUUUCACUUGCAGGACUUUCAGGCAGGAGAACACAGCAGAUUCAGAGAGGAUACAAUGGAUAGUUGCUUCUCAUAGAAAAACAAAAAGCUGUAAUUGACAAGCACAUAUUGAACCGUGGAUGCUGAACCAAAUGAUUUAGCAUAUUGUGAGUUGGCGCAUCCCUAAUAGAUAUUGAACUCCCUAUAUCUGUCCAUCACAAAAUGACACAUUCAUCACCUCUGAAUAAGCUGUUUCUAUACUUUUUCCUUCAAUCUAACACUGAGUCAAAUUGUCUUCUUGGCAGAAAAAGUUACUGGUCUGACAGGCCUUGUUAGUCAUUCGAUUGCUAUGCUUCACCACUUAAUCGUAAUCACUGCUCUGCAAGAACAUAAUUGAUGGACAUGUUUGUUUACAUGUCAAUUUCUCAAUAUUAUUAAUGACACCCACUGAUGCAUGCCUUUGGCUCAUGUUGCUCAGUGACACGAGGACAUUACUGAAUAAGUAGUUGGGCUGAUGCAGUUCCAUUUAAAAGGGUGUGUUUGCUGUUGAUAUUUGUGAUUGAUCUUAAUGGGCUAACUGAGUGACACGACUAGAGGUAGCUUCAUUAUUGACUAUGUUUAUGUUAAUCAGUUAAAGGUGAAUUAAUGAACUUAUCUAAAUCAUUCAACAAUCGGACACUUUGACGGCCUGUUUUAUUCUAAUGCAGCAGCCCCCCAUCUUUAUUUUUCAGACUGUGUUCAGUCCUAGCUUGCAUAAGCUAGUACAUAAUAUAUUGGAAAACAUGUUGUGUAUUUAACUUUACUAACUAACUGAAGUGUUGCAGUUAAGGUAGAUCUUUGUGGACUUAAUGGAAUAGUUCAAUUUUUCCUCCUUUUUUGAGUAUGGUGGUGUGACAAACUGAAAAGUGUGUUGGCCACAAGGACUUUAGUUCUUGCCCUCUGAAGCUCAACUACCAACGACUGCAUAUGGGGUAAGCUCUACCAGUCAUUUUAUUUGACAACUUACACAGUUAACUGACAUAGCACUGAGAUAAUAGAAAUACCUACCUCUACAAUUCAGCUGCUCUAUCCUUUAAAACAGGGUAUCUUGCAUUUUUCAUACUCUAUAUUUCCUUUCUAUUACCUCUUUCAUAACUAUGUGUGAUUUUCAGACCUAAAAAAAGCCUUAAAUUUCUCACAGAGGUGUUUUAAAAUAUAAUGAUUUCAGCCUUUGUCUGAAAUGCUUCAGUUGGGCUGCUGUCUCUUUAAGGCCCCCCGCUCCAGGCUGCUUUCUUCUGAUUGGCCAGUACUUACGAGGCUUUCUAGAAGCCGGCCGAGGAGGGCAGAGCUAGUUCUUUUGGCCUCGCUCCCCCCUCUAUUCUGUAUGAUCUGUUGAGCAACAGAGCAGCAUUACCCCCAUUAACAUCUAUCUAUCUAUCUAUCUAUCCAUCUAUCCAUCUAUCCAUCCAUCCAUCCAUCCAUCCAUCCAUCCACUGUCUCCGAUUAUUACAACAUACAUUUACCUUGUGAUUUCAUUGCAUACAUGUAGUAUGGACACCAAACUUUGUAACUUUGCAGUUUUUGUUGUAAAUGUGGAAAAGCAUGACACCCCCCCCCCCCAAAGCUUUCUCUACUUAGUGUUUGUACAUUUAAAGAUAAUUUUGUGAAUCAUGCUAUGAGCAAAGAGUGUGCUUUUCAAAAUGAAGUCAAGAUCCUAGAGGAGGAAAAAGUGAUUCACAGAACAUCCUGGCUCUUCAUGCCAAGGUCAUGCCAAGGCCACAUGCUGGAUUUUUCUUCCUGCGUUCUACAGAUGUUACAGUUGUGACGUUGAUGCGCAGAGCAAAAGUCUUGAGCAGAAACAAUCAAAAUGGUGGAUUGAAAUGAGAAUGAUGGAGUUGAUGCUGCUGGAAGUGUGAGACAAAGGAAAAGUUUGUGAAGCUCUGGCAUCACUGCCUUUCUGAUGUGUGUCAUCGAGAGAAUUCCAUGAUUGACUGAAAAAAGAGGAGCGUUGCCUUGAUAUAGCAGACAAAAGUCGGCAGCCUGGUGAGUUGCUCCCGCUAACAUUUCUAGGUUCUGCCUCGCUCAGUUUUCUUCCCUCCAAAGUCAUCACAAGGGUUGUGAGGAUUUUCUUGUAGAGGAGAGAAAAUACACAGAAGGAAAACAAAGUGACAUCUGUGAUGCUGGGGCUCCAUGAGCGGAGCUUAAAACAUGUUUGUUACAAUAAGAGAGGUCUUUGUUGCUCUAAUAAAUGUAUAAUCGACCAUUUACUUUAGAAUUUAACCCUUUUGUGCUGUCUUUUUGGCUGGUUUGCACAGAUUUAGUCAAUCAGGCCUUCACUUUGGGCCAGAAUAUGAACCAUAUAAUCCUCUGAAUGUGACAUUUUGAAACAAAGGCCUGCCUCUAAUACAAGCCUGCUUCAUAUAAAGACCGGGCACCUUGGGCAGUAAAAGCAAAUAAAGGAUCUCUGUAGGCCAGAGAGGUCGCUCAAUACCUCCCUCUUUUUUAUUCAGUAAUCAGGUUAUGCGCAGCCGUGUGUCUCAUCCUUGAAUUACAUCUUGUGGGUUGUCAAUUCUAGACUGGUAUUAGAUCAGAUCAGUAUUGGUGUUGGUCAAGUAUCAGUCUCUUGAAGCUGUAAUCAGUGCGUCCCUAAUACCGUGAUGACCUGAGCAUGUAGGACUCUUACCUUUACACAGUUUUCCACAUUUUCAUGCUACAUAAUGACUUUUCCCUGAUCAUAAUAACUCUGUUUUGUGCCAGUGUACUGAAAGUGGAAAUCACAUGGUUUUGCAGAAGGGAAUGAAAAGUUUUUAAAGGUACAGCCAAAUGACAUCAUCCUUUCAUUGUGGUGUUAUGUCAAAAAAAAAAAAAAAAGUGUAGGAGGAACCAAGUGCUUGUCUACAGGCCUUUAAAAGUUGCCUACUAAAAGAUAAAAUGAUAGUUUGUGAAUCAUAUUGGAAUCUCUGAAACUCUCUACCUCUAAGCUGGUCUGACUCACAGGAUGUUGACAUGGCCCGUCUGUUUCAGAUGAAAUUAUUCUACCCUUCUGCUAUCUGUGUGUUGACGUUUUCGCGAUCCCUUCAACUGUGUAAAACAACAACCAAAAAAAAAGCCUCUGAGCUCCCAACCCUCACGCUGGAAAUGUCAAGUUUUGAUGAAAAUUUGGAUCAUGCAAGAAGGCAGGCCCCACGUCUUCCUUCCCUCAAGACGCGUAUCUUUUAAUGUUCUCUGUGGCAUUUUCUUUUAUGAGAAAUUAGCCACUUUAAUGCCGGCUCUCACCCCUCCAAUUGCAGAAUGUACAUCAAAAUAAUCUCCAGCGGUGCACAUCUUAUAUUAAUUAAACAAUUAUGAAGGGUUAUGGCGGGGUAAUCCUUCAGUGCAAGCACAUAGCAGUGUGAGGACAUGUCUGGGUUAUGUAAAACUCCCAUAACACUGCUUUUGUAGUUUUGAACCAUAAUGCUACGGUGCUUUCCUGAAGGACACAAACAUUAAUUGAGGCUUUAAGGCACCUUUUCUCACCUCACUUUUGCAGGGUGUUUUUUUUUUUUUUUACCCUCAUUUUUUUUCACUAAGCAACAGCAAAAACUGUUUACUCAUUCAUGAUGGCUCCUACUGUUCUUGCGUCCAUUUCUCACCAGGAAAUGUUAAAAGCUACCACACACGGUAAGUAUUUGGGAAAGGUUGCUUUCGCCCCAGCUUUCAUGCCUCAUAGUCUCUAAAAGUAACAGUGAUAACAAUGAUGAUGUAACAGCACUCAAAAGAAAACAACAGUAUUACAAAAUGUUUCUCUCCUGUGCUGCAUAAAAAGACCAUCUCUGGGAAAGGCGCCUUACUAUUUCACAUGUUUUUCUGUGUCCUUUACUUGUACUCUCAUACAUAACUGUUUGUUCAAACUGUAAUAAUGUUGGACUGAAAUGCCCAGAAAAUGUGAGCCUUAAAUUCAGCUACUUUCAGGGUUGUCAGCUUCACCAUCUCUCUUCUGUCACCUUCAGGUCUCCAGGGACUUGAUGUGCGGCGAGAGGCAGCGAGGACGUUUAGACUGAGAUGGCUUACAUAAAAAGGUAAAAUAUGAGAGCAUUAAAACACUGCACUUAAUCUGUCCCUUCAAAUUAGCUCCAUUAAUCAUAAUUAAUUCGCUACAUUAUAUUUCCCUACUUAAUUACAUGUGCUACAAAGGAAUAAUUGCCUUGAAGGAUGCAUAUUGAGAUCCAUCAUUCCUCUGGAGUGGUGCAGAAUUUUCUCUGGUAAUUAACCAAGGUGUGCUCAUCCAGGAGGUGUUGACAGGCAGAGACGUGAGGAUGAAACUAAAUGAUCCUCCUAAAGACCCUUUUCUGACAAAUUGGAAGUGUAGUUCAUACCAAAACAAAUACUUGGAUACAUGGAGGUUGAGUAAUUAGGGAGUAGUGCAGGGGACAUUUUUGUUGAAAGUACCAAUAAAUUUCGACUUUAAGAACGUUGGUAGAGAUUGAAUGGAUACUGGAAUAUAUUAGUCUCAUAGCCUCUGUACAUUUGUUACGGGAAAAGUCUGUUUUCGAGGGAUAAGUCAGGUUGGCACAUCUUUGCUUAGUGAUAUCUGUAAUGUAAACAGGACAAUUGCUCUGUGGUACCACAGGAGAGGAUUUCAUAUUUUGGAAAUGAGCUAUUCAGCCAAACUGUUGACAGCACAAUCCCUUUUUGUUUUUGCAAAAGUUUACACUGAACACAUGCAGGGACUUGAGAAAACAGAGCGAGAAAGGAGCGCACAAGGAACAAAGUAAACGGAGAGAGAUGAUUUGCAAGCAGGUGACAUUAAUUUGUUUUUCCGCACAAGAAUUAUUAAUGUGAUACCUAGUGUGUGUCUGUCAGAGCUGUCACUCAACGAACGCUGUUUAUCCCAAAAAGCAGUGAUCAGCAUCGCCUGUCUUAAGACACAAUAAACACACACAAUGCACUAAAUGCCAGGUAAGCUGCACAGAUUUUUAAACCGUAUCAGCAUCAAACCUCACUGGGGUCUCUCAUCAAAAGAUAAUAUUACAGGAUUCGUGUGCAAAGGAUAAGUAAAGUUUAAGAGGCGCUUGUUCAAAAGCUUAGCUGUCAAGAUGUUCCAGCUGUUUAAAUAGUGUUGCCCUUUAAGCCGUUGGGUGGAGUAACCUGUGGGUUAAUAUUCAGUGAGUACACAUGAGAUUAAAUGAGGUCCAUGUCCUGUAAGAUGUAAAUAGAACAGACUGUGCCCUCUUCCUCUGUUGAAGCCUCGGUGGUCAAAGAGUUUGAUGCUCAUCCAAUUAUUAGUCAUGUCAUUUUGUCUGUAGAUGUCAGUGUCAGAUAUUCAGACACAGCAGAAUUAGGAUUCAACCUUAAGUGUUAACAGCUCUGAAUGGAGGAUAUUACUGGAAUAAAAAAAGAUAUAUCAUGAGAAAAGGGUUCUUGUGCCCAUAAAGUUCCCUUACAUGGUGACGGUCAGCUAUGCUGAUGUGAAACCAUCAAUCUUCCCCAUACCUUAAUCACCCAUCAAUUUAGCUGCUGCUCUUGUUUUGAAAUGAAAGGGACAAUGUCAGAGUCCUCUACACAGAGUUCUCCGUCAAACAGCCAACUAUAAAUGAUAAAUCAAUUAAGUUAUUGCCCUUUAUUAACCUUCUGAUGUGUGAUUGAUAUUCACACCGAUAACAAUAAAUGUGUCCUUGCCUUGCUCAGGACAAAGCCUAUUCAACCUUGUAUCCAAGGUAACCAAAGGCAUUAUAAUGCUUUUAUUAAAGAGUUAUUGUAAUGGGUUGUUGGGAAAGUGUCCAUCAAGCUAUUAUAAAAGAAAACUAUAUUCUUUGUAUAAUCAAUCUUUUUUGGUCUCCCUUUUUUACCAAAGUCUUUGUCACUGACUCUCUGGACAGGAAAGUAGCCUGCUCUGGUAAAUCAGUCUUGAGUAUGUGAACAACAGGCUGAGCGGAUACACUGAUUAAAUAACCAUUAUGAUUUAUAAACAUGUCUUCUGAAACCCAGGCUGGGCUGCUCUUUUUCCUUAAAUUUACAUAUUAUCCCAGAUUAAACAGUGUACCCUGAUUAGACAAAGAGGAGUAAUGACCUUUGUCUGUUUUAUAUUGAAGACAGGAGUUUGAGAGCAAGGGUUGUGAAUAGGAGAAAACAAGAGUGUUGCCUCUGAGUUAAACACAGACACAGAACAAUCACCUCAUCAGUACUGGCACUGUGCUUCUUGAUGUUGGGGUCGUAGUUAUUGUGUCACUGGCUUAUGGCCCACCUAAAAAAAAAAGAUUGCAUACCAUUUUAACACACAUGUCAUGGUAGGAUGGAACGUUAACUUAACAUCAGAUACGAUCAUCAGUCAUUUGUAUUUUUUUACCAAAGGAAUUCUGUUUGCAUAUAGAUUUUAUGAUCUAGAUCUGGUUUUGGAGAUUGUCUCUAUGAUCUUAUUCCUCAAGGCUUAGGGUGGUAAAUCUAGAAUCGCGUGUUUCACCGUGAGACAUUGAAUGAGAUCAGCGGUGUACAUAGACACCCACAUCCCACAACCCUGCCCCCCUCUCCCAUUAUCACGUGAAGAACAUUUCAACGUAUUAACUUUAUUUUAUUUUGAAAAUUAACUGGAUAUUUUUCUCUGUCGCUGCAUACAGCUUCUGCCCGUGCUGCACUGAAUUAAUGCGUUGUGCUGUGGUGUCCGGCAAAAACAGAAGCCUUGCGUAUCUGAUCUGACCGCUGGAUUGUGUGAAAUCACACAUAUUGAUUAUAAUGCUUGCGUAUUUGAUCAGGCUGCAGUUUCGUAGCAGAACGCAGCCAUUCCAUGUCCCGUGGAAUUUAGCGGUGAGUCAAACAGAACUUUUUCAGCUGGCAGCAGGAGUGUUUGAUACCUGGCCACACCUUACUCUACAGCAAGAGCACUUUUAGACUCUUCAAGUCUCCUCCUGAAGGAUGGUUUUAUACCGUUUUACAUGAACUACACGAUUACUUAAAUCUGUACACAUACAUAGAUGAGUAACACGUCUCUUACACUGACCACUGUGGGGGAGCUGUGAUUCGGGCGCUUGUCCAAGUCUGUCUCUGAACAGUAUGAGCUUCUCAUACUGCGUAUAGGAUUGACUGAUGGCUGUGUAAUGGCAGUUUGAGAAUGAUAUAGACUUCCCCCCUGCACCCAAAGAGAUCUCGUCCUUAUUAUGUGAAUCCUUUUUUACAGUUUAGACUUUUGAAACUUCUCUUAACAGGCAUAUUUUACAAUAUCUCUAUUUAUGUGACUCAGAUACAUUUCUAAAGGUUGCAGACAUUGCUUAAUCAUGUUUCAAUUUGCUUUCUUUAUGAGGCAAUGAAUAAGUCUGCUCCUUUGAGAAAUUUUUAAAAGGAAAAUGCCAAAAAAUAGUUCAUUAAAAUGUUUUUGAAUAUCCUGGAGGACCAUUUGAAUUGUUAUUUGUAGUUAUCUCAUGCAUGAGUCAGUGCUUUAUUCAUGCAUGAAUUCAAGAGUCAAGGUUAUGUCAGAUCUUGCUGUUGCAAUAACAGUAUGACAGUGUAGGAUAACAGUAUAAUAUGUCAGGAUUUCUUUGUUUUCAGCUUUUUCCCGUCUUUUCUACUCAGCUGAAAAAAACAGGCCAGCCAGCACUUCUCCAUGGACUCACAUGUGCUUUGUUUCAGAACACUUUGCAGGCUUUGUUCACAUUGUAUUAGAUGGAAGGGGAUUUUUGCAGCUCAGUUUCCCCUCAGUGUGACUAAUAACUUUAAUCAUACCAAUAACUUAAUGCUUUGAUGAACCUUAGAGCACUGAGCAAUUACUAUGUGCUGAGAUGGCUUGUUUUAUAACUGAGGUGAGAACAGCAAUUCCAGUCAUCCAACUAUCUGCCAUCAAUCAGCAGAGGUGAAAUGUUUGAACUCUAUGGCUGAAACUGCAUGAUGACAGUUAAAUGAAGGCUGAGAUGAUGGCAGCUAUGUGUAAUUGAAUUUCUCCUUCAGACCAGGCGAGCACUGAGUCACGGACCGCUGGAAGUGGUCUUGUUAAAUGUUCAUCUUUAAUUGAUUGACAUUGAAAGCAGGCCAAAAGUUUGAAGAAGGACUAAGAAGCUGCAUGUCAUCUUAAUACUGUGCCUGUUUAUAAACUGAUGAAUUGUCAUGACGACUCCUUCUGCAGUAUGUAAAGCAGUGUUGAUGGUGGAUAUUAACAUUGGAACAGAUGCGUUUAGCAAGACUCUCAAAAUGAUGCGCGUGACCGUUCUCCUAAAAACAAAGAAUAACUGUUGGAAAAAAGGACGGUUACAGGUGAUCAAAAAACCCAACAAGGUAACACUUAACUUGACGCCUAUCUAUAUAAUGCAUUAUAAGGUUAUGUAUAAUGCAUUAUAAUCACAUUAUAGCACUGUACAACUCUAGUUAUAAACACUCAUUAUCAUAAUGAUUUAUAGCAAUAAUCACAACACAUAAAACGUUUAAUCAUGACUUACAAGGUCAGUUAUAAUAAUGUGUUAUGAUUAUUACUGUAAAGCAUUAUGAUCAUUUAUGAGUGUUUAUAAUGAGCAAAUUAUAACACAUUAUAAAUAUAUGUUUAAUGCAUUAUCUAUGUGGACAUUGUCAGUGAGUUGUUAACAGUUAUAACACAUUAUAAUAGCUAACUUUGUAAGUCAUGAUAAUAUGCUUUAUAAUGUGUUAUAAUAAUUGCUAUAAAGCAUUAUGAUCAUUUAUGAGUGUUUAUAGCUGUGGUUAUACAGUGUUUAACAUCUAUCUCUAUAACGCAUUAUACAUUAUAUUUAUAAUGCGUUAUAGAGAUAGGCGUCAAGUAAAGUGUUACCAAAAGAACAACAACACAGAAAAUGGUGGAAGUGUCAUUAAUUUUUAGUUCAGGUGCUCACCAUUGCAAGGUUACACAAGUUGCUGCACUCACAUUUUUCUUUAAAGUAACCAUCAGGUAGUGUUGUGGAUUGGCAAGAGUCAGAUGAUAUGAUUCAAGUCCCUCGAUAGGGUGACAAUAUGAUUCAUUGCAAUAUACUCCAAUCCUGUAAGUAAGACAAUUUAUUGCUUUUCUCCCCAAUUUGAUUAAUUUUUUUUUCCUGUCAUCAUUUUUGUGUUACUUGAUCCCACUGGAGGAAAGCACACAGAGGCAGCAGACGGCAGCUGCGCUGAGGUGAGCUGCUGUAUGUUUUUCCAAGAACCCUCCAGGGGUUUAAUAUGUUGUUGCUGAUUUUUUUCCUCCUAAGAGAUGAUGCGAGUGUGCGCACUGUCUGUCUUGUUCAGCCCUUCCUGAUACUGUACUGGACACACACACACACACACUGAUAAUGACAGGAAAAAACUGUUUAGCUUCACAGCACAAAACUCAUCGAGAGAGAGGGAGAGAGAGAGAGAGAGAGAAGAAUGACAAUAAAAUGAAUUAGAACUGCACAUGUUUUGAGGGGAUUUGUUGAGAAAGUCACUGCAAGGAAACAAAUGAUUUAGCAUCUCCAUGAUGCACUUUGCAUACUGUGUUGGAUGCCAUCUUGUUUUUGGGUCCGUAUGGGGAACUAUAAUAUCAGUACAGGGCUUUAGAGAAAAGAUUCAGUAUCACAUCAUGAAGUAUUGAAACAUGAUGCACAGACAACUUUUAUUGCUAUUGACUAAACUGAUCUCAGAAAUCCCCCCUCCUCCCGAUGAGUGUGGUUCCUCUGAAAGUUAAACUUGUUCAACUUCGAGCGCUGUGAGUGCAGCAACACAACGCAGGUGACACUUUGGGUGUUUACGCUCUGACAACACUCUACACUGGAACAAGAAAAAGGAUAGUUAGGAUAGUUAGUUGCUAUUUUUUUGUCCUGAUUGAAGGAUGCCUAGAAUUGUGUUUUUUUAAGAAUUAUAGGUGAACAGUGCAAGUUAAUUUAAACACUUUUAUCAGAUUCAUCAGACGUCUUCAACUUCAAGUUUGUUUAGUCUUUAAAAGAAAAAAAUAAUACAAUCCAACCAGUAAUGUUUAAUAUUCUCUUGUUGAACAUAUACAGGCAUCAGUAUUUGAUGGAGCGUUUCAUAACUAGCUGAAUAUUCCUUCAAAACUGCAACAUUUCAUUGGUUGUUAUAGUGCUUCCUGCGGUGAGAGUCUUGUUUGUUCACUCAUCGAUCCACCCUGAUCUCCCCCAAUUUGAGCAGGGCUCUCUUUUUGUACUGCAUCACUUGAAUACAACAACUAAAGAGUGAUGUUCAAAAAUGAACUGAGAUUUGUAUCAACAGCCACUGCUCUACACAAAAGGACACAAAGAAAGGGGCUUUAAAGUUUAUACUGGCGGAAAACUAUGAUUUUUGCAAUAUCCCUUUAAAAGGCCCGCUGUUCCAUGAAGUCAUUUCAACUUCAACACCAUGAAAAUAAAGGCGCUGUUAUUAUUUAAACAGAAUGAAGUAUUUCUAGUGUAUUUUGCACAUGGCUGUAUUUUAGGAUAGUGUAAAUCCUCAAAGGAAAUCCUGAUAAAAAGCAUUUGAAGGGCGUUGCUAUUGGACGUCAUCCAGGGGUGAAUGAGAUCAGAUUACAGCGGGGUCCAAACGAAGAUGAAUUACAAAAACUAUCACCAGUUCAAAGUGUAAAUGUGAGUACUUUGCUAUUUGAUGCCUUUACUCUGACAAUAUAUCAGACUCAAAUACAGAUAUCAACAUGAUUUUUCAUUAGCACCAGACACAACGUCAGACCUUGAUGUUCUCAUGACUGUGAGGAUAGUCUCUUUUUAAACAUUUAAAACAAUCAGCGGGUACACCCUUUAAACCAUUAAUUGCGUCAGUAUAUCAGCACCAGUGGUACUAGUUAUCAUAAGCUUUUCAUGCUACAAUCUUCAAAGUUUUAUUUGUAGAAAGAUUGCACUUCAGAGACAAAGGUAUGGUGCUCAUUAGUCUCCACUCUCAUCUUGUACAAACCUUUUUCCUUCGAGAGAAACCCAGGUCUCCACCUCUCUCUCUUACAAUGAUCACACCUGACCUCCCUGCUCCAUCCUGGGCCGUACUACCACCUCAUUUCUUUCAUACAUUUACUCUCAGUUCACAGCCCAGUAAUAAUUCCCCUCUCUGAAAUUAAUUCCUCAGUUGCCCCCUCUUUUCUCCUCCUCUCUCUUGUCGCCAUGGCUCUGUCUCCCUUGGCUCCAGGACUUGAUGAAAUGGAAACUGUUUCCAACAAUUAUUCUUCCCCCCUCCUCGGUUGUAUUCCAGACUCCAGUCCUCCUCUCCUUCCCUCCCAGAAAACCUCGACAAUUAAUGGAGCUCUUCAUCAAGCGUGCGAAAAGCUCCUCACCUUGACAAAUUGUUGCGCUCCUGGGGGGCUAAGCACAUUAUCAAAACCUGACAUUUGUUUACAGAAAAAAAUACAGAGUGCAUAAUUUGGAGGAAGUGAAGGUUUCUCUGGGUUUGCAGAAUACUGAUUUAAUUUGAAAUUUGCCAACUCAUCUCUCUUUGCUGGUGUGAUAAAACAUUACAUGUCCCCCCUAAAGAGCUGUUUAGUGUGGUCUCUGAGAAACUUAUACUGUGCUAUGAGCAGUUAAUUACAGAUGAAGCGAGAGAAGAACCUCAACAUCGUAUGAUGUUGAACUUUAAAUGGAAACAAGUUGUUUGGAAUAAUUUUCCAUCAGUUUUGGAUAAAGAGAUAGAGAUGUAUCUGCUGGGUAUCUUCUUUCAAAUGCUUGGAUUUAGUCUUGCAUUUUUCACUUUUGUUUUUUUUAUCUGAUCUUCUUCACUUUCCAACAAUUUUCUUAUCUCCUGAGUUAUGUUAUCAUCAUUUCUUAAUUAGGGAAACUAAACAAGUUGAUGGUUGAUGUGUCCUGAAUACAUUUGUAAACAAUUCAUUAAAACAGAAGAAUAAGAGAAGAAUUAGACAAGUCCCCCUUCCUCCUGCCAACCAUACCCCCCACAAACCUCACAAAGUAGUAGUAGUAAUUUCUAGGUGUGUCCCGAUCCGAUAUAGAUAUCAGAUAUCGGUCCGAUAUCAGCAAAAAAACGAAUACUGGAUUUUAUCAGCCUGCAUCUAAAAUCUCUGAUAUCAGCAUUCCGAUACAAGCAGUCAAUUCCAGACUCCGCUCUGGCACCUCUAGCUAGCAGUGCCUGGAUCCGACAUGCAGAGCCCACAUAGUUGCAACAACAGUGUGUACUAAGGUACUAACAAAGUAGCAAGGAGUAGGAGUGAUAUUGGUUGUGUGGCAGUAUUUUUCGUUUAAAUCAAUAUUGGUAUUGGCAAUUACUGAAGGCUACAAUAUUAAUAUCGUAAAUAUCAAAGUAAAAAAGUUGCAUCAAGACGCCCUUAGUUAUUUCUAUAUUGUAAUUUCCAUGUGUGUAACUAGUGUGAAGGGGUAGGUGUGCUGAAAACCUUGUCUUACUUUCUCCACAGCAAGGAUUCAUGUUUUCAUAGUGCUAAAUAACAAUGUGAAGACACUAGAAACUAGAAAAAAUCAGCAACCAUAGAGGGAUUCUGUCUUUGUCCAGGGGGGAUGCCAUAGUCAACAUGAAUACAGUUCCUCACAUGACCUUCAAUACAAAAUUAAGUGUCACCUUUAUGUCACCAUGAUUACAUGAUAUGAUAGUUUGUCAUCGAGCAAUCUUUGUUUAUUAGUCAUCAGGAGGAAUAAACUUGUAAUCACAUACAUGGCUUUCCUUUUUAGAGCCUUGUUAAUGAGACACUUCUUUAUUUGAAUUGCAAAAAACUCAAUCAAAACAUCUUGAAUAGAAAAUACAGUUUGGUCAAGGAAUGAUGGAAAAUAUGCACAAAUCUUUCAGACUCGCAUUUUCAAACCAACAAAAUUAAUGGUAAAAAGACUACAGUGACAUGCUGCUGCUGUGCUGUUUUACAUAGUUUUUGAUAAAUUAUGUAUAAAUUCUUUGAAACUCGGCAUUCGCUGCAGCAGCAGCAAGGUUGAAAGCUCCACGAAGAGAGUGUCAGGCUUUUCAUGGUAGACUGUUGUGAACAUGUAGGUAGAGGCUCAAAUGUAGGAGGAAAAUAAUUUCCAUAUGAAUAGAUGUCUUCUUUAGGCAUGAAUUGAGCAAGUGUUAUCAAAGUUAAGCUUGUUCUACUUGAAUGUACUCACUGUUAAACAUCAUAAAACACUAACCACAGGAGGUUACUGUAUCUCAAGUAGAAACGGUUAGAAAAGGAAAAAUGUAUAAAUGUCACAGCUUUAAGCUAGCUGUUCCCUCACACAGAUUUUUAGGAUUUUCAUAGAUCUAGAUUGACCUGAAUUUCAUAUAACUAUUUGCUACCACUCUUAUCAGGAUAUCAGGUCAAAAAGAGAUCUAUUUAGGUUAAAACUAAUCAGACUGGAUCAAAGUUUAAGAAUAAGUUGUUCAAAAGAGAAGGCUUGAGUUCAAAAUUUGAUUAGAUUAAUCCUGCUUCAAGCAAUUGUCAAAAAAUUUUCUGUUAAAUUUUCCAAACUGUUUUCCCAUUUAAAAAAUUCACUAGAAAUCCUUUAUUUUGUUGGGAUAGUGACACUAUUCCAACAAAAUAAAGAAUUUUUAACUUCUCAGAGUGCCUCAGACCUCCAGCUUUGCUUGCCAUCCGCACCAUGGACUUUUAUUAACACCUGAAAGGCAAGUCACUGCUCUCAUGCUUUUUUAGACAUUGUUUGUCCUCCUGAAGAACACCUGAUCCUCCACGGAUACUCCGACCCCAUGCAGCACUCACCCAACUUGUUUUUUUAUGUACUCAACAGAAAUGAUUGUAUUUUGAACACCAAAGUCUGUUCAAACUUAAAUACGCAGAAAUAUCCACACGAAACUCCUAUUUCAGUGUCGAUUCAUGUGGGGACUUUGGCUCCCCCCUUGUAGACUAAAUGUGCAGUAAAUAGUUACCACUUUAGAAAACUGGUCAUCUUAAUCUGGUAAUCUUUUCACGGUCUGAAACAGUGACAGCGUUAACGAGUCACAGAGUUUAGAAGAAGCCAUUUCAGCAUGAUGAAAAAGUCCUGUGAGUUACCUUAUAUUACUUUGUCUACAUCUAAAUGCCCCAAACAACUCCGCUUUUGGCCAUAUUCCAAUUAAGAGCAUGUUUGGGUUGAGGUGUUUACAUGCACCUUAUCAGUCCUCUGAUGGAAUGUACGCACAAUUUCCAUGAAUAAAUCCAAUAACAUUUUCCACAACACCUACUGCAUUACAUUCGCUCGCAAAAUGCUUAUGAGGUGUAGAUUUCCAUCGCAGAUACACUUUCUCACUUUCUCUAUUGUGCAUAAGAGCACGGGUGAGUUGUCACCAAUUAUGGGUAGAUUACAAGGCUUCCUGCAUGCCUUUAAGAUAGCCGUGUACUGACUGAAAGACCACCUGGCUUUGCAGAGGAUUCUACCUAAUUGAAUGCAUGGAUGGCUGGAGAAAUGGAUAGAGUUUGGGGGGCAUGCUAAGCAUGCUUAAGCUCAUGAAAAUUACAAAUUUAUCCUAUGGAAUCCAAGGCAAAAUUAUCUUCAAAGUGUGAUUAAUGGUGGCUGCCAACCACACACUCACACACACACAUAUACCCACACAAAAGAAAAAUCAAUUUCCAACCACAGGACAAAUGCUGUACACAAUACAGGGUAGAAGGUUAAUGUAUGGUUAUUAUUCUCUCAUUAUACUCCUUAUUUAUCAUCAACUCUAAACUGUCCUCAGCCUCUACUUCACAACAAUGUCCUCUUGGAAACAAUAACAUAUAGAGAAAGGCAUAAAGCAGCAAAUAAGUUUGACAUCUAAUGGAGAAUAGAGCUGUAAGUUGUAGAUAAUUGCGUUCACUUCUUAGUCCCUUGGUUGUUGUGUAUUAUAGUAACUUUUUAAGGAGUAAAAAUAGUUGUAGAAAUGCAAUAUUAAGAUGUUAGCAAUCACUGCUAACUACAUGUUAUAUUUGUAAACCUCAGAGAUGCAGUGACAAACACAUGCCCAGACAACCAUGGACUUCGCUAGCACAGAUUGCCAUAUCUGUUCACCAGCUUUUUCGUAUUUCUGAGUGUGUAUUGGAAGUUUGAGAGUGGGGGGGGAUUCUUCCUCUAAGUGAGUUGUUGUCUAUGGACCUGAUUAAGCAGGUCACAGGAGCCCUCAACCUUGUUCAGACUGCAAAUUCCCUUGACUCCACUGUCCAUUUAAUAACAGUUUGAUGCUUUGUUCUUGAUUUGCUCGGAGCUGAUCUGCUGUCACUUCUAACUGGGUGCUGUCUAGGCUGUCAAUGCUGGGUUUUAUAUAUUCCCUCUCCUGCCUACUAGACUUGAGUCCCCAGACUCCAUAACACUCAGAUUUUGAGUGAGAGCUUUUGUCCUUUAUUUUUUGCCCACCAAUGUUAUUGCCCCACCAGAGCCAGUUUAGCAAAAUUGGAAAUUCACUUGAGUUACUCCAGUGUAUCAGUGAAGGCACAUCUUGUGCUUUACAGAUAAUGGAUGGCUGGAGCAGUUAAAAGCAGAAAAAGGGAAAUGUUCAGUUGGCUGUUAUUGAUUUAUAAACCUGAUUUCUGCAACAUUUCACUGAAACUAUUCUUCUAGGCAAUUUGUUUGCUUCUCUCUUAUGUAAUAUCAAACACACAAAAAAGCCAAUCUAAAUGCUGAAAAUCUGUCAUGCAAAUAACAAAGCAGAGAAGAUCACAGAGAAAUUUCUUAACAAGCAAAACAUUAACUGUAACUGGUGUUAUCUGGUGGGGGAUUUCCAUGUCUCGCCCAAGGACAAUUUGAUAGCACAAGAGCUUAUGAUUUUGACCCAUAUCCUUCCAUUACAGGAUCAUUGCUUUGAAAGAUAGGCUAACAUACUGUCAAUUAGCUUAAACCCUUUAAAGAGCUACUUAGACUUAUGUUGCUUCUUGGUGCAGUGAAGUGGUAGAGAUAUGUGAAGGACAAGAAAAAUUGACCAAAAAAAAACAAGAUCACACAAGUGUUCAUGUCUUGCUGUGUUAACUUCUCCUGCACAGUGUAUUUUCUUUAAUCUUUGUAAAAUAAGGUAUAUAAAAAAACAGUCGGUACUUUCACAAACAUACACUACAGGCCAAAAGUUUGGAAGCAAGAUCAGAUUUGUACCAAAAUAAAAGAUCAUAGUUUCAUAUAUAUAAUUUGCAACACAAUAAACAUGACUAUUGUGUAAAGAGUGACUUAUCAGAAGACAUUUUGACUAUAAUUAUUAGGUAUUUGAGUUGUUGUUGCUUAGACGUUGCUUUCUUUAAAGUAACCUCCUCUGGCUUUAACAACAGCUUGGCAUAUACCAGACAUUCGUUCCACAAGUUUUUUAAGAUAUGUUCCAGGGAUUGCAUUCCAAGCUUUCUUAAGUUCAUUAAAAGGGACUGCUGAUUCGUGGGUCGCGUUUUUCUGACUGAUCGAUCCAAUUCAUCCCGCACAAGCUCAAUUGGAGAAAGGUCUGGAGACUAAGGGGGCCAAACCAUCUUUUGAAGAACACCUUCCUCUUCUUUUUUGUCUCAGUAACCCUGACAGAGCUUGGCAGAGUGCUUAGGGUCAUUGUCUUGCUGCAAAACAAACUUAUGAGCCACAAGUCUGAGUCCAGAUGGAGCAGCAUGGUGCUGGAGGAUGGAGUGGUACCGUUCCUUCUUCAUGGUACCCUUUACUUCAAACAAAUCUCCUACUCCAUCACCUGCAAAACAUCCCCAUAUCAUGGAACUACCACCUCCAUGCUGAAUUAUGGGUGUAACACAUGGUGCUUUCAGACGUUCACCAGUUUGUCUGCGGACAUAGACUCCGCGUUUUGAACCAAACAGUGCAAACUUGUUUCUAGUCAUCAUAAGUCCAAUCUUUGUGAGCUUUUGCCCACUCAUAUCUCUUUUUCUUGUUCUGUGGACGAAGUAGUGUUUUUUUGCAGAUACACAACCCUUCAGACCAGCCUUUCUCAAACGUCUUUUCACGGUUGUCAGAGAUAUGGGUUUCGACCUUGUCAUGUUGAUUUCCUCCCUUAUUCGUGGUGCUGUCUUUUGCCAAUCUCUCUUACUAGUGACAAUGCUCUGUUUAUCCUCUGCUUUUGUAGUAACUCUCUUUCGUCCAGGUCUUUUUCCAUCAUCAUAACUUCCAGGUUCCUCUAGUCUCUUCAGAAUGUAGUGGACUCCUUUGUUAAACACCUUUAGGCGGUUUGCAAUUUCUCUUUCUGUGUAUCCUUCUUUCCUCAAUCUACAAAUCUGUACUUUUGUUUCUUUACUCAGUUGCUUCUUUCUAGCCAUUUUUUGCGGUAGUUUGAACGCAGUUGAAAUUUAUGAGGAUUUUUGUAUGCAGACUCUCAAAAGCCAAAAAGUUGAAGUGAAUAAUCCAACUGUGAUUUGUUUUUUUGCUUUUGCACUGAAGUUGUGACUCUUGCAAAUGUUUUCAACCCUAAAACUAAGCCCUUAUUAUCUUUUGCUGACAUAUAUUUAGCAAUGGUCUGUUAACAUCAAUGUAUAUCUAAAGGUAAAUGGAGUAAAAUGUUGCAUUUCCAUAAAAGCAACAUCUGAUCAUGGAGUAAAUACAUCCCAAAAUACAUAAAACUCAUGUUGGAUUUUUAAAAAAGCAUUCUGAACAAAAACUUGAAGUUACUCCUAACUGUUCUGCCUGUAAUGGCCUUGCUUCCAAACUUUUGGCCUGUAGUGUAUGUAUAUAAUGAGCCUUUUCCUGCUUCCAGAACGACUACCAGCAAGUCUCCAUAAAACUUAACCCUUGUGUUUAGCCGCUACAUGAUUUUUGGCAGAUACAUUUGCUUUUUCCUUACAGUUACUGCUCACACACUUAGUGAACAUUUGAAAAAAGAAAUAGAGUGGGAUGUCAGAGCUGUAAGGUACUUAAUACAAAAAGUAAAUAUUGUUGGCAUUAUUGUAUGUUUUUACUUAGCCCCUGAAACAAUGGUUAUCAGCAUUGCCCUACUUGGGAGCUACACUGACCAAAAACACUUUUAGCAGGAGCAACAAUCCAAAAAUGUCCCCUAUUUCCGUAAAACAAGAUUGCUUUUGAAAGGAGGAAAAAUACUAAAACGAUAUUUCAUAAGUAUUGUUUCCAAUAUGCAGCCAUGAAUACAAUUAGGGGAUGAUUGCGCAUUGAUAACAGCAGGUAACACACAGAACAAGCUUUUUACCGUCUUGCAAACACUGUUGGAUAUUUCUACUCUUAUUUCUUCUGUUAUUUGUGUUCAUUGUCUUUGCACCAAAACACCAAGACGAAUUCCCCUUAAUGUGUAAAUGUGUUAUCAUCACCACCAGUAUUUUGGGGAUCAAUGAACAGCAUACUGCAGCUAAGUCAGUGUAACACACAGUGUAUUGCUCAUAUUUAAAGUCCAAGAGCAGGUGACACUCAGCACAUUGCUGAUUAUAGGUAGUCUACCUGCUUUUUCUGUAUUGGUCCUGUUCUCUUGGAGAAAUAAAUGGGGAAAGGGGUUGUCAUUGCAGUAACAUUGAACUUAAUCCACUUAGUGAAAUUUCUGACACUCUUUACUCAGCACAAGAGAUAUAAAGUCAGGCUCUGCACUGGAAAUGGCAAUCCAAAGAGCCUCUAUUAUGUGCAGCAGACUCAGUAUGUUUCACUUUUUUUUAUUUUGAAAGGUGCAGAAAAUGCUGUUUCACAUCAAUAUGUGGAGGGAGACAUUUAGAUGAUGAGUCUUUUAAUGGAAAUGUUUGGAUGGUGCCCCCUUCGAUGUCCACAAGUCCACAAUAUUUUCAUUAUUUCCAAUUCUAUUAACAAGUCCAAGCCAGUUUCGUAUUUGCAUGAUUACAUCGCUCUCAAUCUGGGAUGUUUUUCUUUUCUACAAUUGAAACAACAUUGCUGGGGUCCUUGAAGUUGCAUAACCUUGACUUGUAGUUUUGCUUGAGCUUAGUUAGCACAUUGUGGAAUUGGGAGUGACAGGAUUGGGCAACAUCUGCAUGCAUGCAGCUGCAGCAUCACUUUCUGGGCAGAGGGGAAGAAAGGGUAAUCAGAACUGCGGACACUUUGUUGAAGUACAUCCAAUUUGUCAGAUAAUCCCCUGACAGCCACGUAUAGGCUUAUAUAAAGUCUUGUUAUUCCCCUGAAUCUUGACACUAAGUUGAAUCAAGUCCUAUGUAAUAUAAGUGUCAGGCAGCAUCCUCUUCUAGAUCUCCAAAAAGAAAAAUUAGGACGUCUCUCUUUGACCAACAAGACAUGCUUCUAGUGGUUCAAGCAGGUCAAUAAAAUGUGCAAGGAUAUCCCCUUUAAAUCACUAUGUAAUCCUAGUGUUUGAUGCCAAAUCAAAAAAUGUCCCUGAAAUUAAUAAAUCAAAGCAUCAGGCAACCUUGAUUGAAAUGUUGAACAUAAUAAUCAUGACAGCCGUGGUACUUAAAAUUUGGUAAGCAGCCCAAAUACACACAGACAUGACAUCUUUCGAAAUUUGCCGCUGUAUUUAUUCCCUCCAUAAAGAUCUGUAGGUCUUGUUUAGUGUCUGAUCCUCCAGCCUUUUAGAGAAGUGUGUGUUAGAAGUCAGCCGUCUUCCUUUUAAAUGUCUUGUGGGAAUCCUGCAGCAAGGAUUCAAAAAAAAAAAAAAAAAGUUUAAAUUUGGCUCUAGUGUUUCUGAGACUGUCUGACAGAGAUAACUUUGCAUGUUAAGAUGGUUUAAUACUCAAGUGCCAGUGUCUUGUCUCUGUGAAAUUUGGAUGAUUUUGAAUUGUCAUCAUACACCCUCCUUUUGUCACACUAUGACCUCCCUUCUGUCAUAUGUCUGUUUCACAUUUUAAGUUGGCAUUUCAAUUGCCUUGAUGAUGCCAUAGCAGAGAAUCUCUGCUAGUCUGUGCAUCAAAAGAUUUCAAGUCAGUGCCAGGAGCUGCUUCUUCACGCUUCUCCCUGACAGAUGUAUUACAUACAUCACCACUCAAUUGGAGUGUCCAUCUCCUCCCUCUGAGGCCAUCGUGUUCAAUAAUUUGCUUCAUCUCAGGGAUAAUGAAACUUGUAAUUGUUGUAUGUAGUAUUCCAUCACAUCAUUCUGGGCUGAUAUAUAGGGGGCACUAUGAGAUGGAGGUUGACCCUUUUGUAUAAAGUGGUGGCAGUGAUAAUCAUCUUGCAUAGACACUUGUAUGUUUCAUCAAAGCCUAAAUAAUCGAUCUCUUUCAAUUAAAGGCCCAAGCACCACAUCUUGCCUGCAGGCUACUGGUAGUGGCCCAAACCUGCCCAGCAGAAAUCAAUCCAAUACAUGUCAAAAAUAAUUGAACAGCACACAUACCGCACCCAAAAGUAGCUUGCAAAUGAGUAAUCUUACUUCAUUCCUAUCUUUGUUGAGAGUUGCACAUGCACAGAACUGAUGAAAGUAGACAUGUUUAAGUGACAGAGAGAGCAAGCAGUGAUUGACGUGAAGAUAAUGUGAAGGGAGAGAGCAACAUUAUAGGACAGAAUGCAGCAAAAUGAAAAACAAGAAGUUAGUUUCUGAUUGUUAAACGCUCCUGAGAACUGAGAAUUUAUUUUGCCUCUAACUCUGUCAAAAAUUGUUCCGUGUUCAAGCUGGAAAUCAAGAGUAGCAAACCGAUACACAUGAGGCACUAGGACCAAACGGCCGCUUAAAGCCGAAAACUGGUUUCCCUCAGUUUGGACUGCCCACUAGAUCCUUGAUUGGCUCUGCUGCAGGACCACUUUUUGUGUGUGAUUGGCUAUCCCUGCUGUCAAUCAUUCCAUGCCUGCUGGACGAUUGUUUUGCAAAUUGCUCUUAAGAGUCAGUCCGUGAACAUUGCUAGUCGCCAAUGUAAGUUCACAGGAGGGCGGCAUUUAUUUUCCCUCUGUAACGUCCCAUUCAUCAAAGGUUUCAUUUACAUCCCUGUAGCGGGUUUGUACUCCCAUCCACCCGCUGGCCGUAUUGCCUCCUCUGUUACUGUGUGUGUGAGAUGUGCUGUUUGCUAGGCUAUAUGUAAAGGCGGAAACUGAAUUCUGGAAUUAAUGAAUAAAUCUGAGCUGAACAUUGACGUUUGAAUCAGUAAUCUAUUUACAUACCCCCCAAAAUUUCGUUGAUGAUUAUGAUAACCAUAUAUUAAUGAAGAAGCCUAUUACAAAUAGAGGCAUCACUUUGAAAAAUACACAAUUCACAGACUCUAGUUUGUGGUUCACAUGAGUCUAUGUAAUGAUAACACUACCUGCUGGUUUGAUGAUGUUCAUGCACUUUAGUGUACCCCUGUGAAAUAUGUGGCCAAAGUAUUUCUAAUAAGCUUCUGCCAGAUAUGUGGCUAAAAGUGUUUCCAGUGUAAUACUUUUUUCCUGCUUUUACUGCACUCACUUCCCUUCAGCAAAAGCAGGGAAAAAAGGAUUUUGAAUGCUGCUGAAGAUGUUCGGCUCUCCUAAUUGUACUGGUCUUUAAAUGUGGCCCCAGUGAAAAUGUUACUGAAAAGCCCAGCUUUAAAGGCACCAAAGAAAUGUUGCCAUGCAACAACAUCCGGUGUAAAUAGUCGAUGAACUGUGGCUACAAGGGCAGUUAUUUUACCUUGAUGAAUAAAACACUUUGCAAUGUGUCUUCUUUGACCCCUGGACUGGAGAAGACAUAGAUCAAACUGUUAAAUUACCAGCUCUGACUCUUGAUCCACAACCACUUCUGCAUGCAAGCAGAAUUUCUUGGUGCUUUUAAAGUUUGAACUUUGUUUCCUCGGGUUUAAAUUGAACACUGAGAAAACUGUUGAUUCUUUUUUUUUUUUUGCUUGGGAACUUGGCAAGCUAGAGCCUGUUGCUUUUUCAUGGCAUUAAUUUACUUUAGUUUGGCAGAUGCAUGCAGACAGACUAGAAUAAACAAAUAUCGGGAGCGAUUUGUGGUUCCUUGCUUUGUUGCGUGAUAACUGAAAAGCAUUUUGAUUAAGUAUUUGAAGGUUGUCACCCUGGCUCAUCAGCACCAGAAUUAAUAGUUGAUUAAAACAAUUAUUGAUAUUUUUAUGUUGUAGACCCACAGUGCCUGUGAAAUGUGGUGUAUUUCCACCCACUUGUGAAAGAAGAGCGGGGAGUAGACGCUGUAUUUGGUGAAGCUAUGCUGUCGUUCGAGUGGCUGAUUGUUAAUGUACUGAUGUCUAGAAUACUCCGGAGUUUAAUAAAAGGCUUGUUCAGCCUCCCCAGUGGAGAUACUAUUGUGUUUUUUUUUCUCUCUUUAUGAGCUCUGCAUGAUUUCCGGCUUGGUUUGUAUACUUCUGACAUGCUACGUGGUUCCACCCCCCACUUAUCUUACAAAUGGUCUUCAAGUAUCUCUGCUGUCCCUUCCUUUAUGUCUAGGAUUUCAUUUGGCCGUUGUCCAGUGUCCUUGUCCUUCUCCUGUACAUCGAUACUGGCCUGGUCUCUCUGUCUCUCUUGCUUAAUUGAUUUCUAAUGGUUUUGUCUGCAUUGAGUCAGGGAAGAACAAGUAAUUCAUUAUAGCAGUCUGAAGGGCAUCCAGUUUGGCUGUGUGACCCUAGAUGAAUAACAAUGAAUAACAUUUUAAGAAUUGAAAAGGUCUGAAUCUUUUAAGUUGUAAUCAUCCAAUAAUUUUUCCAUGGUCCGGUGCAGUCAGUACCUCGACAGUGAACAUGUAUCAGCACUGAGCAGUGAAACUGAGUGAUGAACAACCACUGAAAGUAAAAUUUAUGAUCAAUUUGCUUGCCAUGAUCCAUUAACUUGUCUGUGGUGUUUAAGCACCAUUUUACUUUGACUUUGACCAGCCUGAAAAAGACCCACUUUCAGGAGUCACAAUUUAUCAUGGGCUUCACAUAAGAAAUAAUUACAUGAACAUGUAUUUAUAAUUUAAUGAACGACGAGAUUCAGCAAAGUUAUACCCAAGCCAAAUCACUUCUUAGUGGUACACACCGGGUCCACAAAGCUAAUUGUUGACUGUAUAUGUAAUGGAAAACAUUACUUCAUCUAUUAUGUGCUUCGAAUACAAAAGUUCCCCUCCACCAGCAGUGACAUUCAGGCUGGUGAAACCAUGGCGUGGCAUCGACAUGUAAACAGAAUACUUUUGAAAAGACAGAGCAAGUCCACCAUCUGUCUGGUUUGAGUGACAAAGUACCCCUCGUGACACUGAGACAAUAGCUGGCGCAGUCACACGUGCAAUAGAUGACUAUGUUUAAGAGCCGCAGACUGUGCAUCAAACUGUGUCCCUUCAGUGUGUCCGGCGAUCUAGGAUGAUUCAAGGAGUGCUGAUAGGGAUGUCCUGAUUCAUUAGCUGAGGUUAUAUCACAAGCUAGUUUGAGUUUUACUUUCUCACUUCUACUCUCUUAUACCGUGUUCCUUUUUGUGAUAUUUGGAUGUCUUUGUUUCAGCUCUCAAAUGAUUUAUUUUCCUUCCUCACUGGUUCCUCUGGUAGAGCUGAAUUUCAUUUCGCACCUGCUGUCAAUUUAUUAUCUGUCCAAACUCUCCGCAGCAUAAGUGCGUUAAACACGUGAAACCCCCACAGUCUUGGCACCUUACAUCACUCGUGCUAUUCUCAGUUGAUCACCUGCAAAAUUCACACCAUCUCAAUAAUGUGUAUCUCUUGUGUUUGCUAUGUUUUCUCUCAUCUUUCCUCCAGUGCUCUGCUAAUCUAGUACAGAAUGCUCCAGGACUCUGCAUUCGUCAACAGAGCUGUCAAUCAUGGUGUCAGAUUUGCUCUUUUUAAAAUGAGAUAACUAAUUAAAACUUAACUUCACAGAAAAAUGAGCACUUGGACAUAAAUCAGCUAAAUAAGAACAGACUGUAAUGACUGAAACUAUGUUUGAAAGUAAUUAGAUUUCACCUGAUGCAAUAAAUUGAACAUAUUUUAGUUUAUGUUUGGUCCAUUUUUAACAGCUAGAUGCCACUUAUUUCAGUACAGUAAUGGAGUCAAACACCCUGUGUGUGUGUGUGUGUGUGUGUGUGUGUGUGUGUGUGUGUGUGUGUGUGUGUGUGUGUGUGUGUGUGUGUGUGUGUGUGUAAAUUACUGUUAUUAAUAGCUUUUCAGUGUAUAUGUUGUACAUUAUAUAUAUCGUAUUUUUGAUACCAUGGAUGAGGAGAUGCUGAUUUUAUAAGUCUAGAAGUGGAUUCCCUCCUCUGGAAGGACACAAUCUACUGCUUUUAUGGUUAGCCUAUGUGAAAGUCUGCGGGUUCUUGUGAGUUCUUGCGAUUCCUGCUGACCGUAACCCACCACGAAAUUCACCUCACAAACGGAUCCGGUAGGAAUUGGCGUAUGGUGAAAAUCAACGCUUUUCCGGAUCAGAGCUGUUCCAGAUGCGGUGGAAAUCCCGGGUUACUUGUUGGGCUCACUGACCGAUAUUAUGUGGUACAAUGCGCUCAAAAAUCUGUCUAAAUGUGGAAGUACGACUUUGAUAAGCAACAAAGCUGCUCCGCUCAAUGGAUAUUUUGAGCAUUACGGUACGCUGUAUCACUACCUGAUUGGCCCGGUAACAGGACCCCUGAGCAGUCUAAAAGACUGCCUGACUGUAAUGUCUAAACUAGAAGUGCAUUCAUGUAAGGCAGCCCGGGUGCUAGCAACGACAAACCAGUCAAUGCUUAGUGCGCCUUAUGUGUGAACAAAGACACGUAAAUCCACAAUGCGUCAUAUAAUCCGGUCUGCUUAUCGCCCGAAAUAUACGUUAUUUUUCCUAUGGCCCUCAUACAGAUAUUGAUAGUGUUUGGCAAAACUAUUUGUAAAUUAUAUUAUUCAUCUAAAAAAUAAACAAAUGGCAUCUAUGUGGCACAACAGUACACAAAAUCUAAACUUAAACAAUCUAUAGAUCGACGGGUUUGACAGAAAGUGUUUUUCAGAUAAAUAUUAUCAUGAUGAUGGAGUGCCAAAGUCAUCAAAAAUACAGAGGUUUGGAUUUUGGAUGAAGUGCUGCAGCAAUAAUUCUUACUCUUUUGGCACAAUCUUUUCUCAUUACCCAUCAUACCCAUCUGAGCACUGCCAAUAAGUUUCAUCUUAAAGAUUUCCUGUCUCACAAUGUUUUUGCUAAUUUGCUUGACACGAGUCCACCCUUGAAGCUGAUGUCUUUUGAUAAAAACUAAAAACUUCUUUUACUUUGUGUGCCCCUGAACACUCUGAACACACACAGGCUACUUUUUGAAGAGCGUAGUUUGUGGAUUUAAGUUAAAUCUGCCAAAGCAUUGCUAAAACUUUGGGUUAAAUAAGGUUUUAAAAACUGCAACAAGAAAGCUCUUUGUUGUGUGGGAGAGAGCGAGUGUUUGUGUGAGAGAAAGCUCUCAUCAGAGCAGAAUGCAUGUCUGAGAGCAGGUUUCAAGCUCGGUUUUAGACCAGAUCAGAGUCUGAACCUCAGAGCUCAGACAAGUUUACAUGCUAUUCAUACAGAGUAAUCCCUGAGCUUGAAAAUGACAGCUUUGUCAAAUAGAAAAUGGCAUGCUAUUUUCCAGCACCACAGUGUUAUGUUGUAAGUUUGGGUCCACAAUUAAGGUUUGUUCCACUGGUAAUUGUAAAAGACAAACUGGCUUUUUGGACACUUAAAUUCCAACAGCUGGUAGUUUCAAAAUGGGAAAGGCUGAAAAUUAUUCAAAACAAGCUUAUUAAAAGUUUCUUUUGGUCUCUGUUGUGUGUUAAUGCAUUAAGGAUUAAACACAGGUUAACAUCUGUCAGCUGUUUUAAAAAUGCUUCCUGCAGGAAUAAAGUUGGUCUGUCUCGGUCUUGCACCAGCUUUCAUGAAAACUCUGUGAGCUCAAGUCUUCAAGAGCCUCUGUGAAUGUUGUUGCUCAUUAACAACUGGCCAGUCGCCCUUUUUAUUCUGCCUCCUUUACAUGAUCGCUGACAUGACCACAGGAUUCUAACUUGAUGCUGCGACUUCGAAUCCAUCCCUGCAGAGGCCUUUGGUGCCCAGGAGCCGUGCCUAUCUGCAUCCUACUUGUGCCCUGCUACUUCUCACCAUGCUACCUACAUCAUGCAUCAUGCAUGGGGAUCCACCCCUGUGCAAAGCCUAACUAAAUACGCUUGUUUAUCGAUCAAGUCCAGAGGUAAACUCAGGUAGUCAAUAGCAUGGCCUUGCAAUAUAUAUAAAAAAGCCAGAUAAAGUUGGAAGCACCAUGUGAGAUAACGGAAAAAAUGAAAUCUCCCACUUUCUUUGGUGAUUUACAGAUUCACGUAAGAGAGCUAUUUACUUUACCCAGACUAUUCAAUAAAGUUACUGGCUUACUUGCUACAUAUUUAAAACUUUGCUGACAUUUGAGAUGCAUGAGAAAAACAAUGAUGCAACCACGGUCCUGCACUGGCUGACAGAUGUCCUUGCAUUUUGAUAUCUUAGCCUGGCAAAGUAAAAGUCCUCCCCUUGAUCUAGAAGACCAGGUUGAAUAAAAUCACAAAGAGCUCUGCUGUAAUAAUUCAUACCACAACAGGUCAGUAGGUGGUUUAGACUUAUUUCAAUCAGGCUUCACUGAGUCAGUUAAAGCAUUAGUUUAAUUGCUGUUGAUAAUAAUGCGGCCUUUGAUACCAUAUCCAUCCAUCAAAUAAUGUGACAGUCUAGAACGGCAAAGGUCUCUGAAUACUUUUCUUUUGGUUCAAAUGUUAUACUGUAGCUCUAGUUUGGAUCAGAAAUCUAAGCAGAUCAACAUGAGAAAAGGAGUCCCUCAGGGUACAGUUCUUGGUCCUUUACGAUUCAAACCAUCCAUACUCUCCACGUGACAUAUCAAUAAUUAAAAGGGAUGCAAAUUCAAUGGUCAGUCAAUGAUGCUAGAUUUUUUAUGAAACCACAAGUUGCUUUAUUUUCUGUGAUAGACAAUUAAACAAAAAAAUACAGUCUUUUUUUUCUCAUUAUAGUCCUUUGUGAUCCCACUAUCAAUGCUUAGAGCAAAUACACAGCAGUUGCAUGCUAUCAAUUUGAAUGUAACAAAGACAAAACAAGAGUCUGUGUUUGACAUCAAGCAGCCAAAAAAGAAAAGAAUUGCAUCAUUAUUUAUUAAAUUUUGGUUAUUGACUUGAGAAACCUUUAUGAUAACAUUUGUAGAUCAGUCAGUAUUUUCAACUCAAAAACAAAUAGUCGGUUUUAAAGCUCCUAUGUCCAGAUUUUUUUUUACAAGUGUUAAAUAUUUUUAUUUUAAGCAGGAUGAACUACUGUAAUAGUUCCUUAUCUUUCACAGGCCAACAAGAGAACUAAAGACAUUUUUCGGUUGUCAAGUUUUCUUACAGAAUAAUUUUCAAAGCGCAGCUGUAUGAAUUAGUCCAAAAACUUCAACCUAAAUAAACUUCUGAUCUCCUGAGUGCUAUAAAAUCUUAAGGUAACAUCACCUAACAGCUCAAGCCAGAACCAAACAGGAUGAAGCUGCCUCCACCUUAUCUGCUGUCAACAAAUGUAAUUCAGGAUGCAUCAUAACUGCAAUGAAAAUGUAAUUAUGUUUUAUCUUAAUCCUUACAUCUAAAUAUGACCUCCAAAUGUUUAUAUCAUAUUUAUCUCAUACUCUUGUAUGUAUUUUUACUUAAUGUUAUUGAAACUUAAUGAUAAGAAACGGUCUUUGCUCAGGUAAAGCACUUUUGACCUCCACGGUGAUUCAUAUUUGCCUUUUACUUAAAGGUCUCGGCUUGCCUUUCUGUGGUUAUGUUUAGCUUAGUUUAAAAGAUGUUUCAGGUCGAUCUUGAGUCUGUCGGGUAAUGUUCCUUUCUCUCUUGUAUACUGAGUGAAAUACUUUCUCUAAGAAUAGAUAGUCUGGUUCAUAUCUGUGGAAGAGGCAGCUGCUUUGCUGUAAUGGUGAGCAUUGAAAAGGUCCUUACUUAUAGCCUUGUAUUUCAACCGAACAAACCUCUUUGAAUUAUCAGUCUGUCUGAUAAAUGUGACUGUUAGGGUGAAGAGCAUUUUAUUAAAUCAACAAGUUGUGCUUUGACUGUCAGAUACAAACACAAGUGGAGUAUCAAAUAUAUCUGAUUGUACAACAUUGUUGAUAGUGCCCCAGUUAUUUACAGUCUAAAAAUAUAAAUAUAUCGCUGGUUAAGAGGCAUGGAGUUUAUUAGUAUUUAAGAUUUUCUGUGGAAUAAUGUUUGAAUAAUGAGCUGACAGAUACACUCUUAAGUGUGUAUGUCCAUGUGAUAAGAUACAUUAUGAGUGAAAGCAUUUGGUAAAUCUGCAGGUACUUUGUCACAGAGGUAGAGGGACUUUUAUAUCAAGAACACCCUAAGGUGUGUAAUGAAGAUCACACACCUUCAUUACUUUAGAUGUUUUCCCAUGGUCUCCCAUCUGUUUUUCCCGUACAUAAACUAAAGCCACACAAACCUUGUCAUUGAAUAACUUGCAGGAACCCCCUCUGGGAGAUCCUAAACUCCCUUUGGUGUCUCAAAAAGAAACAUUUGCUUGUUUUUGUGUUGGUUGCAAACAGGCUGAAAGCAAAGAAAACAGACAGCAAUGUCACCUUGUUCCCGUAUGCUCAUCUGCCCCAACCUUCAGACUGUUUGCAGUGAGCUCAAAACCCCUACACAAAAGCAGACACCCAUAAAAAGCCCAAACUAGGUUAAUUAAAAGAGAAACAGAGAGCGCUCUCGGAGGAUUCAGAAACCAUCACACAUUUCUUCUGGGGAACCGAUCAUUCAAAAGGAAGAUUUUUUUUUUUGGGCCUACGUCUUAUUUUGAGGAUUUUCUUUUCCUCUUAAGAUGAUUGAAAUUUUGUCAAAUAUUGGUCUGUCUUCAGCUUCUGUUUCUGUACAAGCAUAAUCUGCAGGUUGAUAACUAAAACUAACAAAAUGAAUCACUUUCAGAUGCUAAGGAGUUCAUAUUUUAUAGUCAUGGCUCUAAAACUAGCAAUCCUGUCUCCUUUUUCAAAGCACAAAAUUCUUAUAUUGUGACUAUUGUAGUAGACAACAUUUGCACAUUCAUAGUUUGUGAUUGGGCACUCCAUUGGGUAAUACUUUUUGAGCAAUGCAAAUCAGUGUUUCCCCUAGCUUUUUGGCUUUGUAUAUACGUCAUGUUAUAUGGGGUGGCAGGAGAUGUGCCAGUGCUAUUUUCGGGGCUGGGAGAGAUGCUUAAGCAAGCAUCCACAAGAUAAUGUGCGGCAUCUGCAUCACUUUGUACCACCUUUUUGAAGAAUGCAGAUAUUUUCAAUCUGGGUGCUGAACGUUCGGGGACAGUUUGGUGCUCAGUUUUUUUAUUGUUUUGUUGGUGGCAAACACGAUGGAAAUGAGCCAGAACCCCGGGUCGUCAAAACCAUCCUGCGCAAAACUGGCAGGGUGUGAGUGGCAAGCACUCAGCAUCCCAGAAUUAGUGGUGCUGACAUGCCGCACCUCUGAACUACGCAGCGCGGCAUGUCCGUGCACGUGUGUAUGUUGUGAGAUAGAGAGAGGGGCGAGCGGAGAGCAUAGAUGCAUUUUCCUUGAAAGUAAUGAAACGAUUGUGAGCUUUAGGGUCUGAAAUUGCGCAAAUUAUAUUACAUAGGGGCAGCCUUCACCCCAGCCACUUCCACCAGCUCCUCUGGGGGGAUUCCCAGGCGCUCCCAGGCCAGGCAAAAGAUAUCAUCCCUCCACCUGGUCUUGGGCCAGCCCCGAGGUCUCCUCCCAGUGGGACAUGUCCGGAACACCUCUAACGGGAGGCGUCCAGAAGGCAUCCUUACCAGAUGCCCGAGCCACAUCAGCUGACUCCUCUCAACGCGGAGGAGCAGCGGUUUUACACUGAGCGCCUACCCGAGUGUCCAAGCUCCUUACCCUAUCUCUAAGGCUGAGCCCGGCCACCCUGCAAAGGAAACCCAUUUCGGCUGCUUGUAUCCACAAUCUCGUUCAUGCCAUAGGUGAAGGUCGGCCUGUAGAUCGACUGGUAAAUCGAGUCUCACCUUAUGGCUCAGCCCUUUCUUCACCAUGACGGAUGGGUUAAGCGUCUGCAUCACUGCUGAUGCCACUCCGAUCCACCUGUCAAUCUCCCGCCCCAUCCUAUCCUCACUCGUGAACAAGACCCCGAGAUACUUGAGCUGCCCCACUUGAGGCAGGACCUCCCCUUCCACCCGGAGAAGGCAAUCUACCUUUUUCCAACUGAGGACCAUGGUCUCAGACGUGGAGGUGCUGAUUCACAUCCCAGCCGCUUCACACAUAACAAACUGAUUUAUCUAUAUAACCCCCCAACAUAUAUAUUGUAAAACUCUUUGAAGUUGUAGUCUCUGCCUGCAGACACAGCCAACAUGAGUGACUUUGAUUUGAAGCAGCCUGGAGUUACUGUCUUCUCUGCUGUAAUAACCUCUUCUUGAUGGUUCUGGGACAUACACAGCAGAGGUUAGAGCUGAGGGUUAGUCACCUUUGAGUCAUUCUGAAGGAUGCUCAGUGUCAACCAGUAAGAAUAAACACCUGGCUACUGUAUAUGCUGUGUAGGGAGCAGGUGUGAACCAUGAAUUUAAAUCUGUACAAAAUGGAAAUAUUCUCAUAAACGAUUACAUUGUCAUGCAUGUGUUUCAUGCCGUGUGCGGUACAGCACAUUGUUUUCUGGAGAUGAGUUUCUGAGGUCCCUCAUCUUUUCUCUCCUUUGUAUUCAUUUUUUCUUCCUCUUCUACAAAACACAGUGGAGCAAACUCUUCCUAUACCGCCGUAACCUCCCGAUGACUCGUCGUAACCACACCGUGCAAACAAAUACAUAGAUGCAGGUUAUUUUCAAGGCACGAGAUAUGUGUGGCUUGAGUUCUGUAAAGUGAUUUAAAAUUAAAAUGCUAACAGUCAAAUUUGAUUAUAGAGUAAUUUAUUUUCCAAUUACUUGAUUAAUCAUUCCAAUGGUUGAUUGACAUUUAAAAUAGUCAUCAGCUGCAGCCCUACUGUGUAAUAAUUGCUCUAUUGUUUCAGACAUACAAACAUUAAGUCCACAUGAUUAAGCUUUAAUUAUACCUUCCUUUGGUAAAUGAGGAGUAUCAACAGUCAUUCAGACAGAAGACAGCCUGCCUCUGACUUUGUGUAUUUGCAGUUUUGUUUUUUUGUUUUCUAUCUAGGCGGUUAAUACUGCAUGAUCAUUGUAUUUUGAUUAAAGCAGAGGCACCGUCACGAUUCUGAUUACAGAAUGCUGCUGUUAUCUCAGCGGGGGAUCCACCACUAUUAUUCUGGCUCUGUGUACUUCGACAUUUUAUUAUAAGAAUUGUGUUAAUAUUUCAUCAAACCCCUCCAAACUCUUUUAUCUUUACUGUACACUUGCCUCAGGCUUGAACAAGUUUCUUUAUGACUUAAAGAAAAAGACUUGAUUUGUUCUUUUUGUUUUUUUGUUUGUAAAGUGAGCCUUCUAUUGUCUUUUCAUUUUCUUACAAAAAAAUGCAUAGUGAUAUAACAUUUCAAGCUUUCUGGCGUAUCUGUUCACUUAAAGAGCAACUCUUUUUCUUCCUUUAUUUGUUUUGUUUGCUGGGUAAAUCUUGAACAUAUUUGUGCACAGUGGUGAUAUCUUUAAGCAUUUUUUUUCUUUUUUCCACAUGAGAAUCUGAUUUGAAUUUGAAAAGCUUUUUUGUGUGUGUGUGUGCCAUUUUAUGAGGUGAAAACUGCAGCCAACAAUAACCUCAUUACUUCUAGAACAGCAUAUCUUAACAGUAAAGAUCUAUCCCACAGUCGAGCUCACUAAAGACUGCUAUGCAUGUGUGUGUGCGUGUGCAUGUGGCGAGGAGUUUUUGUCGUAGUCUUGCCGUCAAAACACAUCAAAGUGAAGCAGAAGCAAUGCUAAGGUCUCUGCAUCAUGUCCGAUAAGAGGGAGUUUCCAUUAAGUCGCUUUGCCUCACAGGGAUUAGAGGAAAAAAGUCUCUCUACCUUUUCUUAAAAAGGUUUCCAAAUGCUUUCCUCUUAACAAUUGUUCUGCUAUCCCCUCCUUUUUGUACGCCUUUUAUUGGCGCAGUGGCAUUCCGUUUUUUACCAACCCCCUUUUUCUAAACUCGGGGCUUCUGCAGUGUGAAAUGUAGGUUGAAACUUCAGACACAUGUGAAAGAAGUGCCUCUUAACAUGUGACUGACCCAGGCAGGAUCUUAACAUAGCCGAAAAACUUUUAAGAUUGAAAGAUUUUAUCAUAUACUGGGCAAGGGAGCCGCGUUUGACACCAUAAUUAAAGUAACAGUGGAGCCACCAAGACACAGCCUUUAUACAGAUAACCCAAUCCGUACCCACCAUCCUACCGUGAAGGAUCUCUGCAUCAAACUGUUCAUGUUUGAUGGAAGGUGGUGCAUGAAUCAGCACAGCAGAGCUCCUUUAAAGACCAAUGAUAAAUAGCUUUUUUUUUUCAGUCCUUACCAGAAGGGAUAAGACUUUCACACAGUGCCAUGGAUCAUGGUCCCAGUUGUGCAGUGACCCAUCUUUUGAUCUCCAUCCUCUACCCGACGUGAUCCCAGCACACUGACAGUGUAAACAAUCUGCCCUCCAGAUGUACGUCCUUUCAGAGAGAAAGCGUGAGCUGAUAAAAAAAGGGAUACAAUAUGGUUCCAUUGCUGCAGCUGGAACAAGUAAUUCAAUUGUGCUCACCAAAUCUUACACUCGACAGAAAUCUUUCACACGCUGGUCAGAACGCAGACGUUGAACCUGUGAAGGUUAAUACAAAGAGACUUGCUUGACAUUUGGUGGUUAGAGUACAAUCCCCAAACUGGUCAGAGAGCCCAAGUGAGCAAUUAAAAGCCUCCGCUUCACAGUGAGAAGACCAAUGAAAAGACUUUCUGCAUCAAAGUGCACUGCUUUCAAACUGUUUGGUGACCAGUGCUUUAUAGGACAAAAGAGCAGGUUUUUGCCUGAUUUUCCACUGUGCUUCUUGGUUUCUGUCUUUUUAUAAUAAAUCCCAAACCUCAUCUGUUACAUGAAACAUACUGUCAUCUUUUAGCUUUUAACAGGCAACUCCACCUUGUGUUAUUAUUGUUAUCACAAUAUUUCCAAUACACUUAACCUGCAUAGGCCAUUUGGGGGGAAAAACGCACAUAAAUUAAAUAAAUUUGCCAACUGCUUCUUUCUCUAGUUAUACCAACUUUAGUAAAAGCCGCACAAUAGCAAUACACAGCAGUCUAUGGCUCCACAUGCAGACCUCAAACAAGAACAACAAGAAGAAGAACAUUUAUGAUCAUUUCCUCAUGGAAAUGCAAUCAGACUGAGACGCUAAGGCAGAAGAACUGCUGUGUCUGCAGUGCAAAGUGAUUAUUGUGAUGAUUAUUACUUAAAGGAAAUGAUAAAGAAAUGAUCAUAAAUGUUCUUCCUUGAGCUGUGUCACCCCGCUGCACUCGGUGAUGGACUAGUCCGAGCUCUCCCCACAAACAAAGUGGCUGCUGGAAGAGAGUAGGUGAGUUGUGUUUAGUCUCUUUGCUAAAGAAAUUAGGCAGAGUUAAAAAGAUGUUUGUUGGCUAGUUCUAUGGCUGGGACCCUAUAUGUACUGUUGAUGAAGUUAGGUGCUGUUCUGAGCAUUAUUUGUGGCUAUAGAGUGGCGUUUUGAUUGAGGACUGCUGUGUAUUGCUAUCAUGCGGUCGUUACUAAAGUUGGUAUAACUAUAGAAGCAAGCAGUCGGCAACAUUCAUCUCUGGAGGGGGUGUCUAACUUGAUGUUAAAGUGUUUGACCCUCACUUAAUUUUAUGCUGGAAUAAAUGUUGAACUCUUAAUUUUAUGAUGAGAUUUAAAAAAAAAAAUCCUGCAUAGUUGAUCAGAGUGAGGAUGUCAUGAAUCAAAUAUUUUCUCUGGUUCAUGUUUUAAAUUCACAUCCAUUAUAGAUGGUAAUUCAUUUCUAUUGCAAAAUAUUGAAGUUUUUUUUUUUUUUUUUUUCCUGUAUUAAGGAAAAAAUGUCAAUAGAAACUGAAACAAUAGUCGAGUUCAGUGGUUCUCAAUCUAGUCCUCAAGGCCCACUGUCCUGCAUGUUUUGGAUGUUUCCCUGCUCCAACACACCUGAUUCAAAUGAUCAGCUCGUUAUGAAGCCAUUACAGAGCUUGAUAACGAGCUGAUCAUUUGAAUCAGGUGUCUUGGAGCAGGGAAACAUCCAAAACAUGCAGGACAGUGGGGGCUCGAGGACUGGAUUGAGAACCACUGGUCUAGUUUAAGGUUAUUAUUUAUCUGGUCACCUUUUUAAACAACAGCUGCCAGAGAAACGGUUAAAAAGCUAGCCGGGGUUCUUAAUCUGCUCUUAUAAAGCGGCUGGUUUGGAUGCCUGGUCUAUACUUAAGUGUCAAAUCUACUUACACCGCAGGUCACAGUAGCUUUGUACCUACACAGAAUAGCCUGAUCUGCAACCUCCUCAAAAGUGUAACCCUGCAGUGAAACAAUGAAGACUGCAAGCUCUGUGAUUUGUCCGCUUUGUGGCUAAAGUUUCCAGCAAUGCUCCUGUCCCUCCCUCGUCUGCCUACACAGAUUCGGCAGCCGUAUAUCCCGUCCUCCCCUCUGACAUCUCCUCUCUUUUCUUGUUUGCAGUAAUUGCAGGAUUAUCAACUGCUCAACAUUUGUCAGCUCCAACUCUAAGAUAAUACGCCAGCAAUUCAAACAAGCAGAGAGUGUACUGGCAAUAUGACAAGCAUAAAAAUCGCACCACGGACUAGCUUUUAUAAGGGGAGCAUUGCAGAGAAAAGCAAGCACUCCAAUACACAAAUUUAUAAAGCACACAAUUGUGUCAGUUUCUACAACCAAGCUGCAGAAUAGAGUCAAUGCAGAAUUAUAAACCAGGCUUGAGACACUUCGUCUGUAUAACUGGGAGAGAACUGCAGAGAUGCAGCAUGAACCUUCUACUGAAGGCCGGGAAGACCCUAAAUCUGAAACGUACCACUUUGGACUAUUGAUGAAGAAAAUGCCUUGCAUCUUAAUCCUCCUUUGUGAAUAAGAUGUCAACAAUGUGAGCCUCAAAUAAAGAGGAUUCACCCACCUUAAGACUACCCCUCUGGAGACCGUAUUUAGAUUUCUGCAUUGGUUCCAGCUGGUUUGAGCUUGCCUUUUUGAAGAGCCAACAGUCCUCCCCCCCGAUAAAUACAGGGUAAAUGGUUUAUGUUAUGAAGUGGUACACUGUCAGUUUUCACAAUGAGUAAAAAUGUAGACCCAGUGGACACAAUAAUGCAAAGCAAGUAGUGCUUACAUACUAGGAAAUGUACUCAGUAUCCAUUAGACGAUAUCUGGCAGAAAAUCUAUCUAGUGGACAAAGAAGAUUCAUAUUUUUAGUGAUUUAUAAAUGAAUUGUGGCAUUUGAAAUUGAUUAGUUUUAAUCACGUCGUGUAAUUUGUCAGAGGUAAUGUUUGAAAGUUAAAAAUAGCUACUAAACCUCCCACUGCUGCUCUUAUAAAAAUGUGUCAGAACACAGAGUGCAUCACAGUUUGUUCUGUGUGGCGUUUCGAGGCUACAGGCCGGUCAGGGUGCCCAUGCUGACCUCCGUCAACCACUGAAACCCACCAACAAUGAGCAUGUCACUGUCAAGAGCUGGACUCAAGAAGACCACCAUGGAAAAAACUGACCUUGAGAAACAAACGACAACAACAACAAAAAAAAAUGCUGACUUCAUCCUCUGACCUUCCCAUUCAGAUUAUCAUGUGGCUCAUCUCAGUCAAGAUCAGCUGCAAAACUGGAAAAAAUAUAAACAGCUACAAGACUUCCUGAAAGCUUUUGCACAUGAAUAUCAAUACAGUUUUCUUUUUUUGGGGCUACACCUUGAAAGGAAGCAGAUAAAGGAGGUAAAUAAUAUGCAGUUGUUGUAAAUUCCACUUCUAUAAUCACAGCUAAACUUGCUUUUCUGUCCAAAAUCUAGAGGGACAAUUUAUUCCUUCAAGCAAAGCUUAUAACCGCGUUUGAUCAGCUGAUUACAUAUACUUGUUCUUUUCAAUUUUUUUUGUCAGUGGGGAGGCAGCUUAACAUGUAGGACACUUUGAACAAAAAGCAGAUCUAUUUCUCGAGCAUGCAUUGACUGAACUGAAUUUCCCUUUGGGGGAUCAAUAAAGUUCUUGUAUUGUUCUGUAUUGAACCGAUUUCAAAAGUUCUGCUUGAUAUUUUGCUUUUGCAUAUCUGGCUCCAAAAUCCUGAAUGGAAAGUCUUGCUGCAAAAUAUUACCCCUCUGAAGCAUGUUGAAAGUAAAUGCUAAUGCUAUGUGAAGAUAUGCUGCAGAUCUCAGUUAUCAGCUGGAGUCAGCUGAGUGUUCAUGGGCUGUUGUGCAGUGAUUCAGUGAACACCAUCUGAUAAUAUGGAACAGUCUCUCUGGUCUCUAUCCUCUCAAUGUACUUAACCUCAUCAGACCAAAGAAAUCUGUUCAGUCAUCUGUGUGUUUGUUUAGUUACUCAUGUGGAGUAUUAUAUAAAUCCUCUCUUGUGCUGUUUUCUAUUUGGGCUUUUGGUGCCUGAAAGGUUUUACUCCUAAACCCUAAAAAAAAAGAUUUACUCAAACAAGCCCAGUAGAGAGAGUCCAACUUCGACUCCUUUCGCUGGGAUUUCUUGUUUACUUAUGCACACUUUUUGACUUUUACACUUGGUUACACUCAUUUAAAGAUUGCACUUGAGAAAAAAAUCCUAACCAUUACAUUCCCUUUGAACAACCAUCGUUAAAAACACUUUUUCUUUUUACUAAAACUUGAUCAAUAAUGAACCCAAUCCUUAUAAAAAUGAGAAAAAGAAAUUUUCCAUCACUAGAUAUCAAAAUUCCCCCCUCCUGGUAAACUAAUAUGAAACCUAGCUUCCUUGCUUUAUGAAUGUUCCCUGACAGCAGACACACGCACACACACUGGGUUUAAGCCAGAUCUCAGCCUCUGUUGCCUCAGUGGAGAUUUAGUAGCACGAUGUGAGGGCAGGUAUCCCACAUCACUCACACUGUCUUCUCAAUUAUAAAAGGGUCUUUGUGUUAUAUCAUGGUUUUUAAAAUUUGACGAUGUUGUUGCUCUGUGGCCCCUCAAAAAUUGCCAUCUAUUUGUUAUUAAGUUUUUACAACAGCACAUAACAGCUGAAAGUACAGUACGAGAUGACUGUCAUCAAAUACUGAUGACAAGUACCCUGAGUGCUUUCCUUGAGCUUUUCUCACAAGUCCCCAGUUAUUACCUCGGCUGUCUGGAUGAGUAUGGUGCCCAUAGAUACACGGAAAGACCAAUGGAGGCGUAUGUUUUUUUCUUCUGAGGUUUAUGAGUCCUGAAUUUAGAACAAAAGGCACAUAUUUUCCUUUUUGUAUCUAUGAAAACAUUCCUUAUAAAUCUUCAAAUACAUUGUGUUAUAAAUCAUUUCAUUUUUUAAUUAAUUAUAAACACUAUUUAACUUACAAAUAGUGAUAUUGAUUUUACAGUUUCACGUUAUAACAUUACUUUACAAUGAAGAAAGCAUGUAAAGCAAUAAGAUGCUCAUGUUUAUAGAAUAUUUUUGAUAGAUUUUGCGUUUUAGAAACAUGUCAACCCAGUCUUUAUUUAACGUGGACCUCUUGUUUUUAUUUAUUUAUUUAUUCAUUUUUUGGUUGAUUCUGGUUUAUGUAAGAAAACAAGGAGUAGCUCCUAAUACAUUUUAAAAUAAAGUUAUAUUAGUUACCAACCGUCAUUUAACCUGGAAACCUUUCAAAUCUUGUCUGCACAUAUUUUCUUAUUUGUUUAUAAAUAUAAAAAAAGAAAAAAAAAAAGUAUUCUAGGCAUUUUGAAUGUAAUGAGAGGAAUUAUGGUUAUUUGAUUUUUGAUAUCUGGUUUCAGUUUUUUGACUCUAAUGAAAUAUGGUUAGUAAGACAGAAGACAGAAGGAAGAAGGAAGAAAUGACAGGCUGUGAUGUAUUUCCUAAAAAUGGUACAAGCAAAGUGUCAAAGCUCUACCUUUAGUCUAAGAAAUAAGUGACCAAGAUAAAAAAUGGUGACACCCACAGCAAAGCAUUUACGUAAUUUGACGUGUGACAAGUGCAGUGCCAAAGGACACCACUCUGUAAAAGAAUUAGACAGGAGGGUUAUAAUAACAUAGAGAAGUCGGUGACGGAGAGGAAUAGAUAAAGAUAGAUGAGAGGAAUCAAAAAAGGAAGGGCCAGGAAAACAUCCAACUUGUCAAAGCCUUUGUGGACGACUAAAGACUGAUUUGGUACAAGUAAUCAUGCUUAAAUCUGUACCAACUGAACUCCAGAAAAAGAUAAUGAUUCAUACUGACAAAGAGGGACUUAGAAAGCACUUCUACUGGCAGAGUUAUCAGCCCGCUCAUCCCUGUGUUUAUUCAUGCUGCCACCAGAAGAACUCCUUGUUCCAAGAUACUCAGUAUGUCUACAUGCAAAAUUAAAUUAAGCUACGGUCAGAGCUUGAUUAGAAGAUAUUACUGGACCUCUGUCUUUGUUCCAGAUUACGAACACAAGGCAGAAAUCACAUUAUUGAAAGAAGCAUGGCUGCCUCUGCUAAGGUCGGUGACUACAUGUUAGGAGUGGGCCCACAAUACGAUAUUAUCACGAUACUUGGGCCAUGACACGAUAUUAUUGCGAUUUUGCAGUUUUUUGAACUGCUCAGCUAAUCUAGAAUUUGUCUUUCCGUUACAUUUGUCUAAUUUACACAGUAUUUUCUUUUCAUGUAGCACUUCUUUCAAACCUCAUGUGUCAGCUCCAUGUCAUUUGUGCCAUGUUUCUCCUUUUCUCCUGCUCUGCCGACCUCACUGGACAAACUAUUGAUUUUAUUUUUCCAUUUCCAUAGACCUGAGUUCAUAUUAGCAAUUGAUUUUUUUAAAAAUCAAUACUUUGUGGAUGAGACGGUACGAUACGAUAUAUCACCAGACAAAAUAUCGCAAUACUAUACUGUAUUGUUUUUCUCCGACCCCUACUACAUGCUCUCCCUAUGUGCAUUUUAGUUGACCUGUUUCAUAUCAAAACAGUCUGCCAAUGGUUUAGGGGAUGAACGUUAAAUGAUGAAAAUAUUCAACAACAAAUACAACCCAACAAAAACUCCUCACUCAACAAACACUUAAUCCUGCGUAGUCAAUACUUCGUAGCCAUGGUCCAUGAUUUCUGGACAGCAGACCAAUAAUUAGGAUUUACAGCUCUAAUCACAGACUGGUAGACUGCAAUGUAAAAGUUAUUUUAUAUGUACAUUUGCUCAGGUCACUGUAUUGAUCUAAUGUUAGAAAAAAAGUGAGUAUGUCACCCUUUAAGUAGUAUUAUCAAAGACUUGCAUCAACUGAGCCUAAAUAUUUCAGUGAAUUCUACCUAGUAGAAAUUUAAUAAAGUGUGACCUUUCAACAAAUAGCAGAAUAUUCAGUUAAAAAGUCGAAAUAAUAAUAAAAAAAAGGUUUAUGUCUUUCAGCUAUUCUAGAAUGGUACAAACAUGUUCAGCAUUGUGUGGGGGAAGAAAAAAAAAUGCCUGAUGGAUGUGUCACGCAGGGUACCGCACUUUUCCCAGUCAGCUUGAAUUUCUGUGAACAAAAGAAGCCCCUAAGUGUAUUUAACUAAACAGUAUUUGCAGUUAAAGGGCUUUGAACAGCUUGUGUACCAUUAUCCAAGUGUUUUGUAAUGAUUACUCCAGACUAAAUUGCUUAUAUGUACUCCAUUACCUCUAACAUUGAGUCCACUAACAGCUGCUUUAUUUUGAAAGGAUGAAUAGUCAUGUGCUUUGUUUGCAGUAGUCUUUUGGGACAUUAAACAGACAGUGUGCAAGCACUGAAGCUUCUGGAAGGCCGGGGAGGGAUUCACAUAAUCAUGCACACUUACACAGACAUUGAGCUACAAGGAAUGGUGAUAGUGGGAGUAUAUUUACAGGCAUUUUCAGCACACACAAGCAAACUGUUGUGUUAAAAACUGCAUGGAUUAUGUUGCCCAAAUAUCAACAUUACAGAAAAGUGAUGAUCGCAUUAUGGUUAUGCCCUCCCUAACAACCAGGGCUCAUUCAGCUGUGUUGUUGGUGGCCUGAUUUAAGUCUGGACAACACCCAUUGUGCUAUUAGAUACUACACAGCAUCUGAAAGUAAAACUGUCAAACAUCGAUUUAUGAAAGGCGAUAAGUAAUCCUAAAAUAACAAACUCAUUCUAUCAGGAAGCACAAAGACAUUGUGGGAAGUUUCGUGUCAAAGCGCAGACACAGAAAUAUUGGAAAACAUUGUCACGGUUCUGACAAAGGAAAACGCAUUUAUUUAAAGCACUUUAACCCUCAAUUUUAAAGAUUUUAUUUAACACAGUUAGCAGUUUCUAGACAAGUCUGAGGGACAGCUGACCCACCUGAGUUCAUGUGCAAAAGGACACAUGCACAGUGGGUUCAAGACAGGGCCACACAAAAGACAAAUUGCUGCAGAUACCCGGCUGGCAGCAUUUUCCAUUUAGUCUUUUGAUUUCAAUGCUGUCUGCGUUUUCUAUACUGUUCCCUAUUGCAUCUCUAUUAUGUCCCCGUGGAGUGUGGGAGAUAGAAUUAGGGAGGCUGUCCUGUUUAUCCUUGAAUAAAACCGAGAUUUCAGAGAUAGUCUAUAAUUCCCUGACAGUUAUUUUCUCUGAAACUAGCCAGAAAGAAAACAUAAUACAGUAAUGCGUUCCCCCUCUGUAGAGAAUGUAAUGGCACAGUUUGUUGUAAAUAUACUUUUUUCCUCCUGAUGUUGUGUUGAUGCAACCCUCAUGCUGCAAAGGCAAUGCUAAUAGAGUGGAGUUGGUGCAACCUAAAGUGACCCUCGUUUGCAUGUGUCUGUUUCUGCAUCUUUUCUUACAUAACUGUACUUGCAUCAUGUGUACAGUAUAGGUCAUAAUAAUCAGUUUGCUCAUAAUGUGUGCAAAAAUUAAUUAUUUUCUAACCAUACAAGGCUGAGAAGUGGCCUCUGAAGACAGACCCGAUAGUCCUGAGGGUGAUGACAACCUUCAGUAAAGGACAGGAUGUGCCAUUAUCAUCUAUAAAAGAUUGGACAGGGUCUUGAAUAUUGUAUCAUUCAUUUUGACUAAUUUUAGUCAAGUUUAAAAAGAACAAUUCCCGUGCUUUAAAAGUCUACAGUUAAUUAAAUUUCAUUGGGCACCGUCUCAAAAAAGAAAUGUUAUCUAAACUGAUUCUGCUGAGUUGGUCAGGUUGUCCUUGUUACAGCUGUAAAAGUUUUUUAGUGCAAAUUGUAAAUUUCUCUUUCAUAUUUGUUGUGGAAUAGUUUGGUGUUUCAUCUGUUUUACAAAUCAUAGUUCAGGAUGUCUAAUGUGUGCACAGCCUCUUUAUGAGGAGAGAGACUUGCCUCUAAAACUCUGUGGUAAGGAAUUGCAUUUCCAUUUAUACGUCCAGUCGUUAAACUGACAACAAAUCUCUUGGUUUUUAUUUUAAACAGAUACCAUUGCAUUUUAACCAAGAACACAGUUUCUGUAAAAACCGGAGUUGCCAAAGUCAGAAAUCUAAUUUUAUCACCAUAUUUUUCACCAACUUUGUUAGAAUUUAACUGAGUAUGAGUGGGUGAUUUCAAUUACAAGGUUACCCAGAUUAGAGUCAUUUCAUGUCACGCAGCUCCAUACAUUGUCAAAUCCUUAAUGAUCCCUCAGGUGGUGUUUGCAUGCUUGCAAAGGUGCAGCAAAUCCCUCCUUCCAUCCUUUCCGACGCUUGACACAUCGAAAUGUCAGAGAGGUGUGGGCAGAGAAAUCUGGUUGCGAGGGGAAACAUCACUCCAAAAUAUUUUAGCACGAUCUCCUCACUCCAGGGACGUGCACAGAAGCAGACUGUAGCUGCGGGGGUACUAGCCUUGUCAUGUAGGGGACCAUUAAGUACAGGUAAAUAGAGUCCUCUUAAGGAUCAAAAUAGAAGCUAUUUUCUCUUUUAAGAUGGUACAGAAGGAAGGAAGGAAGUAGAGAGAGUUGAUGUUGAUGUGAAGUGAGUAAUGUCUCCUCGGUGUGCCGCUCAGCAUUGCAGACACCAGGCUGCAAAGCUCUGGUCUAGCAGAGAUAACACACUGAGAGCAGGCAUCUAGUGAGAUGAAGACAUUGGGGCACUGUGGGUCCACCUCACAUUACUCUCUCACACAGAGAAUCUGGGCACAGUUAUGAACACUGUGUACAGAGCACAGUGUGCCAGCAGCAAGCACUAAGCAGAGAGAAGGAGAGAUAUUUCCUUCAGCUUGACAUUAAUGGCUUGUUAGCUGAUUGAGGUGUAGAAGAGGGAAAAAGAACAAGAUAAGGAGGCUCAUGCUCCCUCUGCAGAAAAGGUAUAAGCGCGUUAGAGCAGCCUAAGUGGCACACUUAGCACCUUACUGUCAGCCAAGGUCAGAUAAAAAAAAGCUACACCUUUUCACUGGACAUCCUCAUAUUUUUGUGUUUUUUGGUCUACUGACGAGGAGUAAGCGAAUGCAGCUCUUCAAGAAGGACAAGGGAUUUACUUUGAAGAGCUUUUAGAUUCUAGGUUAAUACUCAUCAUCUCUUAGCACAGAAAGUCCUCUUCAAAGAGGUGUGUGGAAAACUAGAGAGGAACGUCUCUCCUGUGGUUGAAGAAAAGGUGUUAGAAGAGAUAAUACAUCCUUAGAAAAAGCUCAGACCAUUAUUCAGACCUUGACACUUAUCCUCAGCGUUUCGUUCAGUCCACUGUUCCAGCUGUUUCCCUGAUCCUACCAAACUGUCAGCUAGCCUGUGGGCUUGUUGAAACCAGUUCUUAGCUUUAUAAGGAGGAUAGGUAUAUUAUAGUCAAAUGUGGAAAAUGCAGAGAAGACAGGUCCAUGUUGUGUCCUGGUAUUAUCAGAUACAGAUACGUCUUAAUAUAAUGAAGGAUUACACAUUAGCUUGUAACACCUGAUUCUAUGUUUUUCUGGUUUAAUUCUGAGAGCAAAGUUAGUAAAAUUAGGUACUUAUGCUGCAUUCCAGUUAUACUCAGAAGUCAGGAUUUCCAAGCUCUGAGUCGGAAUUCAUAUGGAACGCCGCCCCUAUUGAACUAGUUUUGUAUUCUGAACUGUUGGCCAUAACAUGGACACCUGUUAAAGGUGGGGUAGGCAGGAUCUGAGGAAGUGCCAGUUUUUGGGAGAAAUCUUGAAUGUAAACUCUACCCCUCCCAACCAGUUUUCCUCUCAGCUCCUCCUCCUCUCUCCCUCUCUGCUCCAGAAAGCCCCGCCCAAAAAACACACGCGUCCUUGCUCGUAUCAUUUCAAUUAAAUUCAGAUAUAAUACAGAUAAGUACUUAAGAUAAUUACAAAUAGGGCCCAGUCAAUGUGAAAGUAAAAAGCAUUGGUGCUACUGUAGAUGCCAACAGACUACCAGCAAACACAAUGUUUGCACGACUUCUAAAACUAGCAUAAAGUGACAUAGUCCAGGACCCGAGGUAAACAGUUCAGCAGCGCUACAAAACGCAGCAGGUCCUGUUUAACAAGAAACACGUCUGUUACAGACACUUGGUUUACUUUGUUAAAGUGGUUUACCUGUCCAGCAGAAAUUACAGGGUCUGUAAGAUCCCGAAGCGUCCCCCAUCGUUUAUGCUUCAUUGAUGCUGACCCAGCUUUUUAGCUCUUGUCUGGUCUACCUCCUUUUUUAAGCGCCCAUUUUUCUGUCAGAGUCUCCGGUAUUUAUUUCGUUUUCUUGCUUGUGUCGGCAUUCGUGGCCAAAGGAUGAUUCAGACAAUUUUCCGUACUUUCCGGUUUGUUUCUACAGUCCGAUAUUGUAGCACGCUAACUUUGUUUGGGCUCGUGAAUGUUAUUCGAGGACGUGAAGCGUGCCUCACUACACGAUCGAGCAGGGUCUGCCUUUACAACCAAUCAGGUUGGGGGAGGCAGAGAUUGGCUUUGUUUACAGUCAGAAAGAGCGGGCCGCUCAAAAAUUUAAAAAUGUUGACUGCACAGACAUAACAGAACACAGCGAUGUCAUUAUAUUCCUAAAUGUCAUCAAUGACUAAUAGCUAUUGACUGAUAUUGACUGACCACAAAAAAGAUGCUUCUUUAACAAAUUCCUGCCUACCCCACCUUUAAGCUCAGAGGCCUAACAUUCCCCUAUCUAUCAAGCUACACUGAGCUCUAAUAAAUUGUUUCUGGGUGUUGGAUAGAGGUUCUCACCUUUUAUUGAAGUAUGUCUCAUAACAUAGUAUGUUAGUGGUUUGGAGACCACGCUGAAACCUCAAAGUUUUAUAUCUAUUGAUUUUUGUAUUAUCAUACUUGUAAGACUCGUAUUCUCCACUGUAAUCCAGAAAUCCAAACUCUAUUUACAAAAAAAAAGAGCUCAAGCCCCAUUUUUGUGGUCUUUUGUUAAAACUCUCGCCUGUUCAAUAAGUUUUUGAUCUUUUUAAAUCUCUUUUAUAAAUUACAAAUCAACCACAGCUUCCCACUACUGCUCCACACAGUCCAUCACAGACAGAGAGAACAAAAUUGAACUCAGCAGGCUAAGUCUUCCAGACAUUGUAUUUGUCUUUUAUUCUGUCUGUCUGUCUGUCUGUCUGUCUGCAUAGUAAAUAUAUCUGUCUGUAUGUCUGCAGUAUAUCAGUCUGUCUAUCUGCACUGUCUGUCUGUCUGUCUGUCUUUCCAACUGUCUAUCACAUUGUCCCUGCUCCUGUGCUCAGCCGUUGUUACCAUAACAACAAGGGAAUCCUGUGCCCUUCAAAACAAUUAGCAUUCAACACUGUUGCUAUUCUAACACCAACCAACAUCUUCCAAUCACAGGGAAAAAUAGUUGCUGGGAUAAAUUGUAAAGACAGCAAAUACAUUAAAAAUCUGGAGUGUUCGUGGAGAGAAUAGGUUUUAAGGCCGGCGUUGAAUGCUCUUGAUAAAACGGCAACAUGACGGCCAGUCAGAGGCAAAUGCAGAUAAGAAAUUCCUUGAUAUGAUGUUGUGUUUUAUCUGCUGUAGGAGACAACACUGUAGGAAUCUUUGUUUUCAAUUGAUCUUUGUAAAAAGCUUUCACAUUCACAAGUUUCAGAGAGCUAGUUCGCUCUCUGAAACUUGUUCAUAUGAAAGUACGACGCACAAUGAGUUGGUGUUUCUUUGCUUUAAUCCCCCAUGUCUGCUGGUGAUAUGACAUACAGCUACUAACAGAUAGUGUUCUUAAUUGAGAUUCAUGGGACACACAGAAACCCUUGGGAUCUGAAGUGUUAUCAUCAAACAAGUCACAUGUAUUGGGCUCAAUAUAUCAACACUCAGCCUGUUAGGAUAUCGUGUCAGUAGGGAAACAAUAACAAGAGAGAUACUCUGAAAUGUUUUAACUGCCUUGCCAAGCAAACCGAUGUCAACUUUCCCUUAUACUGUACAAAAAUACAACAGAUACUGACCAAAGUUUAAUUAGACUAACACUUGGCUGUAGAACAAGAUUAAAGACAGUAUCAACACCUCAGCAGUAGUUUCAGGAUCUUUAAAGAUUAGAGUAUUUACCAGGGAUGUUAGGAGAUACUAAUUUCCUCGAAGUUUCAGCGUUGAUCUAAGUUUGUCUUUUGGUCUGAAGGUUAAAUAAAACAGUUGAACUAGAAAUAGCCUACAUUUAACUUCAUCUUCUUUUCCUAGUUGUGCAUUAACUGCAUUACGAUAAGAGAUGCUGACUGGCAUCUUAAACUCACAAACAUCUUCAAAUGAUUUAAUGAUUGAUUGAAUGUUUUCUCGUUUUAAUUUAGUUAGCCAGCUUUAACUAUCUAUAACUCGGGAGUAUUUCUCAUUUAUACGAUCUGAAACACAGUUAUGAGUCUGUAUAUGGUGUUUUAUUUUGGAAUAUACUCAACAACAUACGUGACAGCCUGUCUAGGACGAUCUUCUCUCUUCAGAUGGACGCGUGCUGGGUGGAUGCUCCGUCCAAAAUAGACUCGGUGCGUAUCUUUAGUGGAGCAGCGUGUAGAGACACUUCUGGGACGGAGCUGAGGCAUGCUGCGAUGCAUCCUGUGUGCAAUACUGCAUUGAUUAAAAUGGGAAUGAAUUUGCUGUGUAGCUUGUGACAUUGACAGAAUGUGCUCAAUACACAUCCUGUGGGUGUUAGGCUUGACUGGUGUUACCUUCGGAUUCCUUACUCUAGUCUGAUAAUAAAGCUUCCCACAAUGCAAUGCUGCUGUGCCUUAAACACAGGUAGGAGUAGUUGGGUGUUGCUGGUCUUGUGAUUUACACACAUACUCCAUACACAGAGGUUACGCCUCAAGCAGAUGGCAUGUGUUUCAUUCCAGCCUGCGGCCUCUUUCUGGCGUGUCACUUCCAACUCUUUCUCCGCAUUUCCAGCUCUAUCCGCUGUCCUGUCUGCUCUGUUAAAAGCACAAAAAGCCUGAAAAUAAAAUCAAAAUGAUAAAGUGGUUAAACAGAAGAAUGUUUCUUUCUCCAAGUUUGACAAAAAAAAAUCUAUCUUAGCCAAAAUGACUGUUUAUUUUCAUAGACAUCAAAGUGAAAGUGCAGUGAACAUAUGUAGAAAGCUGAAGUGCACGUUUGUAUUGGUCCCUAAACCUUCACAAAAGUCCAUGAUCAAAUCUGUGCACUAGAUUUUAUUGGUGGACAUAGUUCUGACUUGAUUUCCCUCAUGCCAGAAGUUUUUAUUUUUCAGAUUUCGUCCUUGUGUUUGUUUUUAUUUAGUUAUCCCAUCAUUAUUGCCAGGAAAAAAAAAAGAUCCUUGACGAGAACAAUGAGAAAGUAUUUCUGCAAAUGUCAACCCAAGCUGUCUGAAUGGCAACAGACCAUCAGUAAUGAUAAAUAUCAUCUAUUGUUGUCUUUCCACUAUCACUCUUCAACCUUAUCACUUUGCAUAUCAUGCAAACAGUUAUGUUGACAUCUCUUUUUUUGCAAGAGUUUUGUUUGCCUUUUAAAAAGGGGGUAUUAUGCAUUUUUUCAGACUCUAUACUUCCUUUCUGAAACCUCUUUAAUAGCUUUACAUGAUUUUCAGGUCAAAAAAGAAAAAAAAAGACUUGUAUUAAAAUAUUAUCAUAUCAGCUUCCAUCUAAGACGCUCCAUUUUUGCUGCUGUCUCUUCAUUUUCGCUACAUAGCAAUGACUGUUGGUAAAAUUGUUUAAAUCUGCUGAUUACACUGCAGCUCGAGAACUAGAUCUCCAGUUCUCGAGAAAACACACCUCCUACCUUUGGCCAUCAUCAAAACUUAGGUGCAACAGGUGAUUAGUCACGAAUUUUAAAAGGUAACCAUCUGAUCCACCAUGACAUGGAAGAGGACUGCAAGCAGUAAAGAAAGUUCACCAGAAACUUUUCUUUUUUAAAAGAGCUGAACAAGAGUAGGAUGUCCAGCAAGGGUUUCCUCAUUUUUAUCGAGCAGCAGUGGAGAGCAUCCUCACUUUUGUGAUAACUGUCUGGUUUGGGAAUAUGUCUACAGAGGAGGAGAGGCAGCUAAACCAGGGGAUGCGUACAGCAUGAAAAAUCACCAGGUGUGAAUCCCACUCUUGCAAACCCAAAGGAUCAGGCUACAAAUGAAAUGUCUGAAGAUCUUAAAGAACCCCUCCCUCCCAGGCUAACUGCCUUUUUACCUUUCUGCAUGUCCCCACAGGGCUUGACACACAUGUGCUCAUGUGCUCCUAAGUUAAAAAGAAAGGAGCACACAAAGAACUUUAGGGGCACAAUGAAAAUUGAUCAAAUAAUAUGUGUCUUAUUGGUCAACAUAAGUUCAAUUAUUUGAAACCAAUUUUGGGUCAGUUGAUCACAUGACAUGGAAGCUAUUGAAGGAAAGGUUCAAAAUUUGCCUUUAAAUUUAAAGGUAAAUUUUGUUUAGAGCAGAAUUUAGGGAAAUAAAGAGGUGUAUCUAAUUGUAUGACCUUAGUACUGUUAUUUGAAAUCAAUUUUAAGUCAAUUGGUCAGAUGACAUAGAAACUAUCGAAAGGAAACAGCCUUUUUUGAGAACAUCAACAGGUAAUUUAUUGAUGGUCCCUUAUUCAACACCCAACAUUCACAGCGAGGGUGCUGAGUCAAUAUAGCUGCACUGAGAGUGAGAAGACACCGGUAGAUCUGCAGUGAAUGUCCAUCGAAUAUCCAAUCUAAAACUAACUUCAACUAACUUCCUUGCCUCAUUUUUUUUAUGCGCUGGUGCACUCAUCUGUUUUUAAUCGCAAAUGCGAGUAAAAUUGUCGCACUGUUGAGCCCUGCCCGGUGUUCGUAGCUCUAUUUCACCAAUUGUCGAAUCAGUUGUCUCUAAAAAGUGGAACUGUUGCCUUUUCUGGCUUUAGGGGUUUCAACAAAAGUUUUCUUGUGGCUAAGUUAUUAAUAAUAAAUGUGAUUCUUAGCUAAACUGUUUUAAUUACAAUAAUGAAAAAAUGCUCUUUAACCAUAUUCCCAAGAGGGAUUAGUCAAGUAUAGCCUAUAUGCACAGCCCUGGGACACUGCAGAGAUUUUAGUUGCUGAUCUGCAAUGCACCAACAACAAGUUAGAAACUCUUCAGUUCACAGAAUUGAAGAAUUCCUCCCCAUUGAUGUCUCGUUCUUUACUCUUUUUAAUUCACUCGCCUGUAGUCAAACAAAACAGAAGCAGCUUUUCCUCUAAUAGAUAAAAUGUUGUGUAGAUUUAAUGAAUUGUGAAAAUAGCGAAUUCCUGAAAUGUAUGACCACAAACAUUCCUUUUCCCGUUUUACCUAAUUAUGUUUGUCAUGAGUUUGCAGCCAGUUGUGUGGAAAAACUGUGUUGAGAAGCUGUCAUGACACAUGAUUGCACACGGUUGCGCAUCAUUGGCAUUUACAUACAGUAAUACUGUACAAAAUAGUCCCGAAUCUCCCCCUCUUCUUCCUCUCCACCACACAUGGUAUCAUGAAGAAUUGAACUCGAGCUGCAAAGGCCUGACUGACAACACCCGCAAAGGUCAUCUCAGCCUUUUAGCCAGCGUGAGGCAAACUGGAAAGGGAAGCAUCACAUGCAGGCGCCCAUUUGAAAGAUUAAAUACUGUGACAGAACAAGCUCCCACAGGAAACGAGGGGAUGCCACAAGCCUUCUAUCUGGUUUCAAGAUCUGUUCAGCUGCACUGCACACAUUGUUUUCGAUUGAGUUAGCAGUUCAGAAUAGAUUUAAUCAAUUAAAGUGACAUUGUUGCAGGCUGGCAGUCAAAUGGAAAUAUUAAAUCAUCUUUCCAAGUAUUGUGGCACCAAAACGCCCCCACAGAGAGGGAGAGAGAGCAUUUGCUUCAUGAGAGUGAUGCAGAUUAAUGCCCCAAAACAUCCUAAUUGCUUAAUGAACCUUCUUUCAAACAACAGAAUUGUGCUUUUAGCAGAGGAACCCCUGUCGAAAUGCCCACAGUCAAAUUGCUGAAAAAUAAAACAAAAUCCAGUUCUUUUGCCGCAUUUUCAAACAAAUUCAAGUUCAGUGUUUUAACGUUACUACGCUCAUCUCCUAAAUCUUUGACACACGUCUGGGCUGUGAAGAUAUGUAAAGCAAAAGGAUGUCCUUUUUUAUGCAGUGUGAUAGAGUAUCGUCUUUAGGAUCAAGGAUUAUUCUUCUCACUUUUAUAGUUUAAUCUAUUUUUGAAAGCUUUAAAGUGGACUUUCCCCCUAAUGCCAGACAUUUAAAGUGCAAACCUGAGGGAUAUUUUUUCUAUGAUAAAGGCCGCGGCUCGUAUCUUACUGGCAGAGGAGGGCCCGCUCCUGCCAUAUAGAGGGAGAUGCAAGUAAAGAUUUGGAUACACCAGAUACAAACCACCGAGAAAUUACUGGGUUAUUCGAGUUUUUCCACCAAAGCAAAGGAACUGAACAAGCUGCCUCAUAAAAAUUAGAUUAGGUUAUUAACAUCAAUAAGCAAAUUUUGUUAUGAACUUGUUUUAUCACAAUUUUUCUGCAGUUUAAUUGAGUUAGAAAGUCAUUUAAAGCUGUUAACUGAUCUGUCUCCACAGAUUUACAUAAAUGUAGUAAUUUCAGAUGUUAUUGAUCAUUUACCCCUUUACUUUAAAUUUACUUUCAGUUUUCAUUUUAAGUAAAUAAUUAUGACUCUAACUUUUCAAUUACAGUGGCCAGGUUUUUAAAAAUCUUACCCGUCGUAAACAAAGGAACUUUAUAUUGAAAUUUUAGAUUUUAGGAAGGAUUUAGCCCAGUGUAAAUUCUCCUCUGAUAUUUGGUAAUACAAAAAAUGCAAACCUGAGCCUGAAAGUAUUUACUUUUUAUUUACUUUUUUAAAAACAUUUCUGCCCCCUGUGUGAGCCGUGCCUCUCCCAAAGAUGACAAUGAUGACAACAGCAGGGAUCAAAUCCUCUUACCCCAACCCCCCCUACCUAUCUCAGGACCAUCUUGAGCUGGUGACCAUGACUGAGGGGAUAAAACAAGAUACUCUAUGAUAGCACCGAUUGUAGUGCUCACGUACACAGAAGUGGGUGUUUUAACCCCUUAAAGAGCUGUCACGGACUGUGGGGUUUAUUUGACAGAGCACUUGGCUCAUCAUUUUGACUACAACUCAGCACUGUGUCAUCGAUCUGGGCCCCCUGGAAAAAAAAAAAAGAGGUGGGGGGUGCAGGGGAAGGAUAACUUUCAGCUUUGUCAGCUGGAUAACUAAAUAAAACAAACGACUGGCCCCUCUGAAAUACUCAAGAAAAGAGAGAGUGACAGCAGUAUGGCUGAUCACAUGGGGGCGGCUACAGAAUGGUUUAAUUUGACUGAUAAUAAUAAUAAUAACUUUAUUUGUAUAGUACUUUUAAAAACAGAAGUUUACAAAGUGCUUUGACAUAUAAACAUAGAUCACAUGGAAAAAGACAGAUAAAAACAAAAAGCUCGGUUAAGAGGAAUUGAAGGCCAUUUUCAUGUCAUAAGGAACCCAAACAAUACAAGAACCAUGCAACAUAAAAUGAGACCAUGAGGACCAAAAUACAAACAUAAAGUAGUUAAGAAAAAAGGAAAUGCAAUUAAAAGGGGGGUCGAUAGCGGAAACAUAAAUAUAUGUAUAUAUGAAAAAAACAAACAUCUUUUUUUAGUGUGUAGAUUGGAGUCCACACCAACAUUAGAUUAUGUACCUCUGAGAAUCUGCUGUGUUUUUACUCUCUGUUUACAGCAGUAUAUGAAUUCAAGCUCUGAAGCAGCAUUUUCCCACCUUAUAUGUGACUUAAUUAUGUCCAUUCUGCAUAACAAAGCGAGGUUAAUUAAGCUGGUAGCACAUGGAAACGGCUUUUUGCGAAGGAUAACACAGUCUAGCAUCAAGUUAGUCUUCCUUCAGAUGAAAGCCGGUGGGUUUGAAGUGAGGGGUGAUAUCUUUUAAAGUAAGCCUAUUAAUAAUAAUGAUUUGGUUAAUUGCUCUCUCAAGCAAACAGUCACUUGAUUACUGUAAUGACACUGUUGAUUAAAGAUGAAUUUGGGACAAUUAACCCAAUGAUAUGCCACCAAUUUAAGAUUGUGUUGUUACUGUUUGAGGCCAACAGAACUGCGUAGCAAACAUGAGGGCAGAUUUUCAAUAAAGUGUACACAAAACCGUAUAUAAAUGUUGCAUUAGAUCAUAUGCAGGCCUAGACGGUUAAAAACACUGAUACUGUGAGCCCUGCUUUAUUUGACUGAAAGGUCGAUGUUGCCCACUCCAUUGUUCUCACAGCGAUCAAUAACUGGUGUAAGACGUAGGGUAAUCAAUUAUUUCUUUGCUACUACCGUCUCCCCCUUUAAGUUUGCUCAUAUUACAGAUCGUUUAGGAAUGUUGUGCAGUAUGUUCUCCGAGCUCAUACUGUGAACUAGAAGACUGCAGCAUUCAAAGGUAAUAUUAAAACAUGAGGUAGUGGUCUAACAGGUAGAGUUGGAUACUGCUAAUAGUUCUUAUUGAUCCCUGAUUGUGAUUCCAGUAUUUUUGAAAGAUAAAAAACAAUGUUCACAAAUCUCAAUUUGCUCAGUCAUUUUCCUUUUAAUUCUGUAUCACCGCCCACCGCCCUCCCUCCCUCCCCAACACACAGCACACCUGCAGCUUCCCUGAUGUUAUAGACAGCAGUCCUCAGCGGUUCAUUUUAUAAAGACAGCCAAAUAAUAAAUCUCAUUCUGCAAUCUUUACUAGAUAUUCUGUUAUCACAAAAUAUGAUGUAGGUGUGGAGGAGGCUUGUUAAUGAUGCAGCAUUUCACAAACAGAGUUAAAACAGCAUGGCCCCCGCAGCAUUUAGACCUCUGUCCAACUGGGAUUUAUGCAUUAACGCCAACAGCUCUACAUUUAACUACAUUUUAAUGUAAUAUGUUUUGGGUUCUUUUUCUAUCUAGCAGAUCUAGCUUUUUUUGAUAGUGAAGUUCCUUUUAAGUUUGUGGAAACGGGUUGAAUAAAAAUCUCUUUAGGCUCCAAUUUUGCACUUACUCAAUGAGAAAAAAAAAUCCUGCUGCAUUUGCACAAAAUUCCACAUUAACAAAAAAGUUAACCAAAUUGGGCUGUGCAUUUAUGUCUGAAUGUAGAUAUUUUGAAUAUGUUAUAUAACUCUGUAUAUUUAUUUUGGUAUAUCUAAAGCAUUGGUCCCCCAGAGAUAACUCUUUAAUCAUAUUGAAUACCACUCUUGUCAUGUACUAUGUUGUAUGUCCAUACCAUUAGCCUAUACACACAAAAGACUGGAUUACGAAGUGGAUUACGAGUCAGCAUAGUAAAGGUAAUUCUGUGAUAUAUAAUUUUAGGACACAGUUGCCACAGUUCAGCCCAAACUUUGCUUCAAUGGAACAGCCGCUUUUCUGUUUUUCAGUUUUCUCAAGUCAAAGUUUAUUUUCAAAGCACAUUUAAAAAAAAACAACAAAAAACUCAGUUGACCAAAUUACUGUACAGGAGUGCAAUAUAAGCAGGCAUACACUUACUAAUAAUACUACGAACAGUGAUGGGAUAAAAGAGGUAAAGAGUUAAUGAGUUUAGUGGACUGUGCGGCUCACUUCACUACAAGUCGUAUUGUGGAUGAAUGAAAUAUAUAUUUUUGGAGGAAUUAUCAAACACUUUAAAACUCAAGAGCUGUCUUUUUUUAUGAAUUAGCAUUAAGACUUGCCAAUAGCUAAGCAUGCAGAUAAUUUUUAAAAGUCAAAGAUCUAUUGUGAGGAAACUCUUAAUCUGAUAGGCUCAGUUGAUUUGCCACAUUGUUGAUUCAGACUCAUCAAGCCAAGACUUUGGAGCAGUUUGUUUGUCAGAUUGUCGAGGACAUGGCUUUCGAAUAGUUCUUUAGAAACCCUUUUGGCUAUAGUUUCGUUUAUGAAGUGUUGUUCAGUCUGCAUCUCUAAAUUGCUUCACAGCGUAGCUUGGCAAUAUCAAUGGACCAAACUGCCAACUGUGCUGGUGCAUUUGGUUGCCGUAAGCUUAAUGAUCAAAUAAUUUGUUUGUUUUGCAGAAGAAUCCCGCGUUUGGAACCACACUCUGUUAUUAUUAAGAAAAAGAAAUCAUGCACACCCGCUGGUUAAACAUGAAGAUUACCUCAAAAUAGUAAUAAUAAUAACAACUGAAUAAUCAGGCACAGACAUAUCCCUAUCUGCUCUGUUUUUGAGAUGCCAGCCUGUGAUAAGAAGCAGAGAGGAAUAAUCUUUAGUAUUUCAGGGUUGUUUACUUCUUUCCUGCCAAGUAUGGUGAAGUUAUUUACCUUCAUUAAAAAAAUAUUAUGUUUACUUAGAUGACAAGGCCUUAGAUUAUCAGUAAGAGGAGCCUUUAAGGUACUCUCUGACUUUAUACUCACACAACAUUAUUCAGAGAUGCUCAAUACAGAGUGUGUUAAACCUCACAUAUCUGCAUAGGUUGCCAAGAAAGGUCAGGUGCUGCUCUCGUAUCUAUUUGGAAAAGGACCCUUAAUGUGAAGCGAGGGGGGACUAGGUUGAUUUAAUGUUACAAAACUCUCAAUAGAGGAUUUCGGCAAAGUUGAUAAACACAAGUUUUGCCUUUUGAACUCACUCUGAAGGCAUCGGGAACAGAGAUUCAGAAAAUCUUUACGUUUGAUAAAAGGGGUCUUGCAUUUUCAAUGAAACAUGUUGGAGGAGCAUGAGGCCGGUUUGUUCAAGGCUUCUACCCAAGUUUUUUCUUUACAGCUGGAUCACAUAAAAGGUUGCAAAAGUCUCUGAAGGCCAGUGAGAGUCAGAUUUAAACUUACUUAAAGGUAGGUGCAGUCUGUGCUCUAGCAACGUGUUAUCUUUAUUUAUUUUACAGAACCUAACUGAAGUUUUUGCCCACACCAGCAAGUUGUAGACCUACGUAGUAACAUCAGUAACUGCUGCCUAAUUUUCCCCAUUUUAAUGUCUCUAAAACAACAACUGCUCUGAUGGUUUAGCAAUGCACAGAGUGCCCCCUCUGUGGUUUAAUAUCUUAAUCAAACAACAUUUUAUCAGAUUACUCAUUGAUUAUGACACUUUCUUUCCAUUUUGUUUGUUAUUUUGAUUUUUCUUGUUCCAAUUUAGUGAUCCUUCACACAUUUAUUGUCUCUGUACUGAGGUUAUAACUGAGUUAAUUACCUCGGGCUCUUUGGGAGAAGACACAAUUUCAUAUAAGAUUUACCUUGUUAAAUCUCACAAAUGCAAUUACAUCCCCCUGAUAUAAUUGCUGUGAAUCUGAACCAAUCUUUGACCUGGAAAGCUGAUCUUGCAGAGUUUUUUCCGGUAUAUAUUUAUCCCCAUCUUUAGUAAAGUUUGACCUUGUCCUGAUGGAUAAAACCCAGCCUGGGGAAAAGCUUGGCAGAGGUGUUUGCAUUUGAGUGGCUGGUGGCCAGACCCAUAUCUAUUGACUCCAGUUGGGCCAAGUCCAAAGUGAGGUUGGGGCUGCCAUCACCCAUAAGGAUAUGCAUAGGACCUGGCUGGGACAUUUCCUUCGGGUGAACUCUGUGGUUUGCAUUAUAAUCGAUCAUGAAUGGAUGGAUAGCUUUUCAAUCCAUUCUUAUGUGCAUUUAAUCACAGCUGUUUAUACAGUAGCCACACGCAUCCCAAAUGUGUCUUCUGUUGCAUACACCCUAAAAAUAGAUCAAUCCGUGCAGACAGAUUUAAAGGCCUCCAGCUUUUUGCCAAGCGUUACCUUUCCGUUGGACUGUUUGUGCUCACAUGUUUGUUCCGUGUCCCUUUGUUGAACUUCCAAUCAUAAAAGGCUGAUCAUUUUCCCUCCUGAGUUUCCUUCUCGAGGAAUUAAAGACAGGAAAUCCGUCAUUAGCGUAAACAAGUCAUGAUUCUGUUUAAUAUGUUCGGCCUUUAUUCUAACAAAACACUUAAAAUGGUGUUGUGAUUAAUUUCUUCUAUAACAGUAGGUGAUGUUAGGUAAAUUCUUCAUUUGCUUUGGCUGAAGAUGAAUCAAAGGCAAUUUAGUAACUUAAUGAUUGAGCGUGAGAGAGAGUCUGGAGCAUCUCCUUUUCUUUUCCGGAUAGCCACUGUGUUGUUCUCAUCAAUCACACGAUUAAUAAGGCCAGAUUAGUUUCCCAACCAGAGACAAGAAUCAUUUUUCAAUUUACCAAUUAGUCCACGUCUUCCAAAAUGUCAUGUGUUUUAGAGCAUAGAGCCCCUUAUGACUAUAUUAAGAGCUUCAUCUCCCAUGGGAUUUCUACCAUGAGUCUACAUCACACACACAGAAGCUGGAGUUGACAAAUUUUCAAAAUGAAGCAGUUGUUAAAUCUUUGCUGAAUGAAAAGGCGUCCCCGUUUCUACGCCAGUAUAGGAUGAGAAACCAAUUUAAUUCAAAUUACGUGCGGGAUACUACAGAUUUCAGCUGGAGGAUUUAUGGAACAAGCACCUGAAAGGAAAAAAUUACAGUGUUUAAGUAAAGCUCUUUGAAAAACAAAGUUGCCUGGUAGUUUGGCAGCACUCUGGGCUUUUAUUUUCUAGAAAACAUCCACUUUACAAUUUGCAAUGGGCUGAAACAUUCAAGUCAUGCUGUUUUGACAGUUUUUGUCGCAGUAACUCAUGGACAUAUUGUAUGUCUCUCUUGCUUAUGCUUGACUGACGACUGCACAUUCAACUAACGUGCGGCAGCAAUUUUUCCUGCAGAGCACACAUGAAACUGUAGCCAUGCGCCAUCCUUUAGCUUCUGUUGGACCACAUCUGUCAUCUGAGCUAUCAGCCAGGGUCAAGCUAUAAGCUAGAAUGAGUCAGCGUUUGGACUGACGCCUCAAUGAAACAUUACAACUGCAGAACAAUGCCUUACUCAGAUAGCACUAUUUUGUCCCAAUCUUAAAGGAAUAUUCCACCACAUAAAAAAGGUGUAAUUUAUGUAUGAAGUGCUAAAUGAGGUGCAGAGGUCUGAUUAAAUCCCUUGGUUAUUUAAAGUUGUGUUUGGGCGUACCAGGAGGACAGGAGCAGUAGCAGUAUAAGUAGUAUUAGUAGUAGUUGUUUUAACAGUAAUGUGCAAUGUCCAUAGCUUGAAAUCUUAGGUUUUUUUUAUAUUAAUACUUAAAGGGAUAGUCCGGCAUAAAAUUAAUUUAGGGUCAAUUACACCAUAACACCGAGUUAGACACCCCGUCAAGAAAUGAAUGUUGCCAACCGCUUGCUUCUUGGGUUAUACCAACUUUAGAAAUGACUGCAGGAUAGCAAUACACAGCGGUCUGAGAAGCCAUAAACAGACCUCAACUAAAACACCACUCAAUAACCACAAAUAAUGCUCAGAACAGCACCUAACUUCAUCAACAGUACAUAUAGGGUCCUAGCCAUAGCCCUAGCCACCAAACAUCUUUUUAACUUUGCCUAAGAGACUUAACACAACUCACCUACUCUCUUCCAGCAGCCCCUAAAUUAAUUUUACGCUGGAAUAUCCCUGUAAGUUAUUUGUAAAUAUGCUGCUGGAAUUUUAAUUUCCUUAAGAGAAUCUUUCUUAAAGGAUAAAUGAACUUGUAUCUAGUUCAAUCUAAUGUAAUCUAAAAUGUUGGUCAAACAGUCUAGGGUAUCUGCUCUCAUUCUCUUUAUGAGCCAAGUGCACCUGUAGGUUUGUGUGUUGCUAUUUACACAUCAGAUUUCAAUCAGGCUCGAACCAACAUGCUGGAUUUCCCUCCUUCCAAAGUGCUCCUAUGACUGCAGCACACAGUGUGAGUCAUGCCAAUGCAUAGAUCAAUAUUAUAUGCACAGAAACUCUUCCUCUCCACAAGCUCCUCAGCAAUGAUCAGGGACUUCCUGAGUUAACAGACUCAUGUAAAAUUAUGCACAAGGCACAAUAGUAACGCUUUAUUAACUAUUUAGAAUUCAGACCACACUGACAGUUUUGGACAGGAUCUAAUGAUGGUUAAUACCACUGACACUUAAUGCCACCAAAACCAGCACAAGGCAUAAGAUGAGGCCCAAAAUAUAGCCAUUUUUUCAUACAGUACUCCAACUCUUUCUGCAAAUUAGUGACUGACAUCUGAUUCAUUUUUCCUCUUUCCCUCCCCUUGUAACAUGUAAAUGCUUCUCUAAUUACUUUAAAAAGAAGCUAAAAUUUCACCUAAUCAAAAAUCCCAUUCAGGAAAGUUGUGUGUUGCUAUGUGUAUAAAAAAUGAAGGGGAAAUCAUAAAAAUAAGAAACGGGUGAACACAUUGUUUCAGAUAAGCCAGUGUCUUUGUAUUAAUGAUGAAUCAAAUAUUAUGUGAAAGCCUGUAGAGACACUCACACAGAUAAUUAUCCCCAGGCUCCAGUUCCUCUUGGCUUUUUGAGGCUUUUAAACAUCUUUCAGCUCAUCUUGGUUUGGUUUUACAGUUCACAACCUCUGUAUUGAAUUUAAUUUCCAUGCUCUUACCAGCCAAGGCAGCUGCAUUCAGGAAAAUAAGGCUUUUAAAGCCCACUGUAUGCAAUCUGCCCAGCACCAAUUGGCAGACAGACAAAUUUAGUGACCUGCAGAUGAACAUACUAAAGGAUUGAGUAGCAGCAGAAACCAGAUAUUUCCCUCAGGAGUAGGUUUUAGGAGCUAACAGAGAGUGACUAUUAAAUGUACAAUCAUCAGUUUGCCAGACAUGUGAUUUUAUAUACAUGCUGUAAUGUUGCUCUGGAUGUGUGUUGCCAGCAAGAUUUGCAAUCAAGUUUCAGCCUCUUCCCAUUACAGGAGACAUAUUAUGAGGAAUCCACUUUUUUUGUAUAGUUUUUUUUCGUGUGUUUGGGUAACAAGUGUAUCCAUUGACCCCUAAAAUGUCAAACAAGCUGACCCAGACCUUUGUUGAUGUCCCACCUAAACACACAAUCAGAUUGUUGACUCAGAAUCUGUUCUCCCUCACUUGGUAUCUCCAACCCCAAUAGUCUGAGGUAGACUUUUGGUGAGUGCUCCAGAAGAGAAGAGAAGAAUGGGGUGAGAAAGAGCUCAUUUGCAUUUAAAGAGACCCCCAAAACUGACUGUUCUGAGACGAGGUAUGAAAAGUUCAAAUUCCCGCUGGUGCUUGAUCUUUAUUAUAUUUUGGCAUCGAUGCCUCAUUAAGACCACCAGGCAAAGAUAAUACAAUGUCAGUCCCUGAAUAAUUCAUAUUUUCACAGCUUUCUACUGCCACCCCAAGUGGAGAUGUGGAUAGAUGCAACAUUGAUGAAAUCUAAAAAUAAGACUCCUUGAAUUUCUGUGCUUUCUUUAUAAAAAACGCAGCUGCAACCUCAACAUUCACCCCCGAACUCUUGCCACCCUUAUGGAUUAGGCCUCUUAAUAUUAAGCACACAUAGCACACUUAGUGGUGCAUGAUCAGUCUGUAGUGGAACAUGAACCCUGUCAUGUAAGCACCAGGCACACUUGAUAAAUUUGGAAAAUCAUUUUCACACUUACAGUAGAUUUAUUGCGACAGUUGAGAACCUGUAGCCUGGUUCACUGGGUUUGUCUGCAGAUGCACGUGUCAUCUGCCGAGGGGAAAAAUGAGCUGCUCCUUGUGUAACGUAGACUUAGUUAGCACCCUCUUUGUUUCAUGUUGUCAGUUCUGCAGACAUGUUUACUUGCCACGACUUGACUGUUUUCCUUACCAUUAAUAAAUUGUGUUUCUCAUGCCGGUAGCAUUACUUGGUCCAGAUAUUAACAUCUAUGCGACAUUAACCACCUUUACCUCACCUCCCUCACACCCGGCAGCUCUGCUCUCCCUGUUUACAUCAAUUUCUGUUUCUUCCUUCUCUCUUUGGUCUCCUUCUCUUGUCCAUCCACAAACUUCAAACUGAUGCUCCCAUCAUCACCUGAACCCCUACCAUCACUAAUGUCCUUUGACACCUUCUGGGUUUCUGACCUGGUCAAAUACCCUGUUGAUUUCAAUGUUCAGCUCCUCACCCUUGGGCUAUCUAUAACCUUGGUCCUCUGUACUUCUCUGAACUCCUGCACAUCAACAAACCCACCCACACUCUUAAAUCUCUUCCACUCACCACACGGCACCACCUGUCUGCUUGGCCACCAUGGGGUUUGUAAGCCUUCAGCCGCACCUCCUACCUCUGGAACUUUCUCUGACUAGACAUCUGUUACACUCACUCUUUCUCCAUUUUCAAAACUUUUCUUGAAGCAUUUCUUUUUUCACUGUUCUAUAAUGUUGACAGGAGCAGAAGUAGGAGCUGUCGUAAAUGUACACGAAACAGUAAAUUUCAUAACUCAGGGACAGAUAUAGAAAAGAUUAAGUCCCCAGUUUGUAUAUUUGCACUGUGAUUUUCCAUCACACUAAAAUAUGCUGAUUUCUUUACAAAAGAAUCUGAAACUUCAGUCUUUAGGGUGAUUCAUUUUGAUGUGUUAUUUUUUUGGCGUUAAAGACACGCAUAAACACAAAGACAAAUCAUAGACGCGUGUUGUUGCAGACAAAUGUUGCUCUUGCUGUAAUGUUCUGGGAAGUCAUACAGGCUUGAAUGAUAUACUAUGUAUAGAAACACCAUAAACCCACAGUUGAGAAGAGGGCAAUUGGUGUUUGAUUAAGUGUGCUGAUUUGGCAUCGGCUCCACAAACCUGUCUGGUUAAAAAGGUUUACAGAAAAAGAGGUCAGUUGCGUAAUCUGAAGAAUUGACAGCUUUAUUAAAAGCACGGGGUAAUAAGGGCAGGACUUGUCCGCACUAGAUUUACAGUUUUAAUAAGUAGCUUCCAGGCUUUGGGCACUAUUUCUGACAGAAAAAUGAAUAGCUAGUUCUUCACUAAGGACUUUUUUGUCUUCAAUAAGGUCAGCAAAUUCGGAAGCAUUAAUUUUACGUAUUAUUUCGUUUGGGGUGGCAUUUUCCCACAAAGAUUAGGCCAUGCUGUGAAACUUGCAGACUUAAAAGUUGCAUUGGUUUAUAUGCAUCAGUGGAGCGCUGAAACUAUGAAAAUGGUCUAAUUUAUUUUAAUCCAUGUACUGUGACAAUUUCAAGAAACUUUACUUUUUACUGCUGGGUGUAUGAUAUGUUACAUUUCUGCAUAUAUUCCUAAAAACACUAAACUCAUGUUUAAUGUGAUUUUAUAGUUAGGUGGGUGUCUUAUCCUUAUGUGGACCAACAUUUUCCAAAUCCAGGAAAUCUGUAAACUUGAUCAAGGUAAUGGUGUUUCUUGGUUUGGCUUCCAUUUCAUAUGUCCAAGUGCUGGAAAAAGUCUGAUUUUAAACUCCACUUUAAGCUUUUUUAAUUCAAAGGAACUAAAAGACAUGCCUAAAAGUGAUUUACAAACACGAAUAAAUAAAAUUAAAACCUUAUUCAGAAAAUAAUGUCUGCCUGAGUCACUUUAAAUAGUUUUGAAUCAGUAGAGCUUAGGAAUAGGCAAUAAGCAACAACCUGCUCACUAUCUGAGGGUACUUUCACACCUGUAGUUAGUUUGCUUUGUGCCAAUCCAGAUACAAAAAUGAUAUUUUUUACGUUUCCCUAGUGAGAUACUUUUUUGGACAUGGGAUUAUUCUUGAGUGGGCCUAAGCAAACACCAUCACAGGGCUGGUGACAGACAGACAUCUACAUAUCACUUACACAGGUGGGAUGAAAGAAACCCCUUGGUGACUUGACAAUGAAACUGAAGCAUCUGCAAAGUACUGUGGAGAGUUGGAUGGCUCACAGCAACUCUAAAGGGACAUUUCAUUUAAUUUCUUCACAAGAAUGACGCAAAACAACAAAACAGACAAGAAACCAAAAUCAAAAUUUUAUAUUUUUUCCCCUAAACUUAAGACAACCCCACUGAAAAAACACAACAGGAAAUACAAAAGCAUUUAAGUUUAAACUAAAUAUAAUAUGUUUGAGAUCAAAAAGCCCAAUUAAGGACAAGCCAAUGACCAACCAGAUGAAAAAUAACCAAUGUAACAAUAAUAAUAAUAAUAAUAAUAUUAAUGAAAAAUAAUAAUUAUAAUACCCAGAAAGCACUGCAAUCAAAGAUAUAGAAUAGCUCCCUAUGACAAGGUUGCUUCCUGCAGGUUUUGUAGACAUGUGUAUACAUUGAUUGUUUCCCCCCCAAGGCUUUAUACCCUUGAGGUCUCUCAUACUUUAUGUUUACUUCCAGUGAUUCAAGUGAAUAACUGUAUUUUGUACACAACAAGGACACAGAACCUAUCGUGAACAACAACCAGUCAUUAUCGUUUGCUUGUUGCUGAAAUUGGUUGUUUGCCUUAGAUUCGUAAAAGGAACUGAAUUUCUACCUGGAACAAGUAAAAGUCUAAUCCUGCUUCAAUUCACAGGCAUAAAAAAAUCAACUUCUGCACCCAAAAUGGUUAUUUUUGAAUGAUGACUUUGCAUAUGGUACUAAUUUUGGUAUGGUAUUUUCACAUUUAUUAACUUUUUUGGUCACUUUAUGGAAGUCAAUCACUCGACAGUGAUUUGAAGCUCCUUGGCACCAACCUACAGGUCAGGACUUGUUGAGAACAUACAAGGACUAAAUGAAAUUGUAUUCUCCUUCUUCUGCUGUAAAUCUCAAAUUUUGCUGACCUGUGAAUAGGGAGAGUCGGUGAUAUAGAGGCUGUGGUGAAGGGUGGAGCACAGAGACACACAGGACAGGCAGGAAGAGGAAAAAGACACUGGAGUCUCAAAAAACACUAGUGGAACCUAUUGCCUCUAAAAUUAUUUUAUUAAUCACUUAGCAAAUACUAGUUUUUAUCAUCUUACACUUAAGGCCUUCCUCACUCAUCAAAACCCUCAGACACAAGGAAAAAGAAAAGAUUAGAAAGAGGAGGAUUUUUAUGAUUUUUUUCUCAAGAAAUAUAAAAAGGGUAGAGUGGAUAGAAGAAAAAAAAAGAGUAUAACAUAGCCCCUGGUCUUUUAAAAGCAGGGGUAUGUCUUUAAAGAUGACAUUAACAGGUGCUUAAAUGUGAAAUAGUCUUCAAAAUCUCUGUGAAAAGUCGGACUCAGCAUUUAAUCACACAAUUUAUCAUAUCUAAUUGAUUCCCCCGCUCUUCUUCACCACUGCAGUUAUUCUUCCUUAUCAUGUCAGUCAUAAACCCGCUGCUGCAGAGAGUAAAAAUUUGAGACACUCUCAACAUGUGUAUGGCCUUUAUGAAGACAUUGUUUUUGACUUCUCAAAGCAGGGAGUCUUGUUGAGGAUCUGAACUCUGUUUGCACUCGAUAAAUUGAACUGGAAAGGAGUUUAAAGGAAGUGUCUUGUGAUAUGAUAGCCUUUAUAUCCCCUGGGAAAUCGAACCAGCCUGGUGUAUCAGCCAUUGUGAGAGCGGCGUGCCUUAGUCCGUUACAAAUGCGGCAAAACUGAGCCUUUACUCCGAAUGAGCUCUUUUUUAAUGUGCCUCCAGUAGAGCCAGAUAUAUAAACACAAAAAACCUUGAAUCAUGUGUGCAAAAAAUGCGUGAUGCAUUAUGUAUGAUGCUUGUUUUCUGAACCAUUUUGUUCCAAGGAUUAAGGCACACUUCAAAAACACCUUUUUUUUUUUUGCCCCGUUUCUGUUGUUCGACCAACAGAAAUGAACUCCACUGCCCUUGUAUAAACAAUCCAGUCAGAGCGAGGUUGGGAAUCAGUCACAGCCAAAACACAGAACAUUUUAUCAUUUCUGCUUUUACCGGACAUGUACUGAGAGAGGCUGAUUUAUACGAGAGAGGAUGGUUUAUUGUGGCUGCUUGCUUCAGAUCUGCUCAGCUGUAAUUCUCUUAUAGCAGCAUAGGAAGACGGUGAUUAAUCAUGUGAUGUUAUCAGCCACUCCCUAAUGAAAACAAGCUACAUCUUCUCUUGAUCAUUUCCCUCAUUUCAGCCUACCUUCAUCCCACCCCCUUAGCAUUGAUAUUUUUUUCCGUCAAAUGUAGCCAUAAAAUAAAGCCCCUUCUGAAUCAGCAAUUUUCCCUCAUAAAUAUCAGCGAUCAAUGACCAUCAGAGCUGCAGGGCUGCUGUGGUUUGACAUGAACACCAUCACAGAGAAAUAUUCACACCUACCAACUGAUGACGAGUGUAAACCUGAAACAGACAACACAGCUGGAGUUUCAUCUUAGAACCGUUUACUACAAAUUUCUGGAUCACAAUGAUGUUCAUUUAUGUUCCUUUUGUCUCCAUUGUUUCCUGCACAACAUCCAUUUAGGUGUUUUCUAUUUUUGACCUAACUCUCUACAAAUAACCGAUUAGAAACUUAAUGGAUUUGUUUCAGGAAACAGAUUGAGUUGCAGGAAAAGAGCUUGGCCUCCUUCCAGUUAUUUGUAUUUAUUUGUUUAUUUUUUUUGUCUUUCAUUUGUCCGUAAACACCACUUAUUGGUUUCUGGCACAAAUUUGACAUAAUGCAUCUUAUUGUAAUGCAGUGUAUUCCAGUAUUGCAGAUUACAGUCAGCAUAGAUUGUUUUUGAUCAUUGAAUACUGUAAUUAAAUCACAAUUUACUGAGGACAUUAAGACGUUCUGGAGAUUUCUUCAAUGCAAAUUCUUAUCUCAUAUGUCAUAAUGGAUGCUAUAUGUCAGCUUGACCAGUGAUAUAAAAAUUAGAUGUCAUUUUUUACUCAUGUGAAAAUGAGUACAAAGCGAAUACCACAAGUGAUCCUGAUGCAAAAGAUUUUAAUGUUGGUUAAAUUAUCUUCUGUUGGAAUGAAGGUUGUGUUUCCAGUCUUUGGUUGUCACAGUGUAAUUUUAUAAAUGUCUUUGUUUCUCACUAAUGAAACAAUAUUACACAAGAGAGUGAUAUGUUAUAGCUGUUAUAUGGCCAUGAACACAAGAUGGCUAAGAGAAGGGGGUAUGGGAGAUCACAGCUCUUCAAGUAGGUAGUAGUUAAAACUAGUAAUAAUGAACAGUUGAAAUGAGUUAGUCGUUUUCAUGUUUCAUACUGCAGACCAGCGCUUUAAUGCAUUUCUUGUAUUACCUAAAUCUGACUUUUAAUAGUUAGAAAAUUAAUCCAAAGUGUUUAUAAGUCCAGAUGCAAUUGUUUUUAUUUAUUUAUUUAACAUGUCCUCAGUGGUCAUUUUAUUGUGAUUAUGAGGUUUUUAGCCAAAUUCCCAUUACCUGUGUCAUUUCUAAAUGCUUUUCUUCUGCAGAGAUCCAUUAGCUCAUCAGCAAUUCACGUCUGAGUCAUGGGCGGAGACAGUGCUUCUCUGCACACUCCUCUUAACGUUAGCUUGUAGCCUUAUAUUGUCGGUGCAGUAGAAGUAGCAGGUGACAUAGGAGCUAUUGGACACUACUGUCUUUAGGGACAUGAUGAAAGCUAAAAUCAUAAUUAUCUUUCUUACGAGCAUUGCAAUCAGCUAACGCUCACACUUAUUCCACGAUCAUCCUCUCUACUCCUCUGAGUCUGGCCUGCAGAGUGGGACGCCAGGGGCGGAAAUUUUGACGUAGAGAAUCCCACUGUGUCUGAACGUGCUGUUUGGAUCUGCCACAGGUUCACAGCGACAUGAAUGCAGAAAUACUCAUAAAUGCAAUUUUGCACUUAGUUGUUCCCAUGUUGUGUCCUCUAGCAUCAGAAAAAUGCCCCACGAACAUGAAGACAACAAGAAAAACAUGACUUUCAUUGGAGUGGGUCUUUAAAUACAUGACGCUGAAAAGACCAAUCUAACAUGUCAGUAAUCAACAUUGAAAUUGGCACAUUGAGGCUGACAGCCCUUUAUUUGAGCAUUUAUGGGCAUACAUUUAUGGUAUAUAUAGAGACUCAACUGUUGAAGCAGUCACUCAAAACUUUGUGUGACAGGUAGCAAGGAUACAGUAUUUUUCCAAUCAAUCUAACUUCAGACAACAUCUGUUCUAUUCAUCUCACCUCUUCUAUAAACUGCUACUCAUUACAUUGGUAUUAAUAUUUGAUACUAUUCUACAAAUCCUGAGGCACACUGUUGCUAUGGCUGAUGAAUAUUCAGGGGCUAAUUACAUAUGAUUGUGAAGACUCUUCAUUACUCGGCGUGGCCAAAGUUCAGUACAGCGGUGCAAUAGCAAGGGAGAGGCAGAGAUGAGAAAUGACUUGAUGAAGAAUCGAAUGAAGGUCCUCUGUCACUUUGUAUUUGACCCUGGCCGCCUGCUUUUGCAAGUAUUAAUUUUAGUCCAGUACUUGUAAUAACUCUUGAUUAAAAUUCACCUAAUCCUGCCCUGUUUCCAAUUAUAUGAGUGUGUGUGCAUGCACACGUGUGUGCCAGUUCAAGUCACAUCUUCUUAGCAUUUUAAUAAUAACUUAUUAAAUCCCACUGGUUUAUUGAUGGUGAAUGUUUAUGGUUUCAGUUUAAGAAACUGUGCCUUAUAUAUCUAUCUGUAUCUCUGAUCAGAUAUCAGCAAACUCUACUUACCCACAGCUGUAAAUUAGCUAAGAGACUACCCCACUAUAGCCUGUAGUUUCUUUAGUAAAUAUAAAAUACACAUACUAAUUUAUCCACUACUGUGAACAUUUUGAGGCAUUUUGGAAAUGACACUGACAUUUCACAGUUUUUGAAAAGAUAAUACCGCUGAAAUAUUUUCAUGGCCAUGUUUUCUCCACAAAUCAAAUCACUUUUAAGCUUGAAACAACUCAAAGUCUGAGGCUGUGCUGAAAAAACAACAGUCUGAAGCAAUCUUAUUUUAGUAAUGUAAUAAGUGUUUGAUUGCAAACAUAUUUCAGUAUAUGUUAUGAAAUGGGAUUGACAUAAACGUUACCAAAGGCAUGUUAAAGCUGAGAAAAUGAGCUAUUAACAGUCUGUAAUAGUUUUGGAUUACUGCUUCUGAUGCUUGUCUUGCUUUCUGUUUCUUUUAAAAGAACAAUUAUUCAGGUACCUGCAAUGUGUGAAUGGAAUAUAUAUAUAUGAUUUCUCUGUCCUAUCCUGACUCAUUAAAACUGGACAAAGAAGUCAGGAUAAUAGAGGGCAAAAUGAAGUUAUGUAUAAAAAUAGUACAUUAAUUUUAUCCACAGACAUUUUCAGUCCUUACUCAUUUGAAAGUCGGGUCACAUACCAUAUAGAAUGGUAAAUUUCACACACUAUCUACUCUUGAAUCUAAAGGGCAUUCACAAUAUGAGAUCAGAACAUGAUAAGUCUCAUGCUGUCCAAUAAUACUAUCCGACUGAGGAAGCUAUACGCUUUUCCCGCCCUAACAUGCGUUCGGUUUAUCCUUACAGCCUAUACCCAUGUAUCUCUGGUGCACACACAUGAUCCCAAGUAUUAGAUCAUCAAAAAUAUAUAAUCAGUAUGUUGGGUGGUGGGUCUGAGCAUCCCACUACAUGAGCAUCACUAGCAGGUUUUAUCCCAGUUAGACUUCAGUGCUGCACUCUCAGCUUUUUUUGUUCAGGAUGUCCCUCAGAUUUGCAUCACCUCCCCUUUAUUUAUUUCCAUGACAGCAGCUGUUACUCUGAGCAGCACAGCCCAGUGGACCCAUCUUUUUUGUUGUAAAAUAUGACUGUAAAGAAUAAGACAGUACUUUUACCAACCCACAGGCUGAGACCCCCAUCACUCUGUCAUUACUCCUGUGUUGUCCAGGAUUAAUCAAUGAUAAACUACCAUCAAAAUCAUUUUAGUGCAGCUUCUCACUUGAAUAGAGAACUAACUGCUGUGCACAGCUGUUUCUGUGUGACACAUGACUUUGAGAUGGAAACAUUUAAGGGUCACUGCCACCAUCACAGCAAAAAGCAAGACGGAUUAUAAGAGGGUUUUUCCGCUUGUUUCGGUGUUCAUUAAUAUGUGGGCUCAUAAACAUAUUGCUGAACAAUCAGGAUGUUCACUCUAGCGUCUAAACUUGCAGUGCACCAGCGCUGUAGUGAUGUGUAAAUUUUAUAAGAGGACAGUGAGAUUCAUUAUAACAGGGCUUGUGAUGCAAACAUAAAUGUAAACAUGAAUAAGACAAAAAAGUUUAUCAGUCGCCUAAAAUAUAUGAACCUGUAGCUGUCUUUCAUUUAUUUGUGUCUAUUGAGGUGCGUUGUACACAAGGCAGGAUUUUGUAUAUUUUGGCAGGAGUAAUUCCACUCUAUAAUCUUGAGGUUACGGGAUAAAGUUCAUCAUAACAACAUUUAUUUUUCUUUAAUUCACAGCUCUCUGAUUAUCAUAAAUGUUUAUGUGUGGUAUUUAAGUUACCACUUUUUACUCCCUUGUCUUCCUGUCAUUUUAAGAGGAAUGGAUUUGGAAAUGUGAGAGAAGUGACUCAGCAUUAGGAUGCCAUAGUCGUGACCCUGUUGGUGUUGAAUGGGAAAGAGGAAUAAAGAAGAAAAUGGUUGCAAGACAUACUGUUACGUUACACAACAGAUUUAAGGAUAAACAUCAACAUAGACACCAAACCAUUGUUCACUCUAACUAGUCUUAAAUACUUUCAUAUCUCUUGUCAAUACAGCAGUCAACCUUCUCGUAUUAUGGGGUGAUCACACCAAGCGCGAGUCAAAUCAUCUACUCGCUUAAUUUGAGCGAAUCUAGAUAUUUACUCGCUUCAUUCGUGCGUCAACUGUAAUUUCAACAGUAAUCCCUGCCAAUUCAACAAGUGGGAUCAAGUUAUAGACAAAGGUCUUUUACAGUUUACCAGGUAAUCCGACCUCCUCACUCGCCUCCCUCCAGGUGAGCUCCUUUUUAUUCUGAUUUCAGUAAUUUAAAGAAAAGGUAUCAUAUAAUUCGGUGCACCCACACACCAACAUGAUCAGUUUGUCCUCCAUUUUAGAUACCAGUGAACAACCAUCCAUUUUCAUACGUCACCCGGCAACCUUCGUGCUGAUUGGUCAUUGCGACUCUAAUAUCAGCUCAAGUUGAGACAUUUGCAGCUCCCGCCCGACUUGCGUCAUUCGUGCUGCCAGAGGAGUUCGAGCGUCUAAUCGCGUCUUUGCAUUGACUUAACAUGUAAUUCAGUCGUGCAAAUGAGUUUCAGGCACUUGGUGCGUGGAGACAGUUAGAGGAUCAAGUGGUAAAUGGACAAAGCUUAAAUGCACCUUUCUAAUCUUGUGACCACUCACAGUGCUCUCAUACACGCCACAUUUACACACUGAUAGCAGAGGUGUCGAUGUCAAAUGCUCAUUGGUGCUAACACAGUUGAUUCACAUGCAUUCAUUCACUGCUGUGUAAGCUGUCACAGCCACCUUUAAAUUAAAGCCUAUCCCAGAGUACAACUAAGCCACAGCUGCUCCUACUGGAGCGCUGAUUUAAAAUUUUGAAUCUUGAUUAAUACUUCAAAAAAAAAAUAAAUAAAUAAAACAUUGAAUCUAAGCAAAUUAAGGCCAAAAUAACUAAUUAUGUUGAAACAUUUGUCCAGUCAGCACCAUGCUGCCAUCGCUGUUCAGUGCAGCAGUAACUGUAAAUUUAAUUCCCAGACAAAUAUGCAGUCAAUACUAAUCUUUCAAGGACAAAUUGCCCUUCGUGUUGUUUCACAAGCCUGUAAUAAAAUGGCAUAAGUUAUGGAUUUUGCUCUAAGAAUCAGUGAGCGACAAUGUUUCAUUGAAAUUGAGAUGGGACGUUUUUUUGCAAAAUCAAUUUGGGCUGUGUCUGCAUCCAUUACUUUUUGUAGCGUCACUCUUCCAGGGCCACCUUCUCGCUUUGAUGAAUUACUCUGUAAGGUUUAAGAAAGUGCUCGGCGAGCUCACAUUCGUGCUUGUGCCCUGAAUUAGUCUGACAUUUCAUGCUCGAAUGCCUUCAUGACAUUUAGUUAAAGGAAAUAUCAUGGUCUGCUGAACUGUCCAGGACCACAAACACAGAUGAAUAUGAAACAAGGUUUGCUGCCAGGACACUUUGUUUUUAAACUACUGCUCUUACUGAAGAAUACUGAUGUUUAUACUUCAAAAAGUUGUUUUAGGUUUCAUUUGAUUUGUCUUACAUUCAGAAAGUGUGAAAAUCAUUUUGAUUCCCCUCAGUGGUAAACAUGACAGGCUCAUCACUGAUAUAUAUCCUUGCAUUAUUUCUAUAUGAUUGCUCCGUCUGCUGUAUUUAUUUUCUUGUCAUAAAGAAUAAUUGAAUAUGCUGAAAUGAUGAACAGGUCUCUUGAUUGCUUUCAGAAUGGAGAGGUAAUUGUCCUUUUUCAUAUUUGAUUGUAUUGAUUUAGUUUGCACAACUGAACUGAUGACAAAUAGAGCAAAAUACGAAAUUCCUACGACAGCCCGGCCUGCAGAGGAGCCACUGUGGAAAGAUAAAUUGAAUUAGUUGUUCAUUCAUCGAGUCACAAAUUAAACCAUAACCUCAAUCACCUGGCUGAGUAUUCACACUGAUAAUGUCAUUGUGACAAGUCAUAAUUAACAUGGGAUUUAUUGUACUUAAUGAUUUUUGCUAUCAGACUUUGAUUUCAUUAAAGUGACCUUGAGCAGUGGAAAAAAAGUUCAAGUUGAACUCUUAUGUUGAUGUUUCGUGCUGUAACAGGCCUGUGGUUGUUGUCGAGGUCAUACACUGAACAAGUACAUUUGUGUAGCAUGUGUGUAUUACGGGUAAUCUUGUUUUCCAUGUACUAUUAUGUGCAGUAUCCCUCCUUCUAAAUAUACCACUCACGAUAAUAGAGUAAAAUGGAGAGAAUCUUUCAUCUUUAGCUCCCGCACCAUGUUUAUGUCGUACCUCUUAUCUACUGAGCAAAGAGUUUUGAAUUGUGCAUUAUGAAAGAGUUGGUCAUGAAACAUGCUUUUAGUAGCUUCAGAGGCUUGAGGAUGCAGGUCUACAGUUCAUCUGGAUGACAGAAGAUGGCAAUUAAGAGCCGCAGCUACCAGCAGCGAGCGAGCGAGCGAGCAGGGUCAUAUUGGCAGCGUGGGCUUGUCAUGUGUACCAGAGCCUUGGGGGGGAGUCUUAGUGGUUUAUUGGCAAAGUGGUGUAAGAGAACAUGGUGUCAGAGGCUAAGGAGGAUAAGUGGGGUUGAUGCAGUGAACAGCUCAGGUUUUUUUUUUCUUUUUUUUUUUUUUUUACCCUGUCCUCAGCCCUCCCUCUUUUUCGUGCAACAACUUUGUCUUGACUAAAUGGCUGCGACACCAGAGGUUAAGGUGGCAAUUAAAAAAUGUAAAGGAAGUUCCUUGUGUGUUAAUACGUGCCUCUCCCUCACCUCUCUCUGUCACUUGAUAUUGAGUGUCUUUUGAGACUUGGCCCCUUUGUCACCAUACACAGCCAUAGAACUCACUUCAUUAAUGCUAAUUUGGAUGUAUGGUCUCACUCGCUCUCUCCGCAUGUUGCUCUCGCUUAAAAAACAACAAAUCUGUUUAGUGGCUGACCUUAUAGAGUAAUUAUGCUUGUUUCAAGUGAUUAUAGAUAAACUUGACUAAUCUACUAACUGGGAUAAUGAAGUUGAGGGGAGACUUGUUAAAAACAUCCGAAGUACUUGCUUUGAUUUGAAGCAGAAAAUGGGUGGAAGCAGGUAUGCCAACUGCACACACCUUUUUUAGAAUACUUACGGUAAAAUCUUGUUUUUUCAAUAUGGUAUCUUUUUUAAGUGAAAAAUGAUGUCUUCAAGCAAUUUUGGCUUAUUUUAAGCACAACAUGAGUGGAAAAAAGCUGGAGGGCUGGUCUUUAGCAUUCCCAAAGCAGCCCCACCGUAUGCAUUAUUCAUGAGAGAGUGUGUCGUUGUUUAUAAGAGUGUGUCCCACUGGGUGAACACAUCCCUUUGAAUGCAAAUUUCCUGAGCGCCUGGGACAAUAGAAAGUUUUACCCUGUUUGGAAAAUAGUUAAAACGAUGGUUUAAUCAAGGCAGAAAGCUCUGCAGUUGUCACAAUCAAAAACUCUUGUUUGCUCGUGAACUUGUUUAUCAAACGAACAAGCGGUGGAACGCUCAACAACUCCUAUGAUGAAUCCAAAUACUUGUUUUCCUCUUCAGUGUUUGGUGCUGUGGACACACUGUAUGUGACUGGCAUUAUGUGUUUGCCCCCCGGCUGGUAUUUGUUUUACUCAUUUUGCUGUUUGAUUUGUGUAUAGCUUACUAAAACAGCGCAAACCUGAUGACCUCUGAUACAGCAGAGGCGAAAUGAGAAUAUUGCAUUGAUAAAGGGAUAGGGACGAUUGAAUUAGGUAUCUACAAAAGGGGGUAUUUUCCUUUGAAAACUAUACUCACAAACACACACAAAAAUGCAAGUUCCCAUUUGAAUUAGAUGAAAUAAUCAAUAUUGGACUUGUUUUUAAAAAAUAUAUAACUUUUGCUUCUAAUACCUGAUCCUUGCAGCAGCACUGUUAAGAAAUAAAUACACUCAGAGGACUGAGAGUCAGUCUUUUUAUGGAAACAUUUAUGCUUCUGCUGGUAUGCAGUAUUGAAGAUAAAAUGUAUAGUAAGUGUGGUUAUUUGCAUGGUGGUCGUAUCAACCUUAAAGGGGAUCUAUUCCACUUGAUUUAUGGCAUAAUAAACAUAAUCCCUCUAAAAAUCCUGACACUAAAUUUUGAUUUGAAGGUGACUUUAUUCAUAUAAAGAUUAUUUGUUGCUACAGCUUUAAAAAAGUAGUCCUUCUAUUUUCAUGGCCGGUGAAGAUCCCAUAGAAAAGAUCUUUUCAGCUUACUUACAGGUUGUUUGAACAUCAAAGAGAACAUCUUCACCCACAGUCAAGUCGACACAGUAUCCUGCUUUACUCUUAUAAAUCACAUCACAGUAAAGUCUAAUCCUUUUUCUGCUUCAUUCUGAUUAAAAACAUUAAAUUGAACAUUUCUGUCCACAGUAAAAUUACAACAUCAGUGUUUUUCCUUCUUCUACAGUUUUAACAGAUGCCUAAAAUCAUAGCAGCACCUGUAUGAGGUUCUCACUCCACAUGUCCUGCGAUACCGGUGGUUGUUUCAUGUCAGCUGUUUUUAGUUGGCGUCAUUAUGACCCAGCUUCCUGUGUGUAUUUUUACACCUUGUCCUCUUUUCUCUACUAUUAGCUGUAAAUCCAAAUGAUUUCAAUGCUUUUCAGAAAAUUGGGAGUAAUACUGAAAAUUGCCUGUGCCGUCAGAGAAUAACAUCUCCGUCAGAUCCUCAACAGGAAAUGGUAAAACCAAAAACAUACUGUUGUCUCCAAGGUGGUUUGAUGUGUGAUCUAGUCUUCUCCCAUGUCACCUAUCUUAUCCAAAAUUGAUCACAAUUGCCAAGAGGUAUUGACCAAUCAGAAUCAAGUAUUCAACACAGCUGGGUAAUAAAUUAAAAAGCUGGUUCAUAGGCAACUACUGUGUGUAUGUGUGUGUUUGUAUAAUAGUCACUGCUUUUUUGGAGAACAGAAGCAACGCACAGAAAAGGUUUUUCAGUGUGUUAACGGUGUCGGCUUUGUAGGUGUUAUAUUACACAAGAUGAACUGCUCUUUCACACUGUUUAGAUUGAAAAAUACAAGAGAAAGUUUGAAAAUUGUUAACCUGCAUGUAGAAAUUUCAAACCCUCUGCACUGUAAAACUGAAGCCUUCUCUUUGUUUGAAGAACAAAGUGGAGGUCCCAGGGUAAAAACAUAAUAGUUGCACUUUUGAAAGAAUGUAUUUAUUGGGUCACGUCUUUUGAUAGCAGCUAUGAGAAAAUUUCAAAAAGAGAACUCUCUAUGUGGAGUUUUUUUUUUUUUUUAACCAGUUGAACAUCUUUGGUAAAAAUGUUUCCUUUCAAUAAUCCUGCAUCAUUUGUUUGGCAAAUGAACUGAGAUGCACGUGGACAUUUUGUGAUGGUAGAACAUGUUGGGUUAUUUAUUUAUUUUAUUCCAGUUUAUUCGAGUUAUUGUUGUCUUGGCAUAGAAAUGUCUUCAACAGGAUUAGAGAUGAUAAAAUGCAUGUACACUUCUACACAGGUAACAGAAAACAAGCAUUAAACAUUGGAGUAUAAAUUUCAUACUUCCUAGAUAAUGAUACCGGUGUUACCAACCUUCAAAAAGUACCUGUGAGAUCGUUUUCAAUCAAACUCUGAUUCAAAGUAAACAUUGCUUGCCGAUACUGUUUUCGUCUCUAUCAGCGUAUGCAGUCAAAUCAAGUCUGAUUGCUGGAUAAACAUGCACUCAUCUUUUAAAUAGCUUUUUGUUUUUUGUUAGAUUUUGUAUCAGAGAAAUUUUUCAAUAUUGAUUUUAACAAAUUUUAAAUACAUAAUUAAAAUCAAAGAAUAAUAACAUGUAGUAAGUAAGAAACACUGAUAAGGUGGAAAAAGUGGGUAAAGACUGUUCCACUGCAGUUCAUGGAGGUCUUCUCUUAGAUAAGUGGACACAGCUCAAGUCUACUCAAGUCUCCCUCUUGGUAACUUGGUAACCGAUUUCUGUCUAAAGGAGGACAAAACGAUUUCUAUCCUUUACAUCACUCUGCUUGGUUUACCACUACAUAUUAUAAAACAGCCACCUCUUAUGUGUUAAAUCCCUGAUAUUUAUCAGAUGCAGCAUUUUAGUUAGAUGCUGCAUAUUCCCACAGCUGACUCCUGUUCCAUCUCAACUAACCUAUCACGGUUUAAUUAGACUUCCUUCAAAUAUCCUCAUUCAACAUGUACUCUAUAAGGGUUUAAUACCCAGCUGAUCAGCAAAGUUAGGUAAAACAUGAAUAAAAGUUUACAAUUUCAGACAGGAUGAAAACCCAUUAUUCAUUAUGCUCAAACUUUAACGCUCUUAACGCUCUGAUUAAAAACCUUGAGAAACCAUCUGAAUCUGACUGUCAGUUGUGAGAUCACCAUUAUAAAAGCAAACUGCUGUGAAACAUUCACAUUUUCUGUUAUGAUGAAUUCAAUUUUAGGUAUUAAAAAACGUAACAAUUUAAAUGUCUUCUGGCAGCAGAGAAGUUUAUUAAUUAUCUCCCUCACAGUCUUGUAGUAUAAAUUGUAUUUGCUCAAAUUGUUUCGGAUUCAUUUUAAAAGGCUGUCUUCCUUGUUAUUAAUUUCCUUUUUUUUCAUCACUUUUGCUGCUUUGAACAGGUAUCUUUCACAGAGUUGUGGCACAGCAAUAUUGAAAUGUCCCGGGGCCUUGUUUAAUUGGAAUUCACCCAGUUUUUAUAGUGUUGGGAUAAAUAUGCUGUGAGUUUUUAAUUUUUUUUCAAAGCACAUUUAUUCAAAGGAGACUUGUUUCUCGGUCACCUGAAAAGGUUCUGUUUUACCUUUUUUCCUCUCCUUGUUCAGUGGUGUAAAACUGCCUCACAAUUCCAACAGUUUAUAACACCUUCUCUUCAUACAAUAUGUUUUCCACCUCUUCAAACCACCAUUGAGUAAGGUAUUUUUCUUAUAGUCACAGCUGUCUGUAAAGCUCAGAUUUAAUUGGCUGAGAAGAUACUGUCUGCCCUAUAGAAGACAAAGGUGAAGAUCAAACAGACUGUAGGAUAAUAUGGUUGGAAAUGAUGUCAGUCAUUCUCUUAAAUGUAUAUUUAAGAGACACUGUUCAAUGGACUGAAAAUAAACCCACUUCAAAAUGUCACAAGUGUCCUCAGAGCGUUUUCUGCUACAUCACUACAAUUAAUUACCUUGAAAACUGACGUGAUGUUCCACAAAAACAGCUGUCGCAGAUUGACCUUUGCUUGCUGGUGAUGCAACAUGGUCAUAAAAAGGAAGCUAUCUCUUGUUUAAGUGCAGCUUUAUCACCAAGGUAGUGAUUCAGCUGCAAAUAUGGACAUCUUUUUAUGACAGCUAUCUAAAAAGCCAGUUGGGCUCAUAAGCCCCUUUAUAGUGUAGAUGUCGCUCUUGGUUAAGAAUCUCGAUCUAUUCUGCCUGCACACAUGCUUUCUAAAGUGUUUCCUAUUUAACAUGUUUGCCGACUCAUGUUGCCAUACUGUUAUCCCUCUUCCUCGACUCUUUGCAGAUUUUGUUUGUGGAGAACGAGAAAUGUCACCGCUAAUUAAUUAUGUCCUCCCUUCCAGCAAAUACCAAAGGCGGGAUUUCUCAUAAUUGCUUCUCAGUAGUUAGUAUUUUUGUUCCCUUGAAUGAGCAGUCGCUUAAUUUGUUUCCUUUAUUUGAUAAUUAGUUGUCUUGAAUCAUCACUGUUAAUCGCACCCUCAAGUUCCUGUGUCCAGUUAUUAAAAUCAGGCUAAUGACUUUAAGUUACAGCUUUGUAAAAAAGAGGAGUCAUAUGUUCUUGGCAAGUUAGCUGUUGUUUGGGGUUUUGCGUCCUGUUUUUUUAAUGAAUAGACUUCUUCAGAUUCCAUUAUUAAUUACUUCAAGGUGAAAUCAAUCCGCAGUUUCAUUCAUUUUAUUUCUUUAUGAUGAUUUGUCGCCAAACAGAUGCUUCUUUGCAGUCUGUCAUUGGACACAUUCCAGGCGAAAGUAGCUUGAGAUGAGCAGUCGGAGGGUUGGCGGUUCAAUUCUGCCCUAUCCCUAGUCUAUCUGUUGUGUCCUUGAGCAAGACACUUAACCCACCUUGUUUCCACUGCGUGUUCUCGGCUGGUGUGUGAUUGUACGUAAUGUUUGGUGUUAGUUGAAGAGAGGCCGUUGGUGCGGAUCAGCAGCCAUGUUUCUGUGACUAUCAAGGUGUGACUGUGUGAGCAAAUGAAUAUCUAUCCAAUGUAAAGCACUUUGAAGGUUACUAAGAAAGCGUCAUAUAAAAUCUCAAGCAUUAUUAUUUUUAUUACUACACGAUACAUGUGUCAUUUUUGGCCCUGAUUCCUCCUUCCAGAUUAUCUGAUAAUUCUGGGGAUUAUUUUGAGAGUAUCCUGUGGUAUGAGCUGUGUUAAGAGUGAUUCGAAUCCCUUAUGAUCUGCGCCAAAGACAAUAGGGGUGUCCUUGCACUCAGCUGCAACGUCUUUUUCGGACUUCAAGAAAAAAAUACUGCCACACAGCCGACAUCACUCCUACUCCCUGCUACUUUGUAAAUACCUUAGUUCACACUGUUGUUGUAAUGACGUGGGCUCUGCAUGCUAGAUCCAGAUCCUAGCUAGACGUGCUGGAGCGGAGUCUGGAAUGGACUGCCUGUAUCAAAGUGCUGAUAUUUUAGAAGCAUGGGACCGAUAUCAAUAUCCGAUUGGGACAUCCCUUGAAAACAACCAGAUUCUGCCUGAUUUGCAAUUAAAGAUAUUAAACAAGUUGAACAUGCACUUACAGAAAUCCUUAUUUUGGCAGGAUCCUCGAGGACAGUUGAUCAUGCACGCGGUCCUUCGUCCCAUGGAACAACUCAAGCCAACCGGGGAGCAAGCAGACUAAAGAAGGAGGUACAACAAACGCAGCCAUGGCAACAAUAGUAAAAACAAAGCAUAAACUGAGUCGGACGUCCAAAAUAUAGACUCCACAAAAGGUUUGUCAAACACACCGCAACCAAAACGACAAGGGGAGGAAUUAUUGCUGUAGCGAAACUAACAGGUAGCGAAGCAGUUAGCAACGGUUAAUGAGAUGUUAUGAGAUUCCUCGUUAUAAGAAUCAAGACUCUGUCUGUUGUUGAAGAUAACUUGUCAGUGUGGUAUAAACAGAUUCUCUUCAGCAUCUCAUAGCUUGAAAAAAAUGGAUCAUCAAUGUGUUCAGUGUUUGAUGUUUCUUAUUUCAAUCCACUUCAGUGAAUCUGUUCACAUAACUUACUUAACGGUGACUGACUCUAUAAUUUAAGCCAUUUAUCAUUUUAGAUGCAUGCUUCAAUAACUGAACAAACUAUACAUAUUAGCUUAUUUUAGUCCUAUUUCCCAUGUCUUCCAGGUUCUGUAGUUUUAUUUCAGACGCACAUUUAUUUGUUUAGAUAAUGCUGCUACUGGUUUCAGGAAGUUUUACGUAAUUCAGAAUGAAAGAACAAGUCAGUCUCUAAACCAGGAGGUCAGCAGAUAUGUUCACGUUAAUUUCCAGGAUAAUAAUAAUUCUACAGUAUGUAAACUCUCUGAACCCCUCCCACCCGCCGCCGCCCCCUUCCUGAGAGGCAUUACAGCAUAGGUUCCCUGUUUCUCUCCACUGCAGUAAUGUAGUGCUUUGAAUGUAAUGAACAGAUGUUCAUGCAGUGCUCUGAUAUUUACCAUUCUGCUGCAGCUUCUAUCAGCCGUCGGGCUCUGGGAUGCAAGGAUGUGCUCAAGCACAGCAUGAAUAUGUUGAUAUUUGUAAUAUCUCAUCACUUCUCCCCAAACAUAAAUGUGCAGCUAAAUCUCUCCUUCCUGUGAUGACUUCUAUCUGUUGCUGACAUAAGCUGCUUCAUCCGGCCCAAUCUCCGAAACAACAUCGAGACGCAAUGUGCAGCAGAUCAAUGAGCUUUGCUAGAAGCUAUUCACAGAACAGGACAAGCAAAAUAAAAGAUAUAAACUCUGCAUAAAUGAGAAGAAAAAAACAUGUCUACAGAGAACUAAUAUGCACUCCAGCAAGAUUAUAUACUAAAAUACCUGUGGAUAGACACUUUUAUUUUGAAAUUGUUGUUCAAGGACAAGCCUGAGGAGAUAUUCUCCAACUGUGCUCGCACACAUUGUAUUUGUCUUUUGCUGAUUGUGUGUGUGAUUCCAGGGAUGCUUCUGUUCUAUUUUCUCUGUGUUUGGCAUUGUAUUGUCGAACUGGCUGCAGGACCAUGAGUCACUGAUAUCACCAGAUUGUAAAUUGAUUAUUAACACUGGAAAGCACAUUGGAAUCUGGCAGUUUAUCUGGGCUUUUUGUUGUAUUUGUUUGUGUGUGGCUGUAGCCAGUUAUCAGUAGAUCAGAGUAUUUCUCUUUGGGUUAUACAUGUUAUUAGAUAAGGAGCUUAAAACUGCCAAAUUAUAAACUGUGGGGUGGAGAAGGAGGAAUGAACUGAAUUUGGUUUAAUUGAUUGUGUCCGUACAUGAGCAAAAACACUGUUUUCACAAUAGAAAUGAAUUGAAUUCUCCAAUGAUUUUUGAAACAAUCCAUUCGUGUAUCAUCUCAAAUUUCUGGCAUGCAUUUUGAUUAAAUGUUUAUAAAACUGAGGCAUAUUUAUCUUGCAAAAAACAGCAAACACUCCCCAGUUGAAGCUUUCACAUCCUGUUGGAUUUACUACUUUCUAGGUCUAAUGCCAUGAUAAACUGAACACUUUCUCUGGUCUGCUGUUUGGCUUAUGAAAACUGUAAUAGGCUAUUCUUUGUUUUCAGACAUAUCCAUUAAACCUUUUAUCAGUUAAUUAAAAAAAAUAACAGACAUGGACUAAUCAGAUUGAAAAAGAUUAGCUGAAGCCCAAUAAAAAAACAGCAUUUGAUUAUCUUUAUUGGUUAAUGUGCUUCUUAUUAUUCAGUGUUUUCUCUCAAGAUGCAGUUUAAACAGUAUAUUUAAUUUACUGAAAACACACAUGUACACAAGUACGGCGAAAUAUCCGUGCUCACCAUCAGUUUAUGGCUGAGUGAGUGGAUUUGGGUGACUAUUUAACCUUUGGUCAGCCAAAGCUAGGGUGGAUCCCCAUCAAUAUUUCAUGUUUUCUGCAUCGGUUGACCUCUUGGUGUUGCUGUGCACAUCUCCAGUGGGAAAGAGAUCCACCUUUUGACCUCAGUGUGCUUCCCUCAGGUCAUCUUAUUAUGUAGUCAUCUGCCCCGCUGUUUGAUGGGCAGUUACCUUGCGGACUCUAAGCCCUUAAAGGAUGCUAAUUAACUGGAAUGACAAGAUAAUUAUGUGCUGCUGAAUGGACCCGUAUCACGUUUUUAAUUGAUUUAGCAAAGCAAAAAAAAAAUAAGCCACAACAUUCAAUCAAUCAAGCAUCAUCAGUCUGCUGAAUCUGCUCACCACAAGCAAUCCCCCUGAAAACUGAACUGAAAAUUUGUGCUCUACUUUGAUUUUUAUUGCUAAAUUCAUAAACACAGGGGUUGUAUGACAGUUAUGGCAGGUCCCCUGUUAGGUGACUCACACCUUGUAUGUGCCCCGUGUCAUUUCAGAUUAAGGAUUAACUAAUGACAGAGUAAAACAGGGACAUAGCAGGAGAAAAAGUGCAGAAAUGACUCAGUAAUUAAAUCCAAUACUUUUAGCUUGAUAGUUUGUGGCAGCCGUAGAAAGAGGCAGCAUUGGCAAGCACGUCACGCUGAUCGUAUAAAUAACACUUCACAUAAAAACUGACCCCACCAGCAGGAAAGGACUAUGUAGUCAAUUUCAAAGGUUUUGAGUUGAAAUAAAUUCUAUAUUGUAAGACGCUAGACUUUUUCUUUUCUGGAUUAAAAAAAAGCAAAUAAUCUGAUGACUGUGGAAGGCAUUUUUCACUUGACUCCUUUGUCACACAAACUGAAUAAUACAGUAAUUUAAACAAUUAAUCCUUAUUCAUUGUUGGAAAUAAAAUUAGUUAAAGUUUCAGUUAAAAGAUGCAGUUUUGGUCCUUGGAGCUUCAUACCCAAAUGAUGUAUUUUUUGGUCCUUUUCAGCUGUAACUAAGACUUACUUUGUGACUUAUUCAACAGUCAACAAAACACUGUCUUACAUUAGGUCUUCUCCUCGGUUGCGGUCUCUAUGUUAAGCAGGCAGUGCAGCAUGAAAUGUAAGGGGCAUUUCCAUCUCACACCUCUUCAUCCCACAUCAAGGAUAAUAGCCUCUGUCAGCCUGUUAAAGGUUGAUCCAGCAGCCCCUGUGUCAUAUCCUGCAUCAGCCUUUAUUUCCAUAACCCUGUCACUUUUAUUGCUGCAUAAAUCGCUGUAAGGUCAGCUGGGCUCAGGCAGUGCAGAUAGUAGCAGGGCAUGAGGUUAAUUAAAAGACUGUGCAGAUGAACCUCUUGCAACACCCACCAAAAACACACCACUAUCACCACACACACACAAUGUGCCAGCUGAAGAAUAAAUUGCAUUUGAAAGACAUGACAUACACCAACGCCCAGUAUCGAACACUUAAACCUAGUGCAGCAUGGAGAAGGUCUGUGAGGACUUUACACUCCCUCUCUCAGGGCACUUUUGUCUGCCACUUCAAGUUGUGCUUACCUCCUCAUAAUGGUUCCUCCAGGCUUGAAAUUAGUACAAUUUACCCCACUCUGUGGCACGUCUUUGGUGCUGAAAAACCAACUGAUUGCACCACUCCCUACUGCUGAUAAGCCCACAUGACGGAGUAAGCCAAGGACAUCAGGGAAUAUAAAAGUUGUCAGCUUACAUGACCAAGUAGUGUUGUGUGAAAUGACUUUAGCCCGACAUUGUUAACGCUGGUCAACUGCCUCCACCAUGCUCCAUAAAGGCAAAUAAAGGCCAGAUAAAGCGCUGAUGAAAUGCAGUGUAUAGUGUGUGUGUGAGAGAGAGACUGUAAGUGUAUAAAAAGUUCGCCAUCUGAGCCUUUCUCCCAUUAUGGUCAGUGUUUAGUAACACGGACAUGCCCAGUGCCAUUCAUCACGACAGACUCACCUUCUCAGUGUGACUUUCUCUCACUUGUUCUAUCGCACUGUACGCCCCCAUUCAAAGCACACACUUAUAGUGCUGGUACAGUAUUCAUAUACACAUUUUCAACAUUGUCAACUUCAUGUGGGCCAAAUCACAAAAGUUCACAUAAUGAGGUGAAAAACAUCUAUAGGAACUUAAAAGGAAAAAUUUGUGGCUGUAAAUAGAGUGUUGGACAAAACAUAUUUUUUGUUCUGUUAGGAGUUUUUUUUUUUUUGCUUUUUUAAUAUACACUGAAAUUUCUGUUCAUGAAUUUUUAUCAUAUCCUAAAGUAAACUAGACCAUCCGUGACAAGACUAACCACUUUUAUAUCCUCGUUUUUAAAGCCUGAAACUGGUGCAAAGGGUAAGGUGUCAGCCAGGCAGCCUAGGAAACAGCCGUUUUUAUAAAUUUCCACAUCAAUUAUACACAAUAAUUGAUACAUUUGACUGUCAAAAGUCAGCAGGAUGAGAUUUUUCAUUUUUUUUUAAAUUACUGCAUAAAUUAAAUGGGACACCGCAUGAAGAAGAUGGGAUAAGCAAAGACUAGUUUAUCCAUAAGAGGUGCCAAAAUGUGCAUAAAUGCAACGUUCACCACAAGAGCUUUAGUGUAUAUCCGUCCAUUUUCUACCGGGGGCGCGGUAGUCGCAAAUGCAAGUGAAACGGUCGCACUGUUGAGCCCUGCAAUAUAUAUAUAAAGAUUAAAGCUGUAAUAAAACCUCAGAUAAAUUUAGUAUUUACAUAUAAAAAGCAAAAUAUAAAGUUAUAUAAAACUACUAUCACUACCACUACUGCAUCUUGCCAUCCUCUGUCCUUCCCCCCCUCCCAAAAGAGGUGUUGUCCAGUCUGGUGGCAUAAGGGACAAAGAAGUUUUCAGUCUGUUUGUCUUGCACUUGGGAAGGAGCUGUCUGUCACUAAACAGACUUUUCUGUUUGAUGAUGGUGUGCGGAGGUUAACUUGCCAUUGUCCAUAAUGUCCAAUCAUUUUUAUAUGAACCACAUUACCAUUUAGUGAAACAUCCUUUCAUUCAGUCCAACUGGUAGGCACAGCCACACAUCCCACCCUUCUUUGCUAAUAUUUACCAUCGCCCCGUACCAUCCAAUCAAAAAGUUACCUUGCUGUGGUCUGCUGGGAGUGGAGGGUUUAGGAGCAGAGGUUUGGGCCAAAGCCUAUCCAGUUGAAACCAAAUACAUGACAAAACCAUAAGUCUGUUUGAUUAGGACAUUCUCAUUGCUGCUGCUGGCCGUGUGCGCGCUAAUUAGCAUGAGUACAAUUCAUUACCCAAGGAGACGUGGGAUUAUGUCUCUGGAUCACUCAGCAGCAAAAAGUUUUGACACUCUCUAAUUUAACAGAUGGAGGGCUCACUUAACUUUGCCAGCUCCCUAAAGGCAAGUGGUGUUAAUAAAGGAAGGGGGGGUCAUGCAAAAGUGUGCGUGUGCGGGUGAGACUGAGGGGGGAGAUGAGAAAAAGCAGAGAGUUUAUGUUGAAGAUAUUAAUCGUGUUUGAUUAGAUCAGCAACAAACAGCUGUUUCAAAGCAGUAAGACCUUCAGCUGGUAUUCCUGCACAUCACAUCACUAACCGUUCAACAUCCACCCACAAGAACCGCGUCACAUGUAAAUGACCCGAACAACCCCGGAACCUUUUAUUCACCCAAAGCACUUUUACACACUACAUGUCACAUUCACACAGUCUCCCACAUUCAGGUGCACGUGAAAGCUUGAGUGUAGUGUAGUACAUUUCAAAUCUAAUCAGUGGGUCAGCAUGAGCUCUGUAUUUCUUGCACACUGACCCAUUGUUAAGUGAGGAAAAUAUGGUCCUUGCGUGGUAAGAAAAGCUGGGACAAAUCAAAUACAAAGACUUGCUCAAAAUGUUCUGAAACACGUUUUCUAAUCCCUUGAAUUAAGUCAAAGUUUUUAGUUUUUUUUUCUACGUUACACAUGAACUCAUAAAACCUUAAAGUUUAAAAAGGUUAAUUCAAUUUUUCUGACCCUGCUUUAACAUAUAAAGAACAUUUUUCUGUUAUUUUUACUUACUACCUCAGUCCAAGUUUUACUCAUGCCGGUUGAUGAAUAUGUGCUCAGAUUUUUUAAGUGAAACACAGAAGUUUUCAUCUCCUCAACAGUUAUUUAUCAGACACAGAAUGACACAUUCGGCAAUCAUCAGGCUCUGCCCUUGGGGCCCAUAUUGAUAAUACACUCAUUUACAGAGCUCACGUUGAAGGUCUGCUACAUCCUGCUCCUGCUGAUAUAUUUUAACUCUGAUGUGGGUGUUCAGUCAAAGUUUGUGCUCUAUUUUAUAAUUCAGUCCUGGGCUACAUUAUAAGACACAGAAGGACAGCGUAGCGAGGUAAUUUAUCUGAACAGCCGAAAUUUCAAAUUACCUGUCUGGUACAAACUGCUGUGGAGAUAAAAAAAAUAUACUUUUCUACCGUCCAUUUACUGUAUGAGUAGUCCGAUGUCAGAUAGGCAGAGAAAAAUGGUGUCGGAUCCCAUUCAUAUCCUUUGCUCUGAGUUCCAAAUUUAUUGUCUGGCAAAAGUUUCCAGGCCUCUGCGGAGCAAAAUGACUGCAAAUAUUCAUUCAUAUCCAUGACUGUCAAGCUUCAGUAGUGAUGUGAAAAAAUAGGUCGUUUGCUUUGAGUAAUAAGCUUUUAGAGCACACGUGAAAAGCAGAUACAAGUUCAGGAAAGGAUAUGUGAGAAUCCAUUUGUUUAUUAAAGAACAGAUACGUUUAAAGGAAACUUCAGCAUUGUGACUCUUGGGAUGGAAAUAAUUGAGUCCUGUAUUUUAGGCUAGACUGAAAUAUCUCAACACAACAAGAUGAGUAGUUAGUUUUGGAAAGCUUUGAGCUCAUACCUAAAAACUGUCAGAUGAUGGCUGAUCAAUUCAACAUGUGCAUCCCUGUUUACCGUCAUCCUCCGCCGUUCUCUACCUCGACACCCUUGGAGUUUCCCUCCUUCACCGUUUGUGCACCUGUAUCUGUUUAUCUCCUUCUGCUUACUUUCCUUCAACUCAUUAUUACAAUUAAAGCAGGUUUUGUUGUUAAGUUGCCAAUUUAUACUCAUUAAUCUGCACAUAUGCUUUGCUUUGCAGUUGUCUUUGUAUUUUUUUCUUUUUCGGGAUUUUGCGCUGGAACCUUGCCUGCUACCAGUUUGUCUUAAUUUUUUACAAAACUACUGUAGUCUAGAUUCGAUCCUAGGUGUAAGAGUGUACUACCAAUCAUGGCAAAAACUGCAUUUAAAGUGGAUCAGCAGUGGUCAAAGCUCGUUGUGCAUAUGUGGUGAGACAGUCAGGUAGACAGUAUCUUAUUACAUCAUGCCGCGCUCUCUCAUAUCAUAUUAUAUCACGUUACAAUGUGCCGAGACAGCUAUUGAGAGGAAACACAGAAUGAAAUGAGAGCAAUAUUAUGUAAUGUGUUGGCUAAUUAAAAAACAGCCAGCUGUAUACAUGUCAUAUAUAUAUAUAUAUAUAUAUAUAUGUAUGUGGAUGAGCAAAAACCGUUGUCUGCUAUGUGUGGUCAUGUGUUUACGAUGCACACUGAUGUUCAUAACCUUAUAAACCAGAUGAGCCUUUUCACUCAACAUACAAAAGGUACAGCGAAGAGUUAUCCAUCCAUCAUGGCAGGUUCAAAAAGACCAGGACAUACCAAUAUGACUGUAUUGUUUAUGUAUUCAAAAGAAAGAUCAAGAACAAUAAGAAGUUCUACCUUUGAGUGCUUAUUAGAUGUUUUUAAAAAGGACAUUAUUUCUCUGCUUUCCUUGAUAUAACAGACGAACUGAGCGCAUCCUUCUUCACUCAUUCAUGAAUUAUCAUUCUGGGCUACUAAAAAAAAAAGUACUCAGAACACAGAGAUCCUUCGAUGGCAACAGAAGUGACUGUGACAGUCGUACUGUGCAUCCUUCAUAGUCAAUGAAAACACAGCUGUGAUCAUUACUGGGCCUGUUCUUUCCUGUUUUAAUUCCAGCUGAACUCUCCAACUCCAUCAGGGAAAACAGCAGAAAAAUCCUCUCCUCAGAUAGGUGUUUGCAGCUAUUGAAUAAAAAAUAACGCAUUCACGCUUUUAAACUCUGAGAUAAGAGAAGAAGAGAUGAGGAAGUCCAGGCUCGGUUCACAGCUAAGUCGCGAAUUGCAAGACUGUUUUGGUAGGCGAAGCUAAAAUUCACAGGUAGAGUAUGAGACACUUUUGCAAUUUAGAGGCUGUGGAGUUCAUUUACAGAGUUAAUACUUCAACAAAAGUAUGGGUGUUGUCAGUGAAACAGGCAAAAAAGCUGAAGUUUAUUAAAAGAGACACUAAGUUCAGAUAACAGCUACAUUAAAAAAAGAAUAGAAGACGACAAAGGGAAGUCAGUAAAGGGCUUAAUUUGAGCCAUUUACAUGUGGUGACUUCUUCCUAUCACUGGAGCUCUCAUGGUCGUCUCUUCACGUCUGUCUGCUUUAUUGAACCUACACCUUUACCUCACUCAUGCAUGAUCAUAAUCUAAAUAGGAAACCACUUAUAGAACAACACAGUGCCAAUAUGGGUAAUUGAGAUUUUCUCCCAAAUUUGGUAAGAGUCUAUAGUUUCUUAUGGGAAACUCUGCCUUCUGCAUCUUUUCUCUUCUCCACAGAUCAAUGUUCUGUAUCAUAAAAUGAAAACCAGAAGUGUCCAUUGACUGUAAAACCACAACAUUCAGAGCUCCAUUUAGUGGGAAGCUGCAGUGUGGGUCUUAAACCCCGCCUCCUCCUUGAUCUCAGACGGAACAUGAGUCAAACUAUAAAAAUGUCAGCACCAGUCGGGGUUGUCUUUUGGUUUCAUCUCACAAUGGAAGGGGCGUUCAGUCAUUGCCUUGUGUACUUUUCACUGCGUCAGAUACCCACUAAGGUGAUUGUGCUUGUCUUAAGUCAUGACCUGAGCUCUGACAACAGCACUAUCGUCAUUGGUCAUGAGAAUGUUGAACUGUUUCAGGCCACCUCCAGUGGGCUUUUGAGCUUGCUGUGGAGGGGCUUGUUGUCCAGUGCAGCUGCUUUAGUGCAAAAUGUGUCCCUACCUUGUGCAGAGAAUACUGAUCGAAGAGGGGGAACAAAGUACACUACCAUCUUGAUCUAGCAGUGUGCAGGCCAGAGAUUUUUAUUUGUGGCUGGACACAGAAGAAUUGUAGCAGAGGAGCCUUAUAAAUUGAGGAGCAGGUAAUAGUACAAACAACCGAUGCUGGAAUACCAAUGUAGCUCUGAGUUGUGUUUUCCUUUGUUUGGAUUUUAUGGUUCUGUGCAUGUGACACGGUUGGAUUCUUUUUUGUAAACUUCAUAAAAGUGGAAUACAUCUUCAAAACUUUCAUAUUCACAGACACAGAAAACUUUCUCUAUGGAACGGAGAAUUUGCCCCUGAAAAUGAUGGUUUUUAAAAACUCUGGCCAGAGUGCAGAUUUUUGGAAAAACGCCGUUUGCACAUUAACGGAGAAAAACAGAGGAAAAACUGAGACUUGGGUAGCCGAUGGCAGGUUGCACACAAGAAAGAAGGGACGCUGUUGUUGUUGUUGCUGCUAUGAAGGAUUCUGAUUGGCUAACAUGGGCUUGAGCUUCUUGCUACACUGCAAACAAAAGCUUUUCUGAAAACGAAGUGGUGUGUGCUCAGUUUUUAUUUAUUUUAUUAUUAUUUUUUUUUUAAAGGGUUAAAUGUCAAUUUGUGAAAAUACCCGGGCAUGUGUAAACAUAAUCUUAGUCUUGGUGAAAUUGCCGAACACAAAAAUACCUGUCUCAAUUUAAACAUAGGAACUUAAUGUAAAUGUUUAUUUCUGUUUGAUGAUGAUUCAUGGUUUUCAAAUGAUCCAGAUCUUGGGAGAAAAAAUAAAUACAUAUAUAUAUAUAUAUAUAUAUAUUUUGUUGGACCAUCCAUCUGAGGUAUCAGAUAACAAUAAGGUGGUAUAUUAAUGUAAAAAGGGAUCUUAAAUAACACCAUGGUCAUGAGCUACGGCAGGAUAUUCCAAGUAAUAAGAUCAACUUUCUCCUUUCUUUUCUUCAGAUGACACUUUUGAUUUUAGAUAAUUACUUAUUUCAGGCUGUUUGUCCAGAUAUUAGACAAACCUUAAGAGCGUAUGGAGAGUAGCACCUUGUUAGUCAGGUGUUCAAAUUUGAUUGAAAAAAAAAAACGAAACGAUUUGUGGGGACAGAGAUUAAACACAGGAAGGUAUUUUAAUUAUUUGCAUUUAAGUGGCAACUUUACAAUUUGCUCUAAAAUAGAAGAAAAGAAAUGAACACUCAGACAGCAAACUCAGUCUGCCUACAUCCAAUUUCAUUUUGACAUCCUGAAGGUGAUAAGAAGUUACUUGACUUGCUUAAAUUCAAUCAUUGUUCUAAAGACAUGCAAUGACUUUUUCAUCGCAAAUUAGAGUUUCAGUCUCGCUAAGUUGUUCGACUGGGUCUGCUCUGAUUUUUCUUCUGCUUUAUACUGUUUGCACAUUAUAAACCCUGGCUGAAAAAGUAGAGAGGACAAUGAUGUGUUGAACAUGUAGCCCUGCUCAAAAUUAAAAACUUCACAGAGGGAAGCCUAUUUGUCGAAGAAAAGCAAAGAAAGACACAUUCAGCUCUUCAUCCAAAUCAAAGACAAUCCUCUUCCAAUUCUUGUUUAAGGAAACGGAAAAAAGAAGGAAUCAAAAAUUGAUGAAAAGGAAGUGUGAUAUUUUAUUAUCAUUCGCUAUUAAUUACAAUUUAAAAAAACAGUACUAUCUCACAUAAAAGCAUGAUUUGAUAAAGAAAAAAAAAAAAUGUUGAAUGUGUGUAUAUUCCAGUCAAUUUUAAAGAUCCCCAGAGUUCAACAUUCGCUUCCACAGCAGACAGAUAUCAUGUACAGAGAAAGCAUGUACUGUACAUCUAUAAUAAGAAAAAUGUCUUGUGGGUAAUCAUCUGGAGAGGAGUGUCAAUGAUAAGCAGCUCUGUGGGGUGUUUCAUGCAUGAUGCUCUCGGGUGCUUCAGACGGCCCCUCUCUGUGUCAGCUUAAACAGAUGGGAGAGGGAUGGUGUUACAUUAAUGAAAGGUCCCUGCUUCACUCGAGGUAUCCGUCUUCCUGACACUUCAUGUCCCUGUUGAGAACUUAUCAAAGUUUCACCAUCAUUUUUAAAGAAGUUUCAUGUCACCUCCAUUGCCAGGAGUGCUCAUUUUUAACAUCCUCAAGGCCAGGCGAACAAGUGCACGGUGAUUAUGACACUUUAACCCCUCCAGGGACACGGCGGUGUGUCGCUUGAUUGCUGCUGCAUUAAUACAGAAAAACCAAACAUGGUCGACAUUUUUACUCAUGCCCACACAUGCAGUGAUGGAAACCUUAUGUAAUUGCUAAUUCCAUUUAUGAUCUAUUUUCUGGUUUAUUUCCAUUUCUAGACACCCCUUGGAGCUACAAUGAUGAAAUGAUUGAAUGAAUCUUAGGGCUGCGUGAGGCUUUGUUGUACCUUAUUUUUUUUCUUUACCAGAAAUAAAUCUGAUUAAUUAGCUUGAAGAAUUUCAACAGCUAAAACCUGAACAGAGGCAAGAAGUCUCACCUGUGCAUAUGACGUGAGUUCAUAUGAGGUUGAAAAAAUAAUUUCAAAGUGGGAGUUAUUUCAGUUUGAGAAAGACAAGCUAUUGCUAAGUAUUGCUAAGAUAUUGUCUCUUUAACAACAUAUAUUAAAUUCUUACACUGGGUGCGUUUGUGUGUAUGUGUGGGUGGGUGGGUGGGUGGGUGAGUGAGUGAGGGUGGGUGUGUGUCUUUGUGUGCGUGUGGUUCCAUGGGUGUGUGGGUGGGACGGUCGGGUUUUACUGUCGUUAAUUGUUGUUUUUAGCCUCUUUGAGGCGCUUUGAACUGCUUUUAAGUAAGGAUGCUUUAUGGUGGCUAGUUUGCUAAAAAGGUUGGAUGUAUUUGUUUGAAGGAUUAACUGAUAUUUUUAUUUUUAUUUUUAUUUAUUUAUUUAUUUUAAACUGAUAACCGCUAUUUAGAACCAAUAAUCAUUUGCAGUAAAAAUGUAUAUUUUGGUGUCAGAAUUUUAGAUUACACACCUGGGAUAAGACUGGACACAGUAUACUGUUUGUUCUGUACACUGUGAUAAAAAGACCUUAAACUGCUGUAAGAUGCAAAUCUUUGUUGAAAAGGUUUAAACAAUUGUUUUAUUGUCUGAACUACAAAAGUGCAGGGAUCUUGUAGCAGUGUUUUUGAUUAAGUUAAAUGAAUAAAUAAAAAAGCUUCCUGAAUUUUAGGUAAUAACAAAAGUAAACACUGGACUGUAGUUGGUAGUUGGUCUCAGUUAGUUGUCCCAAUCAGAUGGGAACUGUAGGCGGGACAUUGUUACACAGCCAAGAGUGGUGACUUCAGGCAGAGAGAGUUGGCUGUGUAAGAGCCGAAUGAGCGUGUUUUAGAAUAAACAUAAGUUAUUGGUUAUUGGUGGGGAAAAAAACAGCUGAUGCCGAUUAUUGUAAAAAUGCUGAAUAUCGGCCGUGCUGCCUAUCGGUUGAUACUUCAUUUUUUUCACAUUUCCUUUUGAUGUAUAUACACCACCCUUUUGCAUACACAGAACUAGUAAGAAGUAUUUGUAACCUUAUUUACAGCUUUGUGUCACUUCAAGGAAAACUGUUGCUACAAUCCAGAAUUAAAGGGCUCAAGACGUCUUAAAACAAAACCCACUGAUUUUUUUUGUAUUAUUUCACUCCUUUCAUUUCCUGUGUAGUCUUAUAUUUGUAGCUGUUUGAUCAUACAUUUCAUUUCUCUUGAUGAAUAAAGGAUUAAAGUUGGAGAGAAACUCUUUUGAUGGUCAGCUCAGGUUGACGUGUUGAUUAAUGCUGUCAUAUUUGAAUCAGGCGGGUACUUUCAACCCAGCAGCCAGCUAGCUGCAGAGCGUUGCUUUCAAAUGCUGCUGUGUAUGUGGAACAGAAUGUAUUAAUAGGCUGCUGACAAAAUGCACUGGUGAAAUAAGCCAAGAGCUGGCAGAAAUAAGCCAAGUCCUGGCAGUUGCUUUGUCAGAGUUUGACAUUGCCAAGACAUGAAAUACAGACUUCAGUGUGUUGCUCUCACUGGAUUGUAAUUGAGCUUGUGGGAAGCAGAAGAGAUCCAAUCAUGUUGUCAUAUGUAAUUUUUCACAUUCAAGGUUAGUUAUCAUCCAGUCCAGCACAUGCUUUUGGUGGGCAAUGACAUAACAGAUUUAGGCUUCUUUUGUCAACAUGUGUGGCGAAUCUCUAAAUAUCUUAUGAUUUGAUUUUGUGGAGGCUACAAUUUAAUUUGAAAUUGAUCGCCAAUUCAAUUAAUUUCAGGGUUCUCUUGUUGCCAAAUAGGGGUGCUUAUUUCAGGUCUGAUACUGGUUUGCUGUGAAUGAUCAUUAUGUGAUAAUGCAGCUUCUAUGUUUGCAAAUGUUAAAUACUUUGUCAAAUAAUUAUUUCAUACCUUUGUUUGUUUUUAUCCAAACCAAUAAACUAUGAGGCAUUUGAUUGGCAAGAGAAUAAACUUCUGUUUGCAUGUUUUAGCUGAAGGAUGUCUGAAAAUUCAAACAGAACGCCUUUCCUAUAAAUGUCAGGUAUUGUAUGAGGCCUCAGCUUUAAGACAUUAGGCUGCAUAAAAACCAAAUUUGAAGGACAAGUGGACAAACUGUGAGGUCAAGAUCUUAGAUUAUUGCCCGGAAGGUUUUAUUCAUCAGAGUUGAUUUAUUUUAAUGUUUAUUUAACAAGGACAAUACAUACAACAAUGUCUCAAGAAAUGGAAAUUGUGCAUACAAGACGUCAAGCUUAAGCUAAUUUGCAGUCUUUGUGACAAUCUGGCUAUAUCAACUAAACAGACGUCUUAGGGAUCUCGGUAAAAAAAUAAUUAAAUUGAUGAAGAAUCAAAUUACACAUUCAAAUCUUCUACUAGUUACAAUAAGGUGAGUGACUUUAGGAUUUUCACACUAAAACAACCAAAGCUGUAACUCAAAUGACUUUGACUGUGUCUUCUCAGGUACACACACUUGCUAAAAGUGGGAAAGCAUGCUCUGUGGCUGUCAGGGAAGAGUGCUGUUCUUGAUGUAGUCUUUUUCCAAAGCUUCUGUGGCCUUGGGAGAUUGUUUCAUAACCAGCAAAAAGAAAAAAAAAAAGACUGAAAUUAAAAAUAACGCCUAUGACCUACAAAAGCAAGUGAGACCAUCAGCAGCAUAAAGAUGGACUACUUCUACAUAGUUAAUCACAGUGUCUGAAUCCAUUGGUCGGCGUAGGUGAAAUGGGUUAAUUCAAUGCUACCAUAACACCCUUUUUUUUUACCAUUUUCUAUGGCAAAAAAAUUAUCAUGAAUGAUUUUUAGUUAGGUGAACAGAGAGUUUGGUUAAAUCAGCAUUACCAACAUGGAAACACUUUUUCCAUUUAUUCUUCAGUCCACUUAUCCUCCUUGGUAGGGUUAGGAUUGUUGAGAACCAGUUCCAAAUGGUUCAUCCAUUGACAAUAUUUACAUUUUAUCUUAAUGAUUCCUUUCUUCUUGAUGCCAUGAAAAAUGGUCUUGUGAGAGCCAAUCUACGUGAACGAGAACAGAGAAAAAACAUGGCGGACAGUACAAAAAGUAGGCAGAAACACUCUAAAGCAUGGCUUCAUUUGACUAAGAAAGACAACAGUGCGACGUGUAAUGUUUGUCGAGCAAUGAUAACAUGCUGCUGCUCCAUCUCAGCCUGGUAUCGGAGGUACAUAUGUCCCGUGUAAACAUAAGCACAAUGCAUCCCAGACUUAACAACGUCCUCUUUAACCUGGACCUAUCGUCAUUAACUCAAAGUUUUGAGUUAAUGGUAAAAACCUACAGUCUCCUUUUUUAAAUCAAAGAAAGGCAUUGAUAAGGGAAUUGUCAAGGAAUUGAAUCGAUAAGCAGAAUCGAUCAUGGCAUCAAUAUUGAUAAAAUUUUAUCGAUUCCCAUCCCUACUCCUUGGCAUGUCAUACAAUCCAAACAUUAGCAUUUACACCUUUGCACAGGAUCUAUUCAUCUGAAGCUGCCAGCAAGCUGCACAAUCACACUGCCUGCUGGGUGGCUGGAUAACUCUCCAAAAUCCCUUAGCGCCUACAGGUGGGAGGACAUGCUGUAGCUGACAGUGGAACCUCCUUCACUGCAUGUGUUACAAGAUGUGAGUCUCUGCACACGUGUGAAACAUAGAAAUCUCAGAGUUUGUAUGGCAGCUCAGAACAUAGGCGGACACCUUUUUGUGCAAUACAAUGGUGUUACAAUAGUUCACGUCUCUGUUUAUCCGAAUGCAGAGUUUUCAUAUCUUCGUGAUUGCAAUGCCAGGAAAGAAUGCGCGGGGGAGACACUGUGCAGUGUUGCAGAAUGUCCUUCUCACCCCAGUGAAUCAUUGACUUUUGAUACAAGGGAGGCUAACCAUGCCCUUUACCCAUCUCCCAACACUAACAUGCACCGCUGACACAUGUCAUACUCUGGUCACCGGGGAGGACAGUGGGAAGAAGAAUACAUAGAAACAUGGUCUGGGUGAUAAACCGGGGCAGUUUUACACAGGAAUCAUUGCACUACAGGAUGGUCAUCACAAUCCUGGACCCCUGGAGAAGCUCAGUGAGAGCAUGCUGACAGGCUGCAAAAGCUGCAAAUCCAUGACAAGCCCACAGUGUGGAAAAGAUCUAAGACACUCUCACAAUCCAAACAAACAGACUCAAAAGGAUUUCUAUUUCAAAAAAUGCUGGUUUGACAGUGAUUAAGAAAUGAAACCCUGCUGUGAAAAGGUUAUCACUAAAAGGUCAUCUGUUUAUCCCCCUCUCUUGCUUCAAAGUCUUGGUGAGACACACACAUAAACACACAAAUCUCACUCCAGGGUGUCUGUAAUAUGACUAAAGAAGUUGAACCAAACUAAAGCCUUAGACCGGUGACCUUCUGUCCACAAUAUAUUCAGAAAUUUCAUUUUAAAUUAACACCCACCACUCUCCCCAAUGAAUGCCAAAGAAUAUACCAUCUGCAUCCUUCUGAAGUGGUCUUAAGCCCCAACACUCUUAGUCUUAAUCCUCUAUUUCCCAUAAACACCAUGUUGUGAUGGUGUAUUACAACCUUUGGCUCGCUGUGAUCCUGCCUUUGUAUGGCAGUGCGGACUCUGGUAGAAUCAUAAUUUAUUAAGAUUGUACCAGAAGUCAAAUAUCCUUCAGCAGUUUCAAGCAGAUUUUGAGGAUAAAAUAAAGUUAAUUCAAUUCAGCGCAAUGCAAAAUGUCAUCAGGAUUACGAGGCAGUACAUUACAACAGACAUCAAUAGGAGCGUCAACUCUUUAGGAACACUCUUCAUGUUUAAACUUUGGUAAAAUAAUAGAGCAUCGAGUUUCUUGCUACGUUUGUCCCUUGACUUAUAUAUGUUGGAAUAAUGUCACUGAAUAAUCAGUUUACAAAAAUGCAAUUUCAAAUUAGUAUGAAUUACAGGUUUGACAAAGCAACACAAUUCCUGAGUGAAUUUAGGAUUACUGACAUACUCAUCGACAGAGUCAGCUAUAACAAUUUGAAUUAGAACCUGGGGAGAAAUUCAGACAAUACAGGUAUAAAUUUAAUUUACAAAAAUGUAUAAUUAGUUGUUUCAAAAUGAUGACUUUUUUUUAUAUAACAUGAAGUAUAAACAACGAACUCAAUAGGUGUCUGGUAUGUUAACGUAACAUGUUAACAGUUAUUCAGAUUACUGUAGUAUAAAAAACAUGAUAAAACAAGUUUACCAAACCCUCAGUCUCACUCCAAAUCACUAAAUCUAUCGAAUUCUUCAUCCUCGUUGUCACUUCUGAACAAUUCCGCCAACUCUGGAGGUGGACGAAGCGCCUUUUCUGCAUGACUGUCAUCAUUAUAUGUUUGAAUAUAAGUCGCACCUGAGUGUAAAUCGCAAACUUAGCCAAACUAUGAAAAAAGCACGAUUUAUAGUAUGGAAAAUAGGGUAUUUUAUCUGUAAAAUUAGAUUUACAUUGGCUUUAAUUUAAGAGAGAAAAAAAUAAACAAAAUAUAAGUUUUAUGCACCAACUAUUUGCAUUAUAAUUUUGGAUGAGAAGAUACCAAUCCAAGAACAUCAUGAGCCCACUGAUAGCCGACUUAAAGGCUGGUUAUCAACAACACUGACUUUAAUGGUUUUGUUAUAAAGCCUUUUUUCAUUUGAGUAAUGUGUUUCUGAACUUUGUUAAUUGAUUGGAGAAGAGGCUGCUGAUGGGUUUUUUUUACAAGGACAAACACGUUUUAAAGACCAUUUUAAAAUAAUCUUUUACAAGCUAGGUGUCAUGGCAACAAAAGGCUUUUUGUGAGUUUAAUUACAUUUCACAGUCACCAAACCUACAUGCACCUGGAAGUUCUACAUUUCUUCCUCAACUUUUUCAUCUGAAUCUUGUCCUCAAGAAUAGACUCUUCAUCCAGGCAACUCAGACAAGUGUCUCAUGGGCUCAGAUAGCACUCAUGAAUUUACAAAACAUCUGUGGCAUGUAAUCUAUUGAUUUGUUCCAGUCAAUUAUACACUCGGUCUGCUUCUAAAUUACUUUGUGAUAUACACAAUAUCAUUCCAUCACAAACAGUAGAGAGACAAUAUGUAGACAAGUCUGAGCCUGCCCUUAGAUGACUUUUACAUUACUGGUUUCAUGUCAUUUUGUGAAGCCAACACUUUCUGCUCAACCAUAACCCCAACACUGCCUGAGGGUGGCGAACAUAAACACUAUAUUGACAAGAUAGUGGGAGAUGAUCCCAUGAGUAAUUACAUGGUGUUUGUAUCAUUGAUGUAUUGAAUGUCAGUUAAACUGUAGUUGCCAUGAAACCGUCAGAGAGAGUUUCAGUAGAAACAGACUGUUCAGCUGAGAUCAACUGUGGGUGGCAGAGUUAAAACUGAAAAUGUCAAUGCUGCUCACAUAUUGAAAUGAUAAUACCAAGUGGGCAGAGGAGGACUUGGUUUUCAGUGACGGGUAUUAAUGAUGGCUGCUGCCAACAACCAUGAUGUCCACCCACAUGCAAAAACAAGGGGGCAGUGUUGGGAUGAUUACUCAUUGAUAAUCAGUCUUUCUUGUGGAGUUUCAUUGUUCUAUAUUCUGUCUGUAUUUAACCUACCAUGAUCCAAAUAGUUGAACUAGAACUGAACUCCAUCAUUUUUUUACUGCUUUCUCUAUGCCUUAUAAAAUGUGUUUCCUUUAUGCAAAUAAUUUGUCCUGAUUUAUGAGUGGGUAAGUAAGUAAAACCCCGUUUUUAAAGCAGCUUUGAAACACUGGUCUCAAACUGCCCACAAACCAAGGAUUGAAAAAAAAAGCUAUCAAAAUUCAAAGCAUUAGAAAUCAGUCACUACACUGACCAACGUAGACUCCAGAUAGGGACAUGAUUUAUGUGAAGGCCUGUCGUGUAAAGAUGAAUCUUAACCUUUUAAAGCACUCUAAAGGUUCACAAGAUCAUACAGAUAGACCCAGUCGUUCUUGGUUUGUAACCAAAGCAUGUAAUGGAUAGAAAUCUGAGAUUUGAUGAUGACAAAAAAAGAAUUAUGAAACAAGAUGAUGGGAAAUGGAAUAAGGUCAAGGUCAUGCAGUGCAUUGUAUAUAGCUGAUAGGACCUUGUAGUAGAGUCUUCCAUUGAGCCAAUGGAGAGAAGCAAGAACAGGAGAGACAUAGAAGUCACAGCUGGUUUCAUGGUCGCUGCAUUUGAAAAUACCUGUAAACAGUUUAAAAAUGUUUGGCAGAAGUAGUCAUAAACCAAAAACUAGAGAAAAUGAAAGCAUAAAUCAGAGCCUCAAGAUCUGCUGAGGACAAUGUUGAUCUGAUUUUUUUCUUUAUUUCAUGGCAGCAGACAUCUUCUGUUGGACAGCAGUUAAAUGGUCAUAAAAUAAACCUUUAUCUCUGUCCAGUAAAAUGUUGAUAUGGUUUGUGAAGUAAAAACAGAAAUCACAAGCAAGAAAAUGUAUCAUAUUUUGGUUAUCCAUCAAAAUAAAACAUAAAAUAAUCCCUCUUUAUGAUCCAACUGGUACCUCCAUCCUGACCUCAGCCUUCAGUUUGCUUUUUUUCUUAAUUUCCACAUCUUAGGAAUUGUAAUUCAGGAUCACUUGUCUCAGCUAGUAUUAUGUAAAUUCACCUGUUACUCUCACUUCAUACUAAAAGUGCAACAGAUCACAAAUCUCAUGACUUGGUUCAGUUCAGUUCACAUAUUGACCCAAAAAAAAGGGAUUUGUAUAACUUUUCUACUUCAUUCAAAGCUAUGAUUAUAACUGAGCAGUUUAAGGCACAAUAAAUCACUAUGUUAACUCUAAUUAACUUAGUUCUUAAUUCUAAGUUCUUAUAUAAGAGCUACUUCAGUUUACUACUUCAAUCCAACUCUGUGCACUGAAAGUCAUGUGAAGUUUGCCUGCAGCUAUACUGCUGUGUUCCAGCAGUAUCUUUCCCACUGCCACCCCUGAACUGCACCAGAACGGGGUUCCAGUAUCACUACACAUUUGUACCUGCACCUUGAAAUCGUGUUAUACUGGUGUUCCAGUUUGUGAUUACAUAUUACACUAUGUUGUUGUUUUGGGAACACAAGCAGCAAGGCUUGUCAACACGUAAACACACUCAGACUUACAGUGCUGAAGGACACCAUCAGCUCCAGCUCUAUACAAUGUCACCUACUUCCCUUUGUUUCCUCUUUGUUACCUCUGAGGAAGGACAGCUUGACUUCCCCUUUAUCCCUCUGUGUUACACAUUCAGGAUGAGGCGUAACGUGGCAAAAAUACCCCACCUUGAAAUAGCUCCAUAUAAGCGCCUAUUCAAUUACAUACCAUUGUAUUCCUGCUCCCCCACUCAUGCCAAAGUAAAGCAGGGGAGACCGGGGCUUGUUGUCACAUGGAUAAGUUGUCAUAUUGCAAUUAUCUUUGCCACCAGGGGGCACAACUUAAAGGUGAAAUACUAGUUUUCUUCCUUUACAUUGUCAGGGGCUGUGUCCUUUCUGCGAAGAGAAGAGCACAUUGUGGGCUGAUAUGAGCGCCAAUUAACCAUUUUGCACAACCCAAAGUAAAAAAAAUUAACUUUAUAUAUUUUAAAAUCAGCUUCUUCUAGAUAAAAAUCCUAGCAGUGUUACAUGUUGACUUGUUAGAGGAGAGAUUAAGGCAUCCUGUCAUACCUGAGUCAUUGUUCUGUUUUAACUUUAAGCUAGAGCUAGAAUUAGCAAACAUGGUAGUUUGAAAAAUGUCUCAGUCAUUUGGUGUUAGUCAUCACGUUUAAAAGGGAUUAAAAUUGACACAGAGAGUCUGCUUAUCAGCAGUUGUCAUAUUGUAAUUCUGACUUUACUUUUACAGAGAAAAGAGUGGUUUAAAGAAGAGGAGAAAGCGAGAAAAGAAAAGAAAAAAAAAGAUCUCCUUCAAAAUGUUCACAAAACUCAGGAUUACUCGUGGAUUUGUGCUCUCUAAUAUGGAUUUGCUUUAUGGUAACAUAUUUAGACCAGGUAGCAGAGCUCUACUUUAUACCUGUUAGUGAUUAGUAUGCCAUGUUUCAUUUGCAGAUGGACCAAUAAAGAUAUAUUGCACUACCACUUUAUAUGCAUUCAAAUGGUACACAUCCACUGGCCACAUCCAGUAGGUAAAUUGAAUUUGUAUCUUAAAUUGAUUGCUUCAACUGCCUGACAUGUUAUAUACUGUAUAUAGAAGUCCUAUUGUACUCAAUCAGGGACAUUAUGCAGCUUUAUGCAAAGGUGAAUAAGUAAGUAGUGAUGGAUUAGGUUGUGCGCUUUCAUUACAGAAUAUCCUCUGCUGUGUCAGGCGCUUUGAUGCCUUGUUGAAACAGACCUUAUGUCCAGUUGAGUUUGGAUUCCAUCAAAGAUUUGGUGAAAAUAACCAAACUUAGACUGAAGUCAGUGUAGGAUCAGGAUUAAAGGACCGACCUUUUGUCAAGUCUUCACCCCUAAUUUUACUCAUGCUGCAAAAAACACAUGCACAUAGGGAGCUUUAAAUGAUAAAAGCAGCAGGUUUCACACUCCAGAUUUAGAGCAAUUCUCUAAAGAAGGGUCAUUAACUUCAGUAGUAAACCACCCGUUUUGACAGCACAAUGAAAACCUUUGAUCGUAAGUUUCUUUAGCUUUUUUUUUCCGCCCACUGUUACUCUUUGAGUUGAAUAAUUGUUUCAAAACAACAUUUUCAAUUGAGAAACCUGCAAAAGGGUCUUAGAUAUUCGCAUGCAUGAAAACCAGUUUGUUUAAUUCAAACUCAUGUAAUGAUGCAAAAAAAGGCUGAGGCAAAGGCUCACAAGCUUCAGGGCAAAACUCAGAUCCUCACAAGUUAAUGGACCCUGUGGAAAACAUGGUAAUAGGGUAACAGCAAUCAACCCAGCAGGGCAGUGUUACUCAGAUAUACAGUGUGAAAAAAAAUGUAGCGACAGAUGAAAUCCUCACACAGCAUUUCUGUUGUUAUAUUUCUUACAAGAGCUAUAUAAGAUACAAAACAAGAGUAGUUUUAUUUCUCCUACCAAUUUUCUUUCUAUAAACACUGAGAUUUCCUCUUGCAGAGUAAAAAGAUCACUCGAUGUGUUAGCCUGGGCUCCAAUCCAGAGUACGUUUGCACUUUUCAGGAUUAUUAAUUGCAGUUAGCAUUUGAUCAAAAUAUAGGAUGUGUUGUUAUGACGUCUGUUUAUCUCAAAAAAAAAAAAAAAUGUGGGAAAGUUUUCUUUGAGGUAAUAAUGUGCAGCUGUUCUCUUUCUGGUAGCAUAUCACAUCUGAACCCAAAACACCCCUCUGAGGUGCAGAAAUGUCACCGGGGGAGUAUUCAGAAGGAAUACAUCAUCAUGCUGAAUCACUAGAUAGCCGACCAUUUGGGAACCAGAUAUGUGAUCUUGACACACUUGCACACACACAUUAGUGAUCAAUUUUAGGUGCAUGACAUCCGAUUCUAAAAGCAUGAAAUGUUUUCCUCUCACACUGGAGUUUCAGCAUAGCAUUUACCCCUCCAUUCAUGUGUCUUUCUGCAGAAAAGCUGUCCUACAGAGAGAGAAACUGAGAUGACAACCCAAUCAAAUGCCCUUUUCCCUGCCUCUGAUAGUGUCUGUGCCUCAUGUUUUUCCGAAUACGCCUUGACAAAUUUCUUUUAUGGAUUCAUGUAAAGGCCUUGGCUGUGUCGAGGAAUCGUGAAAAUGAUUAAACUUUCUCCCUCCAGUAUUGGAGCCAGUUGUUGAUGUGUAAUUUAGAGGUCAUGGCUUGUUUCAGUGGCUUUUCUUCAUGUGGAUGAAUGUGGGGAGUGCUAGUUUCCUAUAUGGUUGUUGUACAAAUGAGAGAUUAUUCGGUUGUGUAUACGUGAUGGAAAAAAGAAAGGACCAAUGACUGAACUGUAGUCAUGUGUGAUUGUAAGGUAUUUGACUAAAGGUAUUUUAAUGGAGGCCUAUCUUAACAGUGAAUGUAACACCAUAUUCAGUCAUUACAGCCUUUUGUCACAAUCGCACCCAAGCUUUUAAGAGACACACUCUGGCUUCUGUAUGUGUUAGCCGGCAGACUCUUCAAGCAUCAGCACAAUUGAAGAAUGUGCUUUUAAUUGCGUCCUCUCUUUAUUCAGCGCAAAGUCUUUGUGAGAUAGAAUAAAACAGUUAAUCCAUUAGCCACAGGGUCUCAUUUUACUAUAAAUCUCAACAUCUUGGCUUGGAAUUUACUCACAGGUCCAGCAAUCCUCUGAGCAGGGUACUGCUGUGUGCUAUAUCAUCUCAAAUACCUCACGGACCAUUGAGUUUGGGAUAAGUGUACACAAAAAAAGGUCAUUUUUGUAGCAGUUCACUUGCAGAACCACCCAACAGAAAAUUCAAAAACAUAACAGCUUGCUUGAGUUAUGACAGCACUUUUAUUUUUUUUUCCCUUGGGUGCCUGAGUGCUCAUGCUGCCUAUGUUGAAUACGCCUUAAUGCUGCAGUUGGAAUGGAUUAACAAAUGGCUAUGGAUGGUUCUUCAUUUGAAAAUGCAGAUUUUAAAGAAAUUGUAAUGUCAGCCAUUACAUUUACUUGGAAGCCAAGAAAAAAAAAUACAUUCUUUCAUUUAAAGAUCAAAUGGUGUCUUUAUGGUUGGCAGACAGUUAUUUUCUUCUGAUGCUUUUAAAAGAGAAAGCUUUGUAUACCACAGGAUGUUAGGCCUUGUGUUGAAGCCAAGGAUAAGAAAAAAAACAGGCAACAUCACCUCUUUAUGGUCACUUUUACCAAGUUCAUCUUCUCCUCUACUAAAGAGCACUUGUAACACAUCUGAUCACAUUAAAGCACACCAGACCACUGAUAUUUGUAGCCAUGAUUUCCAAAUCCCUGGUGCAAAUGUGGAAAACGAAAAACAGAAAAGUGUCGUUUUCUGACAUCUCAGCCUGUAAUGAUGCGCUACCUGAGAGCUACUCCCUCGUAGGUACUGAAAAACCCAUUUUCUCAACAAGCUUCCAACUUUGUGCCAUGUGAUACUGCAAAAACACAUUAAAAGCAACUUUGGAUGGAGAUUUUGUCUGUGCUUUUACAGGCCAGGGGACUCAGUUUGGUAUAAAAAGAAGAUGACAUACUCAGUUCCAUCAGGUUUUAGAACUCUACAGUCUAAAUGUGAUAUGUAGUUUGUAAUUGUUCAUUAAAUGUGAAAUAAUUAUCAAACACAACAUUUUUUGAAGUCGUAAGAUUUAUCGUUAUUGUGAUUUUUUUCCCCCACAUUGAAAGCAACACUAAAACAACAAGUCCAGUGUUGGAUGAUCCAGUAUUCUGAUAUUCUCUGGCCAAUGACAGCACCAAAACAACAUGAUGUGCACAUUUCUUAAGAGACUAUCAAGCCUCCACUGCUUGAAGUUUGCAGAUGUCUUUGCCAACUCUUGCUGUUAUGGCUCAGAGGAGGAUGGAGGCACAAUAAACAAUCCUUUUUAAAAGUUUGUUUCAAAACUUGUAAAAUAUUUAAUCAGUAGUUUGUUAUGUACAAAAAUAAUCUGUAGGGGUCUCUUUCUCAACUCUUAAAGAAACUGGGUUAUGAAAAGCAUUUCAAAGUGAAAAGUAAGCACUUCUCUAACAGUCUUUAAAGGGACUGAUGGUUGCUGCUCCUUCAUCCAUUGGCCCACGUAAAUAAUGAACAAUGUAGUGUCGUGAUUUAAAACUUCAAGAAAGGAGUCGUCUACAUAACCUACAUUUGUCAUGCUGAAUGACUGUAAGACAGUUUGUCAGUAUCAGUACAAUCAAUGAAUUUCUUUGUAAACCUAUUCUGAAUCAAUAGACUUCAUACAGGAAUGUCACCCAGCUGUUAAUGUUCAUAUUUAGAUGGAUUGUUGAAGGUAGAAUUGAGGCAUGGAAACAAUGGAUGGAUUAUUACAGCCUUAGUAAUUGUACCUGUUUCAAGGUUUAAGCUCACGUGCCUGACUUGAAAUCCAGCAGCCCAAUGACAAAUGUACCUCUGGGUCUUUUCAAUGGGUGACUGAGCCUGUGAUAGAACACAUGGACUUAUUCUCCAGAGCCAUCAGUAGCUAACUUGAUAAAUGAACAUGUGUGGCGUGAAGAGUGGAUAGAGUGGGCUCUUAAGCCCCUCUGGUUUUGAAGCAGGGGUCUAUCCUCACUAUUCUUAAUGACGCAGUGGCGUUGAUCUGUAAAGGAAAAGAGAAAAUGGGCCAUUUAAGGAGAGAAACAGUCAACCUGCUAUGUCUUGUCCAUUGCCUGGGAUUUAAGUGAGAAAAUCAAUUUGUCAUGACACUUUGCCGAUAAAAGUAAUUCCCCUGUUCUCUCUUCACAGCUCUCAUCUGAUAUGCACACCGGGCUUAGCACCGAGAUGGGGGUUAUUGGAAUGAUUGGUUGCACAGUUAGAGACUCUACAAAAACAUGCCCGACGUCUGCAUAUUUGGAAAGCUCCAAUUCACAUCGCACACUCACCUGGCCUUAUUUUUCUUUCUUUUUCUACCGUUAAACAGGUUAAGAAUGAGCUGGUCAUCUUGGUAAAGGAGCUCAAACAAAAAAAGGAAGGAGGACAGAGAGAGACUCCAUACAUUAAAAAAAAAGUAGAAUCCAGAUAUGUGGAUCAACUCUAGCAGUCCAGGACACCAUGUGUCAUGGAAACUGGCUGCAUGACACUUGUGUCUCCCUGCAGUACUUGAGGGAGGAGGGAAUUUAUUAUCAGGCAAGAGAUCCAGUCAUGAUGGCCGGCCUGACAAAGUUUUCCCCAGGUUCAAUCAAUCACAUGUGUCCUCCGUGAAGAGGCACCACCACAAGGGGCCCUCGGAGGCUUUGCCAGCAGAUUAGUCACAGCCAAGUCUCAUUUCUGCAGCUGCACCAGUACAAAGAUGGAAUGAUGAAGGAGGCAGGGAGGAGUGAUAGGUGAGACAUAGGCAAAAAGCAAAUGAUGGAAGUGGUGAAACAUGAGAAUAGGAGGGGGAGGAGAAUGAAAAUGAAGGGAUUUGAUGAGGUUGAGCAGAGAGAAAGGUAAUGAGAGAUAAAAGAGGAGGGAGAAAAGGAGUGUAAUCAGCGGUGACACAUUAUGAUGAAAUGGAGGGAUAAGAAAGAGAAAAAAGUCAGACAUAAAAACAUAUCAAGGUGGCAACAUUUGCAGUUAAAUGAAUGGAUUGAAGAGAUGAGGGCCAAACAUGUGAGUCUGUGACAGUCUGUAACAGGUUUACUAUUGACUGUUUGAGUUUAUAAUACAGUUUAUCAAUAAGGGCUCCACAUUAGAGGGUGUUUGACAGUCUAACCAGGAUAGAUAGAUAGAUAGAUCAGGAGGUAGAGCGAUUGUCCAAUAAUGUUGAUGGUUCGAUUCCCCCCUAUCCCUAGUCUGUCUGUUGUGUCCUUGGGCAAGACACUUAACCCAUCUUGCUCAAAGUGUGUGUCCUCCACUGGUGUAUAAAUGUGAGUGUUGUGUGGUGGUGGUCGGAGAGGCUGUAGGUGCAAACUGGCAGCCAUGUUUCCGUCAGUCUGCCCCAGGGCAGCUGUGACUACUAAGGUAGUUUACCACCACCAAGGUGUGACUGUGUGUCGGGUAAAGCCCUCCAUGACACAUCAUCAGUGAUAUAACCUGAGAUCAUGGGGGGUUACAGAAUCAGACCCCCUUCCCCAGGUGACCCAGCUGGGGUUGAUCAAGCCCCAGCUUGUAUCCAGGUAGCUCUACCCUACAAGCAAGCCUCUCCCCUCCUGAUCCUCAGCCACCUGGAUGCCACCUCUGGUGCAUUGGUGGCCCUCCGUUGGGUGGCUUCUGUGAUGCCCAGCAUCUUGUAGGCCCUGCAGAGGGAUUGGCCCACAAAACCUCGGCUAGCUCCUUCACUAGCUCUACCUCUCAUGGGCCUCCUCCAUCAGGUCCUCCCAUGGCACAGUGAGCUCCAAGAGAAUCACCUGCCUGGAUGCUGCUGAAGUGAGGACCAUGUCUGGCCUUGAUGAUGUUUUAGUAACCGCCUAUGGGAACUUCAGCUGCCUACCCAGGUCAGCUCUCAGCUCCCAAUCAUGCGCUGUUGCCAACAGGCCAGGAAUGGUGUUUCAUGCGGCUUCUCUGGACUUCUCCCCAGCUCUUACGAAGGAGAUGGUAUUCCUUGCUGGACAACACUGUGUUCAAGAAAUUCCAAAAAUUGGACUGAGACACAACAAGCUGAAUGCAGAUCACUAAAAUCUUGUUUUUUAGUGAGUUUUAAAGUUACUGUUGCCCAGUUAAAUACGGUCCCUUUGCGAUUGCUGAUUCUUAUUGCAGUUCCAGUGCACCAGACUGGCUGAGUCAAGCCAAUCCUUGACUUUCAGCUUGCAGUAUAAAUAUUUCUCAGCGACACUAAAGCCCUAGACAGAUUCUUUUACUUCUUUUUAUUCUGCCGCACUUGAUAUUACCCAUAUGAUGUAAAAACUGUCUUUGUAAAAACAUGUCACUUGUGAAGAGAUAACAAAUUUUAUCAAGUACACGGCAUUAUCCAUCUCCUUAAACGAUGAUGGAAGUUAAGUACUCAGACAUUCAAGGUUCAUCUCAGCAUUUAGAGGACUUCCAUUCCUUCAGCCAACUCAUAAGGAGUUAGCAAAAAUGGCAGCUUUAAUAUAUGAGCACUUUGUUGAGUGUCAUGCAGUGUUUAAGGCUGGAUUUCACAGCCAAGGCUUCGGCCUUUCAGCUCUCAGAGAUACAGCAUUCUUAAUGAUGCUCCUGUAAUGAUGUAGUGGUGGCUGCAUGCUGCUUUUAUUGCUGAUGAUAACAGCUCUAUCUGUUCAUAACCUAAGCCUUCCAGAGAGACUGCUGACCUAGCAAAACCUGCUACAGGACCAUGCUACUAUAUCUCACCAUUAUCAAUCUCUCCACUCUUAUGUCAAGACUGAUUCACACUUGUUUGCGUUGGAGCUUACUGCAGUGUAAAUGAUCACAUAAACACACACAGCUAUGAGAAAACACACUUUUCUGUUUUUGCUGUUCAAUGAAAUCAGAAGAGACCACUCUCGAUUCUUGCCUGAACCUUUAAUUUCCUGUUUUUCAUGGGAGGCCUCACAGUGUGUCAAGUUUCCUCUCAAAACAGGCUACACAACAUUGUGUCCCCAAAGAGCCCUUCUUUGUUAAUCCCUAUUAACCUGUCCAGCGAGCAGGGCACAGGUUCACAGUCUUGGCCACUUAGUUCGAGCAUGACCUUACUUUGUGCUUACAACUGUCUAAUGUGUCUGCCCUGCCUGGCUGCUUUCCAGCUCAGGAUUUCAUCCACCCACCCACCCACCCCUGAGUGUAUAUAAAGAGGAGGGGGAGGGCAUGCCAAAGUAAUUAAGGAUCUCUGGCUACUUUCAGGGAGUGAUAUAUGCAAAGGAUGAGUAAUGGAAGUAGGUUUGUUUAAAAACUUGCUGACAAAUCCAUACUCAACAGUAUGAUAGUAGAACAACAACAACACAAUCAGUUAUUGGUUCUUGAUAAAAGAAAGACAAGUUCCAAAACACCACUCCUGUAGAAAUAAUUUUUGGCUGGGUUUUAUGCUUUGGGCACAAAAAACUGGCCCAAGUUUAAAUUUGUUUUUAUGUGGUCUGGCAAGGCCAUCGGCAAAUUCCCUCAGGACUCAUAACUUAUUCUUCCUGGCUGGCUACUUUUUAUGUUUUCUAAACCUUACUGAUAAUCCUUGUGGUCAAAAUGUUUACUUUAAAGGACUAUUUAUAUGUCUGUUAAUUCUGCUUUUAUGCAGGAGUUCAGUCCUACAGAAGUACUGAGUGACCAACACUGACAUGAGACAGCAGUCUGAAGUACAUAAACUAAAUCCCCCAGUGUUUGAUCCAUACUCAGUUAUGAACUGCAUGUAGAUUUACUAUUUUAUAUCCAUUACCUGAAUACUUUUUAAUUGUGUUUUAUUCAUUGAAAAUUUUGCAUAUUGUAUUAAUCAAAUAUAUAUUCCUUAACUAAUCACUGUGUAUUGAUUAGUGUGUAACAUUAUUCGAACUUUGUAAAUAUUAUUCUAACUUUAAUAUCAAUGAAGCUCAUAUAAAUUAAACUGUAUUUUUUGAAGAAAAAACAGAGAAAAAGGAAAAAAAGGAGAAUUUCAGUCUGCUGUGCUUGGCAUUUAAAAAUCACAUUAAUGUUUGGAAAAAUAGGGCAUGCCAAGAAAUUGGCAUUAAUGCACUUUGGGUUAAAGUAAUUAAGAAGGUGGGUUUAUGUGACUAUUUCUAAUCAGAAUCCAAUUGGGAAAAAAGACUCAAAACAGAAAAGAACUGCUGAUUUGAUGGGUAGUUUAAUCAGGAAAAAGUGGAGAUGUAUUCAUUUUAUUUUCCUGAUUCAACAGAAAUAGACACCUUCAUCAUUUGGCAGAUGUUUCGUGAAUACUUAUUUCCCAUCCCUCAUGCGUUUUAGAUCAUGUAUGAAUACUUUGAAUCAAGAUGGCAGCACCAAACUGGUUUAGAGAAUGAAACAAGAGUCCUCAUGGACAUGUGAAUAUUUCAUUUCUAUAAGAAACAAGAUGAUGAAAAAAGCUACUAGUCCACACACUUGAGCUCCUCCUCUUUCAUUGUUUCACACUGCUAUGAUAUCAUGUUGGCGGGCUACACUCUGAGUCAUGGUACCAAGAAUACAAUUAUCGACUCCUGCAUGUCAACAAAAGAUGGACAUAACUCAUACCCCACGCAAACACCAGACACAGAAUUUAUUUUUGUUCUAUUUGAAUCUGAAAAGCACAAAGUGAUCAUUUAACCCCACCAAGCAUCCAGUAAGAAAGGUGUACAGUCCUGGCAAUCAGUGUGUUAGCUGUCUGUCUGUAAUGAAAACUUUGAUUUGGUUGGAUGCUAACAUUAGCUUAAAAUUAUAAAGAAAGGGCAAUUGUGGGAAUGUUCUGAAAAGGGCCCUAAAACUACCCAAAUUGAUGUAAAAAAAAAAAACAAUGAUUUCUAAAAAAAAUGAUAGGACUGAAGGGGUUCAGUCUAGAGUAAUCUAAAAAUAAGACUAUGACAUCUCUGAAACUAAAACUACACAUCAACACAGCACAACACACCCCUGGAGAUUAUUGCAGAAAGCAAACAGGCACACCGCUUCAUGUUCAAUUUACACCCAGCUCUUAUUUUCUCAACAUUUUGUCCUUUGUGUCAUAACUUUUUUCAUUAGACUCGCUCAGUGGUUUCAGCACAGUCUUCUACCAUUAAAUCACUUUCGGUUCUCUUCUGUUCUCAGGACUAAAAGAAAAAUAAUGCUGCAUUUUUCAGACCAACCGCACUGCACAUAACAACAUCGAAUCCUACCUUCACCCUUUCUCUCUCUGACACAUGCACCCACCCACUCACACACACCACUAUUUAGUGCUCCGACUCUUACUGCUAGUUAAAAUCCAUGCUGCCAACUUUAGGCUGAGACAUUAUGUACAAAAAAAUAGAUUUACUUUUCUAUAUCCCCUCAUUGCGCUGGUUGCAUUUUUAGCAUUCAAACCACCAAUUUUUUAAGUCCAUCUCUUCAUGCACUUUAGUGCAUUAGACCCAGAUCCCACUUAGCAAAAGUUGUAAUAUAGUUGUGUAUCGACUUACAUAGCAGGCAAGAACACAGCCUUUAGCUUUAGAGAAGUAAUCCAAAGAGGAAUUAGAUAUAUAUAUAACACUAGGAACUGUGCAUGACUUGCAGCCGCUGUCUGAUCUGUCUCAACUUCCUCAAGUUGUGAUUUUCACUUGUCGUACAUACAGUACGCUUACAUAAAGCUUUGUUACUUGGUGCAAUUCGUCCUUAUUAAAGUUCCAAAUGUGGAAAAGAGCUGACAACACCUCCACUGUCUGCUGAAAGAGCUGCAUUCUUAUUCUGACUGAAUUCAAUUCAACCAAAGAUAUUUGAUGGUUUGGGGGAGGACGGGGAGGCUUUUUUCUAGUUUAUAGUGAAGCCAGCAUUUGACUCAUAUAAUAUCAGUUUCCUCAGCAUAUACUCUUCAGACCUGGUUUCUGAAUUCUGGAGGAGUGAGCUGAUUAUUGAACUCCAGACAGCCUUAGAAUGACUUGGCUCCUGAAUUAUGUAAAACUGUCUAAAUAUUAUGGAAGGUGUAGAAAUGAAGUUCAUUUGUGAACGUUUGCUUCCCAAAAAUCCCUACUACCUUUCUCUUAGUUCACCAUUUUGUCAUUACUUUCCAGCGGCUUUUGUUAGCUGUAUAUUUGAUCCCUACAUAAUUCACUGACCAGGAAUACCAAUAUUUCAGUAUUUUCUGAAUCCUUCCUCCUUUUGAAAGAGGCUAGACAUGGAAGAACCUUUUAAAUCUGCAAGUCAAAGUUCAAUCAGAUUGAAAAGAGCUGGUAAGAUUUGUUUUGCAUUUUCUGUGAUGUAUUAAUUGGGGGCAUAAAUUGGUUUGACCACAGCUUAAUGCCUUCACUUCUUUGUGCCAUCAUAUACAUCUUACAUUACAAAUACAAAGAUAUCCUGAAGAUGGUAAAGGAUGUGCUGGGGGGGUACUUGAUAAAGGCUCUUUAAAUCCUGAUUGGCUGUCCUCUUUUUUUAAGCGCAGAAAAAUCUUUAUGUUGUUAAGAACUGACCUGAGAUAAGCAGAAAACUUUGUGUAGCGAGUAUCAGCAAAUUUCAGCAGUAUAAAACUAUUAUACCUGUAGUCAGCUGUACAGAAAUACUAUUGCCUUAUUGUCAAUGAAACUGGUUCUAAGUUGAGGUAUAGGCUAUAAGAUAACCAGGUCAUUUCUGUCGGCUCCUUUUAUCCUCACUGUGAACAUCACUACAUUUGAUAUGGUGUCUUGUCCUGUAACAUCCUGUCCAAUGUGUUAAAGCCUACAUUCAAGUUCUACAAAACCAGUUUCAAACAUUUGUUAUAUGCUGGACAUAAUAUGGUUUUGUGUCAUUUUUGUUUUUAUGUAAUAAGUAAUUUUUUUCUCCAAAUGUAGAUUGUUUUGAAGAUACUCCAAGAUUAGUUUGGUUUGAUGUUAUUUUUUUGGUCCGUCUUUGCAUUUUGUCUCAGUAGAGGCUUUUUGCUCAACUUCCAGCAUUGAAGAGUCUGUUGAAGCACCUGGGCAGUUUGGGUAAAUGGAGGAACUGGUUGUGCUCAUUUCUCAGGACACAUUGAUGAAAAGGAGCAUGAGUAAUGUCCUGAGGGACAAGAUGAGGAGAUUAGGAGAAAAUAAAGUUGCUUUGCAGUUGAGCGGUGACUCAUGGCAAAGUCACACUCUGAAAUCUGAAGUUACAAAUCAAACCUGUGACACUUUGCGAAGAGGGUGUUGCUCAAAUCACACAUUUAAUCAUUUCUGAAAGUCAUGCUUUGGUGGAGAUAUUCCUCAACUAUCCCUCAUGUUUCCCAAAGCAUCCAUAUAUCAAAUACAUUUAUUUCUAUUUUCUCAGCCGCAACAAGACCACACAGAACACCUAAAGUGUGCUUUUAUCCAUAUUUUUAAUCCAUCUGAUUACAGCAAAGAUUUUCAUCUGAAUGAUUUUGAUUGGUAGUAUAAUGCCGAGACUUGGGCCUGUAUUUGAUUAUGAUUCAGAUCGAUGUAUCUCACCUUUUUGCUCAGCAGAUGUUAGCUCAUUAGCGUUUUACUUCUACUUUUGGUUGCUGCAGCCUCUCUAUUUCGCGGCUCAUUCUGUCCAACUGCUUUUCAGUCACACAGGGACACACACUACUGCCACCCCUGCUCUCCUCCCUUUGUGACGCAUUGAUCCAAGCUGCUAGUGACUUAGUGAAAAUCAGAGCUGUUUGGACAUAACAGGGCACAGCAGGUGGAACAAUAUUGUUCAGUCUUGAUUGCCAUAGUUUUUUUUUCAAUUGUGGUGAGCACAAUCAUAAUUACCCUGCUCUUAUUCAUCACAAUAUAAAUCUUCCUGGGACUUAAGAAAUGCCCAGCUGAACUUUUGCCGUUUGCAUGCUGGGAUUGACUUAAGGCCCCCCUAUUACUAUGAAGGUUGUAAUUAUUAUUAUUGUAAGUAAAAAAAAGCACUUCAAAUACUAACUGGUAGAUUGUUAAAGAGCUUAGUUGCCAGUUAAGAAAGUGGUCAGUCAUCAUUUGUCUGUGGCGUGGACUAUCCAGAGACCCUAGCUGUGACUGUAUGUGUCAAAUGUGCAAUAACCUACUUAACUGCAAUACUAUCUGUGAUGUUCAAUAUCAUGUGCAAUAAGGCAAUUAAUACCUCAUUUAUUCCACUGACUUAUUCCCCAUUGCAUACAUUCACACUCUGACAUCACCUGCAUUGCUUGUGCACUUUGUAAAUAUUUCUUUUAUACUUUUUUAUAUUUUUCUGUCCUUAUUUGUUUGUACUCUCCUUUGUACUUAUGUGUGUUAUUUUUACUUCUUUUGGUCAACCUUCGGGUAACCUGCAAAUGACAAAUAAACCAAUCUUGAACCACCAGAGCGCAAGGAAAACAUCAAUGAUUUUCUAAACUUUGACAGGUGAUGGCUUUGGUGUGAUUUUGGAGGCUUGCCCAGGUUUUUGUAUUAUUAUAUCUUCAAAGUAAAAGUUUGAUAGUUUAAGAUGUACAGUCUGUGAUAUCACUUGCAGCGCUGUAAUGUGAACAACUUGUUGCAUUCAGAUGGUUUGAUGGAUAGAACUGUGUAUUAUCAGCGUAACAGUGAAAUAAGAAUUGACGUUGAAUACCAUGACUAACAGAAGCACACACAGAGAAAAGAAUUUCAUACUUAAGGUAUUGGUAGUUACUUGUGCAGUGGAUGAGAAGCAAGACAAUUUUUAUUUGACAAGAAAGGAGAACCGCACAGAAAAGCCCAACCAGUCCUUAAUCUUUAAACUAGCAUGGCAUGAUGGUGUUCAAAGCUAAGCUCAGGCCGAAACACGAGUACAGAACAGUGUGUUGAGUCUGUAGCCAUUAAUAAGUUAUUUGUAACCCUUUGGAGUGCUUUUCUACUGCUUUGCAGUUUGUGGAAACAGGUUUGAAAUCUCUCGAAAUUGCUGUAGUAAUGAAGUGCUGGAAGGAGUGGCGUAGAUAGAACUCAACCCCUUGCAAAUAAAUUGACUUCAAAUAUGCUGACGGCUUGGAAAAGCAACAAAAGCACAAAAAGUGGGAUACAUUGUCUGGAUCCAGCAUAUUCAGUGAGAGGCAUCAGUACUUCUCUCAGUUUUAUAUCAUUUACAAAGCAGUCCAAAUCCCAAACUAUUUGGUUUUGAGACAAAAGCUGACAUUUUGAGAUGUUGCCUAGAGCUUUGGGUACUAGUCCUUGUUUUUGUCUCAGAUAACCAUAAUACUAAGAAGAAAAGCUUUGCAGUGUAUCAAACAACAGAUGCUCUAAACCCAAAUGCACAAAAAUAAUACAUGGAGAUAGUGUCCAUGGCAACAUGACCAUCCUUUGGGCACAACAGGAAUGGAGGAUUUACAUUUCAUUCACUCUCAGUCUUGGUUUUCGUUCUGUUUAAUUUUGCUCGUCUCGACUGUUCAAACCAAAAGAUGCAGCAUAAGUGUGUGAGGCUGGGUGAGGCACGGCCGAUGAAACACUUUAAUUUACAGCAGGCUUGGUUGUGAGCAGCCUCAAACUUUCAACCACCAUCUGUGUACCCUCUGCUGCUCUCAAAUGUCCUCUAGGUCUUUGUGCUACAACACUUUCAUAAUGGGAUUUUAAAUCUAAAUACACUCCAUAUUUUCUAACUUUUCUAUCAGAUGGAGAUAAAAGUAGAAGCACAGUGUAUAGAAGAUAAUCAGUUUACCAUUUCACCACGCAAGCUAGAACAUGAAAGAGAAAUCUGCUGCCUGCUUUAGGGUAAACUCAUUUGUGCUCCCUCUGGACUUAUACUGUAUAAACCAAUUUUAAAGAGAGUCAUGGUGAUAGAGGAAACUCAGAACAAUAAUCAGACUACAGCAUGCUUCCAAUUACCUCAAAAAUUUAAGACCGAACUAAGUAUGAACAAAUGUGCAUAUUGAUCCACUUAUAGAAAGCAUUUGUGUGUUUACGCUAGAAUGACCAGCUGGUUAAGUCAAGGAAUGAAGUGUGAAGAUUUCAUCACCUUAAGAUGAAAGAUGAAAGUGAAUUCAUUCAUUAGGACAUGCAUAAAGUCACUGUAAAUUAAGAUAAAUGUAUGUUAAAAAUGCCAUUACUAAUUUAGACCUUUCAUACCAGUUUGAUUUGCAGUUAUCCCUUAACUCUCUGAUGUUCUGUGUUCAAUAGGAUAUAAAUGUAAUAUUGAUGCUGUUGACCUAUUUAAGGCGAGCACAGUGAAGAUUAAAACAAGUUAAGAGCACUUUUGUGUUUAUUCUGCUCCCAUGCUGUGCCAGACGAGCGGUAAUGUCCCUUUAACAUCUUUACACAGCAAGACCUACCCCUUAUUCCAAGAAUAAUCAGCAGUGCUUGUAGCAAAGAGGUCAUUGUGCCUUAGUUUUUACCUUGUAAACGGCCAUUUAGAGAGCAAUGCACCGCUUCCAUUUGUUCCGAUUUGCACUGAACGGUGACAUGAAAAGGUAAUUAAAAAGAAAUGUUUGUAAGGUCGAUACCAGGAGCACAUAAGGGAAUCUGUUUGAAAAAGGUUUAUGUCAUUACACGCAUUGAUUCGCCUGACAUGCUUUAUAAUUUUUACAAAAUCCUCAUGGGAUGCAUUACACCUACAUCAUGGGACACUAGUAUAACAUACUUCAAUUUGCAGACAGCCUUUGCCUUGGUUAAUGAAUGUGAAUGUAUAUAAAAAUUGUGUUGAUGCAGUAUAAAAUGGCUGUUUUCUGCCAAGGAACAUCCCGUGAGAGCAGUGGUAUUUAAUAGAUAUUGUUGCAACAAGAGCAACACUAUUGGGGGCUUGGGAGUGUGUAUUGAAAAGGGGGUGAAAAAUGACCGUUUUCCUGUGUCGCCCUUGCCUGUUUUACUUUAUUUGGCCCAUUUUUCAAACCAUUAUUUGAUUUCUCUGCUUGCUUUUAGAAAAGAUUUAGAUUAUUGUCAGCCCUUAUGGAUGUGUUGUGCUGGAACAGGAAAAUGUAGAGGAGAGUAUAUUCAUACCAGAACCACAGGAAGAAGUUGUGCAAAUCACAGUCAACUGGAAGAGUCAAACUCAUUCAUUUGAAAAGUGCAAGGCAGCAAAUGUAAAAGCAAUACUUCUAGAUGUCUUAUGUCAUUUAAAAAAGCCCCUAAAAACUCAGAUAAACAGAGAAAAUACCUUAAAUACCAGUAACUAGUUUUGUAAAAUUUUAUUUAUUCUCCUUUGUGGGAAUAAGCUUAAUCAAGUUCCUGGUCCUAACACUCCAAACUAUUUCCCCUUACAGCUUCUCUGAGAGGAUCCUAUAUAUGAGUACCACCAUCUUUGAAGAGCCAUGACUCAAAUCUUCCUUUUUAUUCCUUUUGAAAUUAAGCGAGCAGCCAGUAUGAGCUGGAAUAAAGGCGAGAUUAAGAUCGAUAAAAUUUACACACUGCCCAACCUUGGCUAUGAUGUAGAUUGAAAAGUCUUUUAGCUUCUCCAUAUGACAGUGCUGCCUGACUCAUUCCCCAUUUACUCACUCAUACCCCCGCAGGUUAUUGUCUUCUUAAAAUAAACUGUGACAUUGUAUUUCCCUCACCAGUGAGCUCUUGGGCCCAUUUACCCUCAACAUGUUUUCUUUUCUUCUUUUUUUUUCUUGGCUACAUCUGUUGAGAAGAUAUAGGGAGCUGUUUCAUUUUCAGGAAUCAAAAGAUGCAACUUUUUCUCUACGUCGGUGCCUUCUGCACCCAAGGCCGCUGAUCCCUCUGCUUAUUAAGCACAUCUUUUUUAAUAUGAAUAACAUUGUUAAUUUUAAUGGCACAUUCUUCUCAAUUCUAAAUUGCAUUGACCUUUUCAGAAUGACCUCUGAAUCUACAAUUGGCCAACUAUUUUCUGUUGGUAUUCAGUUGGGUUGAACGACCUCUUCUCUCAGAUUUCUUCUCUAAAACUGUCGAAGAGAAUUGAGCCCAUUGUUGAGGGAACCAUUUCACUUAAUGCACCAUCUUUUAAAUUGGAAGUGAGAAAAAAACCCUAAAGGAAAUCAUCCUGUCAUCUAUUGAACAGUGGCACAAAGCGACAGACCUUCCAUUUUCUCCUCUGUAAAUGAAAAUGUCAACAUAUAUAGAUAUCACGGUGGCUGACUUCACUUGUGCCAUGUUAGUUCUCCCUGAAAGGCAAAGUCCAAUCUGCAUUAUGCAUGCGCCUCCAUCUGACUGACAGCAUUUUGCUAAAUAGAUAAAGAUUUAAUUAUUAAUCAGGUUUCAUGCAUGCUGCAGCAUGUUAAUAACGCUGGAGGGAUAAUGCAAUAAGAUGGUCGCUUAUUUUCCACUCUGUGAUGUGAUUUAUUUAAACCAAGCAUGCAUCAGACCUCUAUGCAAAUUAGAGAGAAACCUUUCUUUGUCACACCAAGUCAACCCACAUUCACAAGCAGCAGAUAUUAUUUUUACAAUCAUGCUAGUUUUAAAUAAAUACAUGUUCAAAAUUGAUAUAGGUUUAUAUGUGGGGUCUGUAUUGUAUUGGAAAAAGCACAAGCCCUUUUAUGGAUAAAGACUGAAUCUGUUUUUCUGUUUUUUUAAUGGAGGGAUAUUGUGCAGCUUAUCCUCCACUUUUCCUCCUACCACCUUUGGUUUAAGUUAACCUCUGAUAUUCAGACCUUGACCAACGACAUAUAAAAAGCUGUCUCUGCUAAAGUUACAUAAAUGUUGCUUUUUUAUCCAUUCAGGAAUAACCAACUCAGUGAAAGUUGUCUGUUUCAAGGCCUUUAUGCAUAAAUCAAAUUCAAAUCUUUGCUCGUUGCCUGCUGAGGGUUAUGCAAUCUUCUGCAACACUUUCCUGACAGAGAAACAUGAAUGAGGUCUCUGGCACUCUUGUUUCUUUCCCCAAGAAUACAGAAUGAAAAGUGAACAAAUAUUUUUAUCUCCCCAUCUAACCGUGUGCAAACACUUUGUCCCAUUGUCUUGAAACAACAGUUAUGUCUUUGCAUGUGGGUACCAUUUUUCUCAUGCGUAAAUGCUGAAUCUGUUUUAUUUUCACAAUGCCACUUAGGCACAUCAUUUUACAAAGCAUCAUUAUAGAGUGUGCGCUUUUAGAUAAAUGAUACACAUCAAGACACAGAGUGGAAAAAUAUUCAAACAAUGGAAUAGACUUUGACGUUUUUGUGUAAAACUGCUUUGUGAGUUUUUUUUUACAGCAAUUUUAAAUACAAAUCUGGUCUGCUUUUCUUCUGACGUUCCAGUGAAACAGAAAUUUGCAGAAUUAUAAUCAGAGAGUAAUCAGUAUUUAUUCACAGUGUCUGUGAGUGCAUAAUUAGUCACCUUUGACUUCAUACUUUUUAGUAAUUUAGUGUCGUUUUGAUAUUUUUUUUUCUCAAAAAAAAAAAAAGAUAAAAAAAAAAACAAUGUCUGAGCGAGUGAAUAAUGGAAUUAAGAAUACUCUUGUCAAAGCUCAUUGAUAAUUUAUUACUGUGUCUGACAUCUCAAUCUGGACUUUCAAAUAAGUAGCACUUGCAUUGUGGGACUUCAGGUUAAUGAGCCACAAAAGGACUUAGAGGAUUUUUAGAGUAAUCCGAUAUAAUCUUGAUGGAUGCAGAGACUUAGCCAUGUGUUAGCAUAAUAAUGCACUCAGCCUUGACAUUAUAGCCAACAAAGAGAAAUUCUUGAUAGAAACAACCUAAGAAAAAUCUCCACUGGACUUAAAUCCAAGCCUCACUCAGUCCCUCGCUGUCCACUAUAGACCCAAAUGUCAAAACUCUGUACUUAAGAAACAGAACUUUGCAUUCAAUGAUACAACAGAAGAACCACAUUUAGUAUUGAAAGAGCUCGUUGUAAACUGCUUCUAUUUUGAUAUGUGUAGUAUUCUCUUGACAUAGAGGGGGCCGUAAUUACAAAUCAUUUGGUUUUGGGAAUCUUAUUUGAUUUCAUAACAGUUUUUUCCAUACAGAAAUGAGUCCAUGCAGACUGUAGAUGGAUACAGCACUUAGUAACCUUUCACCUUUAUGCCACCCACGGUCCAAUGUUUAAUUCAGUAGGCAGCUCUCUCAUUCAUACACAAUGUAGGGUGAGUAUGCAGCAUCUCUUGCUCUCAUGAAAUCUCCUCUUGCAUGACAACAGCAACAUGUGCUCUAAAGGCCUAACAAAGUCUCAAAAGGCUGUAUUUUCCUGUUUGCAUAACAAUUUUUCUCUUCCACCGGAGGAAUUCAAAUCAUUUGUUUUAAGUACCGACCUGUAAACGUAGCCCUCCAAAUUAGUUCUUGUGUCCCUGCUCAGGCAUUUUGUUUCUCAUUAUUAUUGACAGGUACACUAUUUCUCAAAGCAUUAUAACAGGUAGUCAGAUGGAAGUCAUGAAGGACAAACACAAAACUAAUAUCCACAGCAGUAACCAGAAGGGUCAUAUGAGAAAUAUUUUCCAUCAAAGUGGGAGCCAUCAAAUGUUUUCUUUAUCACAGACUUUAGCAGAAGUGGGAAGGUAUUCAUUUAAUUGGGUAUGUAUUUGUUAGAUAGCACCAUUAAGAAAUACAGCAGUAGUAAUAGUAGUUUACGUUAAGGAUUAAUACAUAUGCACAACAUAAGCCAGACCCCAUUGAAACAAACAGUUUAAACUCCUAUAACAUCCCUAUAGUAUAGUAUAGUAUAGUAUAGUAUAGUAUAGUAUAGUAUAGUAUAGUAUAGUAUAGUAUAGCAAACCUAAAGUUUUGUUAGCAUUGGUAAACUCUUGGCGGCUGGCAGUCUCUGUUGUGAUACUAACCUGAUAAUUUUUUCAAUCUCUAUGACUGGGAGAGUAAAAUGCUUGUAGAAGGCAGGCAAAUUCAGAGAUAGAAAGAUUAACAAGGUUAAAUUGUGAGGAAAUUGCAUUUAGCAGGAGGUGUUAUCUAAGUGAAAAGGAUCAAAAAUUGGAACAAUUCAUAAAUCGUUGGAAAUUUGGUCAUUUCCAAGUGGCAACCUCAGGUCUUCACAAAACAAAGCAGAUGCAGGACUGCUAAAAUAAAUUGAAGUUACUCUAGGAUCCACCUGAGGCUGGAUGCACAAGCCCUGGACUAAACACCCAUACGGAAAAGUCUAUAUUUAGAGCAAAGAUAGACAUGCUGAUAGCCGUGCUGUUUUGGUCUCAGUAGCUCAGUCCUCACACGCACUGUCUGAGGGUAGACUUUCUUUUCUACAACACAUUAGUUUUGAAGUUUAUAGAUUUAAAGACUCUGCUUCAAUCUCUGCCAAAAUGAGCCAAAUGUGGGUCUUUACAUGCUAAAAAAACCUCACCAGACUUCACAAAUACAGAUCAGGCCUGAUAACUGAUAUUUUAUGACUUUGAAAAAGCACUUACCCAAUAGUGCCCCUAAAGUUUGUAAAACACAGCUCCUCCAGUGGGUUUCAAAUUUAUAUUCAUGUGAUUGUCAAGCAAAUGUACCAUGCCAAGACCUGAAAAAAAAAUCAUUUGGGACCCAUCCUCUAAUCUCAACAUGAAGUCCAAAACUUUGAGUUGAAUGUCUUGUUUUGGUGAUUUAGAGGCUGCAUAUUUGAUCAGACGGCUUACAUUCGACCAAAUCCAAUCAUUUUUAGUGUGUUGUAAACUUAUUGGCAAUUAAAAGUUAUCACAGAAUCUUAGAAGGUCAAUUGGUACAUCAGUGGCAAAUCAUCAAACUUUGAUAUCUUUUUAUGAACCAGGAGGUUCUCUUGAUUUAUCAUCUCUUCAAAAAUGUAAUCUGCUUAAUCAAGAUCCACACCUGAACAAAUGUUAUGGGCUUAUUUCCCAAUUACAGUCAUUACACCUUAUCUGAAAAUAGAUGGUAUCUCUGGCAUACAUUAUUCAAUUAUCCAUCUACAUUUUUUUUAAGUGCAAUAAUACCAUCUGUUAUCUCCAUCCUACAGUUUUGAACACGCUAGCUAUAUAGCAGUCAUUAUUAAACUGUCAUAAACAUUUGUGCAGAUGGUAAAUUGGCUUAAGCAGUCCUGCCUAUUGGUUGAAGACAGUAACACCAUGUCCUUUCUGUUCUUGAUGUUACUAUAGUAUGCUGACAGAAUGCGCCUAAACUCAUCUACACAUGAAUCUUGCUCAUGAUGUUUGAACUGUUUACUAGCAUUGGAGAAAUUUUGUUGAAAAUUAUCCGUCGUGGGGAAAUAUGGCUGAUUUGACCAAUAACUCUGCACUAAAAAUUAAUUUUUGGGGUUUAAAUGUCCGUAGAGGGGCUGCCAGAGGGGUUCAAAUCAGCAGCAAUAAGAAUUUAGGAAGACAGGCAAACAAGUAAAUCAACAAAAAUGUAUUGAACUGAGCUUCCCAGUCUGAUUAGAUUCUUUUACUGAUGCUUUUCACACACACACACACACACACACACAUAUGCACACACACAGACAAUUAUUCCCGUGUACUAUUCAACUUGAUAGACCAAAUUGCUAUUAAUGUUCAGUACAGUAGCAUUGUGAUGAAAAGCAGGGCUUCAGAUGAAACAUAUUAUAACAAUAGCUGAUUUGCUGCACAAAGACAGACAAUUUUAUCUCCUGCGGGCACCGCAAAUUAAAGUCCUUGAAAUGUCUUUACAAAACUGCGAGAUAUGUUGCCUUGCAACCAACUUAUUGAAAAAAAAAGGGGUAUUUGUUAUGACCAGGGACACUGAGAAAACUAUGGUUUCAUAAUGAAAGUGAAUCUUGCUCCACUGUGAAAGCUAUUGAAAUUUCGGUGCAAAAAAAGUGCAUCAGUUUGUGCUUUGGCCAUAUGAGGAUCAUAAGACAAACCUUAAGGUGUCACCCCCAAGAAAAGUCACCCCUAAACAAUCUGUUAUGCUGAUGCAGCACCCCUAAUUAGUGCUCGACUACUGUUUUAAAAUAGCCUAUAAGUGCAAAUACCUGCCACUUGUAAGUGCAAGGCUACACUAACUGUGGACGUGACUUGGGCUCAUAUAGCAGAAUAAUACUGUGUGGACCAACAAUGGCUUGCAGCUAUCCCGGAUGUCACUUCACUACUAUGCAAAUGGAAUCCAUUUCCUUUUUUUCUCCCUCUGCGUUUGUCUAUUGAGGGAGUAGUGCUCCCCUCCCCACUCCUCUCUGUUUGUGCUAAGAAAUUUAAAUUUUAAUGCAAUGCUGUGAGGUAUAUUAACAAUUAUGCAAAUAUAUAAGACUACCAGAUAGGAUCUUUCCAGCUGUUCUUGAGUGCAGGGGCGCACGUACAAUGUGUUCAGGUGAUUUCAGCAUGUGUGGAGUUGAGAGAAAUGAAAGCAUUUAUGGAUAUAAUAGUGUGCUAUAAACCCUAUUGCACAGGGAAUACCGGGAGGUUCAUUUGUUUUAGGGUCAUCUACCAUAUAGAAUGGGCAAAUCUAAGGUUAUGCAUUCAUGUAUAAUGUCAAGGUUCAUCUCUAUAGAUAAAGUAUACAAUAAAAUCAGUCAUGAACAAGCAGAAAAUAAAUUCAGACUGAGUGAAAGUAUAUAUUAAUGUUUACUUAUUGCUUCAAAUAAUUGGAUGUAUUAAAUAAAUGUGUUUUUUUCAAAGUAUAAAUUGACCUAUUUUGAAACAAAUCAUAUGUAUGUGUGUCGAAACAGAAUUACUGUAGAUUUAAUUGUGACAUGCACUGUUUGUGCACAUUUAAUUACAAUUUCAAGACUUAUUAUGAACCAGAUCUGCAAAAGAAAAGUAUGUAUACUGUCCAUUUUAAUGAUUUUGAAUCUACUUUGUUUUGUGUAGUUGUGUGUGUCCUUCAACCUAUCACAAUUUACCUAAAGCCUAAGGGGUAGUUUUAAACCUGUUAGUUUUGUGCGUUCAUUAGACACUUUCGUAGACACCCUUCUGCACUUAGUAGCAUUUAUAAUUGUACAGCUACAACAAAUAAUUGUUUUUGUAUGACUAUUUUAUGCUGGAAAUUAGAUUUAUUCAUGAAUUAUUCGUAGUUUACUAGUAUUUAAACCUUCCUAAAAUUGUGAUUUCUGGUAUGAGGGAUUCAAGGUCAGAAACUCUAAUUUAUCAGCUUUGCACCAACAACAGCAAGUUUAACACAAACAAUUAUGUAAUAAUAACCAAUAACAACAAUCAGUGUCAGAGGAAGGUAAAAUUUUGGUUAGUAAUGACAAAAAAUUAGAAAUGUUACGUUUUUGCCCAUCAAUAGAAUCAAAGGGUCAGAGUUUACUAAUGUCCAAGUAUUUUUAUUUGUAUUCAGAAAGACUGCUUACAUUCAUCAAUCAUCAGGAUUUAGGUUUGAUCAAAAUACAAUUGUAGACAUUUAUUUAUGUUGCAGUCCUCAUGUGGCUUCAAGAGGACAUGUUGAUCCAGUGUCCUGCUAGCGAUGUCUUGUUCAAUCAACUGUUAACUUCAGAAGACAAGAGAAAGCAUUGCUUUAAUGCUCUUAUGCUGUAUUACCCCUCUGAGGUUUUCACCAUACUACAGCCAUCCUACCUUAUCGAGGUAAUCAAUUUGAAGCAGCUUUCUCAUGGGAUCAAUAACUGGUUUAGCUGCAAAGCAACUCUCCCGAUGAUGCUGCCUGGGUAUUUAUUUUGACGGUUAAUAAAAUUGGCAGCUCAGACAAUUUAAGAGAAAAAUAAUACAGUAGUUCAUCCUGAAAUGACAGGUAUCCAACUGUUUUUACAUCUGCGAGGCUACUUUCCAAUACUUUAAUCUUUCUUUAAUUUUCAUACCCUAUUUACUUGCUGGUUAUGAUAAACAGUAGUACUUAAUUAUGGCCUCGGAUUUUAUAUAUGAAAAAUAUAUAUUUCUUUAUGCCUCACAUCCUGUUCAUUAUGUGCCCCUGUAAGCUCACACAAUUAUUACAUUCAUAAGUUAUUUACUCUCAAUAGAUAUUGAAGCAGUAAAUAAGAAGUAAAUAAGAGUUGCUUUUGUUGUUAAACAGUAUUUACAAUGUAUAGAAAUGAUUUAUGAAGAUUAAGCUCAUACACUACAUAUUUUCUCCAAAGCCACAAGCCCAGGUAUUUGUCUAACAGCUCAAUGUGUUUGUUUUGUGAAGACAAUGAUAAACAUAUAGAUAGGCUCACAAUGAAACGGGUACUUAUAACUUUAUCUGAUAUACCUCUAGUGAUGUACCCAAAAAGGCAUGUCUCCCAAGUUAAAACUUGUGUUAAAACACUGUGUAGCCUACGAAUUUAUUAUGCACCCCAGCAUUUAUAGUUACUACUACUUUACCACUGUCCACAACUCCUGUGGACAAACAAGAGUGAGAAAUUUGAAAGGUACAUUGACGACAAUUUCCUUUUAUGCAGUAUACUUUUCAGUCAUCAGGGACUGUCUCUCUAGAUGCAAUGACUUUGUCCAAGUGUAUCUGUAACGCACAAUCAGAGCCUUUAAAAGUGCUCUUCACAGUGAUAAAACAUAAUCCCCUGAUUUAAUUUCAUCUCUGACAUUAAUUUGCAGAAUGAGGAUAAACGUGUUUUUUUACUUGUAAAUAUUAUGUUGAUUAUUAGCAAUCAUUGAUAAUGCUAGAUAGUGGAGUUGUGUUCUCUCAUGGAAAAAAAAAUAAGCUGAAAAUUCAUUCAAAGACUUCCUUCUUUUCCUUUAUAUUACUGUCCCAGUUUCUGACAACACAUGGGAUGAGCUUCAAAAAUUAUAAAAUCGUCACAUGUGCUACCUCUUUUGCAACCUGCGAGUCUAAAAUUGGAGCACAUUGCUGGGCAGCCACAUUCAGGUCCUAAUCUGAAAGGACUGCCAUAUGCAAAGGCCCUCAAGGGACUCUCUUUCAGUCUGGGCCAUCUUGAUAGGUGCAGGACAAGCCUGGCUUUCCACAAAAAAUGCGCAUAUGCACAUACACAAACGGCCACAGCAAAGAGGGACUGAAACAGGGUUGUUAGACACUGGAGUAAUGAAGUGCAAUGACCAUCUUCAGCGAGAAUGAGAUGGAAAGAAGAUGAGAAAAAUAGGGAGAGAUGGAGGGAUCUGGUGAAAAUAACAGUGACAGAGGGAUAAUGGUGCAAUCAGGAAGAGAGAUACAAGAACGUAAAAAAGGGGAGAGAAAAAAUGACUAUCUGAUUAUUUGUGGUUUGUAAGAAUACAGAUUACCUUUUAAAAUAAAUGACAAUUGAAGCCACAGGGUAUAAGUAUAAUAUCCGCUCAAAAAGAAAAUGAUUUUAAAAAAACUCAAAUUAACUAUUCUGUGGCCUCAAGAUGGCACCACACUGCACAUGACCCCUGGGAGCUGAACCUUGAGAUUAUAAUUAUUUUCAAGCCUGGUGACUACAUUAGUCACACAUUUCCUUAGGGAGGCAAGUCGGGCUAAGCCCAAGGCGAGUGUUGCUUUGGGACUCCUGCCGCCUCCCAAGAUUCAACACUAAUGUCCCUUGGUACACUUCUUCCUCAUUUAUCUUACUAUCAGGUGACCCAUAUAAGAGAAUAUUUGAAACCUCUGAGGAUACUUCAGUAAGAAAGCCCUGGGGAUUUCUGUAAAGAUUAAUGUAAAGAUAUCAAGGCUUUACCUUUAUUCGAAAAAUAUUACAAUUCCUGUACCACUGAUAAAACGUCUCAGUCUGAUGUUACCUAAUCCUAAUAUAAUAUACUGCCACUCUGAAAACUACAACAAACUUUCUUUCAAAGCUUUAUUGAUCAGGUGGGUACAUCCUGAUCUAAAUUCUGUUGCUAAGCAAUAAAUGGAAAAGACAUAACUAAACAAAUAAAUAUUAAUAACCUAAUUACUGUCGAGGGAAAAGCGUGUUGCCUGGCAAUUAUGUAUUUGGCACAAACAGUGACAAACUUUUUAAGCUGAGUAGAAUCAAUAAAUUCCUCCUAGCUGCAGCAAAUUUGAAAGCUUAGAUCUGUAAUGCGCCCGCCCUCUGCAUCAGAGAGAGCUCGAACAGCCGAGAUGGCGGACUUGUUUUGGAGAGUUGUCAGGAAGCCUGGUGUUUAUUGGAGUCAAUCCCUUUAAAAAUCAGAUGAUAUCCCAGCUGGCAAAAUGGGAUACUACUGAGCUUGUUCUAAUUUUGAAGUGUGAAAACAAAAAUAUAGCAUAAAUAUGUUGCUUCCAGUAUAUUGGCUCCAUUUCAUUUACAGUUGGGAUUAAUACCACAUGACAGGUUAUGGAAAAACUCAAUGAGCACCCUGCAGAGACUGGGCUCAGAAAACCUGUUUUUCUUAUUUGCAUCUGAUGGAGGGAACAGUUAUCUUGGAGGAUGUUAAAGCUGUUUCUUAAGGUUUGACCAAAUGUGAGUCAAUUAAGAGAGUCUAAACCGACUCUUGAUUCAUCAGCAGGAUUACACCAGGUUGAAAACAAAAACUCAAAUGCCUUUCUGAAGCGAUGCCCUGUCUGUUGCCUGACUGUCCGGGAGAUGAAUCUAUAUUUUUAUGGUUUGAACUUUCUUCUUAAGGGAAACACAAUAACUCAUUGGAAGUGAGGCUUCUCUGUGUGAGCUACAAAUAGUAUUAGCGUGUUAAAAGGGCACAAUGAAGACAGUGUUUUUCAUUUUAACAGUCUACAGAAAGUGUCCAUAUGAACACAAGUCUGCGUAUAGCUUUGGAUUUAAUACAGUUUCAUAGUAACAGAAGAAUUGCAUUCGUACUUGCGUGUGUGAAAAGAGAUUUCCUGGUUUUCUCUUGUUUUGUUUUGUUUUGCUAUGAUAGCCUCUGUGUUCAUGGCAAUCAACAUUUCCAACAGCCAUAUCUAAUAUUAGUCCUAUACUGACCCUCACAGAGGGAUCUUGAUAUCAAUCACAAGCUGUGCUUAUUUUCAUUUCUAUUGGUAUGUCAAGAAAGGAUAGGGUAAAGAUGGAUGCUUGUUUGUAGGAUGGAUUUUAGACAGUUAAAGGAUUGAUGGAUACAUUUUAUUCUGUCCUAACUGGUAAAAUUUCGAGUGGAUAUUUCUCAGGGCUAGAACUGUUUCCCUGAUGGAAGUACCUGAAAGGAGUGGAGCGGGAAGGUUGGGAUUAAGAUGAGUGUUUUACUGGCCUUGUUAAUAAUGUGUGCAAGAUUGAACCUACUCUACCAGCUGACCUUGGCUACUCCAAGGUGCAAAGGACUUUUCCUUGCCCCCCUUGGCAGAAUUUCUUGUUCCAUGGACUGGAGAGCAAAACACAGCCUGUAUUUAAAACCAAUUUACUGGAUAUAAACCUUUAAAAACGCCUGCUGUGGUAUGGUCUGUAAAAUGAUAAUAAUCCUUUAAAGCAGUGUUGGGUGGACCUAAAGAUCUUAAAAGGUGGAGUCUAUGUGUACAGUAUUAAAAGAUGAAGAGAAACCCAAGAACACGAUCAUAAUGUGGGAGUGUGCAGAGUCCAAAAGUGUGAGACAUUCAUCCUUCACAACACUUUGGCUUGAGUGGAUCAUGUUUGUCCGACAACACGCUUGACAAAUGGUCACACUCUACUCUCACUACUCUACUGCUGUUUUUAAUGCAGAGCCUGCGCUCAACUGAUGUCUGCGUCCUGCCAUCUUUAUCAAAGUGACUUCUGUCAAAACCAUCCAGAUGAAAGUUGGCGGUGUGUCUCUAUGAAGCAGAAAAGUCUGAUCCAGAUCAAACUUGACAAGCAUGGAAAAUUCAUUAAUUUUACUUCAUACCAAUAACAUAUUAAACAAGGUUAUGGCAAGAACUGUGCACACAUCUGUUUAUUUGUUUAUCUUUAAUCCUUAGAUUUUUUUUAUUGAUUAGACUGAUUGAUUCAGUUAUAUUGUCAUUUUCAUGUCCCCAUACACAGCAGAAAAGUAGCUGUAUAACAGCCUGGUGAUGUACUGGUUGCUCUAAGAUCUGAACAUACAUGAAGAGCUGUAAAGAAGCCCAAAGAGCUGCGUAUGGGUGAGCCAAUGACCUGUAUCACUAAAAAAUAGCCAGAAUUCCUAUCGCUCCUGUAGCAUCUACAGUGAGGUUAAAGAAGAAGGAUCCAAACACUGCUCUUACACGAUGGAUCACAGACAACUUAAGCAGCAUUGUAGAACUUCUGUAGACUGGAAGUAGCCUUUAUUUUGGAUCUUUAUGGACCUAAUGUGGACCUGGGUCAUAGGGACCCUCUCUGUUGCAGCAGCUUUAACAUCCUUGGUAACAGAUGAGUGGUUUACAGAGUUGCUGAAGUUGGUUGGCUAUCUUCCCUACCCUGAAUCAUAUCCCCACUCUGGACCCCUUUUCCUUGUAUCCACACUCUAAAAAUAUGCUGUGGGUGUGGAGGGAGCUUGCUCAGACUGAAAGCAGGUCAGUUCAAACAGGUAGCACCUGUGAGUUGGCAUGCCUGUCUGGGCCGAUGGUGAACGGCUGCUCCAGUCGUCUAAUCACAUCUACUUGCGUGACAUGAAUUAGGGAUCACCAGCCAAAGGUAUAGGGCAGAUACAACACUGCUGCUAUUAAAACUCUGACAAAAGAAGACAAAACAAGAAUAACAUUCAAGAUAAUGGAUGAAAAACACCAUGUUAUACACACUGAGCCAUAUUAGGAACUCCUGUGAUAUAGAUUUUCCCAUAGGCUCUCUGCGAGUGUGCAAAUAUAUGUUUCUAACCAUUUUCCACAAGAGAAGGUAUUAGAUGCCACCCAACCACAAGAACAUCUUCAGUGUCAGCUGUUUGGAGGUGUUUCACAUUUGUUCUCCAAAACUUAUAACUGAUUUUUCUGUGCUAUACAUACAGAAGAAUCAUGCCAGUCUAGUGGUCUAAGCACCUCACUUAUUGAGGCUGUAGUAUUUGUUGAUGCUGGUUCAAUUGCAUGUCUUCCCUCUCUCAAAUAAAGAAAAGGAAAAAAUGUCGAAAACAUAACUAAAAAAGGAUCUUCCAACUCUUAUAAAGCAUUUUAUUUAUCAAACUCUUCUUUUCGGCGUUAUGCUCCUUGUUGGCCUUUACCCAAAAUUCACAGGUGUUGGAUGCAGGAUUGAAAAGUUUCGAUCAGUGCUUUCCGAGUACCCACUCUGGCCUUAACAACAGACAAACCAAAGAAUGGAUUCACAAGUUAACUUGUUGAAGUAUUUGGCAGCAAUUCUUUAGAAAAAUAGAGCCCUGAAACAACCAAAGGAAUAAUCUUCCUCCAUAUCUGUUGGAUGCAGGAACAGAACUUUGGAAAAAAGAGAGAAAAGGUAAAGAAAGAAAUAAACAAUAACUUGCUGUUACCUCACUUGGGGGUGUUUAAGUUGUGUCCUGUGUUAAAUGCUUAUUCUACCUCUGAAGAAAGACUUGCAGGAUUGAGACUGUGUAACUUUGUUUAUUAAAAGUGAAUUUGACUUUAUUCCUGUUGCUCCUCCAAAUCACCCUUAUUUACAUUUGAUGGGUAAUUUCUCAUCUGGCAGUUGUGUUUGUUGUCCUUUGAAAAAUGGCAGCAUCUUAAAGAUUGAUGGGGAAAAAAAACGACAGCUCCUUCAUGAAAGAUAAGCAACAGACUCAGCCAAAGGUUUUUGAUAAUGCCUUUUUUUCCACACAUGCUUUGUGUCAUAAUGAGUCUCUUGUCCUUCAGUUUUGAUGAUCAGUGGAACGGUCCUGUCUAGUGGAACUGCAUAUUGUCCUUUUUUUCUGUUAUCUGUCAUUCAAGACUUAAGUUUUCCCAAAGGUCGUAGUUAUAUGUGCUUUUGAUUACAUCCAUGGCAUCAUGGGUAAAUAUACUAACACUGCAGACCAUCAAAAUAUGAGUUAGGGACAAUGUAUAGUAAGUCUGUGUUGUAACAGGAUAGAUCCUUAAAAGAAGAAUUAGUGCAGAGGCUGGACAGAUUUUUUUCAGCAUCAGCGCUAUAUAAACACCAAUAACAAAUGGAUUUGAACCAAAGUGGGUCAACAGCACACAGGGUAAUCAUUCUUUCAUCAUCCACAGUGUUGGAUGUACUUUAUAACUCAGUUUGGGAAGGUGAAGAGUAACGUUGUAUAAGGGAGAUAAUAAAGGGCUUAGCAUCUGUCACAGUUUCCAAAAUUGAAAUAAGAAGUUGUUUAUUCCCAGUGAAAAGUAGACUGCUGCCAUGCAACAAGAGGGAGAGGUUAUUCCGUUUACAGUCAGUCAUACAUUUACUAAGACACAGGUCAAAUAGCUUAACUCGAAAUUGUUGGAUGUUUUCCUUCCCAUUGUUGUCGGAUGCAUUGAAACUUCUCAGGAGAAAAACAACCAUAACAUCACAACCUAAAUAGUCCUCUUACAGCAACACUGCAGACGGCAAUAAUUACAGGAGUUCUUACUUUUUUUAUUUUACUUAUUUAUUUAUUUUUUCUUAAGGUGGAUGUCAGACUUGGUGUAAACACAGACAACAAAUCACAUUCUCACAUUCACAUUUUAUUCUACUUUUUCCUUUUCAAUCCAGCUGAAUUUCAGCUUCAGAAACUACAAACCCCCACUGCACCCUGCUUGGCAGAUGGCAAUUGAUUCUGUUGGCAGCUCGAAUCUGAUUAAAGACACCAGAAACCUGAUAGCUUCACAAAACUAUACCUGUUUGCUGGCCUGUUCAGACAAGACCCAUAUAAUAAAGUCUUGUGAUGUUUCUAAGUGAAGCACUUGAGUACAAGAGCACCCACGGUCCUUCACUCUCCUACUCUAAACCCACUGUCCCUCCUUGAGGCUCAGAGAUUAUUCAGAGUAAAGAUUAGAAGACAUGGAGGUUAGCUAGCUAAAGCUGAAUGGUAGUGACCCUCUAUGACGCACACAACAUAGCCGAAGGCAAAAUGAAUGGACACAGCACUGCACCUUCAUGGUGACAUUACGCUGUAAAUGAUUAAAAGGCACAGUCUUGGGGAGCAAUAGAGGCAUAGAAAUGUGUCAGGAUGUGCACCGAGCCUCUCAGUGAGCCAGCAGCGAUAUUAAUCACAUCUUCUCUAAUGUUCUUAAUAGGCAUCACCCAGCAUUUUUCUCAAAAUAAUCAAUGUGAAUAAUCAAUGAGAGUGCUGUGAGGCAAAUUCCACUGUCAGAUGUAUUACCAUCAAUUUGUGAUCCCACUUCAUUUCUGGGGUUAUUCUUGUCACAAGUUUCUAUGAAUUACUUUCUUCUUUUUUUCAAAUGAAAACAAACCUCUCGACAACAACCUACAAUUCAUGGAAAAAAGCUUUUACCUGUAAGGAUGAAAAAAAUCUCUUAACUUUAGUGUGAAAUAAUAACACUCUGCAGAAGAAGAAGAAAGAUACUAAGCAUUUACCAAAAUAAAUAAAUAAAUAAAUCUGAUUUAGACCUGAUAUGCUUGUGAAUCUCAGUUCAUUUUUUCAGAUACAGUGCCACCAAGUCCUCAAACGCUGAUUUGUGUUCAGUUUUGGACAUUUUUCAAUCUUGAUUAGUUUUUCUACUGACUAAACAAAUGUGAUAAAUCAACAGUAAUUAAUUGUUAGUAGUGCAGAAAUACCUUCAAAGACAUAGAAAAGAAAAGGCUUUUUAUUAAAUUCAUUUUUUACUGAAUCGAUGCUUGACCAGUUUCUGUCUUAUACUGUCUUUGUGCAAUCCUCAGUGGCCUGAUUAAAUUACAGCCAACAAAGCUUGUUGUGAAGAAAAACCUUAAAGCUGCACUGAAUUGAUGUCCUAGUUUCCCCCUUUUCUUUAUUGUCUCCUGCUAUGACCACGCUUUCCCACCUUUCUGGGAAAUUGCAUCUACAAUAAGGUUAUUGAAUGAGAACUUUUCUGCCCUUGGUCUUGUGGGAAAACCUCUUUUGACCCUUCCUUUUAAGAUCACGUCUCAUCUCAGAUACAGGAUUACUGCGUGGAAUUAAGACGGGAUAACAAAAGGGCCUGCAGGGACUGACAUGUUCUGUGCAUGGUCUCAAGAAAACCGAGGACUUCAACAUGUGAAUCAAGGUUUAUUUGCACCCGAGGAGCCAAAAACUAUCACACUCAAAAGGAACCAAAAACCUGCAUUUAUAAAUAUUAUUUGAGCUUCCAUAUCAGUUUACAGUCUUCAGAUUAUACCUCCAAUAUCAACUUGGUUAUUUAAAAACUCAACACCUAGUUGUCUGUAGAGAAUUUUUAAAUUAAUCAUUUGACAAUAUCCUGACUGUGUUUGGAUCAUAAACUGUAUAUUGAACGGAUUUCAUCUGCCCCCCCUCUGGGUGAAGCCUAUGCCAGAACAGCACGCCCUAGUGACUGGUUGCAGUAUAGGUCAUAAACCCCGCCUCCUUCAGAAAAUUGAAUGGCGCUGUGGACAAAUUAAAAACAAGUUAUAUACAUUUUUUUUUUGCCCCUGGUUGCAGUGUUGACAUGUAGUUAUUGUUAGACUGGUUUGUGCUCAAGUCCUCUUUUUCCUGUGCAAAAAGUUAUUAGGGAUUAUAAAAAUGGAAAAUAACACUAUAUUUUCUUUGAUUGAUACUUGGAUACUGUUAAUGGGUGUACGACGAUUGCGUAGAUCAUCCGUGCAGAGCGUCAUUGCAACGUUCUUCCGCCAAAUUGUACUGCGCAAAUGCUGGUUUCAGGAAAUGAAGAAAUUCCUGGGAAUACUGAGGGCUUUUUGGCUUCAAAGUCAUACAAUGACAUGAGGUGGAGUCAGAUAUGUACAGUUUAUGGUUUCAAUGCAGAUGAAUGAUCAGAACACAGGUGAGGAGACAAUGUGUGUAGCAGAGAAUAGCUUAGUUUAUUUAAAAAAUGACAAAAAUAUAGCCAAGCUCUCCAUGCACUGUGAAAAAAUGACACUCAACACCUCCAAAGUUCACUCAUUGACACAUUUUCAAGUCACUUCUGAUGUUAAAAGAAUUUACUAACUUAUAUUUAUUGUUCGAUUAACCACUCUUCCUAGGUAAGCAACUUUCAAAUCAACAAUUUAAGUCAGAUACUAGGAUAAAGUAUGUUAAAAGAAAGCUUUAGGUUUUUGUCAGGGAGCAGUUUACCUCAGCUGCUAGUCUUUACGCUGAGCUAAGCUCACUCUUGCAAUGAACAAAUAUUGAAUGUGAGCAAAAAUGUCAAGCUCAGUUGACAGUCUAUCAAACAUUCCUUGACUUUACAGUACAUACGGUAACGUAGGGAGCCAACAUCAGGAUCAACUUAAUAAUUUAUCACUUGACAUACUUCUUCUCUGUAGUAUACUAGCUGGCCUGUCUGACCCAUGUCUGGGUUGACGAGGGCGUGAGACCAUCUGUGUAGGCACUAUGUCCUCUAUCAGUGUUGCCCCUCUUUGAAGCCCACGGGUUUGGAAGGCCAGGAGGGGGAUCAAAGCUGUAUCAGAAUAAUUUGCCCAGCGUGCCUGUCAGUUUGUAGAAGAUCUAAGCCAUUUCAUCUACAAACACAACACAACAAAGGUAACACAGAGGGUAGAAAAGCUAUAAUGAAAAUAGUGACGUGUCUUUCACGGCAGCCUUUUAUCAGAUAUUUCCAAUGCCAGCAAACAUUAAUGUCACUGUCCUGCAAUUCAGCAGCGAUGCACAGAGAAUCAUAGAGGGGCAUAAUUGCUCCCGAACGCCUUCAAGCUGUUUGCCCCUAUCGUACACAGUUAAGUGAUUUUAAUUUAUUUCUUUAUAUGUUUCAUAAUUAACACAUGGGCAUCACUUUGCAUUAUGCUAUAAAAUGCUUUAUCCCCGCCUGCUGCCAGUUCAUCACUCUAUUUUCCAUUGAUGGUUAUUAAUUGUUUAUGGAUGUGCAGGGCAGGGGGGUGAAACGCAGGAAGUCAACGUCUUAUAUUGGUUGUCACAUUUGGGCGCACAAGGACUUCAUAUCUGCUGUGCUCCAGUGAUUACUCAUUAACACCCAUUUAUCAUUUAAUGUCAAGCUCAUUUAUUCACUCCUAGAUUACGUAAACUGCCUCAGAGCACGCUACAAGUGCAUAGUAUGAGACAUGUUAUUUCCACUAGCAGUUAUGGUUUCAUGACAAAACAGUUCACAUAAUUUUUCCUAAAGCCUUUUCAUUUUCAAGUCAAGAUGAAGUUUCUUUACAUGUGUGGAGAGUAAGUAGAUUUAUACAAACGCCCCCUAGGAACACUUUGUGAAUUUUCAACCAGCCGUAUAUUUUUACAGUGUGGGAAGUAAAUGCAAAUGAACGGUGGUCACUUUUUCUUCAUGCUACAUGAGAGUAGAGAAACCCACUCAUCUGCUGGCAAGUCUGAAAGCUGCAGUUCUCUUCUCAGAGUAUAUGGAGUAUGUGCUCCUGCAAUGUUUUGAAUGGGGGUGCUCACCAACACCAAACAAACCAAACAUUUCCCAACUCACCUGACUUAAACAAACACAAGUAGAGCUUGGAAUAACAUUUAUCAAUAUUAGAGGAAAAUAUUUAAAAAUGUAACACUGGAGUAUUGAGCAACUUACAGACAUAUAGGGUAGAAAGAGGCUGCUGAGAGCGAGACAGCUGGUUGCAGCAGAGGGCUGCCCUGAGGCUGGAAAGUGUGAGGUAUACUUAAAGAUCCCUAAAAGAGAGGGGUUUACUUUGUGUGUUUGUUUAAAAUGGAGAUAUAACAGCAACUCUGUUCACUUCUAGAAUCAAUAUUUCAUCGGAGUAGUGAGAUCAUAUAAAACAAGUGUGAAUGUUUAUGAGUUUGUGCGUGUAUCUGAUUCCUCAGUCCACAAAUGGAGAUGGUCUGGAGGGCAUUUGUCCACAUUUGUUCUACGUUGAGUGGGUAGAGUGUGUGCUCCUGUGUAGGUAGUGAUAUUGUUGCAUCAAGGGCCCGUUUACAUAGAGACUUUUAAAAAUAUCAAACUAAGACUUCUAAAAUUAAAUAUAAGUUAUACAAAAAUAAAUUUAAAUGAUAAUGGUAACUGAAAAAAUUAAAAAAAAAAACCUUGAAGAUUUUGAAUCGCAUGUUAGGAUCCCAAACACUCUCCAGAUUUGUUGUGGGGGAUGAAAAGAUUAAAAUGAUUUGUCAGAGAUGGUUAAUGAGUUUAAUUCUUGUUCGUGAACAUUGCACCUCAUCUUUCUAAAUCCAUUGACUCACAGGAGAGAAAUCAAAUCGAGAAAAGCAGGGGUGAAGGUGAUUGAUUUAAUAUCCUGCAGUCAGUGUUUUGAGGACAAAUAAGUUUGAAUGAAAUUUUUACUAUUGUUAAGAAAAGGUCGGGGCAUAAAAUCAGUUGAUUGUCAUGGCAUUGAUAUGACCACAGUGACAGUAUUCCUGCUGCAUUCACUCAGAUCUAUAAGUUGUCAUUCAAUUUCAUAACUUUCUAAAACAAAUUAAACCAGAAAAAGUAGUUUCACCUCUUAGAAAUAAUGGCCAUGGACCAGAUUCACUGGAACAUGGGUUUUCUUAACUGUUUUGCUUUUGAAUUACAUGAUUUUAUAGAAGAAAAAAAGAAGUGAUAAGUAAAGGACAACGAAGUCCAAACUAACAGAUCUUCAUCAACAUAAGUUAUUGGGAAAACAGAAAGGAGUUUGUACUGUUUUCUAGUUUCAAUCCAGAGUUUAUGAAUAAGUUUGAAGCCCCAUAAGGGUCUGUUUUGGGCCUAAAAUGGUUUUAAUUGUAUGUAAUAUGUGAUGGUUUAAUUAUCCAUAAUUCAUUAUACAUGAAUUAGACUUCAACUUUGUACAUCAGGAGAUCUGACUAAUGUGAUUGAGGAAUUUCCCUCUUUGUCGUCAUAUAUGACUAAUUCAAUAAGUCUAUUUCUUGACUGUGCAGCGGCAGAUUUUGGCAACAUACCCUAUCACUUUGGCAGAGUCCCAGUUGUUUUUCAGGACGGUUCUUAGACUGCAGUGAAAAGGUCAGUCUAGAGUCCUUUUACUCUGUUUGGUAAACAAAGUCUUUUUUCUUUCAAAGACGUUAGAAAAGUGUGAAAGUAACACAGAUAAUACGAAACCGUGAUACAGAGCUGGGUAUUACCAGCUGUAGUGUAAGACAGUAAUCACAGAUCAAGUCUAUUCUAUUGGAGCUUCCAGUGGCUUUUAUCUAUAUAUUUAGUGAAUGGGAAAUGUGGACUGUAGACUACAUGAUAGCCUUGAAGCAAAAAUUUUAAAGUGUUUUCAGUUUUUUGAAAAGAGCCUACAAAGUACAGCCUUAUUUUGAAAUGAGUAUUUUCUUUACUUUGUUAAUUAUUACUCAUUGUUAUAGUAAUUAACUUUUCAUAAGCAAGCUACUGUUUGAAGGUUCAAACAAUUAAUCUCUUGUAUUUUAAUACGUAAUUGAAAAUAUUUUUAAUCCGUCACAUGGGCAUGUAGUACAUUUAAAAUGGAAAUAAAACUAACUAUCUUUCAUUGUUUGCCACUCAAGUGAAAUCUAGAUGUAUGUACUCUAAAAUAAAAUAGCCUUUAAAAGGGUUGAAACAGCCAUGGCCAAAAUCAUGAUUAUAAUUAUUGUAACUGAUGAUGAGAUCAUGAAUAUUAAGUACAGUUAGAGUUAACUUUCACUCUGGUGUGUGACUAAAAUUGUAGCACAGAUCAUGCUGGAGUAGGUGACAGGUGAAGGUAAAGUAUUCUGUUCACGUCCAAAGAAAGUUUCCUUGCAAGUUUUGGACUUUUUGGAUCUCGUAAAUAAAGUUAGGGUGUCUGUGGACAAUGUGUGCAACAGAAUUACAAGCAAAACAAGAGGGUAAGUUUUUGUUUGAAUUGUAGUUUCUGUCAAAGGGCUGAUGGGGCGGGUAAAAUAUAACGUUAUUUUUGGACAAGGCAAGUCAAGUUGAUUUAUAAGGCGCCAUGCACUCUUAAAGCAAUCCUAAGAGUUUUACAAAACAGAACAAGGAUACUGACAGCAUCAGAAAAAGUAUGACAUUAAGUAAACAUAAGCAUUCAAAUAUGAAAUAUCUCUCCCUUGUGCUCACUGUCCCCCCAAUUCAACCAUUUCACAAACCUGACUCUCCUAGGUAGUGCUGCACAGCUCUCCUCUCUCUGCACAAUGUUUUGUGUUGCUGUUGCACAACAUGCUGAAGAUAAAGUAGUCCCUACAUAAUAUAAUUUGCAGCAUCUGAAACUUCUUUGUGCUCCCAAACUUUGUUUAACUGUAAUCUGAUCUCCUGGUGAUAAAGUAUUACAACCUACCAGCUUUUGGGUGUGUUGGCCUCCCAGGAAAAUGCCCAGUAUGCCACACUACAAGUCAAAUCCUUCUGUGGCUCUCUUCUCAUCAUUCUCAGGACAAGUGAAGAGAGAGCUGGUUAGGGGAAGGAACACAGCGCACAUGCUCUGUAGAAUGGUCCUUUCUGUAGUAUUGAAUGCAUGCAACAAGACAGGCAGCACAUUAGUUGUUUAGUCUCAUUUAUCAUUAUUUUAUGAAACCAUAAUUGAAAUUAAACUGCACAGCCCUAACUCCAAAUAAUCCUUUGAAUUCAAAGUCCUGUUUGUAAAAGUUAACUUCCUAAUCUGUGCUUGAAAAUAUGAAAGUCAAGUCAGCUUCCUCUCAUUCUGCAAAACUCUUCCUGUUAAAAAAAAUGGAGGAUGUUUUGUUCAAUUGCCUUGCAUUUAUUGUGGUAAGUUUGCGCUUUCCUCAACUAUGGCACAUAAAAAUUGGUGCGUACAUCAUGAUUUAUGGAGCAGCCAAUGAUAAUUUAUUGGUUAAUUAGUUACAGCAUUUUAUGUGAAGGCCUUGAUUUAAUUAUGUCUCCGGAUUAUAGAGCUGCAUGGACAAUUAAAAUGAUCCCAAUAGAGCCAUCACACACUGGCCUACGACUGAAUCUGAGUCAUCUGCUCUGAGUCCACUUGGAGCCAUGAGCCAGAGCCAUGUUGUGCUUUAUUUGUGUGUGUGUGUGUGUGUGUGUGUGUGUGUGUGUGUGUGUGUGUGUGUGUGUGUGUGUGUGUGUGUGUGUUCUUAAUGAGUCAUCUUUAAGUACUUUUGUAUUAUGACAGAAAUCCUGCAGUGCUACACGCAGCUCCUUCACUUUUUCUGUGAUUUAUUUUGUGUGUAUGGUGUGGGAAAAGUACCUUUUUAAGGGCAUCUAAGAGGAAGAAAGGUUUGAAUAGUUUCUGCAUGAAGACUUUCUCUACAUUCAACAAAGUCCAUAACACUCAGUUCAUGUGCAAUCGUCAAACUCUUUCUAAUACCAUCUAUUUACCACUAUGACCGGCAGCUACCACCUACACAAGUCAUUUGUUGUCUAAAAUUUACGAGUCUUUCCAGCACUACAAGAUUAACAGAUUAAACAGAAUUAAAAAGUAUCAAAAAGUGCUGACUUCCGCUGACUAAAGACACACACUGGAAAUAAGAAAAAGGUCAGCACUGACAAUGAAGUUCAAACAUUUCAUUUUAAGAUUGACAGCAACUUCAUAAAACUAUAUUUGAAACUGUUAGUGAUUUUUUUUUAGUUUCUUUAAGAGCACGAUUACGAGCUAAUAUAGAAGACUCGCUGUUAUAAGGCGACACUGUGACAUUUCUUUUCAUCACUAUGUCUCUUACACACUUUGGCAGCAAAGCAGUUGCUUACUUCUUGGCGUGCCAUCAGCUGAGUUAUACCAUAACACAACAAAGAUAAGAUACCAAGAACUUUAUUGAUCCCUGAAGGCAGAUUCAAUAUACCACUCUCUGUGUUUAACAAUAGUUAUGAUAAUAAUGAUAAACUUUGUGACAACUUCUCUUGAAAGGUGCAAUAUAAACAAAGUGUGUCAGUCUUCAACUAAAAGGAUAAAACAACAUGACAUGAACAUCAAUAAAUAGCACACAAGCUGCCAAGUCCUGAUCAUAUGAGGGCAGGUCUAAACAGAUGGGUCUUCAACUGCUUUUUGAAAACUUCCACAGUUCCCACUUGAACAGGGAGACAGUUCAAAAUUUUUGGAGCGAACACCUCAAUUGCUCAGUCUUGCUAAAUUAAUAUAGCUUCAGCAGGUCUCUUAUUCAACCCGGAGUUGUCCAUGCAAAGCUCUGUCCACAAUCAUAAGUAAUCUAAAUUGGAUUCUGAAUUAAAGGGGAGCCAGAAUAAAGACUUAAGGAUGGGUGUUGCGUGAGACCUUUUGGAUGAUUUUGUCAGGAGCUUAGCUGCAGCAUUUUGAGACAUAUCUAGGCGGUUCAAAGAAGUGACAUUUAGACAGGCGAACAAAGAAUUACAAUAAUCCAAGACAUGAUGAAAUAACAGCAUGUGCGAUCAUCUCAAGCUCAGUCCUGGAGACUAUGGGUCUGAGCUGAGCUUGGAUAUAUUUCUUAAAUGAUAAAAGGAUGAAGAAACCAGUUCAACAGGUGUAUUGGUCAUACCUAAAUAUGUUAUUUGAAGCCGUUAACUGAUUUUAAAAGAUAAAAUGGAUCAAGGAAAUAUAUGAAUAAAUAAGACAAAAAAUGGCCUCUCAUAAUAUAUUAACACACAGAAAAAAACUAACACUGAAAGAGAGGAGUCAUCAGAGUUGUAACACAUGGUCCUUUGGGGUCAUAAGGUUAUGCAUUUAUGUUUGUCAGUACUUUCUGUGUUGUAGUGUUAAGAACAAGCUGAGGCUCCGGGGAGUCAAAGCUAUGAGUCAACAGACCCCUGAGUCACAGGCCAGUGUGACCGAAAUAUGCAAGCUAUGACACCAUCUGUUUAUUUCAUCAUUAGAGACAGAGAUGGCAUCAAAAGGUCAGCAGUUGCAUGGGGUUGGGGGUUGCAUAGAGAGUUCAUAUACCCCAUGUGGUAUAUGGUACACAGAGAUGUCCUUAUCACAUCUUUAGUAAACACUUCUCUUAAUAUGUGACCAUAUUCUCCAGUUGCAGCUUGAUCCUUCUUGUAUUUCAUUUAUUUAUUCAUUCUCAGCUUGUAUCUCUUCUAUUAUUAAAGAUUCUUUCAGCCUGUAAUUACAACACCAGUGCCACUGUGGUACUUGUAUUAUGCACAAUGUAGGUUGGUAAGAACUUUUAAGGGGCUGUUUGGCAUUACAAACAGCUAAAUUUGCAAAAAUAAAAAAAACAAGUUAAUUAAUUCAUGUUGUUCUGUCAGUCUUAAAGAAAUUUAGUUGGAGAUCAGCACUUGCAGAAGAAGAGUUUUGCUUACAGCUUUGCACAGGUGUAGUCCUGGACUCUGUCUGAUGUGGUCACAUCAGCUACAAACAUGCAGAGGGGAAACAGUAUUGCAGCUUUGAAUUAGCAACAUCAGCAAGCACUUUCUAUCCUGAUGGCAAGUUACGUUUCUAACAACUCAGAACCAGUCAAUCACUUGUUAUUCAUAAUGUGUUUACAUAAUGUAACCCAUUGACAACCAUUAUCUAUCAUCACUGAUGUCACGUUGCCAUAUAUGCCUUUGGGAAUAGAUGCCACCUGUCCGUUAUUCACGUGUAGCCAGUGGUUAGACUUCCUUUUCUUUGUGGUGCAUAUGUCUGCAACAUAACUGUCCUUUCUUGGUCCGUUACAUCACCCACCCAAGUAAUGGGUUAUAAUCUUUUUCAAGUAUAUGUCAGAGAAAUGGUAGAAAGUGGUGUUUUGCAGAGGCUCCAGACUGGCUUCCUUCAACAAGAUGAGUGUGAAAAGGAAAACACUUUUCUUGUGAUUUGCUAACAAUCAACAGGUCUUUUGUGGGAGAAAAAAAAAAACCCCAAAAAAAAACAAUACACUAUCCAGACGCUGAUUUGUAAGAAGCAAAAAGGCAAAUUUUGUCAGGUUUGUUUCUGGAGUGGGAAAGAAGACAACAUCUAAAACGCUUGGAAUGAUUACAGAACCUGCACUCAACCAAGGACCAGGAAAGUCUGUUUUUUCUGAAUUUUCUGCAAUUUAAUGCUAAAUUUUUUAUAUUUUUGUUGUGUUUUGUCGGCCGCUGAUGGAUAUUUGUGCUGGGAGAAGAGUUAAUUUAAAAGAAAACCUUUUUCAUUGAGAUGGAGCAAAUCUGGACACAAAAUCCAAUUCCAGCGGACAUCUGGAGGUGUUUUUGUGGUUGCCGUGUUGGUGCAAAGGUGAAGGCAAAGUUGAAGGCUUGGAAAUGGAGAUAUAAACCCUUUCCGCUAUCAGUCAUCAUGGGAAAUGUCAACUCUGCCCAACAAAAGCGAUGAGCCUGAGAUAUUGUCAAAGACUGAGGAAGCAUACCAUGAGUGCAGUCUCCGGUUUUACUGGAACCUGGUUGAAUCAAAUCAACUUGGACUCCAGUGUGGAUCUACCUGGCUUCACUCUCAUAAGGUCAGACAGAGAUGCUACAGCUGGUGGCGAGAAGAAAGGAGGAGGUCUGUCUUUAUUUGUGUAACCCUUCACGCAUACAGUAAUUGUCAAGGAGAAGUUGUGUUGUCCAGAUAUUGACCUGUUGGCAGUUGCUCUUUGGCCGUAUAAUGUUCUAAUGGAGUUCAGUCAUAUCAUAACAAUACUUACAUACAUGUAUUCUCAAUGAUACUGUUGCUAGGAUACAGUCUCAACAUCCUGAGGUACUUGUAAUAAUAUCGGGAGACUUCAACCAUGUCACCCUCUCCUUGUUAACAGUGAGAACAUUUUUCCAGAGAAUUUUUUCCAUUAGAUUCCAGAACCAUAUAUGUAUAUAGGAAAAGACACAUAUCAAGAAAUUAUCUUAAUAAAAAAUAUAAAAAAAUGUAGCAGUAUAUACAUCACGCAUUUUCCCUCUGAGUCCUGAAAUCAUGAUUAAUCCAGGAUCACCAAGCUGGUUGGCUUUCAUAAAAUAGUCACAAGCAGAUUUGUCACUGUUGUUGAAAGUAUGAUGUAGAACAGAUUGUUAGCUGAUCAUGCAUGUAUAUAUGUUAAUGGAAGUGACUAAGCCAUUAAAAGAUUACCCACAAGGAGAAUCCCAAUGUAAUUAUCUGGUUGUGAUUUCUACCUGCUUUUGCUCUCCAUACAAAUGUUUUUUUAUGCAUACACAAAAACCUGUUUAUAUAUGAUCGUUCAGAAUUACUGAGAUUACAAACAUAAUACAAAUGAAGACCAAUAUACUCCCCAUGCUAGUAAUCCAGGGUCAGGAUCUUCAGUUAUGUAGAAAUAUGUGAAUAGAGAUUGCACAGAGCAUAACUAUGGGAUCUUACUAAGAGCGGUACAGACUCUCAUCUUAGGCACAGGCAUCAAAAACCUUGGAUCUGAUUGCUUCACAGAGUACAGAGGAAAUUUGUGCUGAAGCCCUUAUCAUAACUUUUUUUGUUACAACUUGCAAAUUGAAGUAUUUUUCCUACUCUUAUUCUCAGUGUGAAACUUGGCAGAUUUAAAAUGAGAUACUUCUUCAAAGAGACUGCGAAGGUUUGCAAACAAUAAUCUUCACUCUCUGCAAUUUAAAAUUCACAAAAUGUUCUCAGGUAUUUUAAAAGUGUUAUAAAAACAUAUUUUUCUUCACCCACCUUGUUAGCCCAUAACACUGUCAAACAGGUCUCGCUGGAAUAUGAAAUCCUGCUUUACAGCACAGGAGCCCUGCGCUGACAGAGAGCAGGCGGGUCUGUCACUUCAGGUUUUGUUGUCUUUAUUUAGAAGACACUACAAUGUUGUUAAGUCACACUGUCUUCGCUGCAUGACCACUGAAGUAUAGAAAGAACAGUUCUUAGCUCACAGUGAGUGUGUCCUUCAUGAUUUUCUCGUAGAAAAUACAUUAAAAUUUAAAGAAGAAGAUAGUUUAAUGUGUGCACUGAUUCAGAACUAAUUGGAUUUUAUGUCAAAUGCUGGUGUUUAGUAUUUCAUAUUUGCCUUCAUUGAUAUUCAGCUUAGGUCUUGGCCAUGAAUUGUUAUUCAAGUUUAUCAUUAAUACAUCCACAGUUACACACAAGAAAAUAGCUUGCAUAAUUUAAACUCAUUUCAAUUACAUCAGUGGUUUACAUCUUACAUAAUGCAAGCCUGCUGUGACCACAACUAACACUCACAAGGGUAGUGUGUGUGGUAAUUCUGAGUGUGUUUUAUUAAUGUCACUGACUUUUUCUCACCGGGGUUUGUUGCAAAGAACAGAGAAAGUCUACAGAUUGUCAAGUUGCGAUCGCUGCUGCCUCAGUUCUUGUCUUUUUUUACUGCACCAAAAGUCCCUGAUGUUUUGGGGACUAUUUUUCAGAUUAAAUUGGACUAUGUUUAUAGAAACUGUCCAGGUUUUCACAACAAAAAUGUUCUCCACUGACUGAGCAGAGCUUAAAUACAACUAGAUAGAAUUUUAAUUGAAAAACUAGCCUCUAACUGGACCAUGUACAAAACAUAGCCUAGCAUCACAUGGUGAGGGUGUGUACGCAGGCUGCUCUUCAGAGCCUAAGUUGAUCUUAAUGGUGGCCAGAAAGCUAAGUAGAGUGCUCCCCAAAGUACUAAUGUUCUUUUAACCAAAGACAAUAUGGUAUUUUAUUGACUGAAUUGAUGAGACUUGUUCAUGUAAUACACAACAAUAAAUGCUCGCACUUGAAAUACACAUAUAAAGGGACUCACACUUGUAGUACACACACUUUAGAGAUGCACAACUGUAAUACACAAUGUAACACACACCUAUUAUGUUCACACUCAUACUCAGGAGCAUAAAAGUAAGUGAGAGGAGAGCUCUGGGCUUCCUCUGAUGAUUUUGGUGUAGACUGUGUCAUCCGUACUGAUUUCUACAUCUGUACUUUAAAGUCGCCCAGGCGAGUCUUCAGAUCUCAUCCUGUCUCCUGUGUGUUGAUUUUUUUGCCGCAUACCACGCAUAUUUUCCACAUGGUUUGCAAAUGUGACAUCCUGAUAUUUUAAAAAAGUGGAGCAGAGAUAAAACACAGAAACCUGAAGGUACCUCUCUUAGCUUACGACGGGUUACUUGACAUGGCGAAGCGUGUAUGGGGCAGUACAGAGAGGGCGUGUUGAAUUUGACAGGUUGCAGUAAUUGCACAUAUGAUUGCUUACUUUUGCACCAUAUAGUGCUGUGUUUUGAGCAGCCAGGUCUUUUAGUUUGUCCUGUGACUCGGGCAUCUUUGACUACUUGAACCUUAAAAUUCAGAAGGUAAUCAAACAUUUCCUCCAGAAGCAUUGAACUAUAAUGCAAAAUAUAAAAGCAAAACAUUAUUAGAUCUUGCGCACUUUGUUGUGAUGAGAAGGAAAUAAUAUGCUUCAGAAAUUAGGAAACUCUUUCUAGCAUGAAAAUGAUAAAAAUAUAUAUAUUUUUUUUUCCCCUCAGUCAUAGCAGACCAGCUCUGUGCCAUGGGACAGCUUAGUGUUAUAUGUCAGUCACACUUGUCAGUGAACAGAGCUGCCCUCUUUGGCAUCAUGUUAGGUUGCAUUUCAGUAGAAAGGUCUCCACAUAUUGAAUGUUGACACAGGCAGAAACAGACAGCAGACUGAACCUCCUCCUCUCAUACAGGUGGAGAGACACUCCAUCAUGUAUGGUGCUUCAGAAGAUGAAAGCCACUUAGAGAUGGAGUAUCAAGAUGUCUGCUAUUUCAGGUGGUGACACAGGCCCUGAGUAUCAACUCCCACAGCAUCACAAGUGUGCAUGUCAUCUCCUGAAUCCUGUUGCGACAGCUGACGACACUGCUGCACAAGUGGUGAAACAUUCGAGGGCCUCUCCUGCUCUGCUUUGGCUAAAUGCCAUGGAUUGUCGAACAAAAUGCAGAUCCAGUGUGGUUCCCCGAGCUGUGGAGCAUGAAUGCGAAGUGGGGGUCCUUAAAUUGUGUGACACCUGCUACCCCACUGUGCAAGGAUGCAUGUUAACAUUCAGGUAUCGAAACUAGGAAGAGAUACAGAAGAAGACACUCACAAAACUUAUGACAGAGAAUUUCUUUGUCAUACUGUCAUACUUUUAACAACCCUUGACCUACUCUACGUAACUUUUUACACUCAGGCUCUCAUUCUUUUUUUUUCUUCUUCUAUGCUUUUGUUUACAGUAAUCAGCCACCGGGAUUGUAAGUUAUCAAACAGAGUUCAACAGAGCUCCACUGACCUUGCCUUUUCUGUCAGAGUUGUGUCAGUCUCAGUUAGAAAGUCCUUCAGCUGGAGCAAUGGAUAUCCACGCUCUAUAAAAUCCAAGAUGGCUGCACCAGCCAACUCCACAGUCGAUGACCUGCAGCUGAUUUUGGUAACCGAUUUCCAGCGCAUCCGGAACGGCUUUCGAAAAGGCUGUAUCUGCCAAUCAUAGCUGAUUGUAACCAUUCAAGUUAAUGUGUCAAUUUCUGUCCGAAUCGCUGAACUCCGCAGCUGAUCGCAAGAGUUCUAUUUUUUCUGGAAGCAGGAGCAUGCCAGAUAAAUUCAGCACAGAUUAACCUGUGCUGGAAAGGAAGUCGGGCACAGACACAAAAUAAAACAUCCGGCUUCUCUUCAAAAUGAAACACCCCGAGUUGCAGGCAGAUCGUAUUUUACACCAUACAAACGGGCGGGGAUGAACAAGUGAAAGGUUUUGAGACAGCAUUACCCCGAUGACACCGUGGAUGAGGGAAUGCUGAUUUUAUAAGUCUAGACAGCGAUUUCCUCCUCUGGAAGGACAGAAUCUACUGCCUAUAUGGUUAGCCUAUGUGGCUAAAGACAACUCGGUAUCAUGCCAUUGCACGUGAAUCCGCAGGUUCUUGUGAGUUCUCACGAUUCCUGCUGUCUGAAAUUUGCCACAGAAUUUGGCUCACGAACAGAUCCAGUAGGAAUUGGCGUAUGGCAAAAAUCGCUGCCGUUCCUGAUCGGAGCCGUUCCGGUUGCGGUGGAAAUCCUGGGUACGUCUUUGGACUGAAGAGCCUUUUGGUUCUAGUGAAAUUUAAGUCAUGUUUCCCCUUUAAUAGAUUAAGUCUGGUACAAGCUGUGGGUAGGAGGGGUCAUCCAGGAGGGACUCGGAGUAGAACCGCUGCUGCUCCACUUAAAGAGGACUUGUAUGAGGUGGCCUGGACAUCUUAUCAGAAUGCCUUCCGCAUAUCUUGCUGGUGAGGUGUUCAGGGCAUAUCCCUCUGGUAGGAGACUAUGGGGAAGACCCAGGACAUGCUGAAGAGACUAUGUCUCUCAGCUGGCCUGGAAACGCCUUGGGUUCCCCAGGAAGAACUGGAUGAAGUGGCCAGUAAGAGGGAAGUCGGGGACUCAGAUAAGCAGUAGAAGAUGCAGAGAUGGAUGGAUUGUUUUACUUGCUGAAAAGUCAAAACAUUUUUGUCUAAUUAUGAUCAAUAAAAAGUCAUCGCAUCUGAGUCAAAGUUUUUAGUCAAAACACUUUGGGCUCUAUUUUGGUGCUUCGCCGGAGACGUGCCGCAAGCGCAGAGUCAAUCAGAUCCGCCGCGCUGACAAGGCGUUCCCAAGCACAUUUUGGUAUUUUGGUGAGCCGCGCAGCCCGGCGUAAGUAUCCCCCCUCCCUAACUCAGCUCCUCCCGGCAGCAUAAAUAAUAGACGGGGAGGAGAGGGGGUUUAACACAGCCGAGACCUGUUGUCACCAAUCACAUUAGCUCCUCUCCUCGCCUUUAAAUCCGCCACAGGCGAGGCGUAUUACUAUUUUCAUGAAGUAGUCAAAGAGAUCAAGAGAUGUCUGAAGACAGUUAUGCCACAAGAUGGCGACCGAGGGCAGCUGCUCAACAAGUGUCCUCCACACUCUCUCAUCUGAGCACAGAUGGAUUUGGUGUGCGUAAUGUUGGACCCACUGGUAAGACAAACACCCUUUUCCACAAAUAAAGACACUCACAUAAAGUUGCAUAUAUUCAAACCUCACGUGACAAAGGUGGGUUGAGCGCACAGAUCACAACAUAAACUCCAAAAAGGCAUUAAAAUCGGAACCAUCUGUGCGUAAAUGACGCAUCGCGCUCCGUGGCCUGGCUCUUUCUUUCAUAGAUGUUGGCAUAUAAAAUAAAUUUGGCUCACAAAACUGAAUAUUAUAAUAUCCGUAUGUCGGCUUAAAGUAGAUAACGCAUCUGAGCACUGAAACAAAUCAUCUGUUCAGCCGCAGCAGCAGCAGGAAGACGGACAGAGGACACGGAGACGUGUCCAGGUCGAGCUGUGCGAGAAAUAAGAGGAAGAAAGAAAAGGAGGGAGACACAUUACAUAUCUUGUUAACUUCAUCAUGUGCGUUUAUUUACUAGAUAUUUAAUUUAAUUUGAUGCAGUUUCAGCUGUAUUGAUUCGGUCAGGUUGUGUGUCCAAACGCGUGCCAAACGCGCUCAUCAGAUCAGAUAUAGAUCAGAAUAUAUCGAUAUAGAUCUAAAUGUAUGUGCUGACUCAGAUUAAUAGUUGUUGAUCAUUAUUUAUUGCACUGAAAUCUGCCUGACACUGUGGAAACCUGCCGGUGAGGCAUCAGUGACGUAUGUCGAUACGCCGCCGGUCUACCAAAAUACUACUGGACCAGCUGCGUUCCGCCUUGCGCUGAAAGCUGACCAGGUUUGAAUCGGCGAGCUUUCAGCGCACGUUACACGCCAGUGGCGAGCACGAAAAUGUCACUGCGCCAGCUGAUUCUGUCAACACCUCCCCCUGCCACGCCACCACGCCCAGCUUGGCGGAUCUCGGCUCGCCUCCGUGCGACUCAGUCCACGAAAAUACCAAACUCGCCUUACACCGGGCUCCGCCAGACGAAAAUACAACUGCGCGGGGCUCGCCGCCCUUCGCCGCCUCACCGGCGCGAACGAAAAUAGAGCCCUUUCUGUCUUCAAACUAAAUGAAUUAAUCUAAAUAGGAAACAGUGUAAUUAUCUAAACAUUUUAACUUGUGUACUGUCUGGAUUUCUUACCCUCGUUGGAUGAUUUAGUGUAGACUCCUCAGCAGUGCAGUACUGCUGUGCUGUCCCUGCUGAUCUAUUAAGGUAAUAUAAAGCAAUGAUCCUUUCUCCAAGUCAAGAGGUUUGGACAUGGAGCUAUUGAAAAUAAUAACCUCAAAGAUUAAACCAACAAUGCCUCGAUGGCUGCUUGUAUCUUUGUUAUCAUCAUCUGGAAAAAAGUUUUUGAAUAAGACGUGGAGGCAGAGAAGCUUUGUGCCCACGAUGCACUUGUUGCGGACAUGAGAAAAAUCAAUACGCCGCUCCUGAGGUAACUCAUCAUGGUACUAGCGUUAUUCAGAUUUUAAGUGACGGAUUAUAUGUGCAGUAGGGAAAAUUUCAUGAAAACCAGUUCUCAUUUAUUGAUGCCUAAUCAAUCUGGGAUUUAAAUCAACUUUGUGAUCUGUUUAUAGACUCAGCAGCUGCUCCAAAACUCAGCAGCAAGAAUGCUGACAAAGACCAGAAAGGCAGCCCACAUAACACUGAUUUAAAAAUCUUUUCGUUGGCCGCCAGUAUCUUCUGGAAGUGAUUUUAAAUACCUUAUAUUAGUUCAUAAAGCACUUAAUGGUCUUGCUUUAACCUAUUUUUCAGAUUCGCUCUCGGAUUAUGAGCCGUGUGAGCCCUCAGGGUCUCCUCCUUGUAACUCGUCUGUUGGCCUUUUCCUCUCACUAAACCAGCCCUGUAACACCAUCGUAUCAUGCCUUGCUUUGUGGUUGCUUCUUGUCUCUUUGACUUAACUUCUCAUGUGUCUCAACAUGUUGUUGUUCUUUUACGUCUUGUCUCUGCUGUCGACAAGUUAGCCACCAAUCUUAAAUUUUAUGCCGGUAAAAUAAUUUUUAAUGUGUAUUUACAAAGUAUAUAUAUAUAUAUAUAUAUAUAUAUAUAUAUAUAUAUAUAUAUAUAUCUUGUCAAUCAGGAAAGUUUUUUUUUUUUUUUUUAAAUAAAUUGUGAACAGUAAAGGGGGAAUCAAUAAAAGUACAUUUUACGUGCCAUAGCUCCUUCCCAAAGAUUGAUUUAAUAGAUGAUGUGUGCAGUCAAAGUAUCCCCCAUGUUGCCUUUGCUAUCCAGCAUUGAUUAAGAGGUUUUGACCAAUCAGAAUAAAGUAUUUAACACAGCCAGGUGAUAAGUAAGAGGGCCAGGCAAGAGAAAAACACAUACAACUAUCUUUCCAAACACAUUAAAAAACAAAAAAGCCCUCGUGUUUUGAAUCUGAAAAAUGGUUUAUUACUUUUGUUUAAGUCUGUCAUACAGAGAAUAGAUUCAAUGCAAACAACUCCAAAUGUCCUAUAUGUGUAAAUGUUCACUCUUAAUACACAACUGGAUAAAAAUAUAAGAAAACAACAAAACAGAUCAGUGACUACAGAUGUUUCAUACACUAUUUUUUUUUGUUGAAAAAAAAACAACUGAACAAACAUAUUCUGGGACAGAGGAGUUUGACAGCUCUGAUCACAGCUGUUAAAUAUUCAGUGCAAUGAUUUUGGUUUAUUUAUUACUGAGUGAGUCAAUAAGUUUGCAUGAUUACCACGAACCAGAGCAAUGUUUUAGAGAUAAUGAAAGGAAAGUGAGCUGAUCACUGUUCCCAUUUCAUGACUAAAAUCCAGGAAAACAUGAGCAGCGAGAUUUCCCUUUAGAAUGCAAAAAACACUCUUCAAACAAAACAACACAUCUGAAUGUGUUUGAAGCACAUGCCUUAUUUUCAGACCAAAAUGGAUAUUAUGUGUGUGGCAUCAUUUUUUCCUUUUUUUUCCUUGCCAGACAGCUGGAUGUGAAUCUGGACAGACACAAGUAAAUAUUGGCCAUUGUAAAGUUAAAAUCUCUCUUUCUGCACAUUCUAAGGGCUCUGCCAUCAUUAGUGAAGUUUGGACUCCAGUUACUGUCCUUCAUGCUUGGCUUACAGUGAGGCCAACAAGCCCAUAAUAGAAAUUAAAUGAAAGCUACAUAGCAGUGCUUUUAUUUUAUUAUUAAAAAACCUUUUAGAGGCCAUGUCCACUAAGGUGUUUUUUACUUGUUUGUUUCUUUUUUUUAAAGGGCCAGAGCUUCAAUGUCAGCGUGCUUCUACCCAGCAUUUACUGUUACUAGGUUACACAAGCUGUAUUUCCAUUUCUCUCUGUUGUGACCCUUUAGUCUGUUUCAAAAUGGUCUCUGCACUUAAAAUUUGCCUCCAUUUCAUUGCAUUGUAACAAGAAACUUUUGAGCAAUUGAUAAAAAUAUGUCAAGUGUGCCUUAGUAGCAACCGUAGACUUAGAAAUUUUACCUCUGAUUACUUUACAAUGGUUGUACUACAUCCAGCUGAGAGCACAGCAGCAGCAAGCUGAGGCAGAGAGCAGAGAACACUGAGCACUGAAAACACUGAAUUGCUCUUAGUUUGGAUAGAGAAUAGGCACUGCCUGUGUAAAUACAGCAGCAAUUGACAUAGCACCUCUUGUUAAACAUUCAAACAUAAAUUUUCCUCAUUAAAUGCCAUUUAAAAAUAUAAAUCUAUAGAAGUGUGAGUAUGGCGUAUUAUUUGAAAGCCGUAGUAUGUCUACUUUAGCACUCUGAGCUCUUUGAGUUCAACUGUUGAACAGGUAUUGAUCUUUCCAUUAAUUCAACAUGGAGAAAUUGUACCAAAUUAAGAGUUCUUUUAAGUAUUUAAACUGUGACUGUAUUUUCUUUUCCUGUGAAGUUUGAUGUUUGCGGUGCAACUAACAUCAAGAUCUCAAUUAGAAGCUUUUAUCUCUCACUAACAAUGUUAAAAACUGUAAACACAUUUCAAGACAGUACUGAUAUUUAUCUCAGGGUGCACUGAUCUGCUCUGCCAGACUAGUACUAGUGGGAAACAGAUCUUUUUAAGUGGAUUUGAUAUCAACUUUUGACCAAUUAACUUGAAACAUUUAUCAUUGCCGUUAUUAAAGUUCUGCUAUCAUUUGAUUUAUUCAGUUGAGGCUGGCUGCCAAUUCACUAUUUGGGGCCGUCAUAAUCCCUGGCCUCGUGCUACCUCACUAAAAAAUGACUUAGAUGGGGUUAGAGCUGCGAUUUAUGAAGAUCCUAAAUUUGAGCAAAAGGGAGCACAAAUUUUAAAACUAUGUUUUGGAAGAAAUCCAGAGUUUAAGGCAUCAGUGUGGGUGAAUGUGGGCAGAGAAAGAGUUGGAUUUGCAUCUCUACAAACUACUCCAGUUUAGAAAGUUAUUUCUAUCUCAUCUUUGAUUGAAAAGAUUAAAUAGUUAAAGAUAAUUUGGCAGAAAUUAAAAGUAUUUGGUCACUGUAAUAGGCGUAUUUAUUGAGUCUGAAAUGAUUAAAGCAAAUAAAAGACAUCAUCUGCAUACUUGUGAUCAUGUAAUGGCAUAGUGUACUUUUGCUUUAAAACAGGAGCUUUUCACUUGUUGCUAAAUCUUGUUUUGUCCCCUCAAAUGCCCCUCAUGGUCUUUUGAAGUACAUAGACAGUAGAAUAUACUGCAAAAUACUGGGCCUAUUAUGGUAAUUAGUGGCACCCUAUAUGUAAAAUACAGGGGAUGAAAAUAAUUAUCAGGCACCUGCUCCACAAUCCCUAUGGGGACAUGAGUGGUCUAUAAUCAUAGCCACCAAUGCUUAAGCAGCUGCAGGAGUUGUUGCCAAAGAACCACUGGGGCCUGUCAUUGCAGCAACCUUUGAAUCUAUUGGACACCAGCAGUUGAAGAAGCCAUCAGGCUGAAGAGGAAGGCCUUUUCUGGUUUGGUAAGCUCAGAGAUUUCCUGAGGCAGCAGACAAGUACCAGGAAGCAAAAAUUCCAGUGUGGGAGGAGCUUAGGAAGCUAUGGACAAGGACCUCCAGGUAGAAUCUGGGAUGUUCUGGCAAACUAGUCAGAAAGCAAAGGCAGGGCUUGAAUCAGGCUGUUCUCAGCAGGGGUAAAGGGCUUCUGACCUGGACUGUAGAUAUUGUCAGGCAGUGGAAGGAACACUUUGAGAAACUUCUGAACUCUACUUACAGAUUUUCUAAGAAAAAGGCAGAGUCCAAAGACCUAGAGAGAGAUUUGUGUAUUUCCCAGGUAGAUGUCUCUGAGGUAAAACAAAAAGCUCCUCUAGUUGCAUGGUGCUGAAGGCUUUGGACAUUGUUGGGCAGUCUUGGUUGGCAUGCAUUUUUAAUGUUGCGUGAAGGUCUUGGCACUGUCUGCAGCAGUGGAUCAGUGUUUUUUAUUGGUUUUUUUUUUUGAUCUUCAGUGCUCCUGCAGGGGGCACAGGAGUUUUUUUUCCACUCAGAAUACAUGUGUUCUGUGGUGUUAGAGAAGAUGUAAAACCAUUUCCCUAAGGACCCUGUUUGUGGUCUUCAUAAGCAGGAUUUCAAGGUGCAGCCACAGGGAGGAUGGUGUUUCAAUUGAGGGCAUGAGAAUAUUAUCUGCUUUUAUUUUUUAUUUUUUGCAGAUUAUGUGGUUUUGUUGGCUUCUCUGGACUGGGACAUCCAGUUGGCAGUGGGGAAGUUUCCAGCCAAGUGCAAAGCGGCUGAUUUGAGGGUCAGCACCUCCAAAUCCAAGGCCAUGGUUCUUUGGCAGAAAAAUGAUGGAUUGCCUCCCUAGUUGUUUAUUGGGCAACGAGUGAGUCCUUACCCCGAAGAAGGGAGUUUCAGUAUCUGGUAGUUUUCAGUAUCUUGGGGUCUUGUUCACAAGUGAAAGUAGGAAUGUCUGGGCAACUUUUUUUUCAUCUGCAGCCUUCACGAUCCAGUUCUGGAUCAGCAACAAUAGGAUGGAUUGAAAGAAAAUAAUAAGGCUUUCUUACAACAAAGGAUGUUCCCACUCACUGUCUUGAUGCCAAACAAUCGAACAUUUAGUCUUAACAGUGAUUCAUGAAGAAGUAAGUUACAUCCAUCUUUAAGCACAGAAAUCCAAAAUGUUUUCACGGGGAAUUGAGGGGAUUUUGAAUUUGGAAUAAGUGUGUGAAAUAGUAGUAACAUUUUCAGAAGUACAGCCUAUUUCGUUCAUCAGGUGUGAACUGUUGACACAUUCAUAUUCCCAGCAUCAGAGAAAAGGCCCUACUCUAGCAUGCACCUUCAUAAGCUAGAGUAGACAUAGGACAGGUCACCUGUGUAUUACAGCAGGAGGGGACCAAAAGGUCAAAAUAUGUCCAAGUGUCUCUUCAGGGGUAUCAUGUCAGUUCUUUCUCCAGACAGAAGCAGGUUUGAAACUGGAAAAAAAUGACAUUGUCCUAAAACCUACCUACACUCGCAAGCUGCUUCUCACAUCUUUUUCUCCACAUAUACACAAAGGCUUAUUCCGAGCCAGCAUGACAGCUUGGCCCUGUGAUGCAGAAAGUGAUAAGCUCAUCUCAAAGUCUCUGUGGCACCACAGAAAAAGAGAGAAAAUGAGAAAAAGAGAGAGCUGUUGAAAGAAAGGGAUGACACCAGUGGAACAAGUGAAGAAAUUAGGGAGAGAGGAGAAAAAAACAGAGGAGAAAAGAAAUAAAAUGAGAAAACGGCAGUGAGAGCACAUCACAUUUGGCCUUGAAGACAUGAGCCAAAAUGAGUGGACAAUGUAGAUGAGUAAAUGAUCCUCAUUUGGACUCCAGCGUGUAAUCACAGAGCAGCCAUUUGCAGAGAGAUACAAUUCCAAGGCUGCCAUUUAGAAUAAGAAAACAGAAACAUUUUCCGUAUAAUGAAAGACCCAUAAUCCUGGACCUAACUGCCAAUGUGUCAGCAGAAAUAUAUGUAUGAUCGUAAAUAAUCUUUAGCUAAUGCUUCACCAAAACCCCUCCCUGCUACCUCCCCAUAGCUUUGCACCACUGACCAAUUUCCUGGGCCAUCGAUUGGUGGUCAAUUCAAGCCAGGGAGAGCGAGGCAACUCUUCUUCCCUAUGGAUUUUCACGUCACUGCUAUGACUGACUGCAAAUAACCACUCGCCAAUCAUGCCCCACUUUUCGAGUGACCUUUCCCAAACACUCACACUUAGCACUCUAAGGCAAUAAUGUGUUUUGUGGAAGGUACACAAACAGACUUUAUUUGUCUAUAAAUUUGACCUGUGUUUUGGUUGAAUUGUGACGAUAAAUGUAUUCGGUUAACACCAGGUUAAACUGUAUAUAUCAUCAGCUCCUCACAUGGAAGAUAAGAGUGUAUCAGUGUUCAGUGCAUGUGUGCCUGUGUAUGUCCUGUACUGGGACAGAAGAUUUCUUUAAGAGGCACAACUUUUAUCCAGAUGUCAUUGAAUAAAGUGCUUCAGAACCAUUUCUAUUAUGCCUGAAGACCAGGGACUGAAUGAUCAGCUUUGCAUUCAACUUAAAAUAACUCAUAUUCAUUUUAGUGUAUAGGCAACAUGAGCAUUACUGUAGCUAUUGGGGCUGGCUAUUAAUAUGGUACAGAGUAGCUUUUAAGGCAAAUGCAUUGAAACGGCCCAGCGCAGGCUAAUGUAAAGAUAGUGACAAUGUAAUACACUUGAGAGUACUUUUGGUUUUCCAAGUAAAAUGUUAAUACAAGUCUAUAUACACAAGAGUGGAGUAAUAGAGCACCUCAAAUCCAGUGUCAGCUGACUUGACCAUGAGUGAUGGCUACUUUAACCAAAGUAAAAAUAAUGGGAAUAAAAUGGCUAAUCCCUAAUAAAGGUUGCUAUCCCAAUAAUACUGACUAAAUCUGCACCAUAUUUUAAUAAUAACUAAUUAUUAAGUAAAUAAUAACAAGCCUCCGUAGCUACAGUAAUGCUAAAGCUUACAUUACGUUUUUUUCCAAUACAUGAAGAUAAAUAUGAAUAAUUUUAAGUUUAAUGCAAAGCUGAUUAUUUAGUCCCUGGUCUUCAGACAUCAUGGCAAUGGUGCCAGUUCAGCUUACUCCGCUCAGUUGAGGAGUAAAGCAACAGACUGUCAGGAGUUUUGGCAGACGUGAAUGGGAGCUGUGUGAAUCUGAGCUUGGUUACUCUUCCUCAUGGACGUAGAAGGUUGUGCCACGCUGAACUGAAAUUGAAUUGUAAAACUGAAUCUGAAUUGUGCAAAUUGAAAUAAUUUUUUUCUAUUUUAGAAAUUAAGGAAAAUAGAGAGUUAAAUUUUCAAGUAGGUUAAAUACAAGGAAGGUUAGAGUAAAUAAUUUAGUUUCAAAGCAUCAAUUUACAAUUUUAUAAUAAUGAUUCAAUUUUAGUUUCUAGUGGCUCUAAUCUCAGCCCAUUGUUCUCUGCAAACAUGAAAAUGUAAGCUCACAGGUUCCAAGAGGACUCCCACCUGUUUAAAAUUAGAAGGCUUGUUCUAAAAAACCCCAAAUUUUAUAUUCAAGUGAUUAAACACUAAACAUACUUGUGAAUAUUGUUUUUUGAUUUACUCGGUAUGUGCUGUUCUGUGUCACUAAAUCCUUCAUAGUGUGUCUCCAUGCUUUAUGGUUUUUCUAUUUAUAGUUUUUAUAAAAUGAAAUGUUGUUUUGUGGUGAAAAAAUGCCACGGCUGAAUUAACAGCAGAGAGGAGUAUUUGGCUUGUGAUCACAUAAGCACCCGUAUGUCAUUUUUUGCUGUGACCAUGACAUGCCAAUCAGGUUAAGCAUAAAUUAAUAUAGGACCACUGCUGCAGUUGGAAAGAGGCCUAUUGAGGCGCCUUUAAAGCUUUAACAAUCCUUUUCCUCCUCACUUGUUCUGUGCAUAUUUUAACUGAUGUCUAAAACAAUAUAUUAGCACCGUCAUCAAUGCAGAUCUUUUCACAAAGAGACUCUAUUCAGCCCACAUACAUUCUGUUGCAUUAUCUGCUGUAUUUUAUUUUUUUUUCAUGAGGUGGGUUUCAACCUUUCAUUUAAUUUAAUAUGUCUCUCUUGCUCUGUUGGCCUUCCUGUCUCAAAUGACUCAGUUCUCGGUCUUUAUUUCCCCUCACACAGGCUGUCUUUCACCUCGGAUCCUUUGCUCAAUUCAUGUGGGCAUUAAAAGUAAGGGAGAGAACUUCAAACAGAGAUUUUGAGUCAUUAUUCUUUUAUACAACACUUUUUUUUAAUUCUACAUCAAACACUGUCAAUUUCCCUCAGCCUAUCUCCACCAUUUAUUUUUGUCAUGACUAACGCAACUAAAUCUUGCUCCAAUGCACAGCUUUACAGUUUGCAUGAUCGAGUGUAAAGAGUCGUUUGCUCUUUAACCUGUGCGGAUAAUUUAGGAGGGCUGGUCACACUCUGAUUUCAUUAAAUACGCUUCACCUAUUCCCUUGCUUCAUUAAUGAAUGAGAGGGGUAGGUUAAAGAUAGCACUAUGCUAAUAGGUUGCGUGUGUGAUGGGGAAGAUUGAGGAAGACACAGAAAAAGGGAGGGAAAAAAAAAGGGGGAAGGGGGUUCAUAAGGAGGGCGGGUGAUUGGGGCAGGAUUCAGAAGUCAUUAAGGUCAGUUACGAUGAGGUUCCACAUUGCCACACAUUGUACCCAGGUCAUUAGGGCAGAAGUGUGAACACCGGGGACAAAUGAGCCUGUGUGUGUGUGUGCAUUUGUGCAUCCGUGUGUCAGUGCAAAAAAAGACACUGUAGACUGAGCGUGGAUACAACAUAUGCACCUAAAUGAAAGUAAAGCAUAAUGAAGAUGAAGUCAAAUGCAUCCAUGUAAAGAUAAAAUUAAAGUUAAUUGUUUAUGUAGUAGAAUUAUUCCAAUUAUUAGGUUUCAGCUUCCUCUCUGUGCCCCUCCUGAGCAAUUUUAAUCUGACUGGUGUGUUUACACAGAGCACCUUUAUUCUGUUUAGUUUCUGCAAAGCAAUUAUGUUCAUGUAAAAUAACUGUUGAGUUUCAAACUAAAUCAAUAUUUGCACUAAUUUUUAUCUGAAAUGGCGCAUAUACACAGAGCCUAUUGCAUUGCAGUGUAUUAGACAAGAACAUUUUUACUGAGCUGUGUCCUCAUCCUUAACAGUAUUAAAUUACACAAUUAGAAAGACAUGUACUCGUGUUUGUUAUUAUCAUAACGAUAAAAUUCUACUUAACUCAAUAGAUUAUUUAUUUCCUGGCUGAAUGUUUCUGUCUCUUCUGUGGUGUUUCACAUGUUUCAGUUGCAUCACUUCAGGUACAGAACUGUAACACACAUGCAUUGACACACAACCAUAUUCCUACUACAAAGACUAGAUACAAGAUAUGCUGCAUGAUAGGAACACAUUUUGUUUUACAUUAGCUCUUGAUCACAGACCUCCAUAAAAUGUGAGUUGGAGCCACGUAGUAGAAUCCGUUAUUACUCCUAUUUUAUGAUGUUACAUAUUUUCAAAGGUGAUGAGAAAUGGAUUGAAUGUAUAAAAACAAAGUGAGGGAGUUUUGGAAGAAUAAUUUUGGAGGAGGCAAUUCUUAGUCGGGGAUAUGAAAAACUUUCAAAGUUUUGAGCUUUAAAGGAUACUGCUGCUGUGCAGUCAUAGAAACAGCCUUACUUCUGAUGACUGGGAAAGGUCCCAGAGUGGGGAACAUAUUAAAAAUGUAUCAGAUGGAUUCACAAGCAGAGGGAUGUUGGCUUCCAUGCCGCUCUCAUUACUGUAUCCAUUUACAAUGAAAUUUCAGUGUGUGUGCAAGCAUGCUUGUCAUGUUAUUUUGUCUGUGCUUGUUUAUGUCACCUUUUAUUGUGUUAAGAUUUUUGAAAGAUGGUGCAUUUACUUUUUUCACUUUUUCAAAAUAUAUUUUUUUCCACCCCUCAGUUGAUGACAUUUUCAAAAUGUGUCUCCAACUAUUGGUUUUCAGAGGAAUGUAUGAAACUUAGGGUACAAUCAGCUGAUUAAUCUUUUAAAGGUACACGGGGAAACGUGUUGUUGGUCUCUUUAUAAUCACGUCAUUAUAUUCACUCUCUGAAAUGUGCAGAUCUGUUUGUGUUAUUUGUGUUACAGAGUUUUUUUUGGCACAAUGUUGAGAAAUGACAAUUUCAUACAUUUUGACCUUGUAAGCAGCAACUGAUAGGCUUCAGGUUUCUAAACAAAGAAUCUGACUAGGUAACCUUUGGGUAAUAUUUGGGUAGUACAAUAAGUACCUCAUAUAAGCCUACUUGAUUAAAAACAAAAAAACACUUCUUUUUAGCAACAUCUGACUGACAGCAGACAGAUUGCUGUCAACAUAAAAAAAAUCCUUAAAAGUAAAUAAUCUUCUGUUAAUUGUUACAUGUAUUCAUCUCUUUUUAUUACACUUAUUUAGCUUUUACUGAAGAGCAAGACUGUUGAAAUUAGGGGAAUCAUGUAUCAUAUCGUCAUAUCAUCUAUCUAUCUAUCUAUCUAUCUAUCUAUCUUUUGUUUUUCUACUUUUUUUUCUUUUUUGGGGAGGACUAACCCCUUUAAUCUAAGUGAUCUUCAUUUAGUCAGAUUAAACAAAUAGGUCUUUCUCAGUAACCUUUCACUGGCUGCAUCCCCUAUGGACUGCUGUAUAUUUGUCAGACAACUUAGUGAAUCUCCCUGUGUAUCAGUGGCAGUCAGCCAAAGUCUUAGAAGAAAUAUUAAAAGAUAAAUGAAAGUAGGAAGGUGUCAUCGCUAAGAGCCUGGGGAGAACACUGAGCUUGACAUUGAUGUAGUAACAUCAAACACUUUUAUUAUUGUUCACACAAACAGAAACAACAUUCGCUGUGCCACCUGACGAGGAGUGGCAUGUUCUUCUUUUAUUAUUGAACCAAUUACCUUAUGCGUACGGCUGACAGAUGCCUUCAUGAAUUUCAAAUGGUCUCCUGUCCUCCCUCGGCUGCCUCCUACCAGGCCUGAAUCCCUGAAGCAGGUGAGUGGAGUGUUUGAGCAUGAGAGUCACUCAAGCAUUUACAGUGAGAAACAUAAUAAGAAAUUCUCACAUGUACACUUCACCGUUAGACAAAUGUUUUUCAGCAUGCAUUUAACAUACACUCAAAGCACACAGAGGCUUUGUUUCAGACCACUAAAUCACUUUGUAGUCAAGGGAUACACACAAACACACAUACACACACACACAGUCACUGGUGUAAACUUAAUCCACAUUGUUCCACAUAUAAAUUCCAAUUAAUUCUGUAGCCAUGUCUUCUAUGUACAUUUCAGCUGAACAAUAGAAACACCAACUUAUAUACAAAUAUCAUCUUGCCCCUUUGAAUACUAAGAAUAACAGCUUUUGUAUUCAUGCAAAAGGACAUUUAGAGACUUGAUUUAAUAGCAUACAUGAACAGUAUCACAGGAGGUGAGCUCUGGUCUCCAACAAAUGGUCCAACCCCUUUCAUCACCUCCAACUCCAUUAUUACAAGCUACGUUGCUAUAUACAGUAUAGGGCUCAUUACCUUGUGCAUUUGCACUUAACAUGGACAUAAAUUGGAGAGUCAAACAGUACAGAGGUAAAUCAUAGAGAGCCUGGACUGCAAAGGUUGCCUGCCUCAGCACACUAUAGCGGUACAAACUUGCUUCCCCAUAUCCCUUUUACUAACUGACCUUAUUUGUCGGAAUAAGAUCCCUACCUGGGGAUAUCAACAAUAAAUGUCGACUGAGCUUUCACUGCCUCCACAUGUUUUAUGGGUUAAGUUGAAAUACUGUAAGCAGUGCUGCAAUGAGCGCCAUGGGGGUGCUGCAACCCUGACAGUUAAGGGGCUCACAGCAAUAUAUCCAAACAGGUUACAAGCUUUCCUGGUUAAGUUAAAAACAUUACAGACAGCUUUAUUAACAGCAGAGUCAGACAGUAUGAGAAAAAAAGUGGUUCCCAUUUGCUGUGCUGUCUCCCUGAUGACUGUAAAGGAAACAUGACAAACCGUUUCUAUGAGUGUUCGAGUCAGUUGUGCUACAUCAAAACAGAAAAAAUAGGGAGGAAAUGCUCUGAAAGUACAGCUUGUGGGGUUAAAGUAACAAUUGCACAAGCUUUUUAAUUUAAUGGCUAAUUUAGUUAACAACUGUAAAGUGAUCCUACACAAGGUACUGGUUUGGGGUAAGGCUUCAUAUUAAUAAAAUUUUACCCCGUUUAUUGCAGCCCCUUACUGCUUUACACCCUCACAUUAAAAUCAGAAAGACUUAGGGCCCCAUUUAAACAACCUGAAGUGCAUAGUCGAAAGCACAUGGCGCAAAAUGAAUUAGAGCAUGUCCAUCCACUAAUUGCCGUUUAAAGAGUGCACAAUCUGGCCACUAAGUAAGGUGCAGGGCACAAAGAGAUUGGACUAAGUCCCUUAAUAUUCAAAAGGUAUGUUUUGGAAGUAACGUUUACCAAACCAAUCAGUGCAUGUGCUCUCAUUCCCUGUAACAGUCAGGUGCACCUGCAGACAGUUAUAUUAAUAUUUAAGCAGUGGAUUCAAGCUUUUCUAUUUGAAUAGACUGAGCUUGAGCUGGAAUAUUUAAUUCACCUCUUUUCACUGCGACUCAAAAAAGCAGUGGAAAAAAACAAAUGCCACCGUCAAAGUCAUGUCAGUUUGAUGUCAUAUCCCCUGAAGCAAUCCCUCUGCGCAGCUGAAAGAUCAGGGACUUUUUUUUUAUUAACCAACAAGUGUAAAGUUAUGCACGCAACACAGCGGCACAUCUUCAUCUGUUAUUUCAAACUGAGGACAUGCCGACAGCAUCAGGCAAGGUCUAGUGAUGACUAACUUCCCGUGUACUUUUCAUCAAAGAAAAAUAAGCUGAAAAUCCUUUUUUACCUAUUUUGGCUGCUGGUUAACACAGCCGUUAUAUACAGCAUUUGUAACAGGUAGAUUAUGGGCACAGUACCAGGAGUUAUGUUUCAGAGUUAUUAAAGAAAAAAGAAAAAAAUACGUCUCGGUUAAUUUCUCUUAUGAGUGGGGCACAGCUGUGCAUUCCUGUCUGCAUAAAAACAGAGAAAUGCAUGUUGUGAAUACUUUUGCCUAUCUGACUUCAGACCUUAGACCAGGUUUUUGUCAGCGUGAGGUAAAGAUGUUUUCUGCAGCCACCAUGUUCCCAGCCACACCUCAUUCUAAGAGCAAUAUAUCCGCUGGCACCAUCUCGAGCACAAGUUCACUCAUUAUUUACAUGACAUGAGCACAGAUGACUACUACUGCUUUGAGUUAUUGCAGCAUAACUUGUCCAUGCCGUGUGAAGAACAUCUUCACACAUGGCUGUUUUAAAGUAUAAUAAUCUAGGAGUGUAGUCUACUUGUAUGACUUCACACACCUUACUCUCCUGUGUGUAUGUGACCUACAAAGGGAACAUGAUCAUACACUGCAAUGCAUUUUGAUAAUCUAAUCCAAUUAACUAUCAUGAAGCCUCUCCUAAUCUACUUUUAGAGCAGUAUCAAUUCAUCAGAAAGUUGAAUGUCUUUAUCUCUUCUGUAUAAAAAACGUAGAACCAAAGGAAAGUUUAGCUUUACAUUUGGAAAAAAAAAUAAUGGUCUGUAUUUUGAAAUAGUUCACUAUUUUACCAUGUGGUGACUUUAGAUGUGAACAGUCUAAAAUAACUGCCUGCAUACCGUUGCUUUGGCGGUUUCUUCCACCCUCCCACGUAAGUAGGGUAAUAAUAAUUCAUUACACCCAAAUGGAAGACACAGGUCUGUCCUUGUUAUGCCAUAAUCAGGUCUUUACAUUAAUAAUUUUCACCCCUCGAAGGGAUAUUUCUCUUGCGACUUAUAACCGAUGCGCUAAAGGUUAAACCUCGAAGGCAUUUUCUAAUUCAUUUGUCUUUUCUGUCCGAAAAGGACAGUGGCUGAUGAGCCUCCUGAUCUUUUUAGUUUUUUUUUUUUUUAUGCAUUUGGACGAGGCAGAAUUUGCUUUGCUGGCUUUUGAGUAUAUUAGGGGACUAAAUCAAUGCCUCUGAUUAUACAAGAUGAUAGUGACAAUCAUAAAAUCCUAGACCUGCAAGGUUACAGAAAUGCUCUCCACUGUUUGCAUAAUUUACCUUGAAGCAGACUGAAGGACCCUCUCCAAAACCCAAAUGAACUACUACCAACUCUGGCACCAAACCCACGGUCCCUCUGGCCUGCUAGCACCUGUCUGAUGCUUCAGAAGAACCUUCGGCCAAACAAGCUUAGACUUCUACUAAUGUAUUUACAAUGGACUUCUACUGCAUAGAAAUCUGGGGAAAUACAUACAAAACAAAUUUACAACAUUUAUAUAUUAUGCAAAAGAGAGCAAUAAGGAUUGUUUACAAGGCAGGAUUCUUCCAUCUUACUAAUGAACUGUUUCUGAAAUUAGGAGUAUGAAUCUUUGCCGAUCUAGUUGAAUUUAGAACUGCACAGACAAUGUACAAAGCAAGCAACAAUCUACUCCCUACGAAUAUACAGAAAAUGUUUGGUGGAAGAGAGGGCCGGUAUGCAUUAAGAGGGAAACGAAAUUUAAAACAACCGGUCGUUCGGACAACACUAAAAAGCAUGUGUCUUUCUGUUGUGGGGGUGAAGCUGUGGAACAGUCUAUCUGAUAAACUUAAACAAAGCAAAACAAUAGCACAGUUUAAAAGUAAAUUAAAGCAGAGUAUGAUCGAAAAAUACAUAAAUAAGUGAUUUUAGUUUUGCCACAUUUAGUGCAUAUUUGUGUGUAUAUACAUGUUUAUAGGUAUGGGUUUAUAUAUGUAUAUAAAUGGUCUUUGUUUCAGUAUUAAUGAUUUGUUGCAUAUUCAUGAUAGACUUUGGAGCUUUGGUUACCUCUUGGCGACUUCAGAAAUCCUAAAAUUCUAGAGACAUGUAAAAGGUCAACAACGAGGAAGGAAUGAGGGUAGGUACAGAUAGGCCAAAUAGCUUCAACCUAUUCCUUUUCGAUCUCCAAAAUAUAGUAAAUUUCUUGUCUAAAAUUGAACUGUAUGUAUAUUUGACAGAAUAAACUAUCUCUCUCUCUCAAUAAAGGUACGAACAAUCCUCUGACCGAACCCCCAGGCAGCCACCCACAAGAGUGGAGACUUUCAGAUUCACCCCUCCCAUCAUCUGUCAAGUUGAUUUAUUCAUUUAUUUUCUCUUUUUUCACAGGUAAGAUUUAAAGAUCUGUUGACAUUGGUCUAAAUCAAGUUUCCACUUCACCAAACUCUACAUGCCCUUGAUACAUGUUGUAUAUUGCCAGGCAUGAUAAUUUUUGGACUAAAUAUGUUUUUCUUUACUGUGGCAGACCCAGAGCUGGAUGGGAGCCCAGGAACAUGCCAGCAAUUUUUGACAGAAAGUAUGUCAGAGCUGCUGCAGUGCUGUUUUUCACAGGGUCCAAAUAUUAUAAAAGUACCCCUGCUAACCCUGCCUCCAGCUAUCCAAUACGCUGACAGCCAAAACAUGUGAAGUGCACUGUGCUGUCAGUAGCGUGCGAUAUCUUGUCUGUUUGUUUCAGACAAUCUUAAAAGCUCUUUCAUUCACACUUGUGAGUUCAUAAAGUCUAGAGGACGAUUAACUGACUGUGCUGCAAUAUUUAUGUUGGCCAAGUUUUCUCACACUCACAGGACUAGACCUACAAAGUGAAGAGAAGACAUCGAGUGAGUUUGAUAUCCAGUGGCAGAGAUUGAUCGUUGAAAUCUUUUGAGCUGAAGCACAAAAUCAACAGACCCGUGUUUAGACUUCAAAAUAUAAAUUGGAGCAGAGCUAUCCCUGGGCGAUCUGUUAAAAAAUUUAUAUGAACUGCCAUUAAAGAGAAACAAGGCUUUUUCCCACAAAUGAAAAAAAUAAAAUAAAAUCCCUAACGAGCAUGACAUUUACUUAACAAGAGAA
rnacentral:lncRNA from 1 species